GCCAUGUUAUUUCUCACCACCAUUGUGGCGGUGGCGGCCACAAGGCCAGCCGAGACCUAUGGCGCUGCGGAGGAGAACACAUUGAAGAUGGCUACCCCCAGCAGGAAAGGGGUUGACGCUACCUUAGCAGCUACACGUGUUGUUGCCGCCGAGAAGUCCAUCAAGAAGGCUGAAAGCGCCACCACACCAGAAGAGGCCGCGGCCGCCAAGCAAGAUGGAGCAAAAUCUGCUUCUGCUGCAUUAAAGUACAAUACCAUCUCUCAGCAGGCAAAUGGUAAAGGUUCUUCUACCUCCCUAGGCAGGAAAGAAGCAGCCGGUACUUUAGCCGCCGCACACUAUGCCACCGCCGAAAAGUCCAUCAAGAAGGCCAAAACCGCCAAGACACCUGCAAAGGCCGUGGCUGCCAAGCGAGACGCAGCAAAGUCUGUUGACGAUGCAUUAAAGUAUGGUGCCAUCUCUCGGAAAGCAGCUGGUACAAGUUCUUCUACCUCCCCCAAUAGGAAAGAAGGCACCACUGAUGCUGCUAAGAUGUUCACCAAGAAGGCCGAAACCGCUACCACACCUGAAGAGGCCGCGGCUGCCAAGCAAGCUGCAGCCAAGCAAGCUGCAGCCAAGUCUACCGCUGCUGCAUCAAAGUAUGGUGUCAUUUCUCAGCAAGUAGCUGGUACAAGUUCUUCUACCUCCCCUAGCAGGAAAGAAGCUGCCGGUACCUUGGCAGAUGCUCGCAUAGCUGCUGCCGAGAAGUCCAUCAAGAAGGCUGAAACCGCCACCAGACCUGAAGAGGCAGCAUCCGCUAAGAAGGAUGCCGCGAAAUCUGAGGCUGAUGCAAUGAAGUACGGGGCCAUCUCUCAGCAGGCCGCCGGCAAAAAUGGUGCCUAAGUGGUGCCUUAAACACCUAUUCACGCGCAACAUCAUCUGCAUACUACCAUGCAUGCAAAAUAGCAGCAUUGAGAUACCACGUUAUGCUAAUUCUCAUGCAUGCACGCUUUGUUUAAACGUUCCCAUUACGAAUCAUGUAUUAAUGUCUUGCUUGUUUUAUUUUUAGUAGUAAGACACGCUUGACUUGCUUUAAAAAAAUACAACAAACGAUGUAUACAUGUAUUAUCUGAAAAUUAAUAAUAUGAGUUCCACCGCAAUUUGUGUCUUUUUGUCAUAAUUUGGGUGCAAUCAAUGCACACAUCCAAUAUACAAAAUUGGACGAGUCAUUGUGUUAUGGCUCCAUGGAGCGGCGAAUCAUUUUUUAUUUUCUUGCUUGUUUUACUUUUAGUAGUAAUGUCUUGCUCGUCAAUGUAUUAUGGCUCCAUGGAGCGGCAUAAUGAUAUAUGAUAUAUCUUCACUACUUCAAAAAGAACUUAAGGUUUCGUCAUACAUCUGCCCUUCAUCCAACCUCCCUACCAAUCCUUCCUGUUUUGAUUUUUCUCCCAUCUUUGAUUUUUCUCCCCAUUGAUUCUACCUAAAAACCGCCUCAAUGUCACAUGUUUACUGUAUAUGUCAAGGCCUCCUUUGGUUCAUAGGGUAGAAAAAUCAUAGGAAUAGGAAAGUCAUAGGAAAUUAGAUGACACGUAUCUCAAAUCCUAUGAGUAGGAAUAGGAAAGGAGAUGCCCUUUGAUUCACAUCAUAGGAUUUUUACAUUGAAUCUAGGAUAAUGUUUAUUUUCCUAUUAAAUGUGAAGGAUAGGAAGAAUUCCUCCACAGGAUUAGGAUUCCAUUCCUAUAAACCAAAGGAAUCCAAAGGAAUUUUUGCUAUAGAAAUCCUAUCCUACGAAAUUCUUACAAGAUUCCUCCAAAUCAAAGGAGGCCCAAGUGGUUGUGGUGAGACAGUGGCUGGGCACUUCAGAUUUAUUCCCGUAACUGACUGUCAAAUUGAGUAAUCUUUCGUCCUUUCGAUGAUUGUAAGGAAGUUAUAUGUUUACUGUAUAUGUCAAGUGGUUGUGAUUAUCGUUACCGGCCACAAAGUUAUAUUUUCUUGUCUUAACGAAGGGUUGCAUACAAUGCGUGUAGGUCUUGACGCCUGAUAACCCACAAGGGAUAGGGGAUCGCAAUAAUUUUUGAGGGUAGAGUAUUCAACACAAAUUUAUAGAUUCGACACAAGGGGAGCCAAAGAAUAUUUGUAAGUAUUAGCAGUUGAGUUGUCAAUUCAACCACACCUGGAGAUUAAUUAUCGGAAGCAAAGUGAUCAGUAGCAAAGUAGUAUGAUAGUUUUGAUAGUAGUAGCACCAUCAAUAGUAAUGGUAACAGUGGUAGCAAUGGUUUUGUAGCAGUGACAAUAGUAACAACAGCAGUAGAAACUUAGCAAGAACAAUAUGUACGAAAAUCGUAGGCAUUGGAUCGGUGAUUUGUUGGAUGAUAUUCAUCAUGUGACAGUUACAACCUAGGACGAUACGACACUAGCUCCAAUUCAUAAAUAUAAUGUAGGCAUGUAUUCUGUAAAUAAUCAUACGUGCUUAUGGAAUGAACUUGUAUGACAUCUUUUGUCCUACCCUCCUGUGGCAGCGGGGUCCUAUUGGAAACUAAGGGAUAUUAAGGCCUCCUUUUAAUAGAGAACCAGAACAAAGCAUUAACACACGGUGAAUACAUGAACUCCUCAAACUACGGUCAUCACAGGGAAGUGUCCCGACUAUUGUCACUCCGGGGUUGCCGGAUCAUAACACGUAGUAGGUGACUAUAACUUGCAAGAUCGGAUCUAGAACAUAGAUAUAAUGGUGAUAACAUAAACGGCCCAAAGAGAUAAGCAUUAAGCAUUGCAAAGUCAUAGCAACAUCAAUCUCAGAACAUAAUGGAUACUAGGGAUGAAGCCCUAACAAAACUAACUCGAUCACAUGAUGAAUCUCAUCCAACUCCUCACCGACCAGCGAGCCUACGAAGGAAUUACUCACUCCCGGUGGGGAGCAUCAUGGAAUUGGCGAUGAAGAAGGGUUGGUGAUGACGAAGAUCGAAGAUCCCCCUCUCCAGAGCCCCAAACGGACUCCAAAUCUGGCCUCCCGAUGAAGACCAGGAGAAGGCGGCGGCUCCGUCUCAUGGAAUGCGAUAAUUCUUUCUCCCUGAUUUUUUCUGGAAAAAUAGGAUUUUAUAGCGUCGGUUUCAGGGUCUGCGGGGCCACCAUGUGGGGACAACCCUCCUGGGUGUGCUUGGAGGGGGCGCCCUGGUGGGUUGUGCCCAUCAAGGUGCCCCCCUCCGGUUGUUCUUGGCUCCAGAAAUUCUCUUUAUUUGUAUAAAAAGUCCUCGCAAAGUUUCGUUCCAAUCCGAAAACUUUUAUGUCUGCACAAAAAAAACACCAUGGUAGUUUUGCUGAAAACAGCGUCAGUCCGGGUUAGUUUCAUUCAAAUCAUGCAAAUUAGAGUCCAAAACAAGAGGAAAAGUGUUAGGAAAAGUAGAUACAACGGAGACGUAUCAACUCCCCCAAGCUUAAACCUUUGCUUGUCAUCAAGCAAUUCAGUUGAUAAACUAAAAGUGAAAAAAAUAAUUUACGAACUCUUUUGCUCUUGUUUUCAUAAAUAAGCUUAAACAUCACCCAGGUUUUUAGCCAAGAUUAUAACUAACCAUGUCGACAAUAACUCUGAAAAAUUAUAUUAACUCAUAUGAGUAGAGACCACGGGAAAAAGCCUAGUAGUAGCGCGGGUAAAAGACUAGUAGUAGCGCGGGUGCCCGCGCUACUACUAUGACGCUACAGCUAACUCGUAGUAGUAGCGCGGGUGCCACCCGCGCUACUAGUACGUGUGUUAGUACUAGCACGGAUUCCACAUGCGCUACUACUAACUAUCUGUAGCGCCUGUCUGUGACCCGCGCUACUACUAUUAAUCUAAAAAACCAAAAAAAAUCUUGACCCCGUGCAUGUUGUCAAUGGUGUCAUUGGUUCGAUCCAGCGACGACAGGCGUCGCCGGAGGUUUGGACGGGUAGUGGCAGACCAGAUCCGGCGACGGCUGUUGGAGAGGGCCGGAUCCAGUGUAGAGCAAGACGACGGUGUGAGGAUCCUCUUCGCGGUCAAGGCGGAGAACUCCUGGUUGGCCAUGUCGACGACCUGUGCAGGCAUGGGCAUGGGAGGUGAGUGAAACCAAAGGGAGAGGGAGAGGGAAAAAGAGAAACAAGGGAGAAAGGAAGGAGAUGGAGGGCGCAUCGGGGCUGCUCACCGGUGGUGAGGUGCUCCGCCGUGGUUGCAUGGAGGCGAGGAGGAAGACGGGCGAGCUCCUGGACGCCAACGAUGCGAGGAGGAAGAUGUUGGGUGCCAUGGAGGAGGAGAUGUUCUUGGGCAGGAGCACCAUGGAGAGAGGGGGGAAGUGAGGGAGAGAGGAGGAAAGUGAGAGAGGGGGAAAGUGAGGGAGAGAGGAGGGAUUCGGCCGAGGAUAUGGAGAUUUCACCUACCUCGUACUUAGUAGUAGCGAGGGGUAUAAAACCGCGCUACUACUAUCAACUUAGUAGUAGCGUGGGUUUGUACCCCUCGCUACUACUAUGGCAUGUCCCGGGAGGGCACGGUAGAGACCACUUAGUAGUAGCGAGGGUUAAAACCCGCGCUACUAGUAUCAACUUAGUAGUAGCGAGGGGUAAAAACCCGCGCUACUAGUAAGUAGCAGUAGCGAGGGUUAUAAACCCGCGCUACUAGUAAGCGUCUGCCUAUAAGCUUUUCCCUAGUAGUGGCAUAUCUAUGACAUAAUCAACUAGCGAGCAAUAAUAAGAUAUCUCAAACAACAACACGUUGUGAAAACAACCAUGAUAUAAUAUGACAAUAGUGGCAUCUCGCUAGCCCUUUCUAAGACCGCAAAACAUAAAUGCAGAGCACCUCCAAAGUUCAAGCAGCGACUAAACAUUGUAAUUCAUGGUAGAAAAGAUCUAGUCAUGAUGCACCCAACAUUAGCUACACAUAGUGCAUAAACAUGACAACAGUGCUCUCAGGUUUUGGCACUUAUUUUAGAAGGUGAUGACACAACAUAAAAGUAAAUAGAUAGUCCCUUCGCAGAGGGAAGCAAUGAUUUGCAGCGGUGCCAGAGCUCAAAAUUUUAAAACAGAGAGGUAAAUGAAAAUUUUGGAAAUGCACCCUUAUUGUUUACUUCGCGACCAUUAGUUAUCGAUAUCUUCCAUGCUAAACACAUUAGCGGCAAUUCCGAAGCGAUAAAGUAAAGGUUAAUACUCCAUAGGAGUUUUUGUUUGAUUAUUUAUAAGCUCUAUUCUUUUUGCAGGUUGGGACUAGGAAUCCCUAUUACCGCCCCUCUCGUGCAAUGACGAGUGAAUAAACACUCAUCAUGAGAAUAACCCGCUUAGCAUGGAAGAUACUGACUACCUCCUGUCGCUCUAUGAACAAUCCAGGCGCACAAAAAGGAUAUUUAUUUGAAGUUUUUAGAGGUGGCACAUGCAAAUUUACUUAGGACGGCAAGUUAAUACCGCGUAUAGGUAGAUAUGGUGGACUCAUCUGGAAUAACUUGGGUUUAAGAUUUUUGAUGCACAAGCAGAAUUCCCGCUUAGUACAGGUGAAAGCUAGCAAAUAGGUUGAGAAGCGGCCAGCUAGAGGGCAACAACGGUCAUGAACAUGCACUAUGCAUAAGUAACAUUGGACACUAGCAUGAGUUGGAUAUGAACACCAUGAACAUAAAUAUCAUAGAGGCUAUGUUAUUUUGAUUCAACUACAUGCAUGAACAUGUGCCAAGUCAAGCCACUCAAACAUUCAGAGGAGGAUACCAUAUCAUGAUAGUACAUCACAAUCAUUUUAACGCAAUGUUGACAUCCAAGAUAAAUCAUUAUCCACUCCUACCUGUUGGGGAACGUUGCAUGGGAAACAAAAAAUUUCCUACGCUCACCAAGAUCAAUCUAGGAGAUGACCAUCUACAAAAGGAGAGAUUGCAUCUACAUACCCUUGUAGAUCGCUAGGCAAAAGCGUUAAGAAAUGCGGUUCAUGUAGUCGAACGUCUUCGCGAUCCAAUCACGAUCCAUCCCGCGAACUCCCGAUCCAAGUGCCGAACGGACGGCACCUCCAUGUUCAACACACGUAUGGCUUGAUGACGUCUUCACCUCCUCGAUCCAGCGAGCAACGGUGAAGUAGUAGCUCGAGUCCUCCGGUAGCACGACGGUGUGGUGGUGGUAGUGGUGGCGGAAUCUCAGCAGAGCUUCGCUAAGCACUACAGAGAGGAAGAGGGAUGCGAGGGAGAGGAGAGGCAGCGCCGUUGUGUGGAGAUGUGCUCUUUGGGUGCGGCUGCCCUAUCUCUACCUCUCUAUAUAUAGGGGAAGGGAGGAGGGGGUGGUGCCCCUAGGGUUUCCCCUAGGGGGCGGUGGCCAGGGCAGAUGGGAUCUCCCCUAGGGUGACUUGCCCCCAAGCCGGGAGGUGGGAAGCCCUAGGGAAACGCCCCCAACCCUCCUAUUACGUGAGAUGGGGUGAGGGGGGGGGGGCGCUCAGCCCCUUAGUGGGCUGGUUUGCCCCCUCCCCUUGGCCCAUGGGCCCCCCAACACUUGUCGGCCCUGCCGAAACCCCUUUCAGUAAUGCUGGUCAUCACCCGGUACCCCCAGAACAAUUCUGGACUCCAAUACCCUUCGUCCAGUAUAUCUAUCUUCACCUCUAGACUAUUCCGGAGUUCCUUGUUGAUACGUCUCCAAUGUAUCUAUAAUUUUUUAUUGUUCCAUGCUAUUUUAUUAUCAAUCUUGGAUGUUUUAUAAUCAUUUUAUAUCAUUUUUUGGUACUAACCUAUUGACAUAGUGCCAAGUGCCAGUUGCUAUUUUUCCAUGUUUUUUACAUCACAGAAAAUCAAUACCAAACGGAGUCCAAAUGCCACGAAACUCCAGGAUGAUUUUUUAUGGGCCAGAAGAAAGGCAAUNNNNNNNNNNNNNNNNNNNNNNNNNNNNNNNNNNNNNNNNNNNNNNNNNNNNNNNNNNNNNNNNNNNNNNNNNNNNNNNNNNNNNNNNNNNNNNNNNNNNNNNNNNNNNNNNNNNNNNNNNNNNNNNNNNNNNNNNNNNNNNNNNNNNNNNNNNNNNNNNNNNNNNNNNNNNNNNNNNNNNNNNNNNNNNNNNNNNNNNNNNNNNNNNNNNNNNNNNNNNNNNNNNNNNNNNNNNNNNNNNNNNNNNNNNNNNNNNNNNNNNNNNNNNNNNNNNNNNNNNNNNNNNNNNNNNNNNNNNNNNNNNNNNNNNNGAGGCCCAGGCACGCCCUGGUGGGUUGUGCCCACCUCAGGCGCCCCCCGGACCGCCUCUUUGCUCUAUAAAUACCCAAAUAUUCCAGAAACCCUAGGGGAGUCGAUGAAAUAUUCAUCCAGCCGCCGCAGAGUCCAGAACCACCAGAUCCAAUCAAGGCACCAUCUCGGAUGGGGUUUGAUAACCCACAAGUAUAGGGGAUCGCAACAGUUUUCAAGGGUAGAGUAUUCAACCCAAAUUUAUUGAUUCAACACAAGGGGAGCCAAAGAAUAUUCUCAAGUAUUAGCAGUUGAGUUGUCAAUUCAACCACACCUUGAUAACUUAAUAUCUGCAGUAAAGUAUUUAGUAGCAAAGUAGUAUGGAAGUAACGGUAACAGUGGCAAAAGUAACAGUAGUAGUUUUGUAGUAAUUGUAAUAGUGGCAACGGUAAAGUAACUAAGCAAAGAGCAAUAUGUAAAAAGCUCGUAGGCAUUGGAUCGGUGAUGGAGAAUUAUGUCGGAUGCUAUUCCUCAUGCAAUAGUUAUAACAUAGGGUGACACAGAACUAGCUCCAGUUCAUCAAUGUAAUGUAGUCAUGUAUUCCGAAUAUAGUCAUACAUGCUUAUGGAAAAUAACUUGCAUGACAUCUUUUGUCCUACCCUCCCAUGGCAGCGGGGACCUAUUGGAAACUAGGGGAUAUUAAGGCCUCCUUUUAAUAGAGUACCAGACCAAAGCAUUAACACUUAGUGAAUACAUGAACUCCUCAAACUACGGUCAUCACCGGUAAGUAUCCCAAUUAUUGUCACUUCGGGGUUAACGGAUCAUAACACAUAAUAGGUGACUAUAGACUUGCAAGAUAGGAUCAAGAACUCACAUAUAUUCAUGAAAACAUAAUAGGUCCAGAUCUGAAAUCAUGGCACUCGGGCCCUAGUGACAAGCAUUAAGCAUAGCAAAGUCAUAGCAACAUCAAUCUCAGAACAUAAUGGAUACUAGGGAUCAAACCCUAACAAAACUAACUCGAUUACAUGGUAAAUCUCAUCCAACCCAUCACCGUCCAGCAAGCCUACGAUGGAAUUACUCACGCAUGACGGUGAGCAUCAUGAAAUUGGUGAUGGAGGAAGGUUGACGAUGACGAUGGCGAUGGAUUCCCCUCUCCGGAGCCCCGAACGGACUCCAGAUCAGCCCUCCCGAGAGAGAUUAGGGCUUGGCGGCGGCUCCGUAUCGAAAACGCGAUGAAUCCUUCUCUCUGAUUUUUUUCUCCCUGAACGUGAAUAUAUAGAGUUGGAGUUGAGGUCGGUGGAGCACCAGGGGGCCCACGAGGCAGGGGGGCGCGCCCCCACCCUCGUGGUCAGGGUGUGGGCCCCUGGCCUUGAUUCUUUUGCCAGUAUUUUUUAUAUAUUCCAAAAAUAUUCUCCGUGAAGUUUCAGGUCAUUUCGAGAGCUUUUAUUUCCGCACAAAAAUAACACCAUGGCAAUUCUGCUGAAAACAUCUUCAGUCCGGGUUAGUUCCAUUCAAAUCAUGCAAGUUAGAGUCCAAAACAAGGGCAAAAGUGUUUGGAAAAGUAGAUACGAUGGAGACGUAUCAACUCCCCCAAGCUUAAACCUUUGCUUAUCCUCAAGCAAUUCAGUUGAUAAACUGAAAGUGAUAAAGAAAAACUUUUACAACCUCUGUUUGCUCUUGUUGUUGUAAAUAUGUAAAACCAUCAUUCAAGUUUUCAGCAAAGAUUAUGAACUAACCAUAUUCACAAUAACACUUAGGUCUCAUGUUUACUCAUAUCAAUGGCAUAAUCAACUAGCAAGCAAUAAUAAUAAAUCUCGGAUGACAACACUUUCUCAAAACAAUCAUAAAUGAUAUAACAAGAUGGUAUCUUGCUAGCCCUUUCUGAGACCGCAAAACAUAAAAGCAGAGCACCCCUGAAGAUCAAGGACUAACUGAAUAUUCUAAUUCAUGGUAAAAGAGAUCCAGUCGUAGUCAUACUCAAUAUAAACUAAUAAUAAUGCAUGCAAAUGACAUCGGUGCUUUCCAGCUGGUGCUUUUUAAUAAGAGGGUGACGACUCAACAUAAAAGUAAAUAGAUAGGCCCUUCGCAGAGGGAAGCAGGGAUUUGUAGAGGUGCCAGAGCUCGAUUCUGAAAUAGAGAUAAAUAAUAUUUUGAGCGGCAUACUUUCAUUGUCAACAUAACAACCGAGAGAUCUCGAUAUCUUCCAUGCUACACACAUUAUAGGCGGUUCCCAAACAGAAUGGUAAAGUUUAUACUUCCCCACCACCAACAAGCAUCAAUCCAUGGCUGGCCCGAAACAACAGGUGCCUCCAACUAACAAUAGUGCUGGGGGAGUUUUGUUUGCAAUUAUUUUGAUUUGGUUUGAGCAUGGGACUGGGCAUCCCGGUGACCAGCCAUUUUCUCAUGAGUGAGGAGCGGAGUCCACUCCUCUUGAGAAUAACCCGCCUAGCAUGGAAGAUACAGACAACCCUAGUUGAUACAUGAGCUAUUCGAGCAUACAAAACAGAAUUUCAUUUGAAGGUUUAGAGUUUGGCACAUACAAAUUUACUUGGAAAAGCAGGUAGAUACCGCAUAUAGGAAGGUAUGGUGGACUCAUAUGGAAUAACUUUGGGGUUUAUGGAAGUAGAUGCACAAGUAGUAUUCCCGCUUAGUACAAGUGAAGGCUAGAAAAAGACUGGGAGGCGACCAACUAGAGAGCGACAACAGUCAUGAACAUGCAUUAAAAUUAAUAAACAUUGAGUGCAAGCAUGAGUAGGAUAUAAUCCACCAUGAACCUAAAUAUCGUGGAGGCUAUGUUGAUUUUGUUUCAACUACAUGUGUGAACAUGUGCCAAGUCAAGCCACUCGAAUCAUUCAAAGGAGGAUACCACCCUAUCAUACCACAUCACAACCAUUUUAAUAGCAUGUUGGCACGCAAGGUAAACCAUUAUAAACUCCUAGCAAAUUAAGCAUGGCAUGAGCAACUAUAAUCUCUAAUUGUCAUUGCAUUUCAUUCAUAAUAGGCUGAAUUAGGAACAAUGAACUAAUCAUAUUUACAAAAACAAGAGAGGUCGAGUUCAUACCAGCUUUUCUCAUCUCAAUCAGUCCAUCAUAUAUCAUCAUUAUUGCCAUUCACUUGCACGACCGAACGGUGUGGAUAAUAAUAAUAGUGCACAUGCAUUGGACUAAGCUAGAAUCUGCAAGCAUCUGAUACAAAGGAGAAGACAAGGUAACAUGGGCUCUUUGUUAAAUCAACAAUAAUGCAUAUAAGAGCCACUUAACAUUUUCAUUAUGGUCUUCUCCUCUCGACCCCCAAAGAAAAGAAAAGGAAUAAAACUAUUUACACGGGAAAGCUCCCAACAAGCAAAAGAAGAACGAGAAAUCUUUUUGGGUUUUCUUUUUAAUUAUUACUACUACAGGCAUGGAAAGUGAACUAGCUAAAAGCUACAACUAAUUUUUUUUGUUUUUCGUAAGGUUUUUCAAACACACAAGAAGAAGACUUAGAAAAGAAAAUAAACUAGCAUGGAUAGUACAAUGAAAAAGUAUGAGCACCGACAACUAGAAUGAGUGUGUGAACAUGAAUGUAAUGUCGGUGAGAAAUCCGUACUCCCCCAAGCUUAGGCUUUUGGCCUAAGUUGGUCUAUGCCCAUGGAUCAAAGUUGUAGCUGGGGUCGUACUGAGAUGCAGCAGCUAUUGCCUCAUGAGCUGCAGCUUGGAGGCGAGCUGCCUCUGUCCUCCUCUCAUACUCGUUCGCCUCUUCCCUGAUUAUAAUAUAUCUCCUUUUUGCCUGAAAGUCAAAGAAACCAGGAGCAGGGAGAGAAACAUGGACAGUGCGACGUCUGUCAAAGAUUAGUCGGUACUGGAGGAACUGUUCCUUCCUCUCAAUAAACUGAUGGCGAACCAUAGCAUUAUAAUCUAAAUAAGCAGGAGGCAAUUCCAUAUCAUUUUCAUGUAUGGGUAUCUCAAGAUAAUUAGCUAAACGGGUUGCAUAAAUUCCACCAAACAAAUCUCCACUUAAACUAUUAAGAUGCAACCUUCGUGCAACGAUGGCCCCCAAGUUGUAUUGUUUAUCUCCUAAUACAGCACUCUUGAGAACACUAAGGUCGGGAACACACAUGUGACAUGCCUCGUCCUUGCCAUUAAUGCAUCUACCUAUAAAGAGAGCAAAAUAAUGUAUAGCAGGAAAAUGGAUGCUCCCUAUGGUAGCUUGUGUUAUUUCUCUAGAUUCCCCCACAGUGAUACUAGCAAGAAAAUCUUUAAACUCAUAUUUGCGAGGAUCACUAGCACUACCCCACUGCGCGAGUUUACAAGCAGUAUUAAAAUCUUCUAAGUCCAUGGUAUAAUAUUUAUCAUAAAGAUCAAAUAGGACAGUGUGAGAAUUGCGUGAGGAUGUAAAUUUAAACCUUCUCACAAAGGAAUCAAUUAGGUAUGAAAGUGCGUUAUAUCGACUAGAGGGGGGGGGUGAAUAGGCGAUUUUUAUGAAUUCUUCACUGAGGAAUUUGCCAGUGAGGAAAUUCCUUAGCGAAGAACUACUUGCAGCGGAAUAAGUACUCAAAAGUAUGCAUAGCAGAACACAAGCAUGGUCAUCAUGAUGGAAUGAAGACAAGCACAAAGUACAGAAAGCGUAAACACAUGAUGAAGACAAACAGACUGAAGAAAUUGAACUGAGGAAAUUGAGAAAGUCUUCAAACAUAGAUAUGAACAAGUGCACAACACAGUUAUGAGGAAAUGAAAGAGUUGAGGAAAUAGAACCAGCUGGCUUGGUGAAGACAAUGAUUUGGUAGACCAGUUCCAACUGCUGUCUCAGUUGUACAUCUCGUUAGGGCGGCUAGGUAUUUAAACCUGAGGACACACAGUCCCGGACACCCAGUCCUGAAUACGCAGUCCAGGGCACUUAGUCCUCACCGUAUUCCCCUUGAGCUAAGGUCACAUAGACCUCGCCCAAUCACUCGUGGUAAGUCUUCAAGUGACUUCCGAACCUUCACAAACUCGGUCACUCGGCGAUCCACUAUUUCUUCCUGGAUGCUCUAGACCAUGACGCCUAACCGUCUGGAAGAAGCAUAGUCUUCAAAGGUAACAAGCGUCGGAUCCAUGCAGGAUCAAUCUCUUCAGAGAUGCUCAAUCACUUUGGGUUUGUAGGUGUUUGGGUUUGGGUUUUUCCUCACUUGAUGAUUUUCGCUCAAAGUCCUCGGAGGAUGGGAUGCUCUCAAAUGACAAAUGUCAGUUUCUCUCGGAGCAGCCAACCAGCUAGUGGUUGUAGUAGGGGGUGGCUAUUUAUAGCCUAGGGAGCAGCUCGACAUGAUAAGACAUAAAUGCCCUUCAAUGAUAUGACCGUUAGGUGGGAAGAUAUUUUGGGACAGCUGGCGCCGUAGCACAGCAACGGUCGGAAUUUUGAGUGUCUAAUUCCUCAGGGCUAUCAUGUUCCUCACAGUGUAGGCAAUCCGCACUAGCGAAUUCCUAACUCCUCAGUCAGAACAAAUUCCUCAGAGACGAGAAGAACUUCGUCUUUGUCACUGAAGAAUAUGACUGAACUGUAUGAUAUUUCCAAUAGCUUCACUCGAAGGGAUUGGUAGGUGUAGGAUUUUGAGUUGAGCAUCACUUGGAAAUUUUUCCUUAGUAUUUCCCCGACCCCCUUUAACAGUACGGUGUUUCCUAUGACUCAAGAAAGAGAAAAUGAAACUACGAAAACAAAAGUCUUCACGCUUCAUGUUCCUCAAAUGAAUACCAAGUCUUCAAGGUCACACCAAUUUAUUCACUUUCAAAGUCUUCAGAAAGUCUUCAGAAAUCCAAAGUCUCGAGUCGAAGAAUUUCAAUUUUAGGGGUCGACUUUCUCUAUAAAUAUCAAACUCCUCAUAGACUUAUAGACCUGUGUACACUCACAAACGCAUUAGUCCCUUAACCUAUAAGCCUUCAAUACACCAAAAUCACUAAGGGGCACUAGAUGCACUUACAAUCUCCCCCUUUUUGGUGAUUGAUGACAAUAUAGGUUAAGUUUUCAACGGGGAUAAUCAUAUGAAGUGUAAAUACUGAUAUUGAGGAAUUUGAUUGCAACAUAUAGAAGAACUCCCCCUGAAGAUGUGCAUAGUGAGGAAUUUGCUUUUGAAGCAAUGCACACUUGAAGAGUAGAAUCAUGGAGAUCUCCCCCUAUAUCUUGUAAUUCAUACACGCAUUUGACAUAUAAUAUGAAGAAUUUCAAAUGCAUGAUGAAAUAUGGUGACUGAUGGAAUUCAGCAUGCGUGCAAUAACAUUAACGAGGAAUAAGCAUGCAGAGGAAACAACAAAAGUAUCAGGCCGCCAUAGAGUUUAAGUUUACAACUCGAUCCAAUAAAGUUUCAGAAGAACGAGAGUUGUAACUUAGCAAAAAAAAACGCCCAUAUAAUAGACCCGCUUGAAGACUAAUUCAAAUUUCUCCCCCUUUGUCAUCGAAUGACCAAAAGGAUCGAAAAUGAGGACUAACGCCCCUGAAGAAUAUCAAGUUGAUGAAGGAGCGUCAGCGUUGUUGGGGUCGUUUGUUGAUAUAGGGCCUGCCGCAGUGUCGUCCAAGUCUUCAUGCUCAUCGGUGUCGCGCGAUGAAGAAUAGGAGCUGGCCACCAAGGAAGGAACCUUGACCUUCUUGUAUUUCUUCGGUGGAGGUGCAGACCAGUCAAAGUCUUCCCUGAGACCCAUAUUCUUUAGUUCUUCUUCGCUAUAGAUGUGAGACAGAACAGCCCAGGUGCGACCGAAGACUUCAUGGAGGUAGUAAUGGUUUUUCUUCACUGCAUUAUGUGUAGCAGUCAUGUUGUGAAGAAUUGAACCAAACUAACGCUUAACCCAUUUAUGGUUUCGAUCCACCUUCUGGUGAAGACUUAGCAGAAGCUCACGGUCAGUCAUCACACGAGGAGCAGUAGCUUGAGGAUUUGGCUUGGAGGCAUGGGCAGCAGAAUCAUGAGUGGCAGAGUCAUCAUUGGUGGAAUAAGAUGCAGCCUUGCGAAAUUGACCAUCCAAUGGACGAAUGCCUUCAUCUAUAACAGCUGGUGCCUUGCCCUUUUCGUCAGCAGAAGAAUAAGUCCGCUUGAGGACUUCAAUUGGGGGCAAGUAGCUGAGGUGAUUCUGAAAAUCAGCCUUGUAGUUGAGUGAAGACCUUGUUCUGAGGAAUCUCAUAAUCCAAGGUGCAUAAGGCUUUAGCUCAAAAGGAGAGAGUGCAACAUUUGCCAGAGUCCUCAUGAAGAAAUCGUGAUAAUUGACAGGAAUGCCAUGAAUGAUGUUGAAUACCAGAUUCUUCAUGAUGCCAACAUUUUUCUCAUCAGAUGAGUUGUGGCCUUUGAUUGGACUCAUAGUCUUUGUGAGAAUGCGAUAGACUGUCCUUGGUACAUACUGCAAUUCCUUCACGAGGAAUUUUGUCCUUGAGGCUUGACCGGGUUUCAAUGGCUUCAUCAGCACUUGCAUAUAGUGAUCUGUAAGCUCAGGCUCUUGGUACAUGCAACGAGCUCCUUCAGGUGGAGGACUGAUGGGCAGGGUGUGAAGUAAUUCAGAGGCCGGUGCUUUGUAAUGAGUGUUUUCACUCAUCUAGUCCAAAACCCAGGAGUUCACAUCGUCAGGAUCUCCUGUGAUGUGCAAAGUUGCGUAGAAUUGAAGAAUGAGUUCUUCAUUCCAAUCAACUAUGUCUAUGCAAAAGUUGAGGAGGCAUGUGUCAUGUAGCACACUGAGGACAGGAGUGAAGCAUGGCAGUGAUUCCAUGUCCACAUGAGGAAUAUGCUCGUGGUUGAAGACUUUGUCCUUGUUGAAGAGCAGUGAAGAAUAGAAGUUGGCCUGGCUGGCGGUCCAGAAGCGCUUCCUUCUAAGACGAGCAGAAUCAUACGGAUUGUAGUCAGUGAAGAACACGUGCUCGCCGAAGAAAUCAUCAGCCUUGAAUUUCUGCUUGUUUGAGAAUGGAUCCUUUGGCUUGGGCUGAGGAGUGUGAGUCAAUUGCAUCACCACCUCAGGUUCCACAAUCUCAGGUUCCACAGGCUGAGAAAUUUCAGCUUCUUUUUCAGUGACAGCCUGGGUCUUCAAUUCUUCAUGUACAUUUUCUUCAGCACUAGUGGCUGGAAUUUCUUCAUGGACAGACGAUGUGGCAUGUGGUUCAUCAGAUCCCAUUUGAACUGUAGUUGCUGGGGACUGAGGAAUUUGUUGCAAUGGUGUGAAGAGUGGAGAGUUGGGGUGCUGACUUUCCCAAAACUCAUCAUUUAGCACAGGUGUGGUACAACCAAUGUCCACAUCUUCAUCUUCCAUUUCUUCAACGCCGGCCUCUUCAGCAGUAAACUGGGGCAUAGACGAGGAAACAACUGGAGUUGAAGGGAUUUCAUCCACUUAAAUUUCUUCAUCCAUCUGCUCUGACGUAGCAGCAGAAGAAUUUUCUUCAUCAGAUCCGCUAGGGAUCACAUAUUCUUCAUCAAAAGGGACGAUAUCCUUUGAUGGCAUGGUGGAAACAGGAACAUCAUCAAUUGGAUUUUCAAAUGAGCUGGUCAAUUUCUUCAUCUUCUUCGGAGCUGAAGAAUCUGAUGAAGCUGAUGCUUUCCUUUUCCUCACCGCAGUACGUUCUGCAGCCUUGGUCUUCUUCACAUCUGAAGCAGAUGGAAGGAUUGGAGUUGGGGUAGGCGCAGGAGGAGCAGAGGAAUGUGGUUGAUUUUCUUCAGGCACAACUAAUGCAGUUGCCCUAACCUCUUUAUUUUCUUCAGGCGCACCACUAGUGGAUGCCCUGGCAAUUUCAUCAGCGGCUGGAAUGCAGUCAUUAGCCCUGGAACUCACAUUUUCUUCAGCAGCCUGAAUGUCAUCAGCGGUGCUGGCAUGUUCUUUAGUCGGCUGAGCAGAAGCUUCAGCCUGAGGAAUUUCUUGUUGCGAUGGAGCUGCAACAUUUGGAGUGAAUUUUUCAGUCAGUUUUACAAACCUGACCUUGGCUCCUUGCCAAUCAGCAUAGUAAGCAUUGAAAUUAUCAUUGAGGACUUUGAUUUCAGACUGGAUCUUCACAAGUUCAUCAGUUGUCAUAGAGACAACAUUGUUCUUCAGGAAUUUCUUUUUCCUGUACUGCGCUUUCUUGAUCUGCCUGGCCUUCUCAUAUUUCCAUUUUUCUUCUUGGAUGAAAGCAGUCAGCAUAUGACUUUGGCCAGGACUCAACUUGAAAUCAGGCAUAGGAGUGUUUGGGUCCUUGUGCCAGAGGUCAAUGUAGUCGAGGAUCAGCUUUGGAUCCAAAAGCAGUGGCACAUUUGUGCCCUUGGCUCUAGCGGCCCUGACUUGCUUAUCUCUGAUGAUUUCGGCAAGUUCAUCAUCAUCAGCUUCGUCUUCUUCAGACGGUACUUGGAAGGCGACUUGCUUCUUGUGAGGACUUGGUCGAGAACCUCGUCCAGCAGUGGCCUUUGUCUUCAGCAGAGAGGGGCCAGUUGAAGAAUUCGGUGCAGCUGAGGAACUAGCAGAAGCUCCUGAGGCAAUAGAGAUGCCUGUCGUCCUUUGACACGUGGCAAGAUGCACAGGUGCUGAGGAUUUGAUCGGAGCAGCUGAGGACUUUGGAGGAGCAGGAGCAGCGUGAGGAAUUGGCCGUGAGGGCUUUGAGGAUUCUGGCCGUGAGGGCAUAGAAGAAGAAGCACUUGACUUGUGCGUAGGCUUCUUUGCCAUGGAUUUCUUCGGCUUGACAGAGGCCUCAGCGGCAGCAGCAGCAGCAGAGUCUUCAUUGAAUUUCCUCACUACUUCUUUUGCCUGUUUGGCCAACUUGGCCUGGCGCUUGGCCCAUUCAUCAGGAUAAUCCUCACCACGCUUGAGGCUGGUGGGAUCAGCUUCUUGGCUAGGUGCCAACGGAGGUCUUGGGCAUGGAGGAUUGAGUGCGAAUUUCUUCAUGUACUUGGGAGUCACAUACCUGUACUCCCUCCACUCUCUUGCCCAUCUCCUCUCUAUCUUCUGAAUGCGCACCUUACGCUGAUUUUUAUCUUCCUCAGGGGGUGUGCAGUACCCAGCAUAGAUGUCCUCAGGGAUUUCAAAUGCGGUGUUGACCUCAGGCCUCUUUCCUCCUUUCUGUGGCUUCUUUCCAUCAGCCAUUUUCUUCAGAUGAGGAAUUUGAACAAUUGAAUUCUCUGAAGAAGUAUGCAACUUUUCUUCGAGGAACACUGCAAAUGAGUUAAGUUGAUGAGAACCUAGAGAUUCAGCAGCGGACAUGAGUACCUGUGAAUAGAGUAUAGUUGCGAGGAAUUUGGAGAGGUCAUAUGCGUUCUCAGAAGGUUUUUUUUAAAAAGAACAAGUUUGAGGAAUUUGACCAGAUGAGUCUUGAAGAAUUUCACUAAGCGUUCUUUGUCUUAGGUUCCAGAGUUUUAUAGAUCGAAGAUCCACACAAUUGAGGAAUCUUGAAGAAAAAUUAAAGCUUAGAGAAAUGAAUCAAGAACCGAUGACAUGUGAGGUGUUUUGUGUGUGAGGAACUUGAAGAAUAAACACUUUUGAGGAUUUCGUAGAAGUCAUUUGAAUCAAGGAGGGCAGUAAAAGUAGCUUUUAAUUACCCUGGACGAAGAACACGACGAACUUUGAGGUAGAGAUGUGAAGUUUGUCUGUGCAGAUCUUCCAUGCCCUAACUCGGCGGAGGAAGACGGCUACGGCGGCGGCGGAGGGAAGAAAUCCGUGGCCGGCGCGAGUACGUCGGCAACGAGGUUGAGGCAGUGAAGCUCUUCCUCACCGGCGAUGAUGAAGUAGCGGCGACGCUAGGGUUUUGAGAAGCUCGAGCUGGAGAGAGGUCGAGCAGAGUAAAGGAAGUAAGGAAGGGGAGAAGGGGUAUUUAUAGCCACGGUGAAAAACUGUUCGCCCGAAGAUUUUGGACGAACGUGCCCCUAACCCUUCUCAUUCACUUGACAUUUUUCACCCACGUACUGAGAGGUGGCGAUCAUGUGAGAUCGUGGGUGAAUAGAUAAGUAUUAUCGUGGGAUGUGGAACGGUUUGAGCGGCAAAGCCGAAAAUUUGGAUAAGAUAAGUUUUAAAGUUUCGUUCGCAAAUUCUUCAGCUGACAAGGACACAGUGAAGAUUUUGAACGAGUUUCAAAUAGAACACACAUGAAGAAUUUGUGAAUAGAGUGGGUUGAGUAUAGCAUAGAGGGGGAAGGGUCCGAUCACAUUCACUUAGUAGAAAAACCAACUUGAAGAAUUAGCCAUAAGUGAAUGCUGUAGAGGACAUAAACUCAUAUAUAUAUAUAUAUAUAUAUAUAUAUAUAUAUAUAUAUAUAUAUAUAUAUAUAUAUAUAUAUAUAUAGCCAAUGAAGAAAAACGAUGGAAACAGUGAAGACAAUGCAAUGUUGAAGAAAAUGAACAACUGAGGAAUUUCAAAAACUGAGGAAAAACUCAAAUUGAAGAUUUUCAACUUUUGGUGGUGGCGUGACCCACCGUAUAAGAAUGAUGAUUUCAGACACCGCGUACAAUUGUCGUAGGGUUCUGAGAAUCAAAUUCUUCGUUAAUUUCUUCACACUUAGAGUGUUAUUCUUCAUUGAUUGAAGAAAAACGUUUCUUCAUGUGUUGCACAUCUAAGUCAUCAAUUUUGCAUAAGUGUCCUUUUCAAAGAACAUUCGAAGAUUCUAAGAUAUUUAGCUCACACCGCAACUUGCUAAAUCUCUUCUCAUCCAAGGGCUUUGUGAAGAUAUCGGCUAGCUGUUCUUCAGUCUUCACAUGCUCAAUAGAAAUGUCGCCCUUCAACACAUGAUCACGAAGAAAAUGAUGAUGAAUCUGAAUGUGCUUUGUCUUCGAGUGCUGAACUGGGUUGUGAGAAAUCUUGAUGGCACUCUUAUUGUCACAGUAGAGAGGCACAUUCUUCAUGUUGACGCCAUAGUCCUUGAGAAUUUGCUUCAUCCACAGCAAUUGAGCACAGCAAGAACCAGCAGCAAUGUACUCAGCUUCAGCAGUAGACAGUGAUACACAGUUCUGUUUCUUCGAGGACCAACAGACCAAAGAUCCUCCGAGGAAAUGACAUGUACCAGAUGUUGACUUGCGGUCCACACGAUCACCAGCAUAGUCAGAGUCAGAAUAUCCAAUGAGAUCAAAAGUCGAGCCCUUGGGGUACCAUAAUCCAAGUGUUGGUGUGUGAGCUAGAUAUCGAAGAAUAUGCUUCACAGCCUUAUGGUGUGAUUCCUUCGGUGUAGCUUGAAAUCGGGCACACAUGCAAACACUAAGCAUAAUAUCUGGCCUAGAUGCACGUAAAUACAAUAAAGAACCAAUCAUGGAGUGGUAUACCUUUUGAUCGAAGUCAAUACCAUUUUCAUCAGUGCACAGAUGGCCAUUUGUGGGCAUUGGAAUUUUGACGCCUUUGCAAUCUUGCAUGCCAAAUUUCCUCAGUACAUCCUUGAGGUAUUUCUCCUGAGAUAUGAAUAUGCCAUUGCGUUGUUGACGAAUUUGAAGACCUAAGAAGAAUUUCAAUUCUCCCAUCAUAGACAUUUGAUAUUCUUCACUCAUCAUAUAGGCAAAUUCAUCACUAUAACGUUGGUCAGUACAGCCAAAGAUAAUAUCAUCAACAUAUAUUUGGCACACAAACAAUUCAUCAUCAUAAGAUUUAGUGAAAAGAGUAGGGUCGAGUGAACCGGGUUUGAAGCCUUUCUUCAUGAGGAAUUCCUUCAAAGUAUCAUACCACGCCCGAGGGGCCUGCUUGAGGCCAUAGAGGGCCUUAUUGAGUCUGAAGACUUUGUCAGGAUGCUUUGGAUCUUCAAAACCUGGGGGUUGAGCAACAUAUACUUCUUCCUCAAGCUUACCAUUGAGGAAUGCACUUUUCACAUCCAUUUGAUAUAAAGUGAUAUCAUGAUGGUUAGCAUAAGCAAGUAAUAUGCGAAUAGCCUCAAGUCUAGCAACAGGUGCAAAAGUUUCAUCGAAAUAAAUUCCUUCAACCUGUGUGUAGCCUUGAUCUACAAGCCAUGCCUUAUUCAUCACCACAAGGCCAUUUUCAUAUUGCUUGUUGCGGUAGAUCCACUUUGUGCCAAUGAUAUUGUGCUUGCGAGGAUCUGGACGUUUGACCAGUUCACAGACGUUGUUGAGCUCGAAUUGAUGUAAUUCUUCUUGCAUGGCCUGAAUCCACUCAGACUCCAGAAAUGCUUCAUCUACCUUAGUGGGCUCUGUGAUAGAGACAAAAGCAUAGUGCCCACAAAAGUUAGAUAAAUGUGAAGCUUUUGAGCGUGUGAGAGGACCUGGUGCUUCAAUGUCAUCGAUGAUCUUUUCAACUUGCACUUCUUUUGCAACGCGAGGAUGAGCUGGUUGUCGUCGAGGAAUUUGAUCAGCAUUUUCUUCAGCACCAUUUUCUUCAGCAUUUUCUUCAGGUGCAUUAGCUCGACGUUCUUCACGUUCUGGAAUGAAUUUUUCAGCAGAUUCUUCGGUAGGAAUGACAUCCUUAGUAGCCUUGAACUUGAUAGUUUCCUCAGGUGCUGGUUCAUCUAUCACAGAGGGUAGGUGCUCUCUUUGCGAGCCAUUAGUUUCAUCGAACCACACAUCUACAGUUUCAACAACCUUGUGAAGAACGUUGUUGAAGACUCUGUAGGUGUGCGAGUCCUUUCCGUAACCAAGCAUAAAACCUUCAUGUGCUUUUGGUGCAAAUUUAGCAUUGUGAUGAGGAUCUCUAAUCCAACAUUUAGCACCGAAGACUUUCAAAUAACUCACAUUGGGUUUCUUGUCAGUGAGGAGUUCAUAGGCAGUCUUCUUGAAGAAUUUGUGAAGAUAUACCCUGUUGAUGAUGUGGCACGCAAUAUAAAUUGCCUCAAUCGAGAAACGACGAGGCGUUUUGUAUUCAUCGAGCAUAGUGCAAGCCAUCUCAACAAGAGUUCUGUUCUUGCGCUCCACGAUGCCAUUCUGUUGAGGAGUAUAAGGAGCAGAUAACUCAUGAGUAAUACCAAGUUCAUCAAGAUAGUCAUCAAGACCAGAAUUCUUGAACUCAGUUCCAUUGUCACUUCUGAUGUGCUUGAUCUUCACACCAAAGUUGGUUGAAGCCCUCGAGGAAAAUCGUUUGAAGACUUCCUGCACUUCGUGUUUGUAAGUAACAAUGUGUACCCAUGUGUAUCGAGAGUAAUCAUCAACAAUAACAAAGCCAUAUUGAGAUGCAUCAUUUGAAACUGCAGAAUAAUGGUUAGGACCGAAGAGAUCCAUGUGAAGCAAUUCAAAUGGUCGAGUGGUAGUCAUGAUAGUCUUCGCUGGAUGCUUAGCCUUUGUCAUCUUCCCAGCUUCACAGGCUCCGCAUAAGUUAUCCUUGAGGAAUUUGACAUUCUCAAUGCCAAUGACAUGCUUCUUCUUCGCAAGAGUGUGCAAAUUCCUCAUGCCUGCAUGACCAAGUCGUCGAUGCCAGAGCCAGCCUUCUGAAGCUUUUGCAAGUAGGCACACGGCUGGUUGUGGUCCUGUAGAGAAAUCAACAAUAUACAAGUCUCCUCUCCUAAAGCCUUCGAAGACUUUGGAAUUGUCAGCUUCCAUGAUCACAACACAACGAUACUUGCCAAAGACAACAACCAUAUCAAGAUCACAAAGCAUUGAGACAGACAUGAGGUUGUAUCCUAAGGACUCGACAAGCAUGACUUUGUCCAUGUGUCGAUCCUUUGAGAUCGCAACCUUACCUAGGCCCAAUACCUGACUUUUGCCUUUGUCAGCGAAGAUGAUAUGCUUCAGAUGCGAUGGAGAUAAGGGAGCAUCCAUCAAUAGGUCAUUGUCACUAGUCAUGUGAUUUGUACAUCCACUAUCAAGGACACACUCAGUGGCUUUGGGUUGAUCAUCCUGCAGAUGAAUUAGUGCAGCUUACGAACUCAUAUACUUCAUCAGUGAAGAAUAUGACAUCAAUUCAUCAAAUCAAUUUCAUCAAGUAAUAGAACAGAUAAAGCAGUAUGAGGACGUGAGAAAUGAAAGUUCAUUUCUUCAUGAUUAGCCUGCGUCCUUUCAGGCACUCUUCAGGUCUCCAGCAAAUUCUUCAAACGUUCAAGCACGUCUGGAGACCUAACCCUGCAGAAGAGAUUAGUUCUUUUUCUUCACCACCCACAUCUGAAGGGGUGGCAAAGAGUUCAUCACUCUGCAAGCUCCAUACGAGAAAGGUGGCAUAGAAGCCAAUCCAUUUCGUUUCACAUAAGAGGAGUUAGGGUAAGCAUAUGAAUAAGUAGAGAAAUUCUUCGAGGACUUAUGAACAUAAUGAUUAGAAGAAUAAUGCUCAUAUUCAUAGCCCUUAGCUCUUCCCUGCGAAACAGAGUUGUUAGCACGAUGAUGUUCAUAUGAGGACUUUGAUCCUUUUGAGGAAUGUGAUCCACGUGAGGAAUUUGAUCCGUAUGAGGACUUGGAUCCAUAUGAAGAAUUUGGUCCAUAUGAAGAAUUUGAUCUGGGGUUCCUAUUCUUCACAGGUGGUGUCAUGAGGACAUUCACCUGAAGACUUUCAAGGCACUUUUUGGGAACCCAGAUUUUCUUCAUAGGAGAACCGUUCCUGCAGUUAGUGCCAACAUAUCUAGCAAAUACUUCACCAUUCUGAUUUUUAAACAGUUUGUAGUUGGAGUCAAAUGACUCAUCAGAAGAUUGAGAAGAUUCACAUGUAAAGCCAGAUAAAUUAGAUGGAUCAACUGGAGGUCCCUUUGCAGCAACCCAUGAGGUUUUGGGGUACUGCUCAGGCUUCCAAUAUGUACCAUCAGCAUUGAGUUUCCUCUCAAAGGCAAUACCCUCUUUCCUAGGGUUCCUGUUGAGGAUCUGCUUUUUAAGCACAUCACAAAGAGUCUGAUGCCCUUUGAGGCUUUUGUACAUGCCUGUCAUGUACAAUUCCUUCAGCUCUGCAUCGUCAGUGAUACUAGCAAUGUCCUCAGAUGAGGAAUUAGUGAUAGCAGAGACAGUUGAAGAAUUUGUAGCAUUAGAAGCAUUUGAACAUUCAGGUGAAGAAUUAGCAGAUUCACGUUCAAUGCAUUUCAAACAUGGAGGAACAAAUUCUUCCUGAGCAACGCUGAUUUGUUGAGCAAGUAAUGAAUCGCGCUCCUUCUGAAGAUCUUCAUAACUCACUCUUAGCUUCUCAAGAUCUUGCUUUAUUUGAAGAAAUUCAGAAGAAAGCUUCUCAUGAUCAGAUAAGAGAGUGUUAUGAUGACCUUGAAGGUUGUCAAACCUAGUCUAAAGUCUCUGAAGAUUUUCAGUCAAGGUUUUAGUGCGAUCCAUUUCUUCACCCAACAUAUCAUCACUUUUAUCUAGCAUGUUUUGAACCUUUUCCAAGGCCUUUUGUUGUUUAGUGGCAAUACAAACAAGCUUGGUAUAGCUAGGUCCAAAAUCAUCAUCAGAUUCAUCAUCACUAGACUUGGAUGAGGAACAUUCGGUUACCUUGGCACCUUUUGCCAUGAGGCAUGGUGCAGAAGAUGAUGGUUCAGGUUCGAAAGUCAUCGUUUUGAGUGAUUCCUUGAAAUCCUCAAACCAGGGAUCAUGACAAGUUCGAUGACCUUCAUAGAUGUCAGAAAUUCGGUCCCAGAUAAGCUUCGCAUUGCAAAGAUGCAUAAUGCGCCUGAAUUCAUCUCUAGAUAGGCAGGAACAGAUGAUAUCCUUCGCCAUGAUGUCAAGUCGAGUGUACUUGCGAAUAUCAUCAGUGUCCGCCAUCUUGCAUAGAUCGGUAAGAUCAAUCUCAGUGAUGGUCCACAGCUCACUGUUCAUUGCCAUGAGGCGCUUCCUCAUCAUGGCCUUCCACUUGGGAUAAUCAUGACCGUCAAAGAUGGGCCAUGCCACUUUCUUCAUACCUGCAGACGACAUAACUAUAAAUCCAGGCGGUUAAACCAAAAUCACACAGAACAAGGGAGUACGUUGCUCUGAUACCAAUUGAAAGUGCAUUAUAUCGACUAGAGGGGGGGUGAAUAGGCGAUUUUUAUGAAUUCUUCACUGAGGAAUUUGCCAGUGAGGAAAUUCCUUAGCGAUGAACUACUUGCGGCGGAAUAAGUACUCAAAAGUAUGCAUAACAGAACACAAGCAUGGUCGUCAUGAUGAAAUGAAGACAAGCACAGAGUACAGAAAGCAUAAUCACAAGAUAACACAGGAUGAAGACAAACAGACUGAAGAAAUUGAACUGAGGAAAUUGAGAAAGUCUUCAGUCAAAGUCUUCAAACACAGAUAUGAACAAGUGCACAACACAGUUAUGGGGAAAUGAAAGAGUUGAGGAAAUAGAACCAGUUGGCUUGGUGAAGACAAUGAUUUGGUAGACCAGUUCCAACUGCUGUCUCAGUUGUACGUCUAGUUAGGGCGGCUAGGUAUUUAAACCUGAGGACACACAGUCCGGGACACCCAGUCCUGAACACGUAGUACAGGACACUUAGUCCUCACUGUAUUCCCCUUGAGCUAAGGUCACACAGACCUCGCCCAAUCACUCAUGGUAAGUCUUCAGGUGACUUCCGAACCUUCACAAACUCGGUCACUCGGCGAUCCACAAUUUCCUCUUGGAUGCUCUAGACCAUGACGCCUAACCGUCUGGAAGAAGCACAGUCUUCAAAGGUAACAAGCGUCGGAUCCAUGUAGGAUCAAUCUCUUCAGAGAUGCUCAAUCACUUUGGGUUUGUAGGUGUUCGGGUUUGGGUUUUUCCUCACUUGAUGAUUUUCGCUCAAAGUCCUCGGAGGAUGGGAUUCUCUCAAAUGACAAAUGUCAGUUUCUCUCGGAGCAGCCAACCAGCUAGUGGUUGUAGGGGGCGGCUAUUUAUAGCCUAGGGAGCAGCCCGACAUGGUAAGACAUAAAUGCCCUUCAAUGAUAUGACCGUUAGGUGGGAAGAUAUUUUGGGACAGCUGGCGCGUAGCACAGCAACGGUCGGAAUUUUGAGUGUCUAAUUCCUCAGGGCUAUCAUGUUCCUCAUAGUGUAGGCAAUCCGCACUGGCGAAUUCCUAACUCCUCAGUCAGAACAAAUUCCUCAGAGACGAGAAGAACUUCGUCUCUGUCACUGAAGAAUAUGACUGAACUGUAUGAGAUUUCCAAUGGCUUCACUCGAAGGGAUUGGUAGGUGUAGGAUUUUGAGUUUAGCAUCACUUGGUAAUUUUUCCUUAGUAUUUCCUCGACCCCCUUUAACAGUACGGUGUUUCCUAUGACUCAAGAAAGAGAAAAUGAAACUACGAAAACAAAAGUCUUCACGCUUCAUGUUCCUCAAAUGAAUACCAAGUCUUCAAGGUCACACCAAUUUCUUCACUUCCAAAGUCUUCAGAAAGUCUUCAGAAAUCCAAAGUCUUCAGUCGAAGAAUUUCAUUUUUAGGUGUCGACUUUCUCUGUAAAUAUCAAACUCCUCAUAGACUUAUAGACCUGUGUACACUCACAAAGGCAUUAGUCCCUUAACCUAUAAGUCUUCAAUACACCAAAAUCACUAAGGGGCACUAGAUGCACUUACAAGGUAAUAAUAUUGGGGGCACUUAUCUGACACGAAGCCCUCAAGUUCAGCGUUACGCACAUAUGCGUCAAAUUCCUCCUUAAUGCCCGCUUGGACCAUAAAAUCUUCCGACGGCCAUUCAAAAGGCCACACUUGAGCUUCUCUUGGUAGUUCAUAGUCCGGCUCACGUAUCGUGGGCCUGGGUCCUUGCUUGUUUGAGGAACCACCUUGGUACAUUUUCCUAAACAUAUUUCUUCCUUUGAAAAAUUUCUGAAAUUUUUAGUGACUCAAAAUAAAAGUGAACCAAACUCAACAAGAUUGAUAGCAACUACUCCCACAAGUGCCUAGAGACUAUAUCAUGCAUUAGAACUACUUGGGACCAAAUAAAUUUAACAUGCAAGCUCAAGAACAGGGUCACCUAAACAACAAAAAUUUGCAAUAAAUAAAGCACUAGAACAAAAACUAAUUGGACCAUUGGAGGAGUCACAUACCGAAGAAGAAUCCGCCAAAGCAGUUUUGUGAGUGGAGCUUUGAGCAAGGAGAUCAAAAAUGGCAGCAAGGUGAGCUAGAACACGGGUUUGAGCUAGGUGGUGAUUUUUUCUGGAGGAAGACGAAGUGUGUGGGUGCUGGAAUAAGUGGAGAGGGGCCACGUGGGGCCCACGAGGCAGGGGGCGCGCCCCAGGGGUGUGGGCGCGCCCUGGACCCUCGUGGCCAAAUGGUGGGUCUCCCUGGUGUGUUCUCAAUGGCAGAUAUUCUUAAAUAUUCUACAAAAUUUCAUAUUUCAUUUUCGGGACAUUUGGAGAACUUUUAUUUUCAGGGUAUUUUUAUUGCAAGGAUAAUUCAGAAAACAGACAGAAAAUACUAUUUUUGCUUUAUUUAGUCUAAAUAACAGAAAGUAAAAGGAGGGUACAGAAGGUUGUGCUUUCUAAUUUCAUCCGUCUCAUGCUCAUCAAGAGGAAUCCACUAACAAGGUUGAUCAAGUCUUGUUAACAAACUCAUUCUGAAUCGCAUGAAACUGGAGAAUUUUCGAAUAGCACUAGGUUACCUCAACGGGGAUAUGCACAUCCCCAACAAUAAGGAUAUCGUAUUUCUUCUUGAUAUUAGGAAGAGGAAAGUCAAAACCUCCAAUAGUAAUUGUUGAAGUUUUUCCAAUAGAAUUUAUACUGUGGAUUUGAGGUUGUUUCCUCCGAAAGUUUACCGUAUGCUCAUUACCAUUAACAUGGAAAGUGACAUUGCCUUUGUUGCAAUCAAUAACAGCCCCUGCAGUAUUCAAAAAGGGCCUACCAAGGAUAAUCGACAUACUAUCGUCCUGAGGAAUAUCAAGAAUAACAAAGUCCGUUAAAAUAGUAACGUUUGCAACCACAACAGGCACAUCCUCACAAAUACCGACAGGUAUAGCAGUUGAUUUAUCGGCCAUUUGCAAAGAUAUUUCAGUAGGUGUCAACUUAUUCAAAUCAAGUCUAUGAUAUAAAGAGAGAGGCAUAACACUAACACCGGCUCCAAGAUCACAUAAAGCAGUUUUAACAUAGUUUCUUUUAAUGGAGCACGGUAUAGUUGGUACUCCUGGAUCUCCAAGUUUCUUUGGUAUUCCACCCUUAAAAGUAUAAUUAGCAAGCAUGGUGGAAAUUUCAGCUUCCGGUAUCUUUCUUUUAUUUGUGACAAUAUCUUUCAUAUACUUGGCAUAAGGAUUCAUUUUAAGCAUAUCAGUCAACCGCAUACGUAAAAAGAUAGGUCUAGUCAUUUCAGCAAACGCUCAAAAUCCUCAUCAUCCUUUUUCUUGGAUGGUUUUGGAGGAAAGGGCAUGGGUUUCUGAACCCAUGGCUCUCUUUCUUUACCGUGCUUCCUAGCAACAAAGUCUCUCUUAUCAUAUCGUUGAUUCUUUGAUUGUGGGUUAUCAAGAUCAACGGCAGGUUCAAUCUCUACAUCAUUGUCAUUACUAGGUUGAGCAUCAAUAUGAACAUCAUCAUUAAUAUUAUCACUAGGUUCAUGUUCAUUACCAGAUUGUGUUUCAGCAUCAGAAAGAGAAAUAUCAUUGGGAUUCUCAGGUAUGUCGACAAUAGGUUCACUAGAAGCAUGUAAAGUGCUAUCAUAUUUCUUUUUCUUCUUCUUAGAAGGACUAGGUGCAUCAACAUUAGUUCUCUGAGAAUCUUGCUCAAUUCUCUUAGGGUGGCCCUCAGGAUACAAAGGUUCCUGAGUCAUUUUACCCCCUCUAGUCAUAACUCUAACAACAUUAUCAUUUUUCUUAUUAUUUAAUUCAUUGAGCAGAUCAUUUUGAGCUUUAAGCACUUGUUCUACUUGAGUGGUAACCAUAGAAGCAUGUUUACUAAUGAGUUUAAGUUCACCUUUAACUCUAGACAUAUGAUCACUCUAGUGUUCAAUCAUAUAAGCAUUACGUUGCAAUUGUCUACCAACAUAAGCAUUGAAGUUUUCUUGUUUAACCAUAAAGUCAUUAAACUCAUCCAAGCAUUGGCUAUCAAACUUAGUAGUCGGGAUUUCAGCUUUAUCAUAUCUAUAGUGAGAAUUUACCUUUACUACCUGUGUCCGGUUGUCAAGACCAUGUAUUUCUUAAAUAGGUGGUAAAUUCUUAACAUCUUCAGCUUUAAUACCCUUCUCUUUCAUAGAUUUCUUUGCCUCUUGCAUAUCUUCAGGACUGCGAAAUAGAAUACCCCUUUUCUUCGGAGUUGGCUUAGGAGUUGGUUCAGGAAGUGUCCAAUCAUUUUCAUUACUCAAAAUAUUAUUCAAUAGCAAUUCAGCUUGAUCAACAGUUCUUUCCCUAAAAACACAACCAGCACAACUAUCCAGCUGGUCUCUGGAAGCAUCGGUUAGUCCAUUAUAAAAGAUAUCAAGUAUUACAUUUUUCUUGAGAGGAUGAUCAGUCAAAGCAUUAAGUAAUCGAAGAAGCCUCCCCCAAGCUUGUGGGAGACUCUCUUCUUCAAUUUGCACAAAAUUAUAUAUUUCCCUUAAGGCAGCUUGUUUCUUAUGAGCGGGGAAAUAUUUAGUAGAGAAGUAAUAAAUCAUAUCUUGGGGACUACGCACACAACCAGGAUCAAGAGAAUUAAACCAUGUUUUAGCAUCACCCUUUAAUGAGAACGGAAAUAAUUUAAGGAUAUAGUAGUAGUGAGCUUUCUCAUCAUUAGUGAAUAGGGUGGCUAUAUCAUUUAAUUUAGUAAGAUGUGCCACAACAGUUUCAGAUUCAUAGCCAUAAAAAGGAUCAGAUUCAACCAAAGUAAUUAUCUCAGGAUCGACAGAGAAAUCAUAAUCCUUAUCGGAAAUACAGAUAGGUGAAGUAGCAAAAGCAGGGUCAUAUUUCAUUCUAGCAUUCGAAGAUUUUUCUUUCAGCUUAGCUAAUAAUUUCUUAAGAUCAUAUCUAUAAUUGCAAGCAAGAAAAUCUCUAGCAAUUUCUUCAUCCAUAACAUAACCCUCAGGCACAACAGGCAAUUCAUAUCUAGGGGGAGAAUCUUCAUCAUCACUUUCAUCAAUAUUAUCAGUUUCAAUAAUUUCAUUCUCUCUAGCCCUAGCAGGUUCUUCAUCAAGAAAUUCACCUAAUGGCACAGUAGUAUCAAGCAUAUAUAGAAGUAGUUUCAUCAUAAGUAUCAUGUAUAGUAGAAGUGGCUUCAUCAAUAACAUGCGACAUAAUUAAUAGCAGAAGCAGGUUUAGGCGUCGCAAGCUUACUCAAAACAGAAGGUGAGUCAAGUGCAGAGCUAGAUGGCAGUUCCUUAACUCCCCUCGUAGUUGAGGGAAAAAGCUUAGUUCUUUCGUCUUUCAAGUUCCUCAUAGUGAUCAACAGAUAUAAAUCCCAAGUGACUCAAAGAAUAGAGCUAUGCUCCCUGGCAACGGCGCCAGAAAAUAGUCUUGAUAACCCACAAGUAUAGGGGAUCGCAUCAGUUUUCGAGGGUAGAGUAUUCAACCCAAAUUUAUUGACUCAACACAAGGGGAGCCGACGAAUAUUCUCAAGUAUUAGCAGUUGAGUUGUCAAUUCAACCACACCUGGAUAACUUAAUAUCUGCAGCAAAGUAUUUAGUAGCAAAGUAGUAUGGAAGUAACGGUAAUAGUGGCAAAAGUAACAGUAGUAGUUUUGUAGUAAUUGUAAUAGUGGCAACGGUAAAGUAACUAAGCAAAGAGCAAUAUGUAAAAAGCUCGUAGGCAUUGGAUCGGUGAUGGAGAAUUAUGUCGGAUGCGAUUACUCAUGCAAUAGUUAUAACAUAGGGUGAGACAGAACUAGCUCCAGUUCAUCAAUGUAAUGUAGGCAUGUAUUCCGAAUAUAGUCAUACAUGCUUAUGGAAAAGAACUUGCAUGACAUCUUUUGUCCUACCCUCCCGUGGCAGCGGGGUCCUAUUGGAAACCAAGGGCUAUAAAGGCCUCCUUUUAAUGGAGUACCAGACCAAAGCAUUAACACUUAGUGAAUACAUGAAUUCCCCAAACUACGGUCAUCACCGGUAAGUAUCCCGAUUAUUGUCACUUCGGGGUUAACGGAUCAUAACACAUAAUAGGUGACUAUAGACUUGCAAGAUAGGAUCAAGAACUCACAUAUAUUCAUGAAAACAUAAUAGGUUCAGAUCUCAAAUCAUGGAACUCGGGCCCUAGUACAAGCAUUAAGCAUAGCAAAGUCAUAGCAACAUCAAUCUCAGAACAUAAUGGAUACUAGGGAUCAAACCCUAACAAAACUAACUCGAUUACAUGGUAAAUCUCAUCCAACCCAUCACCGUCCAGCAAGCCUACGAUGGAAUUACUCAUGCACGGCGGUGAGCAUCAUGAAAUUGGUGAUGGAGGAAGGUUGAUGAUGACGAUGGCGAUGGAUUCCCCUCUCCGGAGCCCCGAACGGACUCCAGAUCAGCCCUCCUGAGAGAGAUUAGGGCUUGGCGGCGGCUCCGUAUCGUAAAAUGCGAUGAAUCCUUCUCUCUAAUUUUUUCUCCCCGAACGUGAAUAUAUAGAGUUGGAGUUGAGGUCGGUGGAGCACCAGGGGGCCCACGAGGCAGGGGGGCGCCCCCCACCCUCGUGGACAGGGUGUGGGCCCCCUGGUCUUGAUUCCUUCGCCAAUAUUUUUAUAUAUUUCAGAAAUAUUCUCCGUGAAGUUUCAGGUCAUUCCGAGAACUUUCAUUUCUGCACAAAAAUAACACCAUGGCAAUUCUGCUGAAAACAACAUCUGUCCGGAUUAGUUCCAUUCAAAUCAUGCAAGUUAGAGUCCAAAACAAGGGCAAAAGUGUUUGGAAAAGUAGACACGAUGGAGACGUAUCAGGGUUCACCACCUCCAUUGGUGCAUCUGCGAUGAUGCGUCAGUAGUUCUUUGUAGACCUUCGAGUCCGUAGUUAGUAGCUAGAUGGCUUUCUCUCUCUCGCUGAAUUCUCAAUACAAUGGUCUCUUGGAGAUCCAUAUGAUGUAACUCUUUUGCGGUGUGUUUGUUGGGAUCUGACGAACUUUGACUUUAUGAUCAGUCAUAUCUUUUUAUAUCCAUGAAAGUUAUUUGAGUUUCUUUGAUCUCUUAUAUGCAUGAUCUCUUAUAGCCUCGUAUUUCUUCUCCGAUAUUGGGUUUUGUUUGGCCAACUUGAUCUACUUAUCUUGCAAUGGGAAGAGGUGCCCGGUAGUGGGUUCGAUCUUACGGUGCUUGAUCCCAGUGACAGAAGGUGAACCGACACGUAUGUAUCGUUGCUACUAAGGAUAAAAAUAUGAGAUCUAUAUCUACCGCCAUAUAGAUAAACGGAUCUUGUCUACAUCAUGUCAUCGUUCUUAUUGCAUUACUCUGUUUUUCCAUGAACUUAAUACACUAGAUGCAUGUUGGAUAGCGGUCGAUGUGUGGAGUAAUAGUAGUAGAUGUAGGCAGGAGUCGGUCUACUAAUCUUGGACGUGAUGCCUACGUAAUGAUCAUUGCCUGGAUAUCGUCAUAAUUAUUUUAAGUUCUAUCAAUUGCCCAACAGUAAUUUGUUUACGCACCGUUUCCUAUUUUUCUCGAGAGAAUCCACUAGUGAAACCUACGGCCCCCGGGUCUUAUUUCUCAUAUAUUUUCCUUGCGAUCUACUUUUCCUUUGCAUUUUUAUUCAGAUCUAUUAAACCUAAAAAUACAAAAAUACCUUGCUGCGUUUUAUCUUUAUUUAUUUUAUUUGGCGUUCGAUCUAUCAAUCUACUACAAUUUAUCUCACAUCCGCUUGCCAAUUUCUGGCGCCGUUACCCGAAAGGGAUUGACAACCCCUUCAAAACGUCGAGUUGCGAGGUGUUGUUAUUUGUGUGCAGGUGAUGUUUACGUUGUGUUGCUUGGUUCUCCUACUGGUUCGAUACCUUGGUCUCAUAACUGAGGGAAAUACUCUACCGUUGCUGUGCUACAUCAUCCCUCCCUCUUCGGGGAAAUACCGACGUAGUUCUAGCUGCCAUUGCAACCUCUUGAGCAUGCGUUAGUUUUCCCUCGAAGAGGAAAGGGUGAUGCAGCAAAGUAGCGUAAGUAUUUCCCUCAGUUUUUGAGAACCAAGGUAUCAAUCCAGUAGGAGACUACACGCAAAUCGCCUAGUACCUGCACAAACAAUCAAGAACCUUGCAACCAACGCAAUAAAGGGGUUGUCACUCCCUUCACGGCCACUUGCAAAAGUGAGAUCUGAUAAAGAUAAUAAGAUAUAUAUUUUGGUAUUUUUUGUAUAGAUUGAAAAGUAAAGAUUGCAAAAUAAACGGCGACAGAAGUAGCUAGUUGACGGGAAACUAAUAUGAUGUAAAAUAGACCCAGGGGCCAUAGGUUUCACUAGUGGCUUCUCUCAAGAUAGCAAAUAUUACGGUGGGUGAACAAAUUACUGCCGAGCAAUUGAUAGAAAAGUGCAUAGUUAUGAGAAUAUCUAGGCAUGAUCAUGAACAUAGGCAUCACGUCCGUGACAAGUAGACCGAAACGAUUCUGCAUCUACUACUAUUACUCCACACAUCAACCGCUAUCCAGCAUGCAUCUAGAGUUUUAAGUUCAUAAGAACAGAGUAACGCAUUAGGCAAGACGACAUGAUGUCGAGGGAUAAACUCAAGCAAUAUGAUAUAAACCCCAUCUUUUUAUCCUCGAUGGCAACAAUACAAUACAUGUCGGUUCCCUUUCUGUCACUGGGAUCGAGCAUCGCAAGAUUGAACCCAAAGCUAAGCACUUCUCCCAUUGCAAGAAAGAUCAAUCUAGUAGGCCAAACUAAACCGAUAAUUCGAAGAGACUUGCAAAGAUAUUAAAUCAUGCAUAUAAGAAUUCAGAGAAGAAUCAAAUAUUGUUCAUAGAUAAUCUGGAUCAUAAACCCACAAUUCAUUGGAUCUCGACAAACACACCACCAAAAGAAUUACAUGGAAUAGAUCUCCAAGAAGAUCGAGGAGAACUUUGUACUGAGAUCCAAAGAGAGAGAAGAAGCCAUCUAGCUGAUAACUAUGGACCCGAAGGUCUGUGGAAAACUACUCACACAUCAUCGGAGAGGCUAUGGUGUUGAUGUAGAAGCCCUCCGUGAUUGAAUCCCCCUCCGGCAGAUUGCCGGAAAAGGCCCCAAUAUGGGAUCUCACGGGUACAGAAGGUUGCGGUGGUGGAAAAGUGGUUUCGUGGGUCCCCUGGAUGUUUUCACGGUAUAAGAGUAUAUAUAGGCGAAAUAAGUAGGUCGGUGGAGCUACGAGGGGCCCACGAGGGUGGGGGCGCGCCUACCCCCUGGGUGUGCCCUCCUGCCUCGUGGCUGCCUCGUUGCUUCCUUGACUUCCACUUAAGUCUGCUGGAUUGCGCUUGUUCCAAAAAAGAUCCUCGCGAAGGUUUCGUUCCAUUUGGAUUCCGUUUGAUAUUCCUUUUCUGCGAAACACUGAAAUAGGCAAAAAAACAAUUUGCACUGGGCCUUCGGUUAAUAGAUUAGUCCCAAAAAUAAUAUAAAAGAGCAUAAUAAAGCCCAUUAAACAUGCACAACAGAUAAUAUAAUAGCAUGGAACAAUAAAAAUUAUAGAUACGUUGGAGACGUAUCAAGCAUCCCCAAGCUUAAUUCCUGCUCGUCCUCGAGUAGGUAAAUGAUAAAAACAGAAUUUUUGAUGUGGAAUGCUACCUAACAUAAUUUUCAAUGUAAGUCUGUUUAUUGUGGCAUGAAUGUUUAGAUCCAAAAGAUUCUAGACAAAGUUUUAAUAUUGACAUAAAAAUAGUAAUACUUCAAGCAUGCUAACCAAGCAAUUAUGUCUUAUCAAAAUAAAAUAGCCAAAGAAAGCUUAUCCCUACAAAAUCAUAUAGUUUGGCCAUGCUUCAUUUUCGUCACACAAAAUGCUCCCAUCAUGCACAACCCCGAUGACAACCCGAGCAAUUGGUUCAUACUUUUUAACGCGCUUCAGCUUUUUCAACCCUCACGCAAUACAUGAGCGCAAGCCAUGGACAUAACACUAUGGGUGGAAUAGCAUAUGAUGAUGGGGGUUAUGUGAGAAGACAAAAAAGGAGAAAGUCUCACAUUGGAGCGGCUAAUCAACGGGCUAUGGAGAUGCCCAUCAAUUGAUGUCAAUGCGAGGAGUAGGGAUUGCCAUGCAACGGAUGCACUAGAGCUAUAAAUAUAUGAAAGCUCAUCAAAAGAAACUAAGUGGGUGUGCAUCCAACUUGCUUGCUCACGAAGACCUAGGGCAUUUUGAGGAAGCCCAUCAUUGGAAUAUACAAGCCAAGUUCUAUAAUGAAAAAUUCCCACUAGUAUAUGAAAGUGACAAAAUAAGAAACUCUCUAUCAUGAAGAUCAUGGUGCUAUUUGGAAGCACAAGUGUGGAAAAAGGAUAGUAACAUUGUCCCUUCUCUCUCUUUUAUUAUUAUUUUUGUUUGGGCUUCUUUGGCCUCUUUUUUUAUUUGGGCUUCUUUGGCCUCUCUUUUUUUUCGUCCGGAGUCUCAUCCCGACUUGUGGGGGAAUCAUAGUCUCCAUCAUCCUUUCCUCACAUGGACAAUGCUCUAAUAAUGAAAAUCAUCACACUUCUAUUUAUUUACAACUCAAGAAUUACAACUCCAUACUUAGAACAAAAUAUGACUCUAUGUGAAUGCCUCCGGCGGUGUACCGGGAUAUGCAAUGAAUCAAGAGCGACAUGUAUGAAAGAAUUAUAAAGGUGGCUUUGCCACAACUACGAUGUCAACUACAUGAUCAUGCAAAGAAAUAUGACAAUGAUGGAGCGUGUCAUAAUAAAUGGAACAGUGGAAAGUUGCAUGGCAAUAUAUCUCAGAAUGGCUAUGGAAAUGCCAUGAUAGGCAGGUAUGGUGGUUGUUUUGAGGAAGAUAUAAGGAGGCUUAUGUGUGAUAGAGCAUAUCGUAUCACGGGGUUUGGAUGCACCGGCGAAGUUUACACCAACUCUCGAGGUGAGAAAGGGCAAUGCACGGUACCGUAGAGGCUAGCAAAUUGCGAAAAGGUAAGACUGCUUAUAAUCCAUGGACUCACAUUAGUCAUAAAGAACUCAUAUACUUAUCGCAAAAGUUUAUUAGCCCUCGAAGAAAAGUACUACUAUGCAUGCCCCUAGGGGGAUAGAUUGGUAGGAAAAGACCAUCACUCGUCCUCGACCGCCACUCAUAAGGAAAGCAAUCAAAGAACACCCCAUGCUUCAAAUUUGUCACACAACGUUUACCAUACGUGCAUGCUACGGGACUUGCAAUCCUCAACACAAGUAUUUGUCAAUUCCACAAUUAUCCAACUAGCAUGACUCUCGACAAUUACCCAACUAGCAUGAUUCUAACAUUACCACCUUUAUAUCUCAAAACAACUAUCAAGUAUCAAAUUUAUCAUAGUAUUUAAUGCACUCUAUAUGAAAGUUUUUAUUAUACCCAUCUUGGAUGCCUAUCAUAUUAGGACUAAUUUUAGAGCCAAAGGAAAUUACCAUGCUGUUCUAAAGGAAUCUCAAAAUACUAUAAGUGAAGCAUGAGAGAUCAAUAAUUUCUAUAAAAUAAAACCACCACCGUGCUCUAAAAAGGUAUAAGUGAAGCACUAGAGCAAAAUUUAUCUAGCUCAAAAGAUAUAAGUGAAGCACAAAGAGUAUUCUAAUAAAUUCCGAUUCAUGUGUGUCUCUCCCAAAAGGUGUGUACAGAAAGGAUGAUUGUGGUAAACUAAAAAGCAAAGACUCAAAUCAUACAAGACGCUCCAAGCAAAACACAUAUCAUGUGGUGAAUAAAAAUAUAGCCUCGAGUAAAGUUACCGAUAGACGAAGACGAAAGAGGGGAUGCCUUCCGGGGCAUCCCCAAGCUUAGGCUUUUGGUUGUCCUUGAAUUUUUCCUUGUGGUGCCUUGGGAAUCCCCAAGCUUAGGCUCUUGCCACUCCUUAUUCUAUAAUCCAUCAAAUCGUUACCCAAAAACUUGAAAACUUCACAACACAAAACUUAAACAGAAAAUCUCAUGAGCUCCGUUAGUGUAAGAAAACAAACCACCACCAUAAGGUAUUGUAAUGAACUCAUUCUUUAUUUAUAUUGGUGUUAAACCUACUGUAUUCCAACUUCUCUAUGGUUCAUACCCCCCGAUACUAGCCAUAGAUUCAUCAAAAUAAGCAAACAACACACGAAAAACAGAAUCUGUCAAAAUAAGAACAGUCUGUAGCAAUCUGGUUUGUUCGAGUACUUCUGGAACUCCAAAAAUUCUGAAAACCUAGGACAACCUGGAUAAUUUGUAUAUUGACCUACUGCAAAAAAAAUUAGUAUUUGAUCACAUUCUGGUGAAUUUUAACAAUUAUAUUAGUGAGCACAAAGUUUUUGUCUUUUCCAGCAAGAUCAAACAACUAUCACCCAAGAAGAUCCUAUUGGUUCUACUUGGCACAAACACGAAUUAAAACAUAAAACCACAUCUAAAAAGAAGAAAGAUGAAUUAUUUAUUACUAAACAGAAACAAAAAGCAAGGAACAAAAAUAAAAUUGGGUUGCCUCCCAACAAGCGCUAUUGUUUAACGCCCCUAGCUAGGCAUAAAAACAAGAAUAGAUCUAGGUAUUGUCAUCUUUGGUAUGCAAUCCAUAAGUGGCUCUAAUAAUAGAUUCAUAAGGUAAUUUAAUUUUCUUCCCAGGAAAGUGUUCCAUGCCUUUCCUUAACAGGAAUUGGAAUCUAAUAUUUCCUUCUUUCAUAUCAAUAAUUGCACCAAUCGUUCUAAGGAAAGGUCUACCAAGAAUAAUAGGACAUGUAGGAUUGCAAUCUAUAUCAAGAACUAUAAAAUCUACGGGCACAUAAUACCUAUUUGCAAUAAUAAGAACAUCAUUAAUCCUUCCCAUAGGUUUCUUAAUGGUGGAAUCUGCAAGAUGCAAAUUUAAAUAACAAUCAUCAAAUUCACGGAAACCUAGCACAUCACAAAAAGUUUUGGGAAUCAUGGAAACAGUAGCACCCAAAUCACAUAAAGCAUAGCAUUCAUGAUUUUAAUCUUAAUUCUAAUAGUAGGUUCCCACUCAUCAUAAAGUUUUCUAGGGAUAGAAACUUCCAAUUCAAGCUUUUCUUCAUAGGAUUGCAUUAAAGCAUCAACGAUAUGUUUGGUAAAAACUUUAUUUGAUUAUAAGAAUGAGGAGAAUUUAACACGGAUUGCAACAAGGAAAUACAAUCUAUCAAAGAACAAGUAUCAUAAUUAAAUUCCUUGAAAUCCAAAAUAGUGGGUUCAUUACUAUGUAAAGUUUUGACCUCUUCAAUCCCACUUUUACCAAUUUUUGCAUCAAGAUCUAAAAACUCCGAAUCAUUGGGACGCCUUUUAACUAAAGUUGACUCAUCUCCAGUCCCAUCUUUAUGAAGGUUCAUAUUGGAAAUAAAGAUUUAAUAGGAGACACAUCAAUUACUUUUAGAUCUUCAUCAUUAUUGUCAUGAAAAUUAGAAGAACACACUUUCACAAAGCAAUCUUUUUUAGCACGCAUCCUAGCGGUUCUUUAUUUGCACUCAUCAAUGGAAAUUAUCAUGGCUUUGAGAGACUCAUUGAUAUCAUGCUUAGGUGGAAUAUAUCUAAGUUUCAAAGAAUCAACAUCAAGAGAAAUUCUAUCCACGUUCCUAGCCAACUCAUCAAUCUUAGGCAAUUUUUCUUCAAGCAAAGCAUUGAAAUUCUUUUGCGAAUUCAUAAAAUCUUUAACACUAGUCUCAAAAUCAGAGGGCAUCUUAUUAAAAUAUCCAUAAGAGUUGUUGUAGGAAUUACCAUAAUUAUUAGAGGAAUGACUAGGGAACGACCUAGAAUUAAAAUUUCCUCUAUACGCGUUGUUACCAAAAUUGUUCCUACCAACAACAUUCACAUCCAUAGGUUCAUUAUUAUUCUCAAUCAAAGUAGACAAAGGCAUAUCAUUAGGAUCAGAAGAAUCACCCUUAUUAGCAAACAGUUUCAUAAGUUCAUCCAUCUUUCCACUCAAAACAUUAAUCUCUUCUAUUGCAUGAUCUUUUUUACUAGUAGAUCUUUCGGCAUGACAUUGAGAAUAAUUAACCAUAAUAUUAUCUAGGAGUUUAGUAGCUUCUCCUAAAGUGAUUUCAAUAAAAGUGCCUCCCGCGGCCGAAUCUAAAAGAUUUCUAGAAGUAAAUUUCAUCCGACAUAAUUUGUUUGUAUAAUCAUCCAUAAAUUGAAACCAUGUGUAGGGGAAUUACGUAUCAUUAAUUUCAUCCUCUCCCAGGCUUGUGCAACAUGCUCAUGAUCAAGUUGCUUAUUAUUCAUAAUAUUGUUUCUAAGAGAGAUGAUCUUAGCGGGAGGAAAAUACUUAGAGAUAAAAGCAUCUUUGCACUUAUUCCAUGAAUCAAUACUAUUUUUAGGCAAAGAAGAGAACCAAGUUUUAGCACGAUCUCUAAGAGAAAACGUAAAUAGCUUCAAUUUAACAAUAUCAUUAUCCACAUCUUUCUUCUUUUGCAUAUCACACAAAUCAACAAAGUUGUUUAGAUGGGUAGCGACAUCUUCACUAGGAAGGACAGAAAAUUGAUCUUUCAUGACAAGAUUCAACAAAGCAACAAUAAUUUCACAAGAUUCAGCAUCGGUAAUAGGAGCAAUCGAAGUGCUAAUAAAAUCAUUGUUGUUGGUAUUGGAAAAAGUCACACAAUUUAGUAUUGUCUUGAGCCAUCGUGACAAACAAUCAAUCCAACACAAGCAAACAAGAAGCAAGCGGACGGAAAAAGGGCGAAUAAAACGGCAAAGGUGAAGUGGGGGAGAGGAAAACGAGAGGCAAAUGGCAAAUAAUGUAAUGCGAGGGAGAAGAGUUUUGUGAUGGGUACUUGGUAUGUCUUGACUUGAGCGUAGAUCUCCCCGGCAACAGUGCCAGAAAUCCUUCUUGCUACCUCUUGAGCAUGCAUUGGUUUUCCCUUGAAGAGGAAAGGGUGAUGCAGCAAAGUAGCGUAAGUAUUUCCCUCAGUUUUUGAGAACCAAGGUAUCAAUCCAGUAGGACACUACACGCAAAUCGCCUAGUACCUGCACAAACAAUGAAGAACCUUGCAACCAACAUGAUAAAGGGAUUGUCAAUCCCUUCACGGCCACUUGCAAAAGUGAGACCUGAUAAAGAUAAUAACAUGAAUAUUUUUGGUAUUUUUGUUGUACAGAUUGAAAAUUAAAGAUUGCAAAAUAAACGGCGACAGAAAUAGCUAGUUUACGGGAAACUAAUAUGAUGUAAAGUAGACCCGGGGGCCAUAGGUUUCACUAGUGGCUUCUCUCAAGAUAGCAAAUAUUACGGUGGGUGAACAAAUUACAGCCGAUCAAUUGAUAGAAAAGUGCAUAGUUAUGAGAAUAUCUAGGCAUGAUCAUGAACAUUGGCAUCACGUCCGUGACAAGUAGACCGAAACGAUUCUGCAUCUACUACUAUUACUCCACACAUCGACUGUUAUCCAGCAUGCAUCUAGAGUAUAAAGUUCAUAAGAAUAGAGUAACACAUUAGGCAAGAUGACAUGAUGUAGAGGGAUAAACUCAAGCAAUAUGAUAUAAACCCCAUCUUUUUAUCCUCAAUGGCAACAAUACAAUACGUGUUGGUUCCCUUUCUGUCACUGGGAUCGAGCACCGCAAGAUUGAACCCAAAGCUAAGCACUUCUCCCGUUGCAAGAAAGAUCAAUCAAGUAGGCCAUACUAAACCAAUAAUUCAAAGAGACUUGCAAAGAUAUUAAAUCAUGCAUAUAAGAAUUCAUAGAAGAAUUAAAUAUUGUUCAUAGAUAAUCUGGAUCAUAAACCCACAAUUCAUUGGAUCUCGACAAACACACCGCAAAAAGAAUUACAUCGAAUAGAUCUCCAAGAAGAUCGAGGAGAACUUUGUAUGGAGAUCCAAAGAGAGAGAAGUAGCCAUCUAGCUAAUAACUCUGGACCCGAAGGUUUGUGGUAAACUACUCACACAUCAUCGGAGAGGCUAUGGUGUUGAUGUAGAAGCCCUCUGUGAUUGAAUCCCCCUCCGGCAGAUCGCCGGAAAAGGCCCCAAGAUGGGAUCUCACGGGUACAGAAGUUUGCGGCGGUGGAAAAGUGGUUUCGUGGCUCCCCUGGAUGUUUUCAGGGAAUAAGAGUAUAUAUAGGCGAAAGAAGUAGGUCUGUGGAGCUACGAGGGGCCCACGAGGGUGGGGGGCGCGCCUACCACCCUGGGCGCACCCUCCUGCCUCGUGGCUGCCUCGUUACUUCCUUGUCUUCCACUCCAAGUCUCCUGGAUUGCGUUUGUUCCAAAAUAGAUCCGCGCGAAGGUUUCAUUCCGUUUGAUUCCGUUUGAUAUUCCUUUUCUGCGAAACACUGAAAUAGGCAAAAAACAACAAUUUGCACUGGGCCUUCAGUUAAUAGGUUAGUCCCAAAAAUAAUAAAAGACAUAAUAAAGCCCAUUAAACAUCCAAAACAGAUAAUAUAAUAGAAUGGAACAAUAAAAAAUUAUAGAUACGUUGGAGACGUAUGAGCCAUCAAGGAGGAUUUCUGGUGCCGUUGCCGGGGAGGAUCUUCAACAUAACCAGGUUCCUAAUCACAAAUGUCAUCUCCUUGCAAUUUACAUUAUUUGCCAUUUGCCUCUCAUUUUCCUCUCCCCCACUUCAGAAAAAUUUACCGUUUUAUUCGCCUCUCUUUUUCCGUUCGCCGUUUUCUUGCCGAAUCUGUUUUUAAGUGCAUCUUGUUGUGUGGUCAUCAUGACUCAAGAGAACACCAAGUUAUGUGAUUUCUCAAAUACCAACAACAAUGAUUUUAUUGUCACUCCGCUUGAUCCUCCCGCCACUAGUGCGGAGACUUGUGAUAUUAAUACUGCUUUGCUGAAUCUUGUUACGAAAGACCAAUUUUCUGGUACUCCUAAUGAGGAUGCCGCGUCCCAUCUUAAUACCUUCGUGGAAUUAUGUGAUAUGCAAAAUAAAAAAGAUGUGCACAAUGAUGUGGCCAAGAUGAAAUUAUUUCCGUUCUCUUUGCGUGAUUCUACAAAAAUUUGGUUCUCUUCUUUGCCUCGCAAUAGUAUCGAUUCUUGGAAUAAGUGCAAAGAUGCUUUUAUCACUAAGUAUUUUCCUCCUGCAAAAAUUAUUUCCCUUAGAACCCAGAUCAUGAAUUUCAAGCAACUUGAACAUGAGCAUUCUGCACAAUCUUGGGAAAGGAUGAAAAUGAUGCUAAGGAAUUGCCUAACUCAUGGGUUAAAUCUUUGGAUGAUCAUACAAAUUUUUUAUGCGGGGUUGAAUUUUGUUUCUCGUAAUCUUUUAGAUUCCGCCACGGGUGGAACUUUUAUGGGAAUUACUUUGGGUGAAGCCACCAAAUUGCUUGAUAAUAUUAUGGCAAAUUAUUCACAAUGGCAUACCGAAAGAGCUCCUACUAGUAAAAAGUUAAUUCGGUUGAAGAAAUUUCUUCUUUGAGUGAUAAAGUUGAUGCUCUUAUGAAAUUAGUUGCUAGUAAAAGUGCUCCUAUUGAUCUUAAUGAUAUGCCUUUUUCUACUUUGAUUGAGCAAAAUAGUGCUGCCAUUGAUGUGAAUUUUAUCUCUAGAAAUAAUUUCGACAACAAUGCUUAUAGAGGAAAUUUAAUCCUAGGCAUUUUCCUAGGAAUUCCUCAGCAAUUCUGGUAAUUCCUAUGGAAAUCAAUCUUAUAAUAAUAGUAACACCUUUGAUUUGGAGAAUAAUAUUAAAGAAUUUAUCAAUACACAAAAAGUUUUCAACACUUCCAUAGAAGAAAAGUUGAAUAAGAUUGAUGAUUUGUCUAGAAGUGUUGAUAGAAUUGCUCAUGAUGUGGAAAAUCUCAAGAUGAAAAUUUUUGUGCCUAAGUAGAUGAAUCAAUUAAAGCUCUUUAUGUUUCUAUGGAUGAAAGUUAGAAAAGAACUGCUAUGCUUAGAGCUAAAAGAGAAUUUUUAGAAAAAGCUUUUUCUAGUGAUUAUUCUUGCAAAAAUGAUGAAGAUCUUAAAAUGAUUGGUGUUUCUUCUAUUGAUUCCUUGUUUAGUAAAGUUAAGAUUGAUGAAAAAGGGACCGGAGAAGAGCCAACUUUAGGUAGAAUGCGUCCCAAUAUUUCGGAGGGUGAAAAUCUUGUUGAGAAAAUUGAUGAAAGUGGGUUUGGAGAGGUCAAAACUUUAGCUAGUGAUGCACCCACUAUUUUGGAUUACAAAGACUUUAAUUAUGAUAGUUGCUCUUUGAUUGAUUGUAUUUUUUUUCAAUCCAUGCUAAAUUCACCCCAUGCUUAUGAACAAAACAAAGCUUUUACUAAACAUAUUGUUGAUGCUAUGAUGAAAGCUUUGGAAGAAAAAAAUGGAAUUAGAAGUUUCAAUUCCUAGAAAAUUGUAUGAUGAGUGGGAACCUAGUAUCAAAGUCAAGAUUAAAAAUUACGAAUGUUUUGCUUUGUGUGACUUGGGUGCUAGUGUUUCUACAAUUCCGAAAUCUUUAUGUGAUGUGCUUGGUCUUACCAAUCUUGAAGAAUGUUCCUUGAAUUUGCACUUGGUGGAUUCUACUAUUAAAAAGCCUAUGGGAAGAAUUAAUGAUGUUCUUAUUAUUUCAAGUAGGAACUAUGUGCCCAUAGAUUUUAUUGUUCUUGAUAUUUAUUGCAAUCCGUCUUGUCCAAUUAUUCUUGGUAGACCGUUUUUAUGCACUAUCGGUGCCGUAAUUGAUAUGAAAGAAGGCAAUAUUAAGUUCCAAUUUCCUUUAAGGAAAGGUAUGGGACACUUCCUAGAAUGAAAGUAAGGCCACCUUAUGAAUCAAUCAUGAGGGCGUCUUAUGGAUCUCGAACCAAAGGUGACAAAACUUAGAUCCUUGCCUUACGCCUAGCUAAGGGCGUAAAACUAUAGCGCUUGUUGGGAGGCAACCCAAUGAAUAAAAUUUAUUUUUGCUUUUUGCUUUCUGUUCUUGUGAGUUAGCACAAUUAUUCUACUAUUAUGAUUGUGUUUUUAUGUUUUAAUUAGUGUUUGUGCCAAGUAAAGCCUUUAGGAUCCUCUUGGGUGAUAGUUGUUUGAUCUUGCUGAAAAAGACAGAAACUUCACGCUCACGAAAAUACUUUUCAUAAACCACAGAAAAGAGAUCUUGCUCUGAUUAUUUUUGCAGAAGAUUAAUAUACAAAUUACCCUGGUCGUCCUAAUUUGGUAGAAUUUUUGGAGUUCCCGAAGUAUUUGCAAAAGUCAGAUUACUACAGGCUGUUCUGUUUUGACAGAUUCUGUUUUCUUUGUGUUGUGUGCUUAUUUUGAUGGCUCUAUGGUUUUCUUUGAGGAGUUUUUGCCAUAGAAAAGUUGGAAUACAGUAGAUAUAAUACAAAAACAAAAUAUGAAUUGGUUUGAUACAUCACUUAUAGUAGUGAUUUAUUUUUCUUACACUAACGGAUCUCACGAAGGUUUUGCUGAGUUUUGUGUGAUUGAAGUUUUCAAGUUUUGGGUUAUCUUACGAUGGAUGAAGGAAGGAUGUAAGAGCCUAAGCUUGGGGAUACCUCGAAAUCCCAAGCUAUUAUCCAAGUAUGAGCAACCAACUAAGCUUGGGGAUGCCCCCGAGUGGCAUCCCCGCUUUCUUCCAACAACUAUCGGUAUUUUACUCGGGACUACAUUUUUAUUCGUCACAUGAUAUGUGUUUUGCUUGGAGCGUCUUGUAUGAUAUGUGUAUUAGCUUGUUUUAUUUUGUGUUUUAAGUCAUCAAUCCUAGAUGGACACACCUAUUUGAGAGAGCUAAAAUUAUAUCAUGACUUGUUAGAAUUGCUCUCUAUGCUUCACUUAAAUCUUUUAUGAGCUAGGACUUGCUCUAGUGCUUCACUUAUAUAUUUUUGAGCAAGGUGUGCUUUGUUAUUUUUGAAGAAAUGCUCUCUUGCUUCACUUAGAUUUGUUUGAGAGUUAGUAAAAUUUUGAAGAAAUUCUCUCUUGCUUCACUUAAAUUAUUUUGAGAGAAAGAAAAUUUGUUAUGCUCAUGAUCUUCACUUAUAUUUGUUUGAGCUUAUGAAAAGCAACACAUGAAAAUUGGUGCCAAAGUGAUAGAUAUCCAAGAAGGAUAAAGAAAAAGAAAAUGUCAUGAAGAUCAUUGGACAAAAUAAACUUGAUUCUUAGCAAUAGUUUUGAGAUAUGAUGAUGUGAUAUGUGAGUUAUGUUGAUGAUUAAUUGUGCUCUAGUAAGAAUAUUGAUGUUAUGGUUUGUAAUUCCCUAUGCAUGCAGGAAAGUCAAUAAUCAUGCAAUGAAAAUUAUAUCCUACUUGUGGUGCAUUAUUCGGUGUUAAUUAUGCUUAAUUCUUGCCUAUGAGAUUAUUCGUUUCUUGGGCUUCUCAAUCUUUUUGCUAGCCUUCAUUUUGCACGAAGUAUGACCUCUACUUGUGCAUCCAAAAUCCUUUAAACCAGUUUUGCCACAUGAGUCCACUCUAUCUACCUAUAUGCGGUAUUCCUUUGCCGUUCUAAGCAAAUUUGCAUGUGCCAUUUCUAAUUUUCAAAAUAAACUUCUCUUUUGUGUGUUUGUUUCACUCGCGGAACGGUAACGGGUGGCUAAUAUUUUCCAUGCUGGAUGUGUUAUUCUCAAGAUGAGUCUUUAUUCACUUGUCAUUGCACGAGAGUAAGGCAAAGGUUUUAGGGAUGCCCAGUCCCGAAAUGCAAAAAAAAGAUUUACUUUAUGUUGUCAAAUAAUAAAUUCCUUGGAAAGUGUUGGUAUGGAGGGCACCCAUGGAUACGGUUAGCCAUGGAAAGUGAAAGUAAUGGUGGAAAAAGGAAUAAACUUUAUUUUAUGUUUGGGAACCACUUAUGGCAUAUCUAGCAUGGAAAGUGUUUGGAACUCUGAGUCGUUUUCGUUGGUGGGAUGGAUACACCUCCCAAAAUGUUUUUACCUCUAAUUUUUUCGCUUUGAGCUCUGGCACCUCUACAAAUCCCUAGCUCCCUCUGCGAAGGGCAUUUCUUGUACUUUAUGCAAUUUUUAUUUUUGAAAUUUGAGUCUCCAUCUUCUCUUACAAAAGCACCAACUAGGAGGCAAUAUGAUCGUGCUCAAGUAUUGGGUGUAGUUAAUAUUCGAGUGUCAUGAAUGGAUCAAUGUUUGAGCAUGAUGGGCUAGGGAUAGCUUGUUUUAGCAUUGAUAUUUUGAAAGACAUGGUUGCUUGUUGAUAUGCUUGAGUAUCUAAAUUAUUAUGUCAAAACUAGCUAUUGCUUUGAAUCACAUAAAAGUCCAAAUGUCCAUGCUAUAAAGAAAAGAAUAUGAUAUGACUUGAUAAACAACACUCCACAUAAAAAAAUCUGUUUUUAUCACUUACCUACUCGAGGACUAGUAGGAGUUAAGCUUGGGGAUGCUGAUACGUCUCCAACGUAUCUAUAAUUUUUGAUUGUUCCAUGUUGUUUUAUUAUCAAUCUUGGAUGUUUUAUAAUCAUUUUAUAUCAUUUUUUGGUACUAACCUAUUGCCAUAGUGCCAAGUUCCAGUUGCUUUUUUUCCAUGUCUUUUACAUCGCAGAAAAUCAAUAUCAAACGGAGUCCAAAUGCCACGAAACUCCACGGUGAUUUUUUAUGGGCCAGAAGAAAGGCAAUGGGCCCUGGUUGCACCUGGGGGUGCCUUGAAGGGGGCACAACCUACCAGGGCGCGCCUGCCCAGGCGCGCCCUGGUGGGUUGUGCCCACCUCGGGUGCCCCCCGGACCGCCUCUUUGCUCUAUAAAUACCCAAAUAUUCCAGAAACCCUAGGGGAGUCGACGAAAUCUUCAUCCAGCCACCGCAGAGUCCAAAACCACCAGAUCUAAUCUAGACACCAUCUCGGAUGGGGUCCACCACCUCCAUUGGUGCCUCUCCGAUGAUGCGUGAGUAGUUCUUUGUAGACCUUCGGGUCCGUAGUUAGUAUCUAGAUGGCUUUCUCUCUCUCUCUCUCACUGAAUUCUCAAUACAAUGUUCUCUUGGAGAUCCAUAUGAUGUAGCUCUUUUGCAGUGUGUUUGUUGGGAUCUGAUGAACUUUGAGUUUAUGAUCAGUCAUAUCUUUUUAUAUCCAUGAAAGUUAUUUGAGUUUCUUUGAUCUCUUAUAUGCAUGAUCUCAUAUAGCCUCGUAUUUCUUCUCCGAUAUUUGGGUUUUGUUGGCCAACUUGAUCUAUUUAUCUUGCAAUGGGAAGAGGUGCCCAGUAGUGAGUUCGAUCUUACGGUGCUUCAUCCCAGUGACAGAAGGGGAACCGACACGUAUGUAUUGUUGCUACUAAGGAUAAAAAUACGAGAUCUAUAUCUACCUCCAUAUAGAUAAACGGAUCUUGUCUACAUCAUGUCAUCAUUCUUAUUGCAUUACUCCAUUUUCCCAUGAACUUAAUACACUAGAUGCAUGCUGGAUAGCUGUCGAUGUGUGGAGUAAUAGUAGUAGAUGCAGGCAGGAGCCGGUCUACUAAUCUUGGACACGAUGCCUAUGUAAUGAUCAUUGCCUGGAUAUCGUCAUAAUUAUUUGAAGUUCUAGCAAUUGCCCAACUGUAAUUUUUUUACCCACCGCUUGCUAUUUUUCUCGAGAGAAGCCACUAGUGAAACCUACGGCCCCCGGGUCUUAUUUCUCAUAUAUUUGCCUUGCGAUCUACUUUUCCUUUGCAUUUUUAUUCAGAUCUAUUAAGCCAAAAAAUACAAAAAUACCUUGCUGCGUUUUAUCUUUAUUUAUUUUAUUUGGCGUUCGAUCUAGCAAUCUACUACAAUUUAUCUCACGUCAGCUUGCCAAUUUCUGGCGCCAUUACCCGAAAGGGAUUGACAACGCCUUUAACACGUCGGGUUGCGAGGUGUUGUUAUUUGUGUGCAGGUGCUGUUUACGUUGUGUUGCUUGGUUCUCCUACUGGUUCGAUACCUUGGUUUCAUAACUGAGGGAAAUACUCUACCGUCGCUGUGCUACAUCAUCCCAUCCUCUCCGGGGAAAUACCAACGCAGUUCUAGCUGCCAGCACUCGUUACGUCCGGGAUCUCAUCCGGGAGUCCGAACAACCUUCGGUAACCACCGUAAUGACUCAACUAUACUUAUAUCGUCACCAAACGUUAAGUGUGUAGACCCUGCGGGUUCGAGAACUAUGUAGACAUGACCGAGACACCUCUAUGGUCAAUAGCUAGUAGCGGGACCUGGAUGCCCAUACUGGUCCCACAUAUUUUACGAAGAUCUUAUCGGUCGAACCUUGAUGUCAAGGAUUCAGCUAAUCCCGUAUGUAGUUCCCUUUCUCUACCGGUAUGUUACUUGCCCGAGAUUCGAUCGUCGGUAUCUCCAUACCUAGUUCAAUCUCGUUACCGUCAAGUCUCUUUACUCGUUCCAUAAUACAAGAUCUCGUGGCUACCUCAUUAGUCACAUUGCUUGCAAGCUCAUUGUGAUACUGUAUUACCGAGUGGGCCUUGAGAUACGUCUCUGUCAUACGGAGUGACAAAUCCCAGUCUUGAUCCAUGCCAACUCAACAGACACCCUCGGAGAUACCUGUAGAGCACCUUUAUAGUCACCCAGUUAUGUUGCGAUGUUUGGUACACACAAGGUACUCCUCCGGUGUCAGUGAGUUGCAUGAUCUCAUGGUCAUAGGAACAUAUACUUGACAUGCACAAAACGAUAGCAAUAAACUUGACACGAUCAUAUGCUAUGAUCAUAGUUUGGGUCUUGUCCAUCACAUCAUUCUCCUAAUGAUGUGAUCGCGUCAUCAAAUGACAACUCAUGUCUAUGACUAGGAAACCAUAGCCAUCUUUGAUCAACGAGCUAGUCCGGUAGAGGCUCACUAGGGACAUGUUGUUGUCUAUGUACCCACACAUGUAUUAGCAUGUAUAAUAAACGAUUAUCAUUAACAAGGAAAUAUAAUAAUAACCACUUUAUUAUUGCCUAUAGGGCAUAUUUCCAAUAGUCUCCCACUUGCACUAGAGUCAAUAAUCUAGCAUUACAUGGUAAUCAAUCUAACACCCAUUGAGUUCUGGUGUUGAUCAUGAUUUGCCCGUGGAAGAGGUUUAGUCAACGGAUAUGCAACAUUCAGAUCGGUAUGUAUCUUGCAAAUGUUUAUGUCUUCCUCCUUGACAUAAUCGCGGAUGGAAUUGAAGCAUCGCUUUAUGUGUCUAGUCCUCUUGUGAAACCUUGGUUCCUUCGCUAGAGCAAUGGCACCAGUGUUGUCACAGAACAGAGUCAUUGGGUCCAGUGCACCAUGCACAACUCCAAGAUCUGUCAUGAACUGCUUCAUCCAGACACCUUCCUUCGCUGCCUCUGAGGCAGCUAUGUACUCUGCUUCACAUGUAGAAUCAGCAACCACGCUCUGCUUGGAACUGCACCAGCUUACCGCUCCACCGUUCAGAACAUAUACGUAUCCGGUUUGAGACUUAGAGUCAUCCGUAUCAGUGUCAAAGCUUGCAUCAACAUAACCCUUUACGACGAGCUCCUGAUCACCUCCAUAAACGAGAAACAUUUCCUUAGUCCUUUUUUGGUACUUAAGGAUAUUCUUCACGGAUGUCCAGUGAUCCACUCCUGGAUUACUUUGAAACGUUCCGGCGAUACUUAUGGCAAGGCUGACAUCCGGUCUUGUGCACAGCAUCGCAUACAUGAUAGAGCCUAUGGCAGAAGCAUAGGGGAUGACACUCAUCUUUUCUCUAUCCUCUGUAGUCGCUGGGCAUUGAGUCUGACUCAACUUCACACCUUGCAAAACAGGCAAGAACCCCUUCUUGGACUGAUCCAUUUUGAACUUCUUCAAAAUCUUAUCAAGGUAGGUGCUUUGUGAAAGUGCUAUUAAGCGUCUCGAUCUAUCUCUAUAGAUCUUGAUGCCUAAUAUGAAAGCAGCUUCUCCUAGGUCCUUCAUUGAAAAACUCUUGUUCAAAUAUUCCCUCACAUUUUCCAAAAGUUAUAUAUUGUUUCCAAUCAGCAAUAUGUCAUCCACAUAUAACACCAGAAACGCUAUAGAGCUCCCACUCCUUACUUGUAAAUACAAGCUUCUCCAUAAACUUGUAUAAACCCAAAUGCUUUGAUCACCUCAUCAAAGCGAAUAUUCCAACUCCGAGAUGCUUGCACCAGCCCAUAAAUGGAUUGCUGGAGCUUGCACACUUUGUCAGCAUUCUCUGGAUCGACAAAACCUUCCGGUUGCAUCAUAUACAGCUCUUCCUUAAGGAAACCGUUAAGGAACGCUGUUUUGACAUCCAUCUGUUAGAUUUCAUAAUCGAAAAAUGCAGCUAUUGUCAACAUGAUUCUGACGGACUUAAGCAUCGCUACGGGCGAGAAAGUCUCAUCAUAGUCAACUACUUGAACUUGUGAAAACCCCUUUGCUACAAGUCGAGCUUCAUAGACGGUGAUAUUACCGUCUACGUCCGUCUUCUUCUUGAAGAUCCAUUUAUUCUGAAUGGCCUUUCGCCCUUCAGGUAAUACUUCCAAAGUCCACACUUUGUUUUCAUACAUGGACCCCAUAUCGAAUUUCAUGGGCUUUAACCAUUUGUCGGAAUCCGGGCCCACCAUCGCUUCUCCAUAGCUCGUAGGUUCAUCGUUGUUGUUGUCCAACAACAUGACCUCUAAGACAGGGUUACCGCAUCACUCAGGAGCUGUACGUACCCUUGUCGACCUACGAGGUUCGAUAGUAACUUGAUACGAAGCUUCAUGAUCAUCAUCAUUAGCUUCCUCUUCAACUGGCGUAGGUGCCACAGAAACAUAUUUCUGUGCUGUACUACUCUCUGGUUGAAGUAAAGGUUCAACAACCUCAUCAAGUUCUAUCUUCCUCCCACUCAAUUCUUUCGAGAGAAACUCUUUCUCGAGAAAGGACCCGUUCUUAGCGACAAACACUUUGCCUUUGGAUCUGAGAUAGAAGGUAUACCCAACCGUCUCUUUUGGGUAUCCUAUGAAGACGCAUUUGUCCGCUUUGGGUUCGAGCUUUUCCGGCUGAAGCCUUCUAACAUAAGCAUCGCAGCCCCAAACCUUAAGAAACGACAACUUAGGUUUCUUGCCAAACCACAGUUCAUACGGUGUCAUCGCCACAGACUUAGAUGGUGCUCUAUUUAAAGUGAAUGCAGCUGUCUCUAAAGCAUAACCCCAAAACGAUAGUGGGAGAUUGGCAAGAGACAUUAUAGAACGCAUCAUAUCCAAUAAGGUACGAUUACGAUGUUCGGACACACCAUUACGCUGUGGUGUUCCAGGCGGCGUCAAUUGUGAAACAAUUCCACAUUGUCUUAAGUGAUUGCCAAACUCAUAACUUAGAUAUUCUCCCCCUCAAUUGGAUCGUAGUAAUUUAAUCUUCUUGUUACGGACAUUCUCAACUUCACUCUGAAAUUGCUUGAACUUUUCAAACGUUUCAGACUUAUGCUUCAUCAAGUAAAUAUACCCGUAUCUACUCAAGUCAUCGAUGAAGGUGAGAAAGUAAUGAUAUCCACCGCGCGCGUCAAUGCUCAUCGGACCGCACACAUCAGUAUGUAUGAUUUCCAACAAGUCAUUUGCCCGUUCCAUUGUUCCGGAAAACGGGGUCUUAGUCAUCUUGCCCACAAGGCAUGGUUCACAUGUGUCAAGUGAUUCAAAAUCAAGUGACUCCAAAAGUCCAUCAGCAUGGAGUUUCUUCAUGCGCUUUACACCAAUAUGACCUAAGUGGCAGUGCCACAAGAAAGUGGUACUAUCAUUAUCAACUCUACAUCUCUUGGCACACUGGUGCGCGUCGGUCCUAAACAAACGGUUUAAAACCCCUUUCCACGACAACAUCUGGAACCAUCGCCAAGUGAGUGUGGGCGAUAGGGGGGUCCUUCCCACACGACCCAGAAACCGUCGGGGAUAUGCCCUCCUGGCACACACGUUCGGCAAAACAAGGUCGUGUGCGACCGACGAGCGAUCAAAUACGGUAAUACGUACAGUACAGCUAAAAAAAUACAAUUAUAUGGAGAAAUUGUUUCCGAUCGCAAGUACAUCCCACACAGUCAGUCCCCGCUAAACGUUUCCGUUCGUAUGUACAUCCCACACAGUCGCUCCAAGGAAAACGUUUCCGUUCACAGGUACAUCACACACAAUUUUUCCCGUUAAAUUGUUUGUGAUAGCAUUGCCAUUGCACACGAUAUUAAUAAUUUUAUCGUUUGCGUUAUUGAAUGCAUCACACACGGUGCGUAGAAAGAAACUGUGGGCAAAGACUGUCCAUCACACACACUUUUUAUGUGAUAAACGUUUGCGCAAGGUGGCCUAACGCAAAUAGUUUUCAGGAUAAAGUCGUGUGUGCAGUGGAGAUUGAUCGCACACGUAGUGGAUCCUAGAAAGGUUUCUGAUCUCCACCUAUAUCGCAGACGUUUCACUUUCGCAAACCGUGUGCAGUGUAAUCCCUAUUUAAUCCAUAAUUAAUCUAAUUAAUCCCUAAUUUAAAAAUCACAUGUUAUGAAUUUGAAAGUAGGCAAUCACUUAUUUCAUAUAUGAUAACCCACAAGUAUAGGGGAUCGCAACAGUUUUCGAGGGUAGAGUAUUCAACCCAAAUUUAUUGAUUCGACACAAGGGGAGCCAAAGAAUAUUCUCAAGUAUUAGCAGUUGAGUUGUCAAUUCAACCACACCUGGAUAACUUAGUAUCUGAAGAAAAGUAUUUAGUAGCAAAGUAAUAUGGAAGUAACGGUAACGGUAGCAAAAGUAAUAUUUUUGGGUUUGUAGUGAUUGUAACAGUAGCAACGAAAAAGUAAAUAAGCGAAGAGCAAUAUGUGAAAAACUCGUAGGCAUUGGAUCGGUGAUGGAGAAUUAUGCCGGAUGCGGUUCAUCAUGUAACAGUCAUAACAUAGGGUGACACAGAACUAGCUCCAAUUCAUCAAUGUAAUGUAGGCAUGUAUUCCGAAUAUAGUCAUACGUGCUUAUGGAAAAGAACGUGCAUGACAUCUUUUGUCCUACCAUCCCGUGGCAGCGGUGUCCUAACGGAAACUAAGGGAUAUUAAGGCCUCCUUUUAAUAGAGUACCGGACCAAAGCAUUAACACUUAGUGAAUACAUGAACUCCUCAAACUACGGUCAUCACCGGGAGUGGUCCCGAUUAUUGUCACUUCGGGGUUGCCGGAUCAUAACAUAUAGUAGGUGACUAUAGACUUGCAAGAUAGGAUCAAGAACUCACAUAUAUUCAUGAAAACACAAUAGGUUCAGAUCUGAAAUCAUGGCACACGGGCCCUAGUGACAAGCAUUAAGCAUAGCAAAGUCAUAGCAACAUCAAUCUCAGAACAUAGUGGAUACUAGGGAUCAAACCCUAACAAAACUAACUCGAUUACAUGAUAAAUCUCAUCCAACCCAUCGCCGUCCAGCAAGCCUACAAUGGAAUUACUCACGCACGGAGGUGAGCAUCAUGAACUUGGUGAUGGAGGACGGUUGAUGAUGACGAUGGCGACGGAUUCCCCUCUCCGGAGCCCCGAACGGACUCCAGAUCAGCCCUCCCGAGAGAGUUUAGGGCUUGGCGGCGGCUUCGUAUCGUAAAAUGCGAUGAAUCUUUCUCUCUGGUUUUUUUCUCCCCGAACACGAAUAUAUGGAGUUGGAGUUGUGGUCGAUGGAGCGUCAGGGGGCCCACGAGGUAGGGGGGCGCGCCCAGGGGGGCAGGCGCGCCCUCCACCCUCGUGGACAGGUGGAGGCCCCCCUGACGUGGAUUCUUCUUCCAGUAUUUUUAAUAUUUUCCAAAAAUAUGUUCCGUGGAGUUUCAGGUCAUUCUGAGAACUUUUGUUUCUACACAUAAAUAACACCAUGGAAAGUCUGCUGAAAACAGCGUCAGUCCGGAUUAGUUCCAUUCAAAUCAUGCAAGUUAGAGUCCAAACAAGGGCAAAAGUGUUUGGAAAAGUAGAUACGACGGAGACGUAUCAACUCCCCCAAGCUUAAACCUUUGCUUGUCCUCAAGCAAUUCAGUUGACAAACUGAAAGUGAUAAAGAAAAACUUUUACAAACUCGGUUUGCUCUUGUUGUUGUAAAUAUGUAAAGCCAGCAUUCAAGUUUUUAGCAAAGAUUAUGACUAACCAUAUUCACAAUAACCUUUAGGUCUCAUGUUUACUCAUAUCAAUGACAUCAUUAACUAGCGAGCAAUAAUAAUAAAUCUCGGAUGACAACACUUUCUCAAAAAAAUCAUGAUAUGAUUUAAAAAGAUGGUAUCUCGCUAGCCCUUUCUGAGACCGCAAAACAUAAAUGUAGAGCACCUUUAAAGAUCAAGGACUGACUAAACAUUGUAAUUCAUGGUAAAAGAGAUACAUUCAUAGUCAUACCCAAUAUAAAUUAAUAGUAAUGGAUGCAAAUGACAGCAGCACUCUCCAGCUGGUGCUUUUUAAUAAGAGGGUGAUGACUCAACAUAAAAGUAAAUAGAUAGGCCCUUCGCAGAGGGAAGCAGAGAUUUGUAGAGGUGCCAGAGCUCGAUUUUAAAGCAGGCAUAAAUAAUAUUUUGAGCGGCAUACUUUCAUUGUCAACAUAACAACCAAGAGAUGGCGAUAUCUUCCAUGCUACACACAUUAUAGGCGGUUCCCAAACAGAAUGGUAAAGUUUAUACUCCCCCUCCACCAACAAGCAUCAAUCCAUGGCUUGCUCGAAACAACGAGUGCCUCCAACUAACAACAGUCCUGGGGGAGUUUAGUUUGCAAUUAUUUUGAUUUGAUUUGCAUAAAGCAUGGGACUGGGCAUCCCGGUGACCAGCCAUUUUCUCGUGAGUGAGGAGCGGAGUCCACUCCUCUUGAGAAUAACCCGCCUAGCAUGGAAGCUACGGACAUCCCUAGUUGAUACAUGAGCUAUUCGAGCAUACAAAACAGAAUUUCAUUUGAAGGUUUAGAGCUGGCACAUACAAAUUUACUUGGAACGGCAUGUAGAUACCGCAUAUAGGAAGGUAUAGUGGACUCAUGUGGAAUAACUUUGGGGUUUAAGGGAUUGGAUGCACAAGUAGUAUUCCCGCUUAGUACAAGUGAAGGCUAGCAAAAGACUGGGAAGCGACCAACUAGAGAGCGACAACAGUCAUGAACAUGCAUUAAAAUUAACUAGCACAAAUGCCCAUGCGUUGCAACGGGAGAAUUUCUUUUUGCGUCAUGUGCAAGCACAAUACUCAUAGCAUCGGAUUCACUAUGAAGAACACGCCAGUUGUCCUGUCAACCAAAAUGUUGAAUAUCACAACAUUCAAACUGUGGCAUCUACACUACUAGGAAAAGGGCUAUAGAUGAAAUGGCCACUAAUGGCGCACCAGACAUGUGGUGCGCCACUACUAUAUAGCAGUGGCGCACCAUGUGCUGGUGCGCCAUUAGUGUGAAAGACACUAAUGGCGCACCAGACACACGGUGCGCCACUAGUAACAAUUUUUUUUAUUUUUCCAAACAUACUAAUGGCGCACCAGGGCACAGUGCACCAUUACUAGUUCUAACUAGUAAUGGCGCACCAGCCUCAUGGUGCGCCACUACUGUAUAUAUAAUUUUUUUUUGCAAAACUACUAAUGGCGCACCAGUGUAUAGUGCGCCAUUACUAGUUUAAACUAGUAAUGGCGCACUGUGCCCUGGUGCGCCAUUAGUGUAUAUUUUAUUAUUAUUAUUAUUUUGCGAAACUACUAAUGGCGCACCACCAGCAGGUGCGCCAUUAGUAACCAGGGUUACUAAUGGCGCAUUUGUAGGUGGUGCGCCAUUAGUAACCUGGGACCAGCUAGAUAUUUUGGACAGCCACACCUACCCACUCACUUUCCCCACUUCAUUCUCUCCACCUCCUCCUCCAAGCUUGUCUCGGCUGCCUCCUCCUCCUCACCUCAUUUGCACCAUAAAUUCAUCCAAAUUAACUGGUUAAAUUAACUUUUUUGAUAGGUAAGUAAGGGGGAAGCUAUCUUUAUAUUGUUCUCCCUCCAACAACGUGCACAUGCACUUUUUAUGGCCUAGCUAGAUCUAUGUAUGUUUGUGGUGUUGCAUAUGUUUGUGGUGUUGCAUAUAUGUUUGUGUUUGCAGGUACCGGUAUUUGAAAUGCGAUAGUUGCCAAUAUUUUGCUGGAAUGUUGAUUCAUUUCCGUUUCGGCGAGAAUUUUGGCACUAUGCAUUCUUUUUGGUCCUAUUUUUAGGGAAAGUCAUGCCAAACUUUUUCUUGGUUCUAAAAUAUCGUUUUGCUCUACCCCGCAGGCGACCAUGGUCUGCACGAUGACCGAAGGCAUCAUGAAUAGGUUUUUGAGCUCCGCGAAGGCCGAGAUGCUUCAAAAGAACGAGACGGAGAUAAGAUGUCCGUGUCGAAGAUCCAAGCUGAAGAGCCUUAUUGCGGACCCGGAUUCCGGGCAGGUGAGGGACCACCUGCUCUUGCGUGGUUUCAUGGAUGGCUAUCGGUGGCAAGGUGAUGAAGAUGACUAUGAAGUCGUCCAUGGGGGCCGGGCAAGAAAUGAGGAAGGGCAGCAAGACAACCACCGCGGCUCGGGCGGGCGAGAAGACGAAGAAUCUCCAGGACAUGAUCACGACGGUGAUGCUGUACACAGUCAUCAUGUAGAAGAUGCCGGACAUGAUGAUGAGGAAGAUUCCGGAGAAGACGAAAGGCAUGAUCAUGAAGAUGAAGAUGCCGGCGGAGCAGAUGACGAUGGACCAUCGAUGGGCUGGGUGCAGGACCCUCAUAUUCAAGAGCUGCUUCUCAAGCAGACGGAUAACGCAAGAGCUGCCGCCCGAGAGAAAGCCCAGCUGGAUCAACUGGAGAUAGACGCGGUUACUCCAUUGUAUGAAGGAUGCAGCCCCGAGGAUACCCGCCUGAAAGUAACGCUCAUGGCUCUGAGAUGAAGGUAAAACACAAAAUGACCGACGCAUGCUUCGACGAGAACAUGUCAUUCUGGCACGAAUGUCUUCCCAAGGGGAACAAGUGCCCGACCAGUUUCGAGGAGGCGAAGAAAAUCGUGUGUCCUCUGGAUUUACCGCACGUGAAAUACCAUGUGUGCAUGAACAAUUGCAUCAUUUAUCGGGACGAGCACGCGGAGUCUACCAUAUGUCCGGUGUGCGGCGUCACUCGAUACAAGAACAGGAAGAAAGCUCCUCGAAAAGUGGUGUGGUACUUUCAGAUCACUCCUCGUCUGUAGCGGUAUUUCGCGGACCGUAAGGUAGCAAAGCUCCUGCGUUGGCACGCGGAUAGGGAGGAGAAGAAGCGAGAAGAUGACGCAAAUGAUCCGGAGAUAAAUAAAAAAGACAAGAUGCUGAGUCACCCUAAGGAUGGGAGCCAGUGGCAAGCAUUGAACUUCGAACACCCAGAAUUUGGGAAGGAUCCAAGGAACAUCGUGCUGGGCGCGAGCACCGAUGGAGUCAAUCCGUUUGGCAGCCAAAGAAGCACACAUAGCACCUGGCAUGUGUUUGUGUGGAUGUACAACCUUCCCCCCUGGUUGUGCAUGAAGAGGAAGUACAUUCACAUGAGUAUGCUAAUUGAAGGGCCGAAACAAUCAGGGAACGACAUCAAUCUGUAUCUGGGGCUGCUGAAAGAGGAGCUAGGCACGCUGUGGAAAACGCCAGCCAAUACGUGGGACGCCGCAGAGAAAGAAUAUUUCCCUAUGAGAGACGCACUGCUCACGACAGUGCACGACUAUCUCGGUUACGGAUAUCUCGCGGGGCAGGUGGUCCACGGAUUUUCUGGAUGCGUCAGGUGCAUGGAUGACACAACGUAUCGCCAGCUAGAUAGAGAUCCUGGGUCUUCGAAAACCGUGUUCAUGGGACAUCGAAGGUGGCUUCGCGACGAUGACCCGUGGAGGAAACGCAAGGAUCUAUUCGAAGGUGAAACCGAACCCCGAAGACGCCCGCGUACGAGGAGCGGCGAGGAAAUAGAUGAGCUGCUGAAAAAUUGGAAAGAUUGCCCACUGCCGGGAAAGAAGCAAAAGGCGCCAGAGCCGGGAAAGAAGCGAAAGGCGCCAGAGCCGCUGCUGAAGGUAUGGAAAACGAGGUCUGUUUUCUGGGACUUGCCGUACUGGAAGAUCCACCGUGUGCCUCACAGCCUUGAUGUCAUGCAUAUCACGAAGAACGUGUGCGAGAGUCUGCUUGGUACCCUGCUCAACAUGCUAGAGAGGACCAAAGAUGGGCCGAAAGCAAGGGCAGACUUGAAAUCAAUGGGCAUCAGGGAGGAGCUUCACGCUGAUGAUGAUGAUGAGGCGAAGCAGGACACGGAAAGUCGUCGCAAAGGCAAAAAGGCCAAGAAGACCGGAAAUGACUUCCCUCCCGCGUGCUUCACUCUAAGUCAGGAGGAGAUCGAUCAGUUUUUCACCUGCCUCAUAGGAGUAAAACUUCCUUACGGUUACGCGGGGAAGAUAAGCAGAUACCUAGACUCAGCGAAGCAGAAGUUCAGCGGGAUGAAGUCUCACGACUGUCACGUGCUGAUGACGCAGAUACUUCCAGUUGCAAUCCGUGGGAUCAUGGAUGCGCACGUCCGUGAAACGCUAUUUGGCCUAUGCAACUUUUUCGACGUCAUCUCUCGGAAGUCGGUUGGCGUGAGGCAACUCAAAAGGCUACAGGAAGAGAUCGCGGUGAUACUAUGCGAGCUUGAGAUGUACUUCCCGCCCGCAUUCUUCGACGUUAUGGUGCAUCUGCUGGUCCAUAUCGUGGAGGAUAUCAUCCAACUCGGGCCGACGUUCCUGCACAGCAUGAUGCCGUUUGAAAGGAUGAAUGGUGUCAUCAAAGGAUACGUUCGCAACAUGUCACGUCCAGAGGGAAGCAUAGCCAGGGGCUUUCUGACCGAAGAGUGCAUCUCCUACUGCACGAAUUAUCUAGGCAUCGAGAACCCCGUUGGUCUGCCCGUCAACAGGCACCUCGGCAGGCUCGCUGGAUGGGGUCACCGUGAGGGUCGCCGUGAAAUGCAUGUCGACUUCGAGGGUCGACUCGCCGACUUUGAAAGAGCAAACCUAGUCGCGCUACAACACAUAGACGUGGUUGAUCCUUGGGUGGUAGAGCACAAAACCUUUAUUGAGAAGACGUACAAUGACCGAGGCCAACAGAGGACGGACGGAGAUAUAAUCAAAGAGCACAACUCAUGUUUCACGCGUUGGUUCAAGCAGAAGCUUCUGUCGUACCCUUUACAUGAGGAUUCUUCCGCGGAAGAACAACUCAUAUUCGCCUUGUCACAGGGCGCCGAGCACAACCUGAUGACGUAUGAGGCGUACGAUAUCAACGGCUACACAUUCUACACCGAGGACAAGGACAUGAAGAGCGAUGGUUAUCAGAACUCCGGGGUAACGAUGGAAUCCUACACCGGCAACGACAAGGACAGAUACUACGGAAGGAUCGAGGAGAUCUGGGAGCUGAGCUACGCUGGAGAGAAGGUCCCGAUGUUCCGUGUCAGAUGGGCCCAGAGCGCCAUAAAAGAAGAUCGGUAUUUCACCACCAUGGUUAUACCCGAAGCCAAAUCCAAGACCGCAGGCGCGAACGUCACCGCGAAAAAUGAGCCAUGGGUACUGGCUUCCCAAGUGGACCAAUGCUUCUUCAUUACCGACCCGUCAAAGCCCAUUCGUGUUGUCGUGAGGAGAGGAAAAAGGAAGAUCAUCGGAAUGGAUGGAGUUGCCAAUGAGCAAGACUUCGACAAGUACGGCGACCCGAAGAUGGAACAUGACGAUGACGAUGAAGUAUCAGCAUACACCACAAGAAGAAGCAGGACCACCCUACCUAAAGGACGUCCGUUCAAGAGAAGAACUCCAUUUACGAAAAAUAAGGGCAAGAAGAUUGUGAACAGAUAGCUAGCUAAGAUCGAUUGUAUUUAAAUUGUAGCCUUCAUUUCUCGAUUGUAAUCGUAGUCUGAAUUUGUUAAUAUUUUUUGAACUCAUGAAUAUUUUUAAAUUUCAUGGGCACUUUUUGAAUUCAUGAAUAUUUUUUGAAAUUUUGAUGAUAUUUUUUCAUAUUCAUAAAUGUUUUACAAAUUCACAAAUGAAUGCAACUAAAAAUCCAAAAGAAAUAUUGAUGAUAUUUUUAAAUAACAAAUUUGAUGAUAUUUUCAAAUAACAAAUUUGAUGAUAUCUUCAAUUAAAAAUAAAAAAAACAAAUUUGAUGAUAUUUUCAAAAAAACAAAUUUGAUGAUAUCUUCUGUUCUAGUCCUCAUGAAAAUAAUAAAUUUGAUAAAAAAACAAAUGAUUAGAUGCAACAAAAAAUAAUGAAAAAAAGGUUACUAAUGGCGCACCAGAGCAGGGUGCGCCAUUGCUAUCAGAAAAAAAAGUUACUAAUGGCACACCAGAGGGGGGUGCGCCAUUGCUAUCAGAAAAAAAGUUACUAAUGGCGCACCCCUAGAUGGUGCGCCAUUACUAACCUUCCCCCUUCUGUGUGUUGUCCAUCUCGCGUUCGUCCUUCUCUCCCAAUCUCACAUCUCUCCGACCCACUGCCCGACCCACUGCGCCGCCGCCCCUACUGCGCCUCCGCCCCUACUAUGCCGCCCCCGUAAGCCCCCCUCCUCCUCCGCCCGUCCUCCUCCGCCCGUAAGCCCCCCUCCCCCUGACUGACUCCCCUGGCCUCCGUGCGCAGUUCACCGUCCCGGAUCUCCGACUGCAUCGCCUCCCGUGGCGGCAACAUCCACAGCGUCGACGUCUUCGUCCCCGACGACGCCCCCGCGUCCACCAGGAGAGGAGGCCCGAGCACCUCGCGACCUCCCCGCCGUCUAUCCCCGCCUCCCCCAAGCUCGCCGUCUCCGCCCUCCGUCGUCUCCGCUCCGGCCACCACCUCAUCGUGGUCAGGUAAUCUUCAUGGCCCUCCUCCCUCUGCCUCUCUUCCUCCUCUCCUCCCUCCCGACCAUGCCCUCUUCUUCUCUCUUUUUCUAGGUUUAGGUCAAAUCCCUCUCGAAUUUAGGUCAAAUUAGGUUCAAAUCCCUCUGAAAUUAGUAUGUAAAGCUCACUGUUCUGAAGUUCUGAUCAGUUCAGUACCUUAGUAAGCAAUAACACAAGCUUCCAUACAAGCCAACAAGCCAAGAAGAUACCUGCUACUACUAUAGUGUUGAUUCUGAAUUUGUGGAGAGAGGGGUGCAUUGAGAGAAGAGAAGAGAAUACAAAUGAAUUGGCUUGUUUAUGUCAAAUACAAAUGAAUUGCUAUUUGUGGAGUUUAGGCUCCUUUGAAUCAAGGCAGCACUGUCAAAUGAGCUCCUCUUCUUUCUACUCCUUACCUAGACAUAAACUUGGCAAGUUUUAGCAACAAGAAUACAAAUGAUAGUCACUGCAGCUGCACAUGAUCUCUGCUAGUUAUAGAAAUUCAUUGCUUGUCCUAUGUCUCUGUCAGGGUAUUGUUCACGAAGCUUGCUUGAGUUUGUGUCCUUUAAUUUGUAAAUCUGCAGUUCUAGCCACUGUUUGUAGUUCUAGCCACUCCUUGCUGUUAGUUCCUCAAGGAGUUCUGCACAAAAUUAGCUCAACAAGUUGCAUCUGGCUUUUACAAAGUUGUUUUGGCUUAAGAGGAUAAGUUGUUGUAUAUACUGUCAUAAAGUUCAGCAAGAACAGGGCAUCAACAGUGCUACUCUAGUAUCUAGUUGGGGAGGGACAAAUGGACAGGGCAUCACUGUAGCUGUACUGCACAACAAACUAUUAGUCUUAGGAUUAACACUCCUCAUAUGAGAUGAGAGGAUUUUUUUAAAUGGCUUCUUGCAGUUUUGAAAAUUCAGUUUAUUCGGUUACUGAAAAUUCAGUUAAUUCAGUUAGCACACAAAUUUCAGAACUUUUGUGUGCCCUAGUACUUGGUGUUUGUAGAAAACCAGGAGUGUCAAUGUGACUAGAAUUCACUUGUUCUUAUAUGGGUGAAACUUCACUUGUUUUUAGGCUAGUGCAGGGUGUUGCUUUAUUCUGUCAUCAUUUGUAACUAUGUCACAAAUAAAUUGUUCCUUCUUCUGUAUUUGACAAGUAAUGACUGUUGAUAAGCUGAGGCAUGGAUUAAGCUGUUUCUUUGCUGUAACAUACUGUAUAUCACUCCACAAUGAAAUACAGUACAUAUUGAUGUGCUUUGUAAAAAUUGUUCAUGUACUGAACUACUAAUGCCUUGUGAUGCUCUGAAUUACUUGUGAUGCCUCUGAAUUACUUGUGAUCCCAUUGAGAAAGACUUGUAAAGAUGAUGAUCAUCUUUUACGGAAAACAAUUUCUGUAAACACGUCAGUAACUUUGCUAGUUUGCUGGGUUUUGUCUCCGACCAUCGUGUCGUGAUGAUUUUGCAGGUACCCCGAGAGGCCCUUGAGUUUGCUGGAAUGUCGAUUAACUUCCGUUCCGGCAAAUUCGGGCACUCCAUAUGUCCUAUUUUCAGCAAAGGUCAUGCUGAAAUUUUCCGUGAAUUUUAGCAUGACUUUGCUAAAAAUAGGACAUAUGGGGUACUUGUGAUUAAUGCAUGGGCCGGGGUCUUAGUACUUAAUUAAGUAGGAUCAACUGCCCCUUUAUUCUUGAUGCAUUAAACCAUAGGUGGCAAUAGAGCCAAGUGAUUAGGCCCAACUUAGAAUUCUCCUUCCCAGCUUAGCUUUUAGGGGGCCUCGGUGUCGAUGAGAACCUAAAUGAUGUACGCUUAGGCUUUUAGGGUGCCUCGGCGUCGACAAACCCUAAAUGAUAAAAGCUUAGCUUUUAGGAUGCCUCGGUGUCGACAAACCCUAAAUGAUGAGACCAUGAUCUUGUUCCUUGACAAUAACCAACUUUUUGACCAAACUUUUUUUCCUAUUUAGAGCGAAACAUGGCCCACAACGAUGAGGCCGGCGGUUCGGGCAGCAAGCAAUUCUGGGAGCUGUCCCAGCAGCUGGAGGAAGAACCUCACCGCUAUGAGGACGCCGCGGAAGACACCGAUCCUGACUACACAACCCCUAGUGGCGUCGGGGAUGACACCACUGAUGGUGCCGCCGAGGAUGCCACCACUGAUGAUGGUGGCGCACGCACAAAUGGCAGCCAACCGAAGAGGCAACGGAAGGACCGGCGCCCGAGCGUGCUCGGCACCGUCAAGGAGGAAUUUACUGAAGUGAACUCCAACGGGCAUCCAACGGCGCCCAAACAAGUAGUCAAGGGGUACUCGGUUCAGCACGGGUGCAUUCUCCGGAGCACCGUCUCGAUCAACACCGAGAACCUAAGGCAUAAGGACCGAGGGAAUUUGCGCAGCCUCCUCUUCACGAAGCUGCACGAACGAUACAAGUUCCCCGCUGACUUUGCAAACACACGCCUCUCAGGGAAUAAAGUGAACAGUGCCGCCCUCACGAGGCUGAGCACGACCCUGUCUACUUGGAGAAGCACGGUGAAGGCAAUGAUUGAAAAAGGUGAUAGUUAUGAGAAGAUCAAGGCGAAAUAUCCUUUGAUCAGCGAAGAUGACUACAAGGAGUUCAAGAUCAAGUGCGAGAGCAGCGCAACCUCCGAAUCAAGUCAGUGGGGGAAAGAAAUGCGGCAGUUGAACUUAGGGGUCCACCAACUCGGUCCCGGCGGUUACAGUGGCGGAGCCUAUAUGGGACAAGGAGGACGCGGAGCGUGCCGAGCAAGGCCUACCGCCCCGCUUCGAGAAAUUCCAUGACAAGCAGACCAGGAACUUUGUCAGGGCCCGGUACAAGGAGGACCCGGUAACAAAGGAGCUUACCACGGAUCCGAAGACCAGGGCGCUUGAGCUUGUUCUGGUAAGGAAUACACCCCCGCGUAAUUAGCUCCAUAUGGUUGCAUUCUAAUUAAUGAAGCCAAAUUUCUAAAUGGUUCACAUUCCUUCUGCAGGAGGCUGAAAGCAGUAGCGCAGGGUCGUCUCAGAGCUCCCCUUUUGACACCCCUUUAAAUAGGGCGUUGAACGCAAUGAAAAACAAGGAUAAGCUCAGUAAGCCGUCGUCAGCUGGUCGUGUGGCCGGCAAAGGCUUGUCCACAAAAUGGUCGUCAUACUAUACCGCUGGUGGGCGAAAGGAGAAAAAGACCAGCUCAGAAAGCCAGUCGCGCGAGGUUCAAGAACUCAAGGCACAAGUGGCGCGGAUUCCGGAGAUUGUCCAAGAGCAAGUGCAACAACAACUGGGAACGACGCUCACCGCCAUGGUGCCUACCUUGAUUCAGGGGCUGACGACGUGGAUUGCGGGCGGCCAACAGGGGCCUCCCCCGGUUCCCAGCUUCACGGCCAGCAACUCGCACAAUGCGCAGACGACGCCAUUGGUGUCUCCGGCGGAGGCGGUAUUCGUGUCUCCGGCGCCGGCACGAGCAUUGGAGCUUAGUGCACCCGGGUGUACGCUGGCCGGCACCUCGCCAGCAAGCGGCCCCUCCGUCAGUUGCACGCCCGCCGUUGGCGGUGCCUCAACAUUAGCCGAGCUCGACGGCAUCACGGUAACUAAGCCUCUCAGCCGAUGACUUCAUCUCCUUGCCUUUGACUGGGCAUCCCUGAUGCCCUACAUGUUUUCGCAGGGCGCCGCCGACGUUCCUUGCACUCUCCUGCACUUCGUGGGCGGCGAGUUGGUCGAUGUCGCCAAGGGCAGAAUCGUUCAACCGGGCAACCGCGUGUUCUACGGUAAUCCGAUGCCACCCACCUUGUAUAGGGUUCAACUGGUUCGGGUGCUGCCAGGCUGCGACGAGUUGUUACCUCCGAUUCGACCCGCUGGGGCCGACGAAGAUGAUGUGAUGACCCUUAGCGCCUGCGUAAGCUGGCCCUUGCUUUGGCCGAAGAGCCAGAUUCGUUUGGGGGUGGGGGACACCACCCCACAGACAAGACCGCCAGUCGUGCCAGCGCCAAGCCAUGGCAAGAACGCCGCAACGCUACCGGACAUGCCGGACAUCCCUAUGGCACAGGAUCCGGACAUGCAUAUGGCACAGAAUCCGGACGACGACGGUACAUUUACCAACGUGGAUAAGUACUUUGCCGAACAUGGGUACGGUGACGAGUUCUGCGGGCCUCCUUCUCAAGAACCCAACCCUGAAAAAGACAACCGCGAUCUAGCUGGUACGGCGGAGAAACCCAAUUGCAACAGGCGUCGUCUGGCGUUCAGUUCUCAGGAGACGCCUCCAGCUGCCGCCUUCACCGAGCCUCAGAUAGCUGAGGUGCGAAAUAUUAUCAGCCCCAACACGCUCAAGAAGGCGGUCUGUGAGCAGAACUCGAUCCCAUUACAGCAGAUCAGGAAGAAGGGAUGGAAACGAAAGACUAACAAGGGCGCCGGUGCGAGCCAGCCGGCACCGAGUACGAUCCGUGCUCAGGACGGGCCACCUUCACCUAAGGAUAUCUCGAGGAGGGUGCAUGUGGCGGGUAGGGCGAUGCUACCGACAAAUAUGCUCAAUGCUGCAACCGGUGCUAUGCGGAGUCUGCAUGACAGUGUUCUUUCAUUGGAGAAGCGGCGUCUCAGAGAGAAUGAUGUGGCAUACCCGGUUUUCGUGGCCAAGGUGCCAGAAGGCAAGGGCUUUGUGGAUAGCGCCGUCGGGGGUACGAUCGUCCUGCGGUUUGAUGACAUCUUUGCUAUGUUUAACCUUCAUCCGCUGCACUACACCUUCGUUCGGCUGUUUUCGCUGAGUAUGGAGAUGCGGAUCAUUAGAGACAAGACCCCGGACAUUGUGAUAGUCGACCCCUUCUACAUGCGUGCCAAGAUCUUGGGCAGCGCUGGGGACCGGCAAGUCGCGAGUUCACACCUCGAAGGCGUCAUUCUGGCAAACCCAGAUAAGGAUAACUUCCUCGUGCCUUACUUUCCCGAGUAAGUCAUCCCCUAACCGCCCCGUAACAUAUGAUUUCUUAGAUUUCGAUCGUUCUUUUUUUUUUCUAACAUUCCGUGUUCUGUGCAGUGACACACAUUGCACACUCAUCCUCUUAAGCCCGAAAUAUUCCAUGGCCACGUAUUUCGACCCGGACCGUGACUCCAAGAUAGACCACACAAAUAUCAAGAAAGUUCUUGAUGAUGCUCUCCCCGGCUACGCCGCAUCUGGAGGCACCUUUAAGAGGCCAGCUCGUAGGUACGGCAGGCACGUGUUCACCCACAAUACGACGUUCCCCUGUGUCAAGCAGCCGCCUGGCGGUCAGAAGGAUGCCUACUACGCCCUCCAUCACAUGCGGGCGAUCGUACGGGACCAUAAUCACCUUCUGCUACCAAAUAAUCUCAAAGAUUGGGCCGCAAGCUUGGCGGCAAUCCAGGACGCGGACAUCCGACAAGAAUUCUUUCGCAUCCAGUCGGAGUUUGCAGAAAUCAUCCAUCAAGAUGUCCUUCGUACCUCGGGGCAGUUCUACCUCAAAUAUCAAUCGUCCAACAGUGAGAUAGACACAACGCUACAAAUGCAGGCUGACAACGCCCGCGACUUCAUGACCAUCACGACAGACGGCGGCUUCAUCCACGCUCCGGUCCCAUGAGUCAAGUCGAAAGUAGUGAUGCUAUGUGUAGUUCUGAAACAUCGAUUAGCUCAUGUUGUAAUUAAACUUUAAUGAACUUGUAUGUCUCUUUGGUUUGGACAGUCGUUCAACUUAGAUGUAAUCGAUGCUAUUUAUUAGUAGGACCAUGAAUCGUGCUAUUAAUGUCUUGUUUUUCUCUUCCGAUCCUUUUGUUGCAUACUUAUAUAUUGCUUAUGUAUUGUCUGUUGUUUGGCUAGUGCAUAGAGAUGCCGUCGUAUGUCGUGUACGAGGGUAAGGUUCCCGGAGUCUACGAUGACUGGGAGGAGUGUCGGAGACAGGUUCACCGUUUCAACGGUAACAGUUACAAAGGGUACACCACUAGGGCGGAGGCGGAAUCUAGAUACGCACGCUAUCUAGCGGGAGAGAGGAGGGAGCGUUGGAGGAACCGGAUGAAGACCAGUUUCAUCGCGAUGAUGCUCAUCGUGAUGACCGCAGCUCUUCUUCUAUGUGAUGGUAGUUUAGAUGAUCGAUAUCGACUUGUAAUGUGAAGACAAACUCGCUACUCGCGGUCUCGAGACUUGUAAUGUUCUAUCUUUAUUCGGUCUUUUAAAUUCGGAGACUAAUAUGAUGAAUUAUAUUCGGAGACUAAUCUUCUAUUGUAUUCGAUGAAUCUGCUGUUGCUGUGUGGUGCUGUCUAUAUUCUGUCCAAUAAUAUAUUUUGUAACCUGUGCAAAUAUCAGAAAAGAAAAAAAAUAAUCCCUAAUAUUCAUACUAAUGGCGCAUCACCCCAACGUGCGCCAUUAGUAUGCCAAAGGAUACUAAUGGCGCAUCACCCCACAGUGCGCCAUUAGUAUGGCAAAGCACAUGUGUAAAUAUCGCCCCUGGGAGGCACACUAAUGGCGCAUGUUGGUCUAUACUAAUGGCGCACCAUUAGUAUUUAAUACUAGUGGCGUGGUACUAGUGGCGCACCAGUAGUGCAUCAUUAGUAGGCAAAACUGGUGCGCCACUAGUAGUGCUAGUGGCAUUCACAUGCCAAAAUCUUGAAGAAGCGUGCACAUUAAUUUACAUAUACGGAUGAAGACAAUAAAAAAGGGGUGCGGGUGUUUCUUGCUAGCUCUGUGCACUCAGACACAUUUGUAUGUUUCUUUGUGGGGUGUAACCUUUGUUACGGACUCACAAGAUGGAGCGCAACAUUCCAAGGAAUUCCAUUUAAAUGUUUUUAUCCAGAUAAUGUCUACAAUCCUAUCUUUAAUUAAGCAACAUGCAAAGUUAAAUAGCAUGUCACUCGUUUAAAUUCUUGAGGUAGCUCACAAUUAAUCAGUUUUUAAUUAGCUCCACCUGUUUAAUUCUCUAUGCGGCCUUACACAAUCCUUACUUUAAUUAGCCCAUCUAAUAGCUCGCCCCAAACACGUGCUGCUCAGCCUGAUUUAUCACUCAAAAGUCUGAAAUAAACCUCGAAUUCAUAUGCCUAGUAUGAAUCAACCUUAAACUUAAAAACCCUGAAAUUGACCCCUCUAAUCCCGGACUAUCCCGGUUGAUUUCUGCUAAGUGCUGGUUUGUCGCUCCGAUAAAAGGAUAAUCCUGGGCAUGUCAAUGGACCCACAUGUACGUCAUCUCAAACCUCUUCCCACAUUACGCUUCUCUUUGUCCUCUCUCACUUUUUCCUGUACACAUCAAUAUGCUAAUUAGGUUGCCGGAAGAAAAGAAGAGACGGAGAAGUAGUACGUACAACCUACUACGUGGAUGGAUCAUGGACUCUCCAUCACAGUGACACAGGAGCAAUUGGUGUACUGUAGUAGCGCUGGGACAGCGUCAGAACGGGCGACUCUGGCGGCAAGGCGCCGAGGAACCCAUGGGCAACAAACUGCGGGAGCGCAUCGAGCGCUCCAAAGUGUCCACCUUGUCGUUCCUGAGGUUCUUGCGUUCCUUGGAUCGGGCACACUGCCGCUCUCAGCUCACUCGUGUUGGCUGCACGCGUCGUCAAAAACUAUGACAGGUGGGGCAUGGCCUACGACCGGGCAGGUAGGCUUGACCACACUCGGACAACUGCCAGGUGAUCAACUUUGACAUCGUAGCGCACUUCGGCGAGUACAUGGCGGCCGGCGCUCCUUGUUGUGGAGAGCGCUUUNNNNNNNNNNNNNNNNNNNNNNNNNNNNNNNNNNNNNNNNNNNNNNNNNNNNNNNNNNNNNNNNNNNNNNNNNNNNNNNNNNNNNNNNNNNNNNNNNNNNNNNNNNNNNNNNNNNNNNNNNNNNNNNNNNNNNNNNNNNNNNNNNNNNNNNNNNNNNNNNNNNNNNNNNNNNNNNNNNNNNNNNNNNNNNNNNNNNNNNNNNNNNNNNNNNNNNNNNNNNNNNNNNNNNNNNNNNNNNNNNNNNNNNNNNNNNNNNNNNNNNNNNNNNNNNNNNNNNNNNNNNNNNNNNNNNNNNNNNNNNNNNNNNNNNNNNNNNNNNNNAAAUCAAAUCCCGCUUUAAUUAGCGCACAGCAUGCAACAACACGAGUAUCUCUCCGCAUUUUUUUCUCUCAUCGAAUCAGUGCAAUUUAAUUAUCAUAAAUCCCGCUUAAUUACUCCCAGCAUGCAGCACCACAUCUCAUUUGAUUCUCGAGAGGCUCCUUGAUUUUCCAAGCAAGUCCUGGCCGUAUAAAAACUGGUGAUAUUUUAUUUCAAUAGGCGAGGUGGUAUUAUUUAAAAAAGAACUUUCCAUCUAGCACAAUGACCAGCUAGACCAGGUGGUUGGUUGUUACGUUGUGGAAGACAGGUUUUGUGUUCGUUUCCCCAUAACAGCACAAUAAUUUUUGCUGGCCUUUUAUUCCUGGCGGCCCAAAACGGAGCGGAAGCGUGCGGCCUGCUGUAUGGGUUCGGUUUGGGUACUUUACUUACCAAUUUUAGUACCAUCUCGGGUAGAAAAAAAUGUUUCAAAUUUUUGUACGGUGAACGGAUGAAAAUCAUAGCGAAACGCAUCUUGCUUUAUUAGUAGGUAAUAAAUAAACAUUGAGUACAAGCAUGAGUACGAUAUAAUCCAUCAUGAACAUAAAUAUCGUGAAGGCUAUGCUGAUUUGUUUCAAUUACAUGCGUGAACAUGUGCCAAGUCGAGUCACUUAAAUCAUUCAAAGGAGGAUACCACCCCACUAUACCACAUCACAACCAUUUUAAUAGCAUGUUGGCAAACUAGGUAAACCAUUAUAAGCUCCUAGUUAAUUAAGCAUGGCAUAAGCAACUAUAAUCUCUAAUUGUCAUUGCAAACAUAUUUAUUCAUAAUAGGCUGAAUCACGAACGAUGAACUAAUCAUAUUUACAAAAACAAGAGAGGUCGAGUUCAUACCAGCUUCUCUCAUCUCAAUCAGUCCAUCAUAUAUCGUCAUAAUUGCCUUUCACUUGCACGACCGAACGAUGUGAAUAAUAAUAAUAGUGCACGUGCAUUGGACUAAGCUGGAAUCUGCGAGCAUUCAAUAAACAUGAGAAGACAAGACAAUAUGGACUCUUGGUUAAAUCAACAAUAAUGCAUAUAAGAGCCGCUUUAACAUUUUAAUCAUGGUCUUCUUCUAUCGACCCCCCAAAAGAAAGAAAAGAAAUAAAACUAUUUACAUGGGAAAGCUUCCAACAAGCAAAAGAAGAACGGGAAAUCUUUUUGGGUUUUCUUUUAAUUAUUAGUACUACAGCAAGAAAAGUAAACUGGCUAAAGCUAUUACUAAUUUUUUUUGGUUUUUCUUAAGAUUUAACAAACACCCAAGAAGAAAGCAAGAAAAAGAAAAUAAGCUAGCAUGGAUAGUACAGUGAAAGAGUAUGAACACCGACAUCUAACAAUGAGUGUGUGAACAUGAAUGUAAUGUCGGUGAGAAAUACGUACUCCCCCAAGUUUAGGCUUUUAGCCUAAGUUGGUUUAUUGCCAUGGAUGGCCUGGCGGAUAUCCAUAGUUGUAGUUGGGGUCGUACUGAGAUGAAGAAGACUCUGACUGCCACUGGUUGGCAAUCAUCUUCGGAUCCCACUGGUAAUUAGAUUGUCGUGGAGGAUCAAAUUAUGGUUCCGGCUCCGGCUCUGUGGAUGAUGUAGGGUUCCGGUAGGCGUUAAUGGCCUCCAGCGGAACGAGAUACGGACCUGCAGAUAAAUCAAACAAGGAAGGAGCAGGCAAGGUAAUAGUUUCAGGGUGAUGUUUAUCAUAGAACAGUUUGUAUUUAAGCGCCCCUUCCCUAUUCUUGACAAUAAAAUCAUGCGCUACCAUACUUUUAUAAUCUAAAUAAGCAGUGGGCAGUAAUUUUUCUUCUUUUUCAUAGUGCCUAAUAGGUAUGUUAUAGUGUGCAGCAAGGCAUGAAGCGUAAACACCUCCAAAGAUGGGGCCCUUUGUACGGUUCAGACUUAACCGUUUGGCAAUAAUACCGCCGAUACUAACAGUAUUAUCACAGAAUAAACCAUGGAAGAAAAUAAUAAUAUCAGGAACACUAAGGUUUCCACAGUUUCCGCGACAAAUUAAGCAACGACUAGCAUAUAUAGCAAAGUAGCGUAAAACAGGAAAAUGUAUGCUAGUGAUUCUUGCAUCGGAAACCUUCCUAGUUUCCCCUACGGUAAUAGUGUCAAUAAACCCGUCCACAUCUUUACGAUGUGGUUCCUCUAAGCUACCCUCGAAAGGUAUUUAGCAAACCUUGCAAAAUUCAUCUAGUGACAUCUUCUUAACCACAUCAUAUAAAUGAAACUCUACUGAAGGAGGUGAUUCCUUAGGAUAAUAGUAGAAGUUUUGCACAAAAGUGUUAGUGAGUAAGAGAUACUAUUCGCGUUGGUCGCGGAGGAAAUCGGUGAGGCCUGCAUUCUCAGCGAAUUCAUAAAAAUCAUCAUAAAUCCCGGCUGCUCUCAAGAAAUCAUUGGAAGGCCAUUCACACGGCCGAACCUCCGUGGUGUGAGGCAGAUUAUAUUUGGGCCUCUCUGCUUCUUCACUUUGCUUUUCCUUCAAGCUUCGGCUCGAUGAGCCCCUCAAAAAUCUCUUCAUUAGUUUCUGAAAAAUUCUGAAAUUUUUAGUAACUUCAAAUAAAAUAGAACCAAACUCAACAAAAUUGAUAGCAACUACUCCUACAAGUGCCUAGAGCCUAUAUCAUGCAUUAGAACUACUUGGAACCAUAUAAAUUUGACAUGCAAGCUCAAGAACAUGGUCACCUAGGCAGCACAAAUUUGCAAUGAAUAAAGCACUAGAACAAAAACUAAUUGGACCAAUGGAGGAGUCACAUAUCAAGGAACAAUCUCCCAAAGCAGUUUUGUGAGAGGUGCUUUGAGCAAGGAGAUCGAAAAUCACAGCAAAAUGAGAUAGAACUCGUGCUUGAGCUGGAUGGUGAUUUUUUUGGGAGGAAGAAGAAGUGUGUGGUGGCUGGCAUAAGUGGAGGGGAACCACCGUAGGCCCACGAGGCAGGGGCCGCGCCCUGUAGGGGUGGGCGCGCCCUGGACCCUCGUGUCCAGGUGCUUGCUCCCCCUGCUGUGUUCUCAGUGCCAGAUAUUCUCAAAUAUUCCAGAAAAAUCAUAUUAAACUGGCAGGGCAUUUGGAGAACUUUUAUUUUUGAGGUAUUUUUAUAUUGCACGGAUAAUUCAGAAAACAGACAGGAAAAUACUAUUUUUGCUUUAUUUCAACUAAAUAACAGAAAGUAGGGACAUGGUACAGAAGUUUGUGCUUUCUAAUUUCAUCCAUCUCAUGCUCAUCAAAAGGAAUCCACUAACAAGGUUGAUCAGGUCUUGUUAACGAAAUCAUUCCGAAUAACAUGGAACCGGAGAAAUUUCGAAUAAUACUAUGUUACCUCAACGGGGAUAUGCACAUCCCCAAUAAUAAGAAUAUCAUAUUUCUUCUUGACAGUAGGAAGAGGAAAUUCAAAACCUCCAAAAAUAAUCGAUGAAAAUUUUCCAAUAGAAUUGAUACUAUAGACUUGAGGUUGUUUCCUCGGAAAGUGUACCGUAUGCUCAUUACCAUUAACAUGAAAAGUGACAUUGACUUUGUUGCAAUCAAUAACAGCCCCUGCAGUAUUCAAAAAAGGUCUUCCAAGAAUAAUAUACAUACUAUCGUCCUCGGGAAUAUCAAGAAUGACAAAGUCCAUUAAAAUAGUAACGUUUGCAACUACAACAGGCACAUCCUCACAAAUACCAACAGGUAUAACAGUUGAUGUAUCAGCCAUUUGCAAAGAUAUUUCAGUAGGUGUCAACUUAUUCAAAUCAAGUCUACGAUAUAAAGAGAGAGGCAUAACACUAACACCGGCUCAAAGAUCACAUAAAGCAGUUCUAACAUAAUUGCUUUUAAUGGAGCAUGGUAUAGUUGGUACUCCUAGAUCUCCUAGUUUCUUAGGUAUUCCACCCUUGAAAGUGUAAUUAGCAAGCAUGGUGGAAAUUUCAGCUUCCCGUAUCUUUCUUUUAUUAGUAACAAUAUCCUUCAUAUACUUAGCAUAAGGAUUCAUUUUGAGCAUAUCAGUUAAACGCAUACGCAAAAAGAUAGGUCUAAUCAUUUCAGCAAAGCGCUCAAAAUCCUCGUCGUCCUUUUUCUUGGAUGGUUUAGGAGAAAAAGGCAUGGGUUUCUGAACCCAUGGUCUCUUUCUUUACCGUGUUUCCUAGCAACAAAGUCUCUCUUAUCAUAACGUUGAUUUUUUGAUUGUGGGUUAUCAAGAUCAACAGCAGGUUCAAUUUCGACAUCAUUGUCAUUACUAGGUUGAGCAUCAUCAUGAACAUUAUGAUUAACAUUUUCAUUAGGUUCAUGUUCAUUACCAGAUUGUGUUUCAGCAUCAGAAAUAGAAAUAUCAUUUGAAUUCUCAGGUGGUUCAGCAAUAGGUUCACUAGAAGCAUGCAAAGUCCUAUCAUUUUUCUUUUUCUUCUUUUUAGAAGGACUAGGUGCAUCUAUAUUAUUUCUCUGAGAAUCUUGCUCACUUCUCUUAGGGUGGCCUUCAGAAUACAAAGGUUCCUGAGCCAUUUUACCUGUUAUAGUAGCCAUUCUAACAACAUAAUCAUUAUUCUUACUAUUCAAUUCAUUGAGCAAAUCAUUUUGAGCUUUAAGUACUUGUUCCACUUGAGUGGUAACCAUAGAAGCAUGUUUACUACUGAGUUUAAGUUCACCUUUAACCUAAGUGUUCAAGUGUUCAAGCGUAUCGGAAUUGUAUUUCAAUUGUCUACCAAAAUAAGCAUUGAGGUUUUCUAGUUUGACAAUAAAAUUAUCAAACUUUUCUAAGCAUUGUCUAGCAGACUUAUAGUGAGGAAUAUCACCUUCAUCAAAUCUAUAGAGAGAAUUUACCUUUACUACCUGUGUCGGGUUAUCAAGACCAUGAGUUUCUUCAAUAGGUGAUGGAUUAAGAUCAUAUGUUUCUUCAACAGGCGGUAAAUUAAGACCAUGUAUUUCUUCAAUAGGAGGUAAAUUCUUAACAUCUUCAGCUUUAAUACCCUUUUCUUUCAUAGAUUUCUUUGCCUCUUGCAUAUCUUCAGGACUGAGAAAUAGAACACCUCUCUUCUUCGGAGUUGGUUUAGGAAUAGACUCAGGAGUUGGCUCAGGAAGUGUCCAAUUAUUUUCAUUCGUCAACAUAUUAUUCAAUAAAAUCUCAGCUUCAUCCGGUGUUCUUUCCCUGAAAACAGAACCAGCACAACUAUCCAGGUGGUCUCUGGAAGCAUCGGUUAGUCCAUUAUAAAAGAUAUCAAGUAUUUCAUUUUUCUUAAGAGGAUGAUCACGCAAAGGAUUAAGUAAUUGGAGAAGCCUCCCCCAAGCUUGUGGGAGACUCUCUUCUUCAAUUUGCACAAAAUUAUAUAUAUCCCUUAAGGCAGCUUGUUUCUUAUGAGCAGGGAAAUAUUUAGCAGAGAAGUAAUAAAUCAUAUCCUGGGGACUGCGCACACAACCAGGAUCAAGAGAAUUAAACCAUAUCUUAGCAUCACCCUUUAAUGAGAACGGAAAUAUUUUAAGGAUAUAAAGAUAGCGGGUUCUCUCAUCAUUAGUGAACAGGGUGGCUAUUGUUGGGGAUCGUAGCAUAAUUUUAAAAUUUUCUACGCAUCACCAAGAUCCAUCUAUGGAGUCUACUAGCAACGAGGGGAAAGGAGUGCAUCUACAUACCCUUGUAGAUCGCGAGCGGAAGCGUUCAAGUGAACGGGGUUGAUGGAGUCGUACUCGUCGUGAUCCAAAUCACCGAUGACCGAGUGCCGAACGGACGGCACCUCCGCGUUCAACACACGUACGGAGCAGCGACGUCUCCUCCUUCUUGAUCCAGCAAGGGGGAAGGAGAGGUUGAUGGAGAUCCAGCAGCAUGACGGCGUGGUAGUGGAAAUAGCGGGGAUCCCGGCAGGGCUUCGCCAAGCGCAAGCGGGAGGGAGAGGUGAUGCAGNNNNNNNNNNNNNNNNNNNNNNNNNNNNNNNNNNNNNNNNNNNNNNNNNNNNNNNNNNNNNNNNNNNNNNNNNNNNNNNNNNNNNNNNNNNNNNNNNNNNNNNNNNNNNNNNNNNNNNNNNNNNNNNNNNNNNNNNNNNNNNNNNNNNNNNNNNNNNNNNNNNGGGGGUCGGCGGCCAAGGGGGUGGCUUGCCCCCCAAGGCAAGUGGGGCGCCCCCACCCCUAGGGUUUCCAACCCUAGGCGCAGGGGGAGGCCCAAGGGGGGCGCCCCAGCCCACUAAGGGCUGGUUCCCUUCCCACUUCAGCCCACGGGGCCCUCCGGGAUAGGUGGCCCCACCCGGUGGACCCCCGGGACCCUUCCGGUGGUCCCAGUACAAUACCGAUAACCCCCGAAACUUUCCCGGUGGCCGAAACUGGACUUCCUAUAUAUAAUUCUUCACCUCCGGACCAUUCCGGAACUCCUCGUGACGUCUGGGAUCUCAUCCGGGACUCCGAACAACUUUCGGGUUUCCGCAUACUAAUAUCUCUACAACCCUAGCGUCACCGAACCUUAAGUGUGUAGACCCUACGGGUUCGGGAGACAUGCAGACAUGACCGAGACGCCUCUCCGAUCAAUAACCAACAGCGGGAUCUGGAUAGCCAUGUUGGCUCCCACAUGUUCCACGAUGAUCUCAUCGGAUGAACCAUGAUGUCGAGGAUUCAAUCAAUCCCGUAUACAAUUCCCUUUGUCAAUCGGUAUGUUACUUGCCCGAGAUUUGAUCGUCGGUAUCCCAAUACCUUGUUCAAUCUCGUUACCGGCAAGUCUUUUUUACUCGUACCGUAAUGCAUGAUCCCGUGGCUAACUCCUUAGUCACAUUGAGCUCAUUAUGAUGAUGCAUUACCGAGUGGGGCCAGAGAUACCUCUCCGUCACACGGAGUGACAAAUCCCAGUCUCGAUCCGUGUCAACCCAACAGACACUUUCAGAGAUACCUGCAGUGUACCUUUAUAGUCACCCAGUUACGUUGUGACGUUUGGCACACCCAAAGCACUCCUACGACAUCCGGGAGUUACACGAUCUCAUGGUCUAAGGAAAAGAUACUUGACAUUGGAAAAGCUCUAGCAAACGAACUACACGAUCUUUGAGCUAUGCUUAGGAUUGGGUCUUGUCCAUCACAUCAUUCUCCUAAUGAUGUGAUCCCGUUAUCAAUGACAUCCAAUGUCCAUAGUCAGGAAACCAUGACUAUCUGUUGAUCAACGAGCUAGUCAACUAGAGGCUUACUAGGGACACGUUGUGGUCUAUGUAUUCACACAUGUAUUACGAUUUCCGGAUAACACAAUUAUAGCAUGAACAAUAGACAAUUAUCAUGAACAAAGAAAUAUAAUAAUAACCAUUUUAUUAUUGCCUCUAGGGCAUAUUUCCAACAGUCUCCCACUUGCACUAGAGUCAAUAAUCUAGUUACAUUGUGAUGAAUCGAACACCCAUAGAGUUCUGGUGUUGAUCAUGUUUUGCUCUAGGGAGAGGUUUAUUCAACGGAUCUGCUACAUUCAGGUCCGUAUGUACUUUACAAAUAUCUAUGUCUCCAUUUUGAACACUUUCACAAAUGGAGUUGAAGCGACGCUUGAUAUGCCUGGUCUUCCUGUGAAACCUGGGCUCCUUGGCAAGGGCAAUAGCUCCAGUGUUGUCACAGAAGAGAGUCAUCGGGCCCGACGCAUUGGGAAUCACCCCUAGGUCGGUAAUGAACUCCUUUAUCCAGACUGCUUCCUGUGCUGCCUCUGAGGCCGCCAUGUACUCCGCUUCACAUGUAGAUCCCGCCACGACGCUUUGCUUGCAACUGCACCAGCUUACUGCCCCUCCAUUCAAAAUAUACACGUAUCCGGUUUGUGACUUGGAGUCAUCCAGAUCUGUGUCGAAGCUAGCGUCGAUGUAACCCUUUACGACGAGCUCUUCGUCACCUCCAUAAACGAGAAACAUAUCCUUAGUCCUUUUCAGGUACUUCAGGAUAUUCUUGACCGCUGUCCAGUGUUCCAUGCCGGGAUUACUUUGGUACCUUCCUACCAAACUUACGGCAAGGUUUACAUCAGGUCUGGUACACAGCAUGGCAUACAUAAUAGACCCUAUGGCCGAGGCAUAGGGGAUGACACUCAUCUUUUCUCUAUCUUCUGCCGUGGUCGGGCAUUGAGCCGUGCUCAAUUGCACACCUUGCAAUACAGGCAAGAACCCCUUUUUGGACUGAUCCAUAUUAAACUUCUUCAAUAUCUUGUCAAGGUAUGUACUCUGUGAAAGACCAAUGAGGCGUCUUGAUCUAUCUCUAUAGAUCUUGAUGCCUAAUAUAUAAGCAGCUUCUCCAAGGUCCUUCAUUGAAAAACACUUAUUCAAAUAGGCCUUUAUACUUUCCAAGAAUUCUAUAUCAUUUCCCAUCAAUAGCAUGUCAUCCACAUAUAAUAUGAGAAAUGCUACAGAGCUCCCACUCACUUUCUUGUAAACACAGGCUUCUCCAUAAGUCUGUGUAAACCCAAACGCUUUGAUCAUCUCAUCAAAGCGAAUGUUCCAACUCCGAGAUGCUUGCACCAGCCCAUAGAUUGAGCGCUGGAGCUUGCAUACUUUGUCAGCAUUCUUAGGAUCGACAAAACCUUCCGGCUGCAUCAUAUAAAAUUCUUCCUUAAGGAAGCCGUUAAGGAAUGCCGUUUUGACGUCCAUCUGCCAUAUCUCAUAAUCAUAGUAUGCGACAAUUGCUAACAUGAUUCGGACGGACUUCAGCUUCGCUACGGGUGAGAAAGUCUCAUCGUAGUGAACCCCUUGAACUUGUCGAUAACCCUUAGCGACAAGUCGAGCCUUAUAGAUGGUCACAUUACCAUCCGCGUCCGUCUUCUUCUUAAAGAUCCAUUUGUUUUCUAUGGCUCGCCGAUCAUCGGGCAAGUCAGUCAAAGUCCAUACUUCGUUUUCAUACAUGGAUCCUAUCUCGGAUUGCAUGGCUUCAAGCCAUUUGUUGGAAUCCGGGCCUGCCAUCGCUUCUUCAUAGUUCGAAGGUUCACCGUUGUCUAACAACAUGAUUUCCAGGACAGGGUUGCCGUACCAUUCUGGUACGGAACGUGUCCUUGUGGACCUACGAAGUUCAGCAGUAACUUGAUCCGAAGCUUCAUGAUCAUCAUCAUUAACUUCCUCCCCAGUCGGUGUAGGCACCACAGGAACAUCUUCCCGCGCUGCGCUACUUUCCGGUUCGGAAGGGGUGACUAUCACCUCAUCAAGGUCCACUUUCCUCCCACUCAAUUCUUUCGAGAGAAACUCCUUCUCCAGAAAGGACCCGUUUUUGGCAACAAAGAUCUUGCCUUCGGAUCUGAGGUAGAAGGUAUACCAAAUGGUUUCCUUAGGGUAUCCUAUGAAGACGCAUUUUUCCGACUUGGGUUCGAGCUUUUCUGGUUGAAGUUUCUUGACAUAAGCAUCGCAUCCCCAAACUUUUAGAAACGGCAGCUUAGGUUUCUUCCCAAACCAUAAUUCAUACGGUGUCGUCUCAACGGAUAUCGACGGAGCCCUAUUUAAAGUGAAUGCGGCAGUCUCUAAAGCAUAGCCCCAAAAUGAGAGCGGUAGAUCGGUAAGAGACAUCAUAGAUCGCACCAUAUCCAAUAGAGUGGGAUUAUGACGUUCGGACACACCGUUUCGCUGAGGUGUUCCAGGCGGCGUGAGUUGUGAAACUAUUCCACAUUUCCUUAAGUGUGUACCAAAUUCGUGACUUAAAUAUUCUCCUCCACGAUCUGAUCAUAGGAACUUUAUUUUUCUGUCAUGUUGAUUCUCAACCUCACUCUGAAAUUCCUUGAACUUUUCAAAGGUUUCAGACUUGUGUUUCAUCAGGUAAACAUACCCAUAUCUACUCAAGUCAUCAGUGAGAGUGAGAACAUAACGAUAGCCACCACGAGCCUCAACACUCAUUGGACCGCACACAUCGGUAUGUAUGAUUUCCAAUAAGUUGGUUGCUCGCUCCAUUGUUCCGGAGAACGGAGUCUUGGUCAUCUUACCCAUGAGGCAUGGUUCACACGUGUCAAAUGAUUCGUAAUCAAGAGACUCCAAAAGUCCAUCUGCAUGGAGCUUCUUCAUACGCUUGACACCAAUGUGACCAAGGUGGCAGUGCCACAAGUAUGUGGGACUAUCGUUAUCAACUUUACAUCUUUUGGUAUUCACAGUGUGAAUAUGUGUAACAUCACGUUCGAGAUUCAUUAAGAAUAAACCAUUGACCAGCGGGGCAUGACCAUAAAACAUAUCUCUCAUAUAAAUAGAACAACCAUUAUUCUCGGAUUUAAAUGAGUAGCCAUCUCGUAUCAAACGAGAUCCAGAUACAAUGUUCAUGCUCAAAGCUGGCACUAAAUAACAAUUAUUGAGGUUUAAAACUAAUCCCGUAGGUAAAUGUAGAGGUAGCGUGCCGACGGCGAUCACAUCGACCUUGGAACCAUUCCCGACGCGCAUCGUCACCUCGUCCUUCGCCAGUCUCCGUUUAUUCUGCAACUCCUGUUUUGAGUUACAAAUAUGAGCAACCGCACUGGUAUCAAAUACCCAGGAGCUACUACGAGUACUGGUAAGGUACACAUCAAUUACAUGUAUAUCACAUAUACCUUUGGUGUUGCCGGCCUUCUUGUCCGCUAAGUAUUUGGGGCAGUUCCGCUUCCAGUGACCACUUCCCUUGCAAUAAAAGCACUCAGUCUCAGGCUUGGGUCCAUUCCUUGGCUUCUUCCCGGCAACUGGCUUACCGGGCGCGGCAACUCCCUUGCCGUCCUUCUUGAAGUUCUUCUUACCCUUGCCUUUCUUGAACUUAGUGGUUUUAUUCACCAUCAACACUUGAUGUUCCUUUCUGAUCUCCACCUCCGCUGAUUUCAGCAUUGAAUAUACCUCAGGAAUGGUCUUUUCCAUCCCCUGCAUAUUGAAGUUCAUCACAAAGCUCUUGUAGCUUGGUGGAAGCGACUGAAGGAUUCUGUCAAUGACCGCGUCAUCCGGGAGAUUAACUCCCAGCUGAGACAAGCGGUUGUGUAACCCAGACAUUCUGAGUAUGUGCUCACUGACAGAACUAUUUUCCUCCAUUUUACAACUGAAGAACUUGUCGGAGACUUCAUAUCUCUCGACCCGGGCAUGAGCUUGGGAAACCAUUUUCAGCUCUUCGAACAUCUCAUAUGCUUCGUGUUUCUCAAAACGCUUUUGGAGCCCCGGUUCUAAGCUGUAAAGCAUGCCGCACUGAACGAGGGAGUAAUCAUCAGCACGUGAUUGCCAAGCGUUCAUAACGUCUUGGUUCUCUGGGAUGGGUGCUUCACCUAGCGGUGCUUCUAGGACAUAAUCUUUCUUGGCAGCUAUGAGGAUGAUCCUUAGGUUCCGGACCCAGUCCGUAUAGUUGCUGCCAUCAUCUUUGAGCUUGGUUUUCUCUAGGAACGCGUUGAAGUUGAGGACAACGUGGGCCAUUUGAUCUACAAGACAUAUUGUAAAGAUUUUAGACUAAGUUCAUGAUAAUUAAGUUCAUCUAAUCAAAUUAUUCAAUGAACUCCAACUCAGAUAGACAUCCCUCUAGUCAUCUAAGUGAAACAUGAUCCGAGUCAACUAGGCCGUGUCCGAUCAUCACGUGAGACGGACUAGUCAAGAUCGGUGAACAUCUCCAUGUUGAUCAUAUCUUCUAUACGACUCAUGCUCGACCUUUCGGUCUUCCGUGUUCCGAGGCCAUGUCUGUACAUGCUAGGCUCGUCGAGUCAACCUAAGUGUAUUGCGUGUGUUCCGAGGCCAUGUCUGUACAUGCUAGGCUCGUCAACACCCGUUGUAUGCGAACGUUAGAAUCUAUCACACCCGAUCAUCACGUGGUGCUUCCAAACAACGAACCUUCGCAACGGUGCACAGUUAGGGGGAACACUUUCUUGAAAUUAUUAUAAGGGAUCAUCUUACUUACUACCGUCGUUCUAAGCAAAUAAGAUGUAAAACAUGAUAAACAUCGCAUGCAAUCAAAUAGUGACAUGAUAUGGCCAAUAUCAUUUUGCUCCUUUGAUCUCCAUCUUCGGGGCGCCAUGAUCAUCUUCGUCACCGGCAUGACACCAUGAUCUCCAUCAUCGUGUCUUCAUGAAGUUGUCACGCCAAUGAUUACUUCUACUUCUAUGGCUAACGUGUUUAGCAAUAAAGUAAAGUAAUUUACAUGGCGUUAUUCAAUGACACGCAGGUCAUACAAAAGAUAAAGACAACUCCUAUGGCUCCUGCCGGUUGUCAUACUCAUCGACAUGCAAGUCGUGAUUCCUAUUACAAGAACAUGAUCAAUCUCAUACAUCACAUAUAUCUCAUUCAUCACAUCCUUUUGGCCAUAUCACAUCACAAGGCACAUGCUGCAAAAACAAGUUAGACGUCGUCUAAUUGUUGUUGCAAGUUUUUACGUGGCUUGUAUAGGUUUCUAGCAAGAACGUUUCUUACCUACGUAAAACCACAACGUGAUAUGCCAAUUUCUAUUAACCCUUCAUAAGGACCCUUUUCAUUGAAUCCGUUCCGAGUAAAGUGGGAGAGACAGACACCCGCUAGCCACCUUAUGCAACUAGUGCAUGUCAGUCGGUGGAACCUGUCUCACGUAAGCGUACGCGUAAGGUCGGUCCGGGCCGCUUCAUCCCACAAUACCGCCGAAACAAGAUAAGACUAGUAGUGGCAAGAAAAAUUGAGAACAUCUACGCCCACAACUGCUUUGUGUUCUACUCGUGCAUAGUAAGUACGCAUAAACCUGGCUCAUGAUGCCACUGUUGGGGAUCGUAGCAUAAUUUUAAAAUUUUCUACGCAUCACCAAGAUCCAUCUAUGGAGUCUACUAGCAACGAGGGGAAAGGAGUGCAUCUACAUACCCUUGUAGAUCGCGAGCGGAAGCGUUCAAGUGAACAGGGUUGAUGGAGUCGUACUCGUCGUGAUGCAAAUCACCGAUGACCGAGUGCCGAACGGACGGCACCUCCGCGUUCAACACACAUACGGAGCAGCGACGUCUCCUCCUUCUUGAUCUAGCAAGGGGGAAGGAGAGGUUCACUACAGGAAUCAGCUACUUUGCCGUCUGCCACGGCAGACGGCAAAGGCAAGGAUGGCGGACGGCAAAAGGCUCCGGCAAAGUAGGCUACGGUAAAGAGCUUCUUUGCCGUCUGCUUUUUGAAGCGGACGGCAAAGGGGCCUUUGCCAUCAGCAGCGGACGGCAAAGGUCAUGGCUCUUUGCCAUCUGCUGGCAGACAGCAAUGACUGGCUCUUUGCCAUCCGCUGGCAGACGGCAAUGACUGGCUCUUUGCCAUCCGCUGGCAGACGGCAAUGACUGGCUCUUUGCCGUCUGCCAGCUGAUGGCAAAGAGCCUAUAUUGCCCCAUUUAAUUCUGUUUUUUCUUAUAUCAAUUCAUUUUCACAGAAAAUCAAACACACACACACACACACAGAGAUAUAUAUAUAUGACCAAUAGUCAUGAACACAUAGUAGCAAGUUUCAUCCAUACAUAUACAUAGUUUCAUAAAUAUUACACGGUUUCAUCCAUAGGUAGCAAGUUUCACAAAGUCAAAACAAAAACUAUAGACAAGCACUCCAUAUAUGAAAUUACAAGAAAUGACCUAAAACUAAAUAUCUAUUUUCCUAAAAACUAUCUUAUUACUAAGAUCUUCUCUGGAUCUACUUCUUUUCUUCCAACCUGCAUAACAAAAACACUAAGAAAGAGAGAAUGGGUUAGGAGUAGAAAUGUAGCAUUUCACUUGGUGAAAUGCAAUGUUCAGUUUUUAUGUAUGUUUAACACACGGAAAGCUGGAGAGCAUGCUGAGAGUUUUCUUGCCUGAGGACCAGGGUAGCCACCAACGGGCCAGCCAAGGGGCCAGUUCACAUCCUUCUGGAGGAGAGUGUACUCCUGCUCAAUUCCAUACCUGUUUGGGUUCAGAGAUAGGCCUAAUCAGUGCUAAUCUAUAUUGUACAACUUAUUAUGUUCUCACGUGUGUAUGUGUGUUAAGACACAAGAGCGCUACUACAACUUUUAUAUGAAACACUGCAACAACAAAAAACUUGAAAUAUCGACGGAGGUAUUCGUACCAUCUCUCCUCAGCUGCAACCUUCGAGGUGUUGAAGAUCUUGGCAGCAUUGUGCCUCUUGUUGGUGGGGAUUGGAACACCUUGUGGUGUGUAGCAGUCGCACAUAACCUACAAGGAGUAAUAAAUAGGAAAAGAUCAACAAACCAACGACUUUGCGCCAAAUACAGUAGAAACUUGGCCUCUAAUUUAGCUGAAGCUUUUUUUUCUCAGUUCAAGUAUUUAAGAUUUGUGUUAGCCAAGUAGGUCAACUAGUGGAAUUUGCGGCCUUUCCUUGUAUUCAGCUGGAAGUAGAAUAUUUGCAGCCUUUCCUUGUAUUCAGCUGGAAGUUCUUCAUAAAUCCCCCUCAAGAUUGUCAUUCCAGGAUUGUUAUCAUCAGAUUGUACAGUGGUGUGUACGUACAAGAUGCAGAACGGACCCUCUGGCAACUCGGUGCGGAGCUUGUGAAACACAUACCUCUUCAGACGUCCACCAUCUAUAACAGGAGCUGGAAUACAAAAAUAAAAUGCCAUCUGAGUGUUACAGGGAGCGGUAGAAACUAAUACUCCCUCCGUUCAAAAAUAAGGGUCAUGAUUUUAGUUCAAAUUUGAACUAAAACCACGACGCUUAUUUUGGAACGGAGAGAGUAUCAUAUUAGCGGCAAAGCUUGUAGCAUCAGAACAUCAAGUGCCUGUAGAAGUUGUGAACCUCCCUUGUGUCAAAUGGUGAUCGUGUCUGUGAGGUGAUUUUGAGAAAUAAUGCAAGGUUAUCCAACAGGAUGUUAAGCCAAUAUGACAUGGAAAGGAACCAUCCACUACUAGCAAAGAAACUACAUAUAAAUUGGCAUGUAAGUUCCCUUAUAAAAUGGUAUGAUCGAGUCUGCCAACUGAUUUUGAGAAAUAAUAGUACUCCCUCUGUAAACUAAUAUAAGAUCUUUUAGAUCACUACUUAUUAGUAGUUUACAGAGGGAGUACCAAUUUGCAGUACUGAAUCUGUUAUCAAACCUGAAACUAGAUUAACAGGGGAUGGUACCACUAGCAAAGAAGCCACAUACAAAGCAGAUAACUAUCGAAAUGAACAAUCAUGAACCGUGCCUCUCCAAAAUCCAGAAUUUUCAAUUUUUGACAACCGGUCACAAUAGAAUUGCUAAUUUGCUCGAGACAUAAAUAUGCUGAAAUCCUAAGUACAUCAUGCAUUUAUCACUCCAUACCAACUCCAGGAAUGCAGCUACGAGCUAACAGCAAAGAAUUCAUCGAACGACUCGCACCAAACCCUAGACGCGCACCAGCAAUCCCCAAAUACCACCGGAUAAAUCCCAGGAUGAGGAGAGGACGGGAAGUAAUGGGAGGGGUUUGGCGCACCGGGGAAGAACUUGCCGACGACCCGGACGACGGGCCGGCCGGAUCUGUCCGCGCCCUGCACGCGGACCACCUGGAGCUCCGGCGAGGAGGAGGCCCGUGCGGCGAGGGGGAGGCCGGAUCCGGAGUGGCCGGACUUCCCGAGGCCGGAUCCGGGCGCGAGGCAGCGUGGGGCGCCGGCGGCGACGCGGGGACGCGGGCGGGGAGCAGAGGAGCUCGGUGCUCGGCUCCCAUGGCGGCAGCGGAUCUCGAGGUUGGGGCGACGGGCGACGAGGCUUCCGCGGCGGGGCCGCGAGCUUGUGGGGAGGUGGCGGCGCACAACGCGGCGCGAGGCGGCGGGGCUCCUAGGUUCUGGUGAGGUGGCGGCGCGCACCGGCGGGCGGAGGCAAGGUGGCGCAGCGGCACGGGGUCGAGGGAGGCGGGGUCGGGCGACGCUCGGCUGUGGGGCAGGGGCGGAGAGAGAGGGGAUAGAGAUAGAGGAGGUGGGGGCAAGGGUUUUCCUUUUACUCGAAAAAAAGAUAGCCACCCUCUUUGCCGUCCGCCAGCAGAUGGCAAAGAAUCUUUGCCGUCUGCUGGCACCUCUUUGCCGUCCGCUGGCAGAUGGCAAAGAUUCUUUGCCAUCCGCCAGCAGACGGCAAAGAAAUGACAGAUGGCAAAGACCUUCUUUGUCGUCUGCCUGUUCUUUGCCGUCUGUUGUUUGGUAGCUGAUGGCAAAGACCAUCUUUGCCGUCCGCAAGCGGACGGCAAAGAACUGGCAGACGGCAAAAUCCCUGAUUCUAGUAGUGGUUCAUGGAGAUCCAGCAGCACGACGGUGUGGUGGUGGAAGUAACGGGGAUCCCGGCAGGGCUUCGCCAAGCGCAAGCGGGAGGGAGAGGUGUUGCAGGGNNNNNNNNNNNNNNNNNNNNNNNNNNNNNNNNNNNNNNNNNNNNNNNNNNNNNNNNNNNNNNNNNNNNNNNNNNNNNNNNNNNNNNNNNNNNNNNNNNNNNNNNNNNNNNNNNNNNNNNNNNNNNNNNNNNNNNNNNNNNNNNNNNNNNNNNNNNNNNNNNNNNNNNNNNNNNNNNNNNNNNNNNNNNNNNNNNNNNNNNNNNNNNNNNNNNNNNNNNNNNNNNNNNNNNNNNNNNNNNNNNNNNNNNNNNNNNNNNNNNNNNNNNNNNNNNNNNNNNNNNNNNNNNNNNNNNNNNNNNNNNNNNUCUGAGGGGGGGCGGCGGCCAAGGGGGUGGCUUGCCCCCCAAGGCAAGUGGGGCGCCCCCCACCCCUAGGGUUUCCAACCCUAGGCGCAGGGGGAGGCCCAAGGGGGGCGCCCCAGCCCACUAAGGUCUGGUUCCCUUCCCACUUCAGCCCACGGGGCCCUCCGAGAUAGGUGGCCCCACCCGGUGGACCCCCGGGACCCUUCCGGUGGUCCCGGUACAAUACCGAUAACCCCCGAAACUUUCCCGGUGGCCGAAACUGGACUUCCUAUAUAUAAUUCUUCACCUCCGGACCAUUCCGGAACUCCUCGUGACGUCCGGGAUCUCAUCCGGGACUCCGAACAACUUUCGGGUUUCCACAUACUAAUAUCUCUACAACCCUAGCGUCACCGAACCUUAAGUGUGUAGACCCUACGGGUUCGGGAGACAUGUAGACAUGACCGAGACGCCUCUCCGGUCAAUAACCAACAGCGGGAUCUAGAUACCCAUGUUGGCUCCCACAUGUUCCACGAUGAUCUCAUCGGAUGAACCACGAUGUCGAGGAUUCAAUCAAUCCCGUAUACAAUUCCCUUUGUCAAUCGGUAUGUUACUUGCCCGAGAUUCGAUCGUCGGUAUCCCUAUACCUUGUUCUUACUCGUACCGUAAUGCAUGAUCCCGUGGCUAACUCCUUAGUCACAUUGAGCUCAUUAUGAUGAUGCAUUACCGAGUGGGCCCAGAGAUACCUCUCCAUCACACGGAGUGACAAAUCCCAGUCUCGAUCCGUGUCAACCCAACAGACACUUUCAGAGAUACCUGUAGUGUACCUUUAUAGUCACCCAGUUACGUUGUGACGUUUGGCACACCCAAAGCACUCCUAUGGCGUCCGGGAGUUACACGAUCUCAUGGUCUAAGGAAAAGAUACUUGACAUUGGAAAAGCUCUAGCAAACGAACUACACGAUCUUUGAGCUAUGCUUAGGAUUGGGUCUUGUCCAUCACAUCAUUCUCCUAAUGAUGUGACCCCGUUAUCAAUGAUAUCCAAUGUCCAUAGUCAGGAAACCAUGACUAUCUGUUGAUCAACGAGCUAGUCAACUAGAGGCUUACUAGGGACACGUUGUGGUCUAUGUAUUCACACAUGUAUUACGAUUUCCGGAUAACACAAUUAUAGCAUGAACAAUAGAAAAUUAUCAUGAACAAAGAAAUAUAAUAAUAACCAUUUUAUUAUUGCCUCUAGGGCAUAUUUCCAACAGCUAUAUCAUUUAAUUUAGUAAGAUGUGCCACAACAGUUUUACAUUCAUAACCGUAGAAAGGAUCAGACUCAACCAAAGUAAUUAUAUCAGGAUCAACAGAGAAUUCAUAGUCCUUAUCAGUAACACAGGUAGGUGAAGUAGCAAAAGCAGGGUCAGGUUUCAUUCUAGCAUUAAGAGAUCGCUGCUUCCAUUUAGCUAAUAGCUUCUUAAGAUCACUUCUAUCAUUGCAAGCAAGAAUAGAUCUAGCAAAUUCUUCAUCCAGAACAUAACCCUCAGGCACAACAGGUAAUUCAUAUUUAUUAGGGGGAGAGUCUUCAUCAUCACUAUCUUCAAUAUUAUCUGUUUCAAUAAUUUCAUUCUCUCUAGCCCUAGCAAGUUGUUCAUCAAGAAAUUCACCAAGUGGCACAGUAGUAUCAAGCAUAGAAGUAGUUUCAUCAUAAGUAUCAUGCAUAGCAGAAGUGGCAUCAUCAAUAACAUGCGACAUAUCGGAAUGAAUAGCAGAAGUAGGUUUAGGUGUCGCAAGCUUACUCAAAACAGAAGGUGAAUCAAGUGCAAAGCUAGAUGGCAGUUCCUUACCUCCCCUCGUAGUUGAGGGAUAAAAUUUUGUUUUCGCGUCUUUCAAGUUCUUCAUAGUGACCAGCAGAUAUAAAUCCCAAGUGACUCAAAGAAUAGAGCUAUGCUCCCCGGCAACGGCGCCAGAAAAUAGUCUUGAUAACCCACAAGUAUAGGGGAUCGCAACAGUUUUCAAGGGUAGAGUAUUCAACCCAAAUUUAUUGAUUCGACACAAGGGGAGCCAAAGAAUAUUCUCAAGUAUUAGCAGUUGAGUUGUCAAUUCAACCACACCUGGAUAACUUAGUAUCUGCAGCAAAGUAUUUAGUAGCAAAGUAAUAUGGAAGUAAUGGUAACGGUAGCAAAAGUAAUAUUUUUGGGUUUUGUAGUGAUUGUAACAGUAGCAACGGAGAAGUAAAUAAGCGAAGAGCAAUAUGUGAAAAGCUCGUAGGCAUUGGAUCGGUGAUGGAGAAUUAUGCCGGAUGCGGUUCAUCAUGUAGCAGUCAUAACAUAGGGUGACACAUAACUAGCUCCAAUUCAUCAAUGUAAUGUAGGCAUGUAUUCCGAAUAUAGUCAUACGUGCUUACGGAAAAGAACUUGCAUGGCAUCUUUUGUCCUACCCUCCCGUGGCAGCGGGGUCCUAACGGAAACUAAGGGAUAUUAAGGCCUCCUUUUAAUAGAGUACCGGACCAAAGCAUUAACACUUAGUGAAUACAUGAACUCCUCAAACUACGGUCAUCACCUGUCGGAGUAAAUGACCACGGGUAGCCUAACCGACUGCCCCUGGUUCUUCUAAAAAAAUUAUCAGGCCUUUGGGCCUUCAAGCACUCCAAGCAUUGGACCACCUCCCCUGGCUGGCUACCUCUGAAGCCGACUCAUGGAAGGCGGCCCGGCUUCAGCAACCUCCCCCCGAAGAUAUCCGCGGGGUGGCCGACUCCAGGAAGCCGGCCUCGAAGAGCGCCGACUCCAAGAAGCCGGCCGAGACCACAACCACCUAAGCUACACCCACAUAACGGUACAAGACGGGGUGUGGCCACAGUGCGGCCCACUACCCCCGAAGCCCGAGGCAGGCAUGGCCACAGGAGGCCGUACGGGACGGCCGUCUCCCGUUCGGCUCGGCACUGUUGCCAUGCUAGCCUCAACGUCGUCCACGACAGACUCCCGUACGGCCCACGGGCGGCGGGUCCCCUCGGCCAGAGAGAAGCGCGGAGGCGGCCCGGCCUCCCCCAGUCGGCCAAGGGCAUAGCUGGCCCACAGAAGCCGGCUACCCCCUCCCUCGAAGCAUGCGCCCCAUUAAGGAGACAAGACGAGGUAAAGCUACAGUGAGGACCCUCGAGGCGGCCCACUGUAGCCACGAUUACCUCAACGAAGCCCUCGUCAUCAGGAGCGAGGCUACAGUAAGCAGCCGCCGACAAGAUCCUAGGCGGUGGGGCCGGCCUGUCAACCAAGAGGCCGGCAGCCGGCGGGACCCACUAGUCGGCGGGCCCCAACAGCCGGCGGAGAAGCCGGCGAGCGUAGACACUGACGGCUGGGACCAGAGCCCAGCCGGAUUACAAUUGUACCCCCGGGGGGUAGGCCUAUAUAAACCCCCCGGGGCACCCAUGCAAAGGGUUGGCUUCUGAGCAUAGCACACACACCAUAGAGAGAGAAGUGAGAGCUAGCCUUGUUCUUCUUCUCCCUUGAACCCAACAGCUCUAGGAGCGAUUGUAGCUACUUUUACUAAUCUAGUGAUCAUGCGGAGGCCCCGCAGAGCAGGACUAGGGGUGUUAUCUCCUCGGAGAGCCCCGAACCUGGGUAAGAUCCGUUGGCGUGCAUGUCUUCGCCUCAUCCCGUUUCCAGGCACCGGCGACGUCUUAUUGGCACCCACAAUGAUAAGCCACCCGUUGGCAUAUGUCGCACCUACCACCCGACAUUUGGCGCCCACCGUGGGGCCAGGUGCACCGUCGUCCGGAGACCUGUUCUAGACGGGAACACUCUUCCUCCCCCGCGAGCGCAGCCAGCCUGCUGCGCCCGAUGGCGUUUGCCUCGGCGCGCUGCAAGGCGUCGACGACGCCUGCGCAGCGAGCUGCCUCGCUGAUCUGCUCGGCGAGACUCCCAUCUUUGACGAGCCUGCGUCCGACGCAGGCACGGGCUACCCAGAGAGCCGCCUCGUCAGCCUCCUCGACCAGCUUCACGUCUCCAGCGAGCCUGCUGCAGAUGUGGAGUCGGUCGGCUCCACCGACCCGAUGCUUGUCGACUCCGACACGGCAUCGCUCGACGCCUACCCCUCCGACGUGGUGGUCUUCGACGAUCCUCUCCCUCGAGCUAACAGCGGCAGCAGCGCUGUCACCGAAGUGUUGGUCAUCAGCCACGUCGCCAACUCGGGCGAGAAUGCCCACGACGCCCUGCAAGCGGCGAUGCACGACCUCUCCGUCCCCAUCCCGGCCGACGCCGACGCCGAGACACUGGAGGCACGCCGCCUCGCCCUCAUCGCGGAGGGCCUGAAGAUAGCCUCCAUGAGACGCCUCACCGAGGCCCACCAGCGCGAAGUCGACCGCGCCGCCUUCGGUACGCCGCCGCCUAGCGGUCCGAGCCGAGCCGACUUUGUCCAGAAGCGCGGCGCGGCCGUCGCCAGCAUGCUGGGGGCAGAUCGCCCCGUCUACGCCACCCCGCUCGAGAAUUUGCGAGCCGCCCAGGCGGCCGUAGAAGAGCUCAAUGGGCUGGGAGCCGAUGAGCUCCCCUACAUGGCAAGACGGAUCCAGCAGCUGAUCGACGCGGCUGCAGAACGGCACAAAGCCGGCGCUCGUGUUGAUAGUCAUCCCCCGCGCCGGGAGCACGCCGCGACGUCCCGCUCGCCGACUGCGAGCGGCGCGCGCCAGAAGAAAGACAAGGAGCCGGCUGCCAGCCGCAGCCGGAGUCGCAUCACCAUCGAGCGCGACGCGGAGGGCCGCCCCCGAGCGGUGGAGCACCAAGGAAAUCUGCCUCCUCCCCUGCCUCGAAGAGAAAGACGUCUCACUCCGCCGCCCAUCACGCAUCCGACUCUUGGCGACCGACUCGGCCGCCGAGAAGGUGUCGGCGAGAACGACGCCCGCCACCGGAUCGACCGCCUUGCUCGAUCCUUGGCGUUAGAAGAAGAAGACGAUGUCGGCCCGCCAUGUUUUGGCCCCCGCAUCCGCGACGAGCCCUUUCCCAAAGGGUUCUCGCUCCCCAGAGAGACGCCCAAGUACAACGGCUCAGUGAAGCCGGAAGAUUGGCUCAUCGACUACUCCACGGCUGUCAGCAUAGCCAACGGCAAUCGGCGCGUCGCCGUGAAGUACGUCCCCCUCAUGCUGCAAGGCACGGCGCGCACAUGGCUCAACAGCCUCAAGCCCUACAGCAUCAACAGUUGGCUGGACUUCACAGAAGUCUUCGUCCGCAACUUCACCAGCACCUACAAGCGGCCUCCCAAGCCUCGCCAGCUCUCCCUCUGCUUCCAAGGGCCCAACGAGUCGACCCGCGACUACCUCACGCGAUGCGCCGAGCUCCGCAACUCCCGCGAGGGGGUGCACGAGGUCCAGGCCAUCGAGUACUUCACUGCCGGGUGCCGAGAGGGCACCCUCCUCAAGCACCGACUCCUCUGCGACGAGCCGGCUACCCUCGACGAGUUGCUGGUCAUCGCGGACAAGUACGCCACGGCCGACUCCUCAAUGAAGACCGAGCUCCGAGUAGACGCCUCGGGGAAGGUGAUUGCUCCGGCUCCCAAGACGCUGGCUGGCGACCCUAAUCGGCACCCCUACCAGAACGACCACAAGCGCAAGGCCCCCAUGCCGACAUCCACCAGUCGGCAGGUGGCCACCGUUGAAGAUGAGCAGCCCGAACAACGGCCCGCUCCCAAGAAGAAGGGUGGCAGGCUGGCUUGGCAGCCGGCUUUCUCCUACGAACAGGCUCUUGAUGCCCCCUGCAAGUUCCACAGCGGCGCGAAGCCGUCCAACCACACAACCCGGAAAUGCCAUUGGCUCACCCGCAUCACCAAGGGCGAGGGGAUGUUGCCGCCUCCGCCUCCCGGUCCGCCGCCUCCAGCCCCCCAGCAGCCGGCGGCUCGGCCGGCAGUCGGCGCCAUCCAAGACGAAUUCCCCGAAGAGCACGCUGCCUACGUCGUCUUCACCAGUCAAGCCGACGACAAGCGCAGUCGACGCCGACAGCAUCAAGAAGUUAAUGCAGUCGCCUCUAGCACCCCCGAGUUCAUGCACUGGUCAGAGAGGCCAAUCAGCUGGAGCCAGGCCGACCACCCAGAGGUGAUGCCCUCUCCUGGCUCCUAUGCAAUGGUCUUGGAUGUCACCCUCGCGACGGAGAGGCGAGCUACCCGAUUCUCCCGCGUCCUGAUAGAUGGCGGAAGCAGUACAACAUACUGUACCGCGAUACCAUGGAGAAGCUGAACAUCAAAGCAAAGCAGCUCAUGCCGAGCCGCACCGUCUUCCAUGGUAUCGUCCCCGGCUUGUCUUGCUCCCCUAUCGGCAAGAUUAAAAUGGAUGUUCUCUUCGGAGACAAAGAUCCUUUUCGCCGAGAAGCAAUCUGGUUUGAGGUAGUGGAUUUGGAGAGCCCCUAUCAUGCUCUGCUUGGCCCACCUGCUCUGGCCAAGUUCAUGGCUGUGCCCCACUACGCCUACCUGAAGAUGAAGAUGCCGAGCUCGAAGGGGAUCAUCACGGUAGCCGGCGACUACAAGAAGUCCAUCGAGUGCGCCAUGGCCAGCAGCCGGCUGGCCGAGUCCCUCGUGGUGGCAGAAGAGAAGAAGAUGCUGGAACGGGUUGUGGCCAUGGCCGGCAAGCAGCCAGCCCUGUCCCCCAACCCCAAAGAUUGUGAUGCGCAGGGCUCCUUCCAGCCUACCAAAGAGACGAAGAAGAUACCUCUGGACCCGGAGAACCCGGAGAGGUUCGCUGUCAUUGGGGCGAACUUGGACAGUAAAUAGGAAGGCGAGCUCGUCGACUUCCUCCGUGAGAAUCGAGACAUUUUUGCAUGGUCCCCAAAGGACAUGCCGGGUGUCCCGAAGGAUUUUGCUGAGCACAAAUUACAUGUCCGCGCUGACGCGAAGCCCGUCAAGCAACCCCUCCGCCGACUAUCAGAAGAGAAGCGAAGAAUCGUGGGAGAAGAGAUAGCCCGGCUCCUUGCCGCUGGCUUUAUCAUGGAAGUGUUCUUUCCAGAAUGGCUUGCCAACCCAGUUCUGGUUCUGAAGAAGAAUAACAAGUGGCGUAUGUGUAUAGACUACACCAGCCUGAAAAAGGCUUGCCCAAAGGAUCCGUUUGCUCUGCCACGGAUUGACCAAGUGAUAGACUCCACAGGCGGAUGCGAGCUGUUAAGUUUUUUGGAUGCGUACUCAGGGUACCAUCAGAUCAAGUUGGACCCAGCUGACCGCCUGAAGACUGCCUUCAUCACACCAUUUGGAGCUUUCUGCUACCUGACUAUGACAUUCGGCUUGAGGAAUGCCGGUGCCACUUUUCAGCGUUGCAUGCAGAAAUGCCUCUUGAAACAACUCGGCAGAAAUGCCCACGUCUAUGUAGACGACAUUGUGGUGAAGACAGAGAAGCGCGGCACCUUGCUGGAAGACCUGAAAGAAACAUUCACCAACUUGCGCCGAUUCCAGAUCAAGCUCAACCCCGAGAAGUGCGUGUUCGGAGUGCCAGCCGGCCAGCUGCUAGGCUUCCUGGUCUCCGAACGCGGCAUCGAAUGCAACCCCGUCAAGAUCAAGGCCAUCGAGAGGAUGGAGAUCCCCACCAAACUGCGAGAUGUGCAGAAGUUCACUGGCUGCUUAGCCUCAUUGAAUCGUUUUAUCAGCCGACUAGGAGAGAAGGCCCUCCCCCUGUACCGACUCAUGAAGAAGUCCACUCACUUCGAGUGGAACGACCAAGCCGACCAAGCCUUCCAUGAGUUGAAGAAAAUGCUGACCACUCCGCCUGUCCUGGCGGCGCCGACUGAGAAGGAGCCCAUGCUCCUCUAUAUCGCCGCGACUAGCCGAGUCGUCAGUACUGUUGUUGUGGUCCAGCGCCCGGAAGAAGGCCGAGCCCAGCUAGUCCAGAGGCCGGUGUACUAUCUCAGCGAAGUGCUGUCCAGCUCAAAGCAGAACUACCCGCAUUACCAGAAGAUGUGCUAUGGGGUAUACUUCGCCACCAAGAAACUGAAGCCCUACUUCCAAGAGCACCCCAUCACGGUCGUGUGCACCGCCCCGCUCGCCGAGAUCAUAGGCAGCCGGGAUGCAUCCGGCCGGGUGGCUAAAUGGGCCAUUGCACUGGCGCCCUACACGAUCUUCUACCAACCCCGCACCGCCAUCAAGUCCCAAGCAUUGGCCGACUUCCUCGUCGACUGGGCCGAGACCCAGUACCUACCGCCGGCUCCCGACUCUACCCAUUGGCGGAUGCACUUUGACGGGUCCAAGAUGCGCACCGGCUUGGGAGCCGGCAUCGUCCUCACCUCUCCCAAAGGCGACAAGCUCAAGUACACACUGCAGAUCUGUUGGGAAUCGUAGCAUAAUUUAAAAUUUUCCUACGCUCACCAAGAUGCAUCUAUCGAGUCUACUAGCAACGAGGGGAAAGGAGUGGAUCUACGUACCCUUGUAGAUCACGAGCGGAAGCGUUCCAAUGAACGUGGAUGACGGAGUCGUACUCGCCGUGAUCCAAAUCACCGAUGGUCGAGUGCCGAACGUACGGCACCUCCGCGUUCAACACACGUACGGUGCAGCGACGUCUCCUCCUUCUUGAUCCAGCAAGGGGGAAGGAGAGGUUGAUGGAGAUCCAACAGCACGACGGCGUGGUGGUGGAUGUAGCGGGAUUCCAACAGGGCUUCGCCAAGCGCUGCGGGAGGAGGGAGAUGUGUCACGGGAGGGAGAGGGAGGCGCCAGGGCUUAGAUCUUGCUGCCCUCCCUUCCCCCCACUAUAUAUAGGGCCAAGGGAGAGGGGGGGGGCGCAGCCUUGCCCCUUCCUCCAAGGAAGGGUGCGGCCAGGGGGGAGUCCUUCCCCCCCAAGGCACCUCGGAGGUGCCUUCCCCCUUUAGGACUCUCCCUUUUUUCUUAUCUCUUGCGCAUGGGCCUCUUGGGGCUGGUGCCCUUGGCCCAUAUAGGCCAAGGCACACCCCUUACAGACCAUGUGGCCCCCCGGGGCUGGUGGACCCCCUUGGUGGACCCCCGGACCCCUUUCGGCACUCCCGGUACAAUACCGAUAAAGUGCAAAACUUUUCCGGCGACCAAAAUAAGACUUCCUAUAUAUAAAUCUUUACCUCCGGACCAUUCUGGAACUCCUCGUGAUGUCCGGGAUCUCAUUCGGGACUCCAAACAACUUUCGGGUUUCCGCAUACAUAUAUCUCUACAACCCUAGCGUCACCGGACCUUAAGUGUGUAGACCCUACGGGUUCGGGAGACAUGCAGACAUGACCGAGACGCCUCUCCGGUCAAUAACCAACAGCGGGAUCUGGAUACCCAUGUUGGCUCCAACAUGUUCCACGAUGAUAUCAUCGGAUGAACCACGGUGUCGAGGAUUCAAUCAAUCCGUAUGCAAUUCCCUUUGUCAAUCGGUAUGUUACUUGCCCGAGAUUCGAUCGUCGGUAUCCCAAUACCUAGUUCAAUCUCGUUACCGGCAAGUCUCUUUACUCGUACCGCAAUGCAUGAUCCCGUGACUAACGCCUUAGUCACAUUAAGCUCAUUAUGAUGAUGCAUUACCGAGUGGGCCCAGAGAUACAUCUCCGUCACACGGAGUGAAAAAUCCCAGUCUCGAUCCGUGCCAACCCAACAGACACUUUCGGAGAUACCCGUAAUGCAACUUUAUAGUCACCCAGUUACGUUGUGACGUUUGGCACACCCAAAGCACUCCUACGGUAUCCGGGAGUUGCACGAUCUCAUGGUCUAAGGAAAAGAUACUUGACAUUGGAAAAGCUCUAGCAAACGAAACUACACGAUCUUUUAUGCUAUGCUUAAGUUGGUUCUUGUCCAUCACAUCAUUCUCCUAAUGAUGUGAUCCCGUUAUCAAUGACAUCCAAUGUCCAUAGUCAGGAAACCAUGACUAUCUGUUGAUCAACGAGCUAGUCAACUAGAGGCUUACUAGGGAUAGGUUGUGGUCUAUGUAUUCACACAUGUAUUAUGAUUUCCGGACAAUACAAUUAUAGCAUGAAUAAUAGACAAUUACCAUGAACAAAGAAAUAUAAUAAUAACCAUUUAUUAUUGCCUCUAGGGCAUAUUUCCAACAGUCUCCCACUUGCACUAGAGUCAAUAAUCUAGUUCACAUCACCAUGUGAUUAACAUUCACUGGUCACAUCACCAUGUGACCAACAUCUAAAGAGUUUACUAGAGUCAACAAUCUAGUUCACAUCACUAUGUGAUUAUCACUCAAUGUGUUCAGGUUUGGUCAUGUUAUGCUUGUGAGAGAGGUUAUUAGUCAACGGGUCUGAACCUUUCAGAACCGUGUGCUUUACGAAUAUCUAUGUCAUCUUGUGGAUGCUACCACGCGCUAUUUGGAGCCAUUUCAAAUAAUUGCUCUACUAUACGAAUCCGGUUUACUACUCAGAGUCAUCCGGAUUAGUGUCAAAGUUCGCAUCGACGUAACCCUUUACGACGAACUCCUUUCCACCUCCAUAAUCGAGAAAAUUCCUUAAUCCACUAGGUACUAAGGAUAAGUUCGACCGCUGUCAUGAGAUCCUUUCCCGGAUCACCAUUGUACCCUCUUGACCAACUCAAGGCACACUACAUGUGCGGUACACAGCAUAGCAUACUAUAGAGCCUAUGUCUAAAGCAUAGGGGACGACCUUCGUCCUUUCUCUAUCUUCCGCUGUGGUCAGGUCUUGAGUCUUACUCAAUACUCACACCUUGUAACACAGCCAAGAACUCCUUCUUUGCUGAUCUAUUUUGAACUCUUUCAAAAUCAUGUCAAGGUGUGCUGUCUUUUGAAAGUAUCAUCAGGCGUCUUGAUCUAUCCCUAUGGAUCUUGAUGCCCAAUAUGUAAGUAGCUUUAUCCAGGUCUUCCUUUGAAAAACUCCUUUCAAACAACCCUUUAUGCUUUCCAGAAAUUUUACAUCAUUUCGGAUCAACAAUAUGUCAUUCACAUAUACUUAUCAGAAAUGUUGUAGCGCUCCCACUCACUUUAUUGUAAAUACAAGUUUCUAACAAACUUUGUAUAAACCCAAAAACUUUGAUCACCCCAUCAAAGCAUAUAUUCUGACUCCGAGAUGCUUGCUCUAAUCCAUGGAAGGAUCGCUGGAGCUAGCAUACCUUUUAGCAUCCUUAGGAUCGACAAAACCUUUCUGAUUGUAUCACAUACAACCUUUCCUCACGAAAACUGGUAAGGAAACUUGUUUUGACAUCCAUCUGCCAGAUUUCAUAAAUGUAGCUAAUGCUAACAUGAUUUCGACGGACCUAAGCAUCGCUAUGGAUGAGAAAAACUCAUCGUAGUCAACUCCUUGAACUUGUGAAAAUACUCUUUGCCACAAGUCGAGCUUCAUAGAUGGUAACUUUACCGUCCAUGUCCGUCUUCUUCUUAAAGAUCCAUUUAUCUCAAUGGCUUGCCGAUCAUCGGGCAAGUUCACCAAAGUCCAUGCUUUGUUCUGAUACAUGGAUUCUAUCUCGGAUUUCAUGGCCUCGAGCCAUUCGUCGGAAUAUGGGCCCACCAUCGUUUCUCCAUAGCUCGUAGGUUCAUUGUUGUCUAGCAACAUGACUUCCAAGACAGGAUCACGCAUUACUCUGAAGUAGUGCGCAUCCUCGUCGUCCUACGAGGUUUGGUAGUGACUUGAUCUGAAGUUUCAUGAUCACCAUCAUAAGCUUCCACUUCAAUUGGUGUAGGUGCCACAGGAACAACUUCCUGUGCCCUGCUACAUACUAGUUGAAGCGACGGUUCAAUAACCUUAUCAAGUCUCCACCAUCUUCCCACUCAAUUCUUUCGAGAGAAACUUUUCCUCGAGAAAGGACUCGUUUCUAGAAGCAAUUACUUUUGCUUCCAGAUCUGAAAUAGGAGGUAUACCCAACUGUUUUUGGGUAUUCUAUGAAGAUGCAUUUAUCCGCUUUGGGUUCGAGCUUAUCAGCCUGAAACUUUUUCACAUAAGCAUCGCAGCCCCAAACUUUUAAGAAACGACAACUUAGGUUUCUAUAAACGGUGUCGUCUCAACGGAAUUGCGUGGUGCCCCUUUUAAAGUGAAUGCGGUUGUCUCUAAUGCCUAACCCAUAAACGAUAGUGGUAAUUUGAUAAGAAACAUCAUGGUGUGCACCAUAUCCAAUAGGGUGCAGUUGUGAUGUUCGGACACACCAUCACACUAUGGUGUUCCAGGCGGUAUUAAUUGUGAAACACUUUCCACAAUGUCUCAAUUGUGUGCCAAACUCGUAUCUCAGAUACUCAUCUCUAUGAUCAUAUCACAGACAUUUUAUCCUCUUGUUACGACGAUCUUCAACUUCACUCUGAAAUUACUUGAACCUUUCAAUAAUUCAGACUAGUGUUUCAUCAAGUAAAUACACUCAGCAUCUACUCAAAUCAUCUGUGAAGUAAGAACAUAACGAUAUCCACUGCAUGCCUCAGCACUCAUUAGACUGCGUACAUCAAAAUGUAUUACUUCCAAUAAGUUGCUCUCUUGUUCCAUCUUACUGAAAACGAGGACUUUCAGUCAUCUUGCCCAUGUGGUAUGAUUUGCAUGUCUCAAGUGAUUCAUAAUCAAGUGAGUCUAAACGAUCCAUCUGUAUGGAGUUUCUUCAUGCAUAUAUACCAAUAGACAUGGUUCGCAUGUCUCAAUCUUUUCAAAAAUGAGUGAGUCCAAAGAUCCAUCCACAUGGAGCUUCUUCAUGCGUUCUAUACCAAUAUGACUCAAGUGGCAGUGCCACAAGUAUGUGGUACUAUCAUUACUAUCUUAUAUCUUUUUGGCAUGAACAUGUGUAUCACUACGAUCGAGAUUCAUUUUAGGUGCAAGACCAUUGAAGGUAUUAUUCAAAUAAACAGAGUAACCAUUAUUCUCCUUAAAUGAAUAACCGUUUUGCGAUAAACAUAAUCCAAUCAUGUUCAACGCAAACACCAAAUCUCGAUAGUAGAGGGAGCAUGCGAUGCUUGAUCACAUCAACCUUGGAAACACUUCCAACGCACAUCGUCAUCUCACUUUUAGCUAGUCUCCGUUUAUUCCGCAGCUUUUAUUUCGAGUUACUAACACUUAGCAACCGAACCGGUAUCUAAUACCCUGGUGCUGCUAGGAGUACUAGUAAAGUACACAUUCAUACAAUGUAUAUCCAAUAUACUUCUGUCGACCUUGCCUGCCUUCUCAUCUACCAAGUAUCUAGGGUAGUUCCGCUUCAGUGACCGUUCCCCUCAUUACAGAAGCACUUAGUCUCGGGUUUGGGUUCAACCUUGGGAUUCUUCACUAGAGCAGCAAACGACUUGCUGUUUCAUGAAGUAUCCCUUUUGCCCUUGCCCUUCUUAAACUAGUGGUUUUACUAACCAUCAACGAUUGAUGCUCCUUCUUGAUUUCUACUCUCGCGGUGUCAAACAUCGCGAAUAGCUCAAGGAUCAUCAUAACCAUCCUUGAUAUGUUAUAGUUCAUCACGAAGCUCUACUAGCUUGGUGGCAGUGACUAUGGAGAACUAUCACUAUCUCAUCUGGGAGAUUAACUCCCACUUGAUUCAAGCGAUUGUGCCACUCAGACAAUCUGAGCACACGCUCAACGAUUGAGCUUUUCUCCCUUAGUUUGCAGGCUUAAGAAACUUGUCAGAGGUCUCAUACCUCUUGACGUGGGCACUAGUCUGAAAUCCCAAUUUCAGUCUUCGGAACAUCUCACAUGUUCUGCGACGUUUCAAAAACGUCUUUGGUGCCACAAUUCUAAACCGCACUGAACUAUCACGUAGUCAUCAAAACGUGUAUGUCAGAUGUUUCGUAACAUCUACAAACGACGCUGAGGUUCAGCACACCGAGCGGUGCAUUAAGGACAUAAGCCUUCUGUGUAGCAAUGAGGACAAUCCUCAGUUUACGGACCCAGUCCGCAUAAUUGCUACUACCAACUUUCAACUAAAUUUUCUCUAGGAACAUAUCUUAAUCAGUAGAACUAAAGCGCAAGCUAUGACAUAAUUUGCAAAUACCUUUUUGACUAUGUUCAUGAUAAUGAAGUUCAUCUGAUUAUGAACUCCCACUCAGAUAGACAUCCCUCUAGUCAUCUAAGUGAAACAUGAUCCGAGUUCAACUAGGCCGUGUCCGAUCAUCACGUGAGACGGACUAGUCAAGAUCGGUGAACAUCUCCAUGUUGAUCGUAUCUUCUAUACGACUCAUGCUCGACCUUUCGGUCCUCCGUGUUCCGAGGCCAUGUCUGUACAUGCUAGGCUCGUCAAGUCAACCUAAGUGUAUUGCGUGUGUUUCGAGGCCAUGUCUGUACAUGCUAGGCUCGUCAACACCCGUUGUAUUCGAACGUUAGAAUCUAUCACACCCGAUCAUCACGUGGUGCUUCGAAACAACGAACCUUCGCAACGGUGCACAGUUAGGGUGAACACUUUCUUGAAAUUAUUAUAAGGGAUCAUCUUACUUACUACCGUCGUUCUAAGCAAAUAAGAUGCAAAAACAUGAUAAACAUCACAUGCAAUCAAAUAGUGACAUGAUAUGGCCAAUAUCAUUAUGCUCCUUUGAUCUCCAUCUUCGGGGCACCAUGAUCAUCUUCGUCACCGGCAUGGCACCAUGAUCUCCAUCAUCAUGAUCUCCAUCAUUGUGUCUUCAUGAAGUCGUCACGCCAACGAUUACUUCUACUUCUAUGGCUAACGCGUUUAGCAACAAAGUAAAGUAAUUUACAUGGCGUUAUUCAAUGACACGCAGGUCAUACAAAAUAAUAAAGACAACUCCUAUGGCUCCUGCCGGUUGUCAUACUCAUCGACAUGCAAGUCGUGAUUCCUAUUACAAGAAUAUGAUCAAUCUCAUACAUCACAUAUAUCAUUCAUCACAUCUUCUGGCCAUAUCACAUCACAUAGCACUUGCUGCAAAAACAAGUUAGACGUCCUCUAAUUGUUGUUGCAAGUUUUUAUGUGGUUUGUAGGUUUCUAGCAAGAACGUUUCUUACCUACGUAUGACCACAACGUGAUUUGCCAAUUUCUAUUUACCCUUCAUAAGGACCCUUUUCAUCGAAUCCGUUCCGACUAAAGUAGGAGAGACAGACACCCGCUAGCCACCUUAUGCAACUAGUGCAUGUCAGUUGGUGGAACCUGUCUCACGUAAGAGUACGUGUAAGGUCGGUCCGGGCCGCUUCAUCCUACAAUGCCGCCGAAACAAGAAAAAACUAGUAGCGGCAAGAAGAAUUGGCAAACUCAACGCCCACAACUUCUUUGUGUUCUACUCGUGCAUAGUAACUACGCAUAGACCUGGCUCAUGAUGCCACUGUUGGGAAUCGUAGCAUAAUUUAAAAUUUUCCUACGCUCACCAAGAUGCAUCUAUGGAGUCUACUAGCAACGAGGGGAAGGGAGUGCAUCUACAUACCCUUGUAGAUCGCGAGCGGAAGCGUUCCAAUGAACGUGGAUGACGGAGUCGUACUCGCCGUGAUCCAAAUCACCGAUGACCGAGUGCCGAACGUACGGCACCUCCGCGUUCAACACACGUACGGUGCAGCGACGUCUCCUCCUUCUUGAUCCAGCAAGGGGGGAGGAGAGGUUGAUGGAGAUCCAACAGCACGACGGCGUGGUGGUGGAUGUAGCGGCUCUCCGGCAGGGCUUCGCAAGCUUCUGCGAGAGAGAGAGGUGUUGCAUGGGAGGAGGGAGGCGCCCAAGGCUUGGAUAUUGCUGCCCUCCCUUCCCCCCACUAUAUAUAGGGCCAAGGGAGAGGGGGGGGGGCGCAGCCUUGCCCCUUCCUCCAAGGAAGGGUGCGGCCAGGGGGGAGUCCUUCCCCCCCAAGGCACCUCGGAGGUGCCUUCCCCCUUUAGGACUCUCCCUUUUUUCUUAUCUCUUGCGCAUGGGCCUCUUGGGGCUGGUGCCCUUGGCCCAUAUAGGCCAAGGCGCACCCCUUACAGCCCAUGUGGCCCCCCGGGGCUGGUGGACCCCCGGACCCCUUUCGGCACUCCCGGUACAAUACCGAUAAAGUGCGAAACUUUUCCGGCGACCAAAAUAAGACUUCCCAUAUAUAAAUCUUUACCUCCGGACCAUUCCGGAACCUCUCGUGACGUCCGGGAUCUCAUCCGGGACUCCGAACAACUUUCGGGUUUCCGCAUACAUAUAUCUCUACAACCCUAGCGUCACCGGACCUUAAGUGUGUAGACCCUACGGGUUCGGGAGACAUGCAGACAUGACCGAGACGCCUCUCCGGUCAAUAACCAACAGCGGGAUCUGGAUACCCAUGUUGGCUCCCACAUGUUCCACGAUGAUAUCAUCGGAUGAACCACGGUGUCGAGGAUUCAAUCAAUCCGUAUGCAAUUCCCUUUGUCAAUCGGUAUGUUACUUGCCCGAGAUUCGAUCGUCGGUAUCCCAAUACCUUGUUCAAUCUCGUUACCGGCAACUCUCUUUACUCGUACCGCAAUGCAUGAUCCCGUGACUAACGCCUUAGUCACAUUGAGCUCAUUAUGAUGAUGCAUUACCGAGUGGGCCCAGAGAUACCUCUCCGUUUACACGGAGUGACAAAUCCCAGUCUCGAUCCGUGCCAACCCAACAGACACUUUCGGAGAUACCCGUAAUGCACCUUUAUAGUCACCCAGUUACGUUGUGACGUUUGGCACACCCAAAGCACUCCUACGGUAUCCGGGAGUUGCACGAUCUCAUGGUCCAAGGAAAAGAUACUUGACAUUGGAAAAGCUCUAGCAAACGAAACUACACGAUCUUUUAUGCUAUGCUUAGGAUUGGGUCUUGUCCAUCACAUCAUUCUCCUAAUGAUGUGAUCCCGUUAUCAAUGACAUCCUAUGUCCAUAGUCAGGAAACCAUGACUAUCUGUUGAUCAACGAGCUAGUCAACUAGAGGCUUACUAGGGACAGGUUGUGGUCUAUGUAUUCACACAUGUAUUACGAUUUCCGGACAAUACAAUUAUAGCAUGAAUAAAAGACUAUUAUCAUGAACACAGAAAUAUAAUAAUAACCAUUUAUUAUUGCCUCUAGGGCAUAUUUCCAACAUUUCGGUCCUCCGUGUUCCGAGGCCAUGUCUGUACAUGCUAGGCUCGUCAAGUCAACCUAAGUGUAUUGCGUGUGUUCCGAGGCCAUGUCUGUACAUGCUAGGCUCGUCAACACCCGUUGUAUUCGAACGUUAGAAUCUAUCACACCCGAUCAUCACGUGGUGCUUCGAAACAACGAACCUUCGCAACGGUGCACAGUUAGGGUGAACACUUUCUUGAAAUUAUUAUAAGGGAUCAUCUUACUUACUACCGUCGUUCUAAGCAAAUAAGAUGCAAAAACAUGAUAAACAUCACAUGCAAUCAAAUAGUGACAUGAUAUGGCCAAUAUCAUCAUGCUCCUUUGAUCUCCAUCUUCGGGGCACCAUGAUCAUCUUCGUCACCGGCAUGACACCAUGAUCUCCAUCAUCAUGAUCUCCAUCAUUGUGUCUUCAUGAAGUCGUCACGCCAACGAUUACUUCUACUUCUAUGGCUAACGCGUUUAGCAACAAAGUGAAGUAAAUUACAUGGCGUUAUUCAAUGACACGCAGGUCAUACAAAAUAAUAAAGACAACUCCUAUGGCUCCUGCCGGUUGUCAUACUCAUCGACAUGCAAGUCGUGAUUCCUAUUACAAGAAUAUGAUCAAUCUCAUACAUCACAUAUAUCAUUCAUCACAUCUUCUGGCCAUAUCACAUCACAUAGCACUUGCUGCAAAAACAAGUUAGACGUCCUCUAAUUGUUGUUGCAAGUUUUUACGUGGUUUGUAGGUUUCUAGCAAGAACGUUUCUUACCUACGUAUGACCACAACGUGAUUUGCCAAUUUCUAUUUACCCUUCAUAAGGACCCUUUUCAUCGAAUCCGUUCCGACUAAAGUAGGAGAGACAGACACCCGCUAGCCACCUUAUGCAUCUAGUGCAUGUCAGUCGGUGGAACCUGUCUCACGUAAGAGUACGUGUAAGGUCGGUCCGGGCCGCUUCAUCCUACAAUGCCGCCGAAACAAGAAAAGACUAGUAGCGGCAAGAAGAAUUGGCAAACUCAACGCCCACAACUGCUUUGUGUCCUACUCGUGCAUAGUAACUACGCAUAGACCUGGCUCUGAUACCACUGUUGGGAAUCGUAGCAUAAUUUAAAAUUUUCCUACGCUCACCAAGAUGCAUCUAUGGAGUCUACUAGCAACGAGGGAAAAGGAGUGGAUCUACGUACCCUUGUAGAUCGCGAGCAGAAGCGUUCCAAUGAACGUGGAUGACGGAGUCGUACUCGCCGUGAUCCAACUCACCGAUGAUCGAGUGCCGAACGUACGGCACCUCCGCGUUCAACACACGUACGGUGCAGCGACGUCUCCUCCUUCUUGAUCCAGCAAGGGGGAAGGAGAGGUUGAUGGAGAUCCAACAGCAUGACGGCGUGGUGGUGGAUGUAGCGGGAUUCCAACAGGGCUUCGCCAAGCGCUGCGGGAGGAGGGAGAUGUGUCACGGGAGGGAGAGGGAGGCGCCAGGGCUUAGAUCUUGCUGCCCUCCCUUCCCCCCACUAUAUAUAGGGCCAAGGGAGNNNNNNNNNNCAGCAAGGGGGAAGGAGAGGUUGAUGGAGAUCCAACAGCACGACGGCGUGGUGGUGGAUCUAGCGGGUCUCCGGCAGGGCUUCGCCGAGCUUCUGCGAGAGAGAGAGAGGUGUUGCAGGGGAGGAGGGAGGCGCCCAAGGCUUAGAUGUUGCUGCCCUCCCUUCCCCCCACUAUAUAUAGGGCCAAGGGAGCGGGGGGGGGGGGGCGCAGCCUUGCCCCUUCCUCCAAGGAAGGGUGCGGCCAGGGGGGAGUCCUUCCCCCCCAAGGCACCUCGGAGGUGCCUUCCCCCUUUAGGACUCUCCCUUUUUCUCUUAUCUCUUGCGCAUGGGCCUCUUGGGGCUGGUGCCCUUGGCCCAUAUAGGCCGAGGCGCACCCCUUACAGCCCAUGUGGCCCCCCGGGGCUGGUGGACCCCCUUGGUGGACCCCCGGACCCCUUUCGGCACUCCCGGUACAAUACCGAUAAAGCGCGAAACUUUUCCNNNNNNNNNNCCUCCGCGUUCAACACACGUACGGUGCAGCGACGUCUCCUCCUUCUUGAUCCAGCAAGGGGGAAGGAGAGGUUGAUGGAGAUCCAACAGCAUGACGGCGUGGUGGUGGAUGUAGCGGGAUUCCAACAGGGCUUCGCCAAGCGCUGCGGGAGGAGGGAGAUGUGUCACGGGAGGGAGAGGGAGGCGCCAGGGCUUAGAUCUUGCUGCCCUCCCUUCCCCCCACUAUAUAUAGGGCCAAGGGAGGGGGGGGGGGCGCAGCCUUGCCCCUUCCUCCAAGGAAGGGUGCGGCCAGGGGGGAGUCCUUCCCCCCCAAGGCACCUCGGAGGUGCCUUCCCCCUUUAGGACUCUCCCUUUUUUCUUAUCUCUUGCGCAUGGGCCUCUUGGGGCUGGUGCCCUUGGCCCAUAUAGGCCAAGGCACACCCCUUACAGCCCAUGUGCCCCCCCGGGGCUGGUGGACCCCCUUGGUGGACCCCCGGACCCCUUUCGGCACUCCCGGUACAAUACCGAUAAAGUGCGAAACUUUUCCGGCGACCAAAAUAAGACUUCCUAUAUAUAAAUCUUUACCUCCGGACCAUUCCGGAACUCCUCGUGACGUCCGGGAUCUCAUCCGGGACUCCAAACAACUUUCAGGUUUCCGCAUACAUAUAUCUCUACAACCCUAGCGUCACCGGACCUUAAGUGUGUAGACCCUACGGGUUCGGGAGACAUGCAGACAUGACCGAGACGCCUCUCCGGUCAAUAACCAACAGCGGGAUCUGGAUACCCAUGUUGGCUCCCACAUGUUCCACGAUGAUAUCAUCGGAUGAACCACGGUGUCGAGGAUUCAAUCAAUCCGUAUGCAAUUCCCUUUGUCAAUCGGUAUGUUACUUGCCCGAGAUUCGAUCGUCGGUAUCCCAAUACCUAGUUCAAUCUCGUUACCGGCAAGUCUCUUUACUCGUACCGCAACGCAUGAUCCCGUGACUAACGCCUUAGUCACAUUGAGCUCAUUAUGAUGAUGCAUUACCGAGUGGGCCCAGAGAUACAUCUCCGUCACACGGAGUGACAAAUCCCAGUCUCGAUCCGUGCCAACCCAACAGACACUUUCGGAGAUACCCGUAAUGCAACUUUAUAGUCACCCAGUUACGUUGUGACGUUUGGCACACCCAAAGCACUCCUACGGUAUCGGGAGUUGCACGAUCUCAUGGUCUAAGGAAAAGAUACUUGACAUUGGAAAAGCUCUAGCAAACGAAACUACACGAUCUUUUAUGCUAUGCUUAAGUUGGGUCUUGUCCAUCACAUCAUUCUCCUAAUGAUGUGAUCCCGUUAUCAAUGACAUCCAAUGUCCAUAGUCAGGAAACCAUGACUAUCUGUUGAUCAACGAGCUAGUCAACUAGAGGCUUACUAGGGACAGGUUGUGGUCUAUGUAUUCACACAUGUAUUAUGAUUUCCGGACAAUACAAUUAUAGCAUGAAUAAUAGACAAUUACCAUGAACAAAGAAAUAUAAUAAUAACCAUUUAUUAUUGCCUCUAGGGCAUAUUUCCAACAAGAUCCACUUUGCCACCUCCAACAACGUGGCCGAGUACGAGGCGCUCGUACAUGGGCUCCGGCUAGCCAAAGAGCUCGGCAUACGCCGGAUCCUGUGUUACGGCGACUCAGACUUGGUGGUCCAGCAGUCGUCUGGUGACUGGGACGCCAAGGACACGAACAUGGCGAGCUAUCGAUUCCUCGUCCAGCAGAUCAGCGGAUACUUCGAAGAGUGCGAGUUCCUCCACGUGCCAAGGGCUGACAACGACCAAGCAGAUGCCCUAGCACGGAUCGGCUCCACCCGACAAGCCAUACCGACUGGCGUCUCCCUCCAGCGCCUCCUCAAGCCGUCCAUCAAGCCGUCUCCAGAGUCGGACUCUAUCUUCGUACCGCCUGCGCCAGACACAGCCGGAUCCGACUGGAGGAACCCCGCAGGCGGCACGGGGACUUCGACAACUGGCCCGGGGACUGCCGUAGUCGCACCCGGCCCGGGGACUUCAGGACCCGGCCCGGGGACUGCAGCAGUCGGCCCGGGGACUGCAACGACACAAGAAGCGAUGGCCGACUCCAAUUCCGCGCCACCCAACCCACCCACCCGAGUCAUGGUGGCUACACUAACAGAAGAAGAAGUCACAGCUCUGUCAUGGGCCCAGCCCAUCCUCAAGUUCCUAGUCAGCAGAGAGCUGCCGGCUGAUGGGAUCUCGGCGAGACUAGUGCAACGACGAGCCGCAGCAUAUGCAAUAAUCAAUAGAGAGCUUGUGAAGCGCAGCGUCACUAGAGUCUUCCAGCGUUGUGUUGAGCCGGAAAAAGGAGUGGCAAUCCUCAAAGAUAUCCACCAAGGCGAAUGCGGCCACCACGCAGCCUCAAGAUCACUCGUGGCCAAGGCUUUCCGCCAUGGUUUCUUCUGGCCGACCGCCUUGGAGGAUGCUAAAGAAAUAGUCAAGAGCUGCAGAGGAUGCCAAGUUUUUAGUUCCAAGCAACACCUGCCGGCUUCUGCACUCAAGACCAUUCCCCUCACCUGGCCUUUUGCCGUCUGGGGGCUGGACAUGGUGGGCCCUUUCAAGACAGCCCGCGGCGGCUUGACGCAUCUACUUGUCGCUGUGGACAAGUUCACAAAGUGGAUCGAAGCAAAGCCGAUCAAGAAGCUGAACGGGCCGACUGCCGUGACAUUCAUCACCGACAUCACUACUCGGUACGGCGUGCCGCACAGCAUCAUCAUCGACAACGGCACGAACUUCGCCAAAGGAGCACUGGCACGUUUCUGCGCGAUGCAGGGCAUCCGACUGGACUUAGCGUCCGUUGCCCACCCGCAGUCAAACGGCCAGGUCGAGCGAGCAAAUGGACUCAUCCUCUCCGGCAUCAAGCCCCGACUGGUUGUACCACUGGAGCGAUCGGCCGGCUGCUGGCUGUCCUCUGGAGUCUGCGCACUACACCCAACAAGUCAACCGGCUUUACUCCAUUCUUCCUUGUAUACGGUGCCGAGGCUGUCAUCCCAACAGACAUCGAGUUCGACUCGCCUCGGAUUACCAUGUACACGGAGGCAGAGGCCAAGGAAGCAAUAGAAGACGGCGUCGACCUACUGGAAGAAGGCCGGCUGUUAGCACUCAGCCGGUCCGCCAUCUACCAGCAAGGGCUGCGCCGCUACCACAACCGCAAGGUCAAGCCAAGAUCCUUCCAUGAGGGCGACCUUGUGCUCCGGCUGAUCCAGCGAACAGCCGGCCAGCACAAGCUCUCGGCUCCUUGGGAAGGCCCCUUCGUCGUCAGCAAGGCACUCGGCAACGACUCCUACUACUUGAUCGACGCACAAAAACCAAGAGCACGCAAGAGAGAUGACUCCGGCAAGGAGUCGGAGCGACCAUGGAACGCAAACCUCCUGAGAAGAUUUUACAGUUGAAAGCAGUAUGUAUCAUGCUACCCUUUUGUAUUAAGCACGAACCAACAGCCCCCCGAACAGUACUCGGGGACUGCCUUUAUCUAUCUAUGAAUGACGAGUGUCAUAUCCAUGAAUGUAUUAUUACAUUUGAUUUCUUGUCUGGCACCGGGUUCGACUAGUCGGCCCGGGGACUCGCCGCCUUCAGCUAUAUUAAAAGUUCUACUUGAAGUCAAACAAGUAGUGUGCCGGCUCCCAAGUCCUCUCUUGUUGAAAGUCGCAGCUCGAAGAACCGACUGUCCGACUAGCAAGAGGCAAGGCAGAAAGGUUGCCCACACGAAAAACGGCUAAGGAACAACGAACUUAUAUAGCAGAAAGACGGCCUCCAAACACGCCUGCCGGCUGUCAGAACAGCCGGCUGGCCGGCUUCCUAAACACUUAGCUUUAGUCCAGCAAAGCUAGAGUACUUCCCCCCCCCCAAUUGGCCAAGCACUCCUCCAGCUACAGAUUGCAAAGCAAUUGUUGGACUGGGGAGGCGGCGACCAAGGGAGGGCGGCAAAGGAAACAGCGGAAGGAUAAAAAGCAAAGUACAAGGAAAAGCCAAAUGCAUGCAUAAGUUAUAUAUACAUAUAAGGCCCCCAAUAGGCUGGCCAUCAACAUGGUUCGAAUACACCCCCAGUGGGUGGAAUUGUGCAGACUUAACAAAGUAUUGUUCCAAAAGUAACAGGACAGAAAAAUAAAAGACGGCAGACUAGACUAAGGCGCGGUGCGGGGGGCCGAGCUGGUCGGUGAAGGCGGCCUCGCCGGCUGAAGGAGUGGCCGCCUAGCGGGUCUCGGCUUGGUCACCACCAGCAGCAGGCGACGCACUCGCGCGCGACGUGGUGCUGGAGGCGCGGUCAAGCUGAGGCUGGUCGGCUGCUCCACCAGCCGGCUCGGCGUCUUCACCCUCCUCCUCCUCCUCUUCACCCUCGUCGCUGGAGUCGAUCUCCUCCGCCGAGUCUUCACCGUCUGCCGGGUUCAGCCCGAACCACUCCUCCGGCUGGGCGACACCGUUGUCGUCUACCUCGGGGGCGAAGACGCUGGUGUCGGUGUAGUCGGCGAUCGCCGAAGCCCGCCGGAUGAUAGCCGGCCGCGCCGGCUUCAGCUCCGUGUCGGCUUGCUGCCGCCAGGUAGCCAGCUGAUCCAGGCUCAGGCCGGGAUACCAGGCCUUGACGAACUCCAGCGCCCGCCUGGCGCCGGAGCGAGCCGCCGAGGCCUUCCAAGCUUCGAAGCGGCCGACUGCCACCUCCAGCCAGUCGGCAGUCCGACUGGGGGUGCGAGGAACCACUUGGCCGGGCCAGAGGGUAGCCAAGACUUGCGCCCCGGCAUGCUGAAGCCCGCGGAGCAGUCGGUGAGUCGGCUGGACGCGGGCCUGGAUCGCCAAGAGCUGCUCCUCCAGCGAACGGCCGGCGGUUGGCGAAAUCUCGAAGCGAGCCAGCCUCCGCGCCUCGCGGCGGGCCUCGAUGGUCUGGUUGGCGGCGGUAGAAUAGCCAGGGAAAUAUUCUGCGCAAGAAAAAAGAAGAAAAGAGCACCAAGUCAGAAAACGAGCCAAAAAUGGCAGAUGGCAAGAAAGGACGAAGAGGUAGGCGGCUUACCGUCAACCAGAUCUUCAAACUGACCAUAGCCAGGGGUCAGAGUUUGCCUGGCCUCAGCCCAGCCAGCCGCCUCCGUCUCAUACUCGGCCUGGAGGGCGGCUUCGCGGUCCUGCACCGCCUUUAGAGCCGCCUUGUGGCCUUCCUCCUGGUCGGCCAACUUCUUGGCCAGGUGGUCGCGUUCCUGCACCAAGGCGGCGAGCUCGGCAUCCUUGGCACGAAGGGCAGUCUGAGACUCCCCCAACUGUGCCCUCAGACCGGCGUUGGCCGCUGCAGAGACGGCAGAAAAAGAAAGAACAGUAAGAGGAAGUCGUCACGGAAGAUCCGACCCGACUGCUCAGCAGUCGUCCCGAAUCUCGGGGACUAGACCCAGUGGGUGCGCUGACGCGCCCCCAUAUGAGAAAAAGAACAAAGCACGUACCUCGGCUCUCAGUAAGGUCGGCGGUCUUCUGGGUCAGCUCCCGAGCCUGGGAAUUGAAGGCGGCCGCACGAAGAUCGUGGUAGUCCUGCAAGAUAGACAGAAGAUCGAAGUAAGAACAAAAAUAGCAAAGACAAAUCCACUAAGAAGUUCCAAGCCGCCUGCUCAGCAGCCGACUCGGAACUCGGGGACUACAACCAGUGGGUGCGCUGACGCGCCCCCACGGAAGAAAUCAAGAUCAAGAAGAAGCAAGAUGGGAAGACUAACCCGGAUGGCCGCCCGUGUCGCGAGGAACUCAUCGGUGAACUGCCUCAGUGCCGUAGCCUGAGCCUGGAGCCGGGUCCGGAUGUCCUGCGCGGCCACGUUCAUCAUGGCCGUCCCUCCGCCCGGCGUCCACCCCGAGGUAGCGCUGGCAACCUCCAUGUCCGGGGCCGACGAGCUGGAGCCCACGACCGGCUGCGGCUCCGACAUGGCCUUUUGUGGCUCCGACGCAGCUUUCCCCGCACGACGACUCGGGGGCAUCCGGACCGCCAUCUCAGUCCUCGCGACCGGCUCGCUCCUCGCCGACUGCGCAGGCGGCGGAUCAGGCCGGCCGCCUUGAGCCGCCCCAGUUGACAGGGUCGGCACCGGCGCCCUCUCCAGGACGACGACGUCGUCGUCCCUCUCCAGCCCUGGCUGGUCGCCGCUGGCUCCCUCUGGCGAGGGCUCCAUGUCCCCAGGCGCUACGACGCGCAGCAGGGUGACCAUCAAGACCUCCUCCGCCGCCGCCGCGGCAGCAGCCUCCGCUUGGGCCCUGGCAGCGGCGUCAGCGAGCGCCUUCGCCGCCUCCUCCUCCUGCAUCACCUGAGCGGCGGCCGCCUUCCGUGCCUCCGCCUCUCGCGCCUCCCGCUCCUCCCGCGCCUCCCGUGCAUUCCGUUCUGUCGCUUCCUGAAGGUCGGCACGGGGGUCCACGCGGCGAGUGGUGCUCCCAGAUCCCCUCGGCGACUCGACGACAGAUGCGGCAGCCGCCCGCUCAAGCGACAACGGAGCUCUGAUUGUUUGGACAAAAAGACAAGGGUUCAGAAACCACCAGAGAAAAGAAAGAAAAAGAGUAUACAAAAGAAUUCGAACUUACGCCGACACGGUCUGCGGUUGCUUCACCGUCUUGCAGAAGCGAGCCCCCUUCGCGGCCGCCUCCUCUUGCCUGGUUGCUGCCGCCCCGCCCCUGGGUUUCUUCGUCCGACUGCCGAACAAACCCUGGGCGGCGCGACGCUUCUGCCCUCCGCCCCGAGCAGGCGGUGCAGCGGAGGAACCCGCGCCGCGUCUAGAUGCCGGUCGGCGGCGCGGGGCGACUUCGGCCUCAUCGUCGUCCGGCCAGUCGUCGAAGGUGACUCCAUGCCCGGAGCCGCCUGCUUCGCCGCCGGCUUGGCCACCACCCGGCUCGAUGUUGUCGUCCAUAGCGGCCGCCCCCAAGUCGGGGUCCUCCAGAUCGUGCUCCGUCCGGUCGGGGACGAAUCGACGCUCCGCGUCUGACCCGCCGGCCGGACGAAGAAGAGGGCUCUGUCGAAAACAAGCCGACUAAGUUAGAGUCGGCCAAGAGGAACUCGGCUACAAAGUUAAGAGAAAAAGAAGAGACAAGGAGAGCAUACCGUGGGCGGUGGAUUGGCUCGGCUGUAUGGCUCCUUGCCGAACUGCCACUCUUCAGAGAAUUUGCAGUUCGCGAGGUAGUUCACCAUAUAGGCGACCUCCUCGUGCGGCAUGUCCUUGGUGCACAUCCGGCUCGGAUCGAGCUGGCCGCUCAUCUGACAGAUCAGAUGAGGACGGCUCUGGAGUGGAAGAACCCGGCGCGUGACGAAGGCGGCCAGAAGGUCGGGCCCCGUCAGGCCCUCCGACUGGGUCAUCACUCGCACUCGGGCGACGGCUGCGGACCCAGCCGGCGUUAGAGUCACGGCCCGGAAGGACCACUGGGGCCGCCUGCCCGCCGGUGGGCCGGCUAUAUAAGCCGGCAGGUUGAUGUAGUCGCCCCGCGGGGCGAUGUUCCGCACGUAGAAGUACGACUUUUGCCACUUCUUCACCGAUUGGAUCAGCGUGAUGACGGAGAAGGGGUUGUCGGCGAGCGACCUCCGCGACGCGAUGAAGGCGCCAGUCUGAGCCGGCACGCCCUGCAUGCGCGUGCCCAGCUUGGACUGGAAGAACUCCCCCCAGAGCUCGAGGGUAGGGAGGACGCCGAGGUAGCCUUCGCACAGGGUGACGAAGGCAGACAGCAGCACCAUCGCGUUUGGGGUGAGGUGAUGCGGCUGGAGCUGGUAGAAAUCGAGCCAGGAGCGGAAAAAGGCGCUCACGGGCAGGCCGAUGCCGCACAAGAAAUGCGAGCGGAAGACCACCCGUCGCCCUCCCGCGGCUCCGGCGUAAUUUCCCUCGCCGGCGCGAGACAGACCUCCACCUUGUCCGCGCCGGGCAGCCGCCGCGUCUGGCGGAGGAACUCGACGUGAUCCUCGUGGACGUUGGAGCCGUCCCAAUCCCCGCCAUACUGCUCCGUGGCGGGAGGCAUGGCGAAAACGAGCGCGGCGGCGGAGGAACGUGUGGUGGAAGCGCGCGGCGGCGAGGCGCUGUUGCAAGAAACGGCAAGAGAAAGAAGACGGUGGAAGGAGGAGGAGCGUGCGAGAGCCUGCCGCUCUCCCUCUCCCCCUACUUAUAGCUUCGCGAGGUGAGGCCGGGGAGGCCGGAUGUGGGGGGAGACGUGGGAUUAACUGCACCCACUCCCCCCACGCCUCGCUAUUAUUGCGCCCUAAAGGCGAGCCGAAACUGCCGCCAGGAGACGUGCGGGCGGUUUCGGGCUGCAGAGAAUUCGCGCCUGGGCCUGGGCGUGGACGUGGCGGGCCCCCGCCCUGCGGCGACGUCCCAUCGCGCGUGUGGGCUGGCAGGCUUUUUGGCCGAGAGAGGCCACGUGGUUCGCAGGCGGCAAGUGGCCGGCCCGCGGCCCGGUGCAUGCACUGGCGAGCCCCCGCCCUCCGACUCCGGAGUUUUCAACCAAGGCGGCGCGCCUAACCGAAGCCGGCUCCCAGCUGCCGACUUGUCAAGAUAGGAAGCUGAUCGAGCUUCUCAACUCCUACUCAACCUCGAAGCCCAAUUAGCUUCGGGGACUACUGUCGGAGUAAAUGGCCACGGGUAGCCUAACCGACUGCCCCUGGUUCUUCUAAAAAAAUUAUUAGGCCUUUGGUCCUUCAAGCACUCCAAGCAUUGGACUACCUCCCCUGGCCGGCUACCUCUGAAGCCGACUCAUGGAAGGCGGCCCGGCUUCAGCAACCUCCCCCCCAGGAUAUCCGCGGGGUGGCCGACUCCAGGAAGCCGGCCUCGAAGAGCGCCGACUCCAAGAAGCCGGCUGAGACCACAACCACCAAAGCUACACCCACAUAACGGUGACAAGACGGGGUGUGGCCACAGUGCGGCCCAGUAUCCCCGAAGCCCGAGGCAGGCAUGGCCACAGGAGGCCGUACGGGACGGCCGUCUCCCGUUCGUCUCGUCACUGUAGCCAUGCUAGCCUCAACGUCAUCCACGACAGACUCCCGUACGGCCCACGAGCGGCGGGUCCCCUCGGCCAGAGAGAAGCACGGAGUCGGCCCGGCCUCCCCCAGUCGGCCAAGGGCAUAGCCGGCCCACUGAAGCCGGCUACCCCCUUCCUCGAAGCAUGUGCCCCAUUAAGGAGACAAGACAAGGUAAGGCUACAGUGAGGAUCCUCGAGGCGGCCCACUGUAGCCACGAUUACCUCAACGAAGCCCUCGUCAUCAGGAGCGAGGCUACAAUAAGUAGCCGCCGACAAGAUCCUAGGCGGUGGGGCCGGCCUGUCGACCAAGAGGCCGGCAGCCGGCGGGACCCACUAGUCGGCGGGCCCCAACAGCCGGCGGAGAAGCCGGCGAGCGUAGACACUGACGGCUGGGACCAGAGCCCAGCCGGAUUACAAUUGUACCCCCGGGGGUAGGCCUAUAUAAACCCCCCGGGGCACCCAUGCAAAGGGUUGGCUUCUGAGCAUAGCACACACACCAUAGAGAGAGAGAAGUGAGAGCUAGCCUUAUUCUUCUUCUCCCUUGAACCCAACAGCUCUAGGAGCGAUUGUAGCUACUUUUACUGAUCUAGUGAUCAUGCGGAGGCCCCGCAGAGCAGGACUAGGGGUGUUAUCUCCUCGGAGAGCCCCGAACCUGGGUAAGAUCCGCCAGCAUGCAUGUCUUCGCCUGAUCCCGUUUCCAGGCACCGGCGACGUCUUAUUGGCACCCACAAUGAUAAGCCACCCGUUGGCAUAUGUCGCACCUACCACCCGACAUCACCGGGAGUGGUCCCGAUUAUUGUCACUUCGCGGUUGCCGGAUCAUAACACAUAGUAGGUGACUAUAGACUUGCAAGAUAGGAUCAAGAACUCACAUAUAUUCAUGAAAACAUAAUAGGUUCAGAUCUGAAAUCAUGGCACUCGGGCCCUAGUGACAAGCAUUAAGCAUAGCAAAGUCAUAGCAACAUCAAUCUCAGAACAUAGUGAUACUAGGGAUCAAACCCUAACAAAACUAAAUCGAUUACAUGAUAAAUCUCAUCCAACCAAUCACUGUCCAGCAAGCCUACGAUGGAAUUACUCACGCACGGCGGUGAGCAUCAUGAAAUUGGUGAUGGAGGAUGGUUGAUGAUGACGAUGGCGACGGAUUCCGCUCUCCGGAGCCCCGAACGGACUCCGGAUCAGCCCUCCCGAGAGAGUUUAGGGCUUGGCGGCGGCUCCGUAUCGUAAAACGCGACGAAUCUUUCUCUCUGAUUUUUUUCUCCCCGAACAAGAAUAUAUGGAGUUGGAGUUGAGGUCGGUGGAGCGUUAGGGGGCCCACGAGGUAGGGGGGCGCGCCCAGGGGGGCAGGCGCGCCCUCCACCCUCGUGGACAGGUGGAGGCCCCCCUGACGUGGAUUCUUCUUCCAGUAUUUUUAAUAUUUUCCAAAAAUAUUUUCCCUGGAGUUUCAGGUCAUUCCGAGAACUUUUGUUUCUACACAUAAAUAACACCAUGGAAAGUCUGCUGAAAACAGCGUCAGUCCGGGUUAGUUCCAUUCAAAUCAUGCAAGUUAGAGUCCAAAACAAGGGCAAAAGUGUUUGGAAAAGUAGAUACGACAGAGACGUAUCAAUAUUCGACCAUGUUUAUUACGAAUAUAGGUUCAACUACGAAUCCAUAAUUAAAUGCACAGGUACAUAUACUGAAGAACUACAGAAGCACCAAGUAAAGAAUGAUGAACCACAGUUGUACUAAAGACUAUAAAGAGAGAGGCGAACGACAUUCUGGUUGCUGGAGAAGGUGAAGCGGAAUGCCCAUAUUGUGCCCUCCUCCAUGUGUAAGGCGCACACGACUCUAGGCUAACCCCUUGUGAUGGCUGCCCGUCCAUCCUUCACUGUCUUCAUUAGGACUUCUCGACGCUCAUUGUAGUCUGGAUGAAAUACUUUAACCUUCAUUGCGUGUCCACCAAUCAUCUACUUUGCGAGGUAAUCUUGAGUGAACUGCUUCGGGAACCACUGGGAACAAAAAAGAUUCAGACAUUGUUGUCUAACAACUCAUUAUGGGCAGUAAAAAGAGAAGGCUGCAGAAUUUGUAGUUACCAUCGUACAGCUUACUGUUGUGUUGGAUAGAGCAUAAACAAAUAAUUUGUUUGCCACCAUUCGUAUCUUUUUGCUAAUAAUCCUUAUCAGUUUCCUCACUUGAUGCUUGUUCAUCAAUAUCUCAUUGCCCCAUAUGCAAAAAGGGUCGAUGCGUGGAUCCUUGCCAAGGGCAUAUGUACCUACAAGCAACAAGUCAAUAUUAGAAGCUAACUAGUGUCCAGGCCUGGAUCUAUAUGCACUACAUUAUGGAACGACGGGGGAGUACAAGCUGAGGGAUGAAGCUAACCUCGACGGAAAAUGGUGGCCACUCUCGUUGUUGUCCUGCAUAAGUAGUGGAAAGGCAUGAUAAGUACAUCAAUCUUAACAUAAAAAAAUAUAGCAAAGGUAAACAACAUCAUCUCCAAAUGAUAGCUUGAAUGUGUUGGUUUCAGCAUGCUGUUAAAGCAGAUAUAAAAUGGAAGGCAAUGUUACCGACAGCAGGCUUAACAGCCAUCAAAUAUUGCAAUUCAAACUAGUAUUGUUGAAAAUGAAUAGAACGUAGGUAAUGCUUAAAAAUCACACUGGAUAAAUGAGUAAAACUAAAAAUAAAGGGCAUGUGUUAACUACACCAGGAAUAACUGGAACCAAAUAUAGCCGUUAAAACUGGUAUUGAUGUAGUCGAGCGGCACAGUUCCAACUUCCACAUAAUGAACCACACAUUGUGAAUGACUGAAAUAAACAAGGCAUAAAUGACCAGUAUAACAACCAAAUAUAGCCAUUGAAAACUGGACAGAGUCGCACUGCAACCAACCUAACAAGGAAAUACAUAUAAACAUGGUAUAUGCUUGAAAACUGGACAAAUGCUCACUGCAACCAACCUAACAAGCAGAUAAAGAUAAAGAAGGCAUCUGCUUGAUAACUGGAGAAAUGCUAAAAAAGCAACCUAACAACCAAAGACAGAUAAACAAGGCAUCUACUUGAUAACUGGACAAAUGCUAAAAAAAGCAACCUAUCAACCAAAUACAGAUAAACAAGGCAUCUUCUUGAUAACUGGACAAAUAAUCACUGCAACUAAACUAAGAACCAAAUACAGAUAAACAAGGCAUCUGCUCGAUAACUAAAAAAAUGCUCACUCCAACCAACCUAACAACCAAAUACAGAUAAACAAGGCAUCUACUCACUAUAAAGAACCAAAUAUAGCCAUUCAUGAAACUAAAGUGGACAAUUCAAACUUAAACAUCACAUAGACCUAUUGAACAAUACAUUUUUGCAUAACUGAAAUAAUUAAACACGGCACAGUUAAAGCACUGCACGGCAAAUGCUACUACAAUAAAGGGUACGGGUUGGCAAGCUAGAAAAGGUAAUAUUUGCUGAUAGAAUGUUGCCUCACAUUUCACGGAUGGGAUCCUUCCAGUUGGAAGAGCACAGACCCAUGGUGCGCUCUGUGAUGUCAUAGAUGGGCCGUUUCACCUUGGAAGAACCUUCGUGGGUGCCCUCCUCGUGGUCGUGGUCAUGGUCAAUGAGAUCUGACUUGGCAAUUGAGGAUCCCAAGCCGCCGCCGUAGAACGUGUCCUUUAGAAGUGACAAAAUGGGCUUGAUGGCGUAUAAAGCUCGCAAAUCCUUGACCGCUUGGCGGAGGAGAUCAGCGGCAGGGCCGUCGAAGAGAUCGAUGGUGGUUGAACUAGAGGGGUUGGGGAUGGACCACUUAACCUGUGACAUGGCCCGCGUGAAGCCGUCGGUCUGGACGAGCUUGAUGUUGUAGCCAGCUUUCCUGAGGUACAGUAAUACGCUAGCCCGCUGACAUGAAGCCUUCGGCAUGGCAACGUAGUCAACGUCUUCGCUGACUUCUGCGGCGACGUGUUGCUACGGGAUCGACAGGUCGGGGCGAACGGCGGCCACCUCGCCAACGUCCGCCGGAGAGGCCAUGAUAAACCUCUUCUUGGCCGAACGCUCGUCGGGCUCCCGAGAUACGUGGUCGAGCUUAGGCUGCGACAUUCUGGAGCAGGGUAUGUGGUUCUGGCGGGGAGGGACACCGCAGGCCUCAUCUAAAAACUCAGGGGAGUCGGGCGAUGGUAUGGGAAUCGCUGGAUAACCUGAACUUUAUUAUCUAAGCUAGGAGGAACGGGCAGACCGGCAGGGUUGGCGGCGGCGCCGGCGGCGGCCGCGAGCUAGGGUUCGAAGGGGGGUAGGUGGGGAACUGUGGAGGGGGGUGGUGUUUGAGGAUACGCCGCGGCUACUGAAAAUUUUAGUAAUGGUGGGUGGAGAAGGUGGUGGACGAGGGAGGGCGACGGUUCAAAUGCCUCGGCUACUAAAAUUUCACUAUAAGGUCGGUGCUGGAGGAGUGUGGGCGAUGGUUGAAGUACGACGGCUACUAAAAUUUGGGUAAAGGAAUUGAUGCGAGGCGGGAGUGCCCAAGAUCGUGCACGGUCCAAUAACAAUAUGCGUGUAUGAUAAUAAGGAAAAGUGGCGCGGAUCCGCCGAUUUUUGCAACACUCAAGGUGGGUAGUUUGUUUUUUAUAUUUCUAGCUAGCUGGCUAUCCCACACGGUUCGUCCUAAUUUCCAAAUAAACUUACCCGCCUUUAGCUUCCGCAGGUGGUGGUUUUACAGCGCACUUGCAUUGCACACGGUUAAGCCACUACCUCCACCCUUUGCUCGGGCUUGCGCGGUCGUGGUGAUUUCAGCGCACUUGCUUUGACCCCGCGGGCCCACGGUUGGGCGCGUAAUUGAAGAUCUAUGAGAGGGGCCAGAAGUCAAGAACCACCUGGAAGUGGCCAAAUAUAUGUACGAAUAUUGGGGAUGUUUAAAACUUUAAAUACACAAUGCAUAACUUUGGUGGGACCUGCCUCACAAACCCGAAAGCACCCUAACAACCACCUAGCUAGGAUAUAUAUAAUGACAUAAUGUCGUACCUAGCUAGGAUGCUUGGCCCACCACCUCCCACUUCGUGUCAGCAGGGCGGAUGCAAGUAAAGAUCGAUACUUUGGUCAUACAUGCAUGUCAACAUGACCUACCAGAAGACAGACCAAUGAAUCUUUUGUUUGGUCAAAUGACAGUUGUUGUUGUCGAUAAACCGCUUGGGCCAAUAGAUUGAACCAUCAUAAACAUCGCACGAGAGGGACCACAAAACCAGCACCUCUUGCAUGCGGCCCAGAAUGAUGUACGUUGGGAAGGGGUGAUGUGUGUUUUCAAUAUAGAAUAAUGUAAAAUUUAGAUGUGGUGCCUACCUCUCGAUACAGACAAGAACCAUGAAGCUGGCAAGUUAGUUAAGGACGAGAUACAUACGCAGGGUUUGAUGUAGGUCGAACCCAGCAAUCCGAGCAUCUGGGAGGGAAUCCUGACAAUGCAUGAGCUCGAGUUUUGGUUGACCGACAUUUGACGGUGACCGGCCCUAACAUGAACUAGGAGGAAUCCAUUCAUGGAAAACACAUACCCCUCAUUAUCGGUCAAAGGGAUGAUAUAUAUACACUCGGGGAGCCCACAUAUAUCCGUGUCGUCACAAAAAACCGCACAAGGGAGACAUGGUCGAUCAGAAGACCCCGUAUACACUGCAUGCGGCCCGAAAAUAUGUAUGGGUACGAUGGUGUAUGAUGUGUUUAAAUCCCAAAUGCAUAACUUCGAUGGGCCACGCCAAGUACAUUACAAACCGAACACCGUACCCGACUCCAAGCCUGGUUCAAUACCUAUGAUGUCAGUUUCCCAACUUCGAGGCGGCAGGGGGGGGGUCGUCCCACACAUGCGCUCAAACUUUAUUUUGUCUAGCAUGGGACACAUCUAUAUAUAUAUAUCUAUACAUCUAUACAUCUAUAUAUACAUCUAUACAUCUAUACACAUAUAUAGUGUGCGAAUAACUAUGAAAGUUGCUCGUUGGAUGAAGCCAAUCCGACGGUACAGAGAUGGAAAAUCCGAGCACUACUGGCCGUUGGAUAUCAUCUACAUUCCACCAGAUUCUUCCACAUGUACAAUCUAGAAGACUCCAUGGUUGAACUUAAGCCUAAUGCACAGACCUCUAAACACAAGCACUUCUCCUUUGUUCUCUAGAAUCUUCCAUAUCUUAAUUGCCCAAACCUUUUUUUUCUAAAUGAAUUGUCACUAUUUGUUUUUACCUUUACAAUGCACAAUUCCAUGAAUCUUAAAAUAGUUUUUUUACAAAACUGAUUGAUUUUGGAUGAGAUGAACUAUAAGAAUUAAACGAACAUCUACAUCAUGCAUAUCUUGGAGAAGAGGCGGGAAACUGAUGAGAGGAGUGGCGAGAAACGGUAGCCUGUUUUGAGUGAAAACCUAGUAGAGAAGGAAGCGUGAGCUACACGACGCAUGUGCACAGUGCUUACCCAUGUACUGCAUGUGCUGUCGAAAGGGCUCAGGGUUGCCGUUCGAUCUGGGAGCAUCCUACGGUGCACAUGUAUGAUCCGUGGGGUUUGGGUUCUGGCCANNNNNNNNNNNNNNNNNNNNNNNNNNNNNNNNNNNNNNNNNNNNNNNNNNNNNNNNNNNNNNNNNNNNNNNNNNNNNNNNNNNNNNNNNNNNNNNNNNNNNNNNNNNNNNNNNNNNNNNNNNNNNNNNNNNNNNNNNNNNNNNNNNNNNNNNNNNNNNNNNNNNNNNNNNNNNNNNNNNNNNNNNNNNNNNNNNNNNNNNNNNNNNNNNNNNNNNNNNNNNNNNNNNNNNNNNNNNNNNNNNNNNNNNNNNNNNNNNNNNNNNNNNNNNNNNNNNNNNNNNNNNNGUGAAAACCAUGAGAAAAAGAUGUUUUGAAGUUUCAAAAAAAUGCGGAUGUUAAGACGAUGAUGUUUUAUUGCCACACAAAAUUUCAAGUUGAAACACAUUAAGAGAUGUGAGCUAUGAAAAAGACAAAAUCAGUGUUGAAUAGUGCCGAAUAGUAAUAUCACUAUUCAGGGCGGAAUUUGUCUUUUUCAUAGCUCACAUCUCGUAAUGUUUUUCAACUUGAAAUUUUGUGUCGCAAUAAAACAUCACCUUCUUAACAUCCCACAUUUUUUAUUUCAGAUUUUUAUGAAACUUUAAAAUAUGGUUUCCACGAAGUUUUCAUUGAAUAUCGGCUUUCGUGAGUGAACCGUGUGCUAUUUGAAAACAUUUCGUGAGAAGAAUCUCAGUUUUUAAAUCCCGGUAAAUCCAAAACUAAGCUGAAAAUCGUGAAACCUGCCAUGGUGUCACGACAUCGCACUUAUAUGUCGCGGAAUUUUUUUCGUCCAUUGUGGCGCAAGUUUUAUUACAAGCCUCUUACAAACCGGAGCUUCUCUCAAAGAAGCCUCGUGGUUCCGAUAGGGAAACGUGUUCCCCUUGUGGGCGAAACGUAAUCACUACCUCUUUUCGCCUUGUAUUUUCUUCCACGGGCAACAUGGAACCACAUGAUAUCCGUGCUAAAAUUUAAACUUAUUCAGGGUUCGUUUGGCCUUUUUAUACACUAAUUGAGUUUCGUAGGCGUUUAAUGUCCAUAAUUCAAAUCUAAACUACAAAUACAUGCUCCAGUUCACCAAAAUGGCUAGAAAAAUUAUACAUGUGUCCUUGGGUGCAUGUUUAGGUCUCAUGCCAGGAAUGGGAACAAAUUACAAGUUUACAACCGUACCGGUGUCCUGGCUCUUCCUCAAACAUUUCGAAUCUCGGUUUUUAAGUCCCCAUAAAUCCUAAACUCACCAGAAAGUCAUCAAAGGUGGCAAGGUGUCAUGUCAUGGCACAUAUAUGUCGUGGUAAAAACAUUGCCAAUUUGGGCAAAGCUUUAUUACAAACCUCUUACAAACCGGAGCCUGUCGCAAGAACCCUCGUAGUUUUGAUAGGGAAACGUGUCCCCUUGUGGGCCAAACGAUAAUCACUCCCUCUUCUAGCCUCGUAUUUUCUUCUACAUGCGACACUGAACAACUGGAGAUUCGGGCUGAACUUUGAAAUUAUUCAGGGUUCGUUUGACCUUUUUUAUUCAUUAAUUUAGUUUUCUAGGCAUUUAAUGUCCAUCAUUCAAAUCCGAACUACAAAUACAUGCUCUAGUGCACCAAAAUGGCUAGAAAAAACAUACAUGUUUCCUUGGGGUGCAUGUUUAGGUCCCAUGGAACGAAUGGGAACGAAUUCAACCGUCUCGCCGUCCUUCCUGGCCACAAACAUUGCGAAUCUCGGUUUUUAAAUGUUUGUAAAUCCAAAACUCACCAAGAAAUCAUGAAACUUGGUAUGGUGUCACUACAUGGUAUAUAUAAUUGUCCAAUUUGGGCGAAGCUAUAUUACAAGCCUUUUACAAACCGGAGCCUGUCGCAACCCUCGUGGUUCCGGUAUGGAAACAUGCCCCUCUUGUGGGCGAAACGAUAAUCGAUGCCUCUUCUCGCCUUGAACUUUGUUUUCUACAGGCAACAUAGAAUAACAGGAGUGUCGGGCUGAAAUUUGAAACUGUUCAGGGUUCGUUUGGCCAUUGUAUAUAAAUUACUAAUUACUAAGUUUUCUAUGCAUUUAAUGUUGUCCAUAAUUCAAAUUUGAACGACAACCACAUGCUCCAGUGAAGCAAAAUGGGUGGGAAAUCGUACAUGUGUCAUUGGGUGCAUGUUUAGGUCUCGUUUAAGGAAUGAGAAUGAAUUACAAACUUGUCGUCAUCCUGAAACAAUGCGAAUCUUGGUUUUUAAAUCCCAGUAAAUAAAAAAGUGACCCAAAAAACAUGAAACUUGGCAUGGUUACAUGACAUGGCACAUAUAUUCCAUGGUAAGAAAAAUCGUCCAGUUUGAGAAGAGGCGCACACAUUAGUAGCCAACGAAGUCCUUUUUGAAAAAAAAGCUGACACGUUAAUAUCGCAAACGGUUGUAUUAUAUUUACCGUGUCGAAAUUUAACCAUACUCGGUGGCGUGCAUGCAGCUAUUUGAUUAGACGGGACGAGCGCGAGAAGUCCGCCGUGCAGCUUCGACGGGACGCGUGCGAGCAGUCCACCGCACAGGCUCGACGGGACGCGUGCAUCCUGUCCACCUCGCGGGCUCAAUGGGACACGUGCGAGCAGCAAGGCCGCCCAUGCUCAUCGGGAAGCGAGCUCUUUGACCUCCAUGCACAAGCCGCCGCCUGCCUCGCUCACAACUUCUCCAUUAAUGGGUUAAUUAAAGCACCUGGACGGAGGGUGUUUGCUUGUGAUCCCAUGGCAGCAUUUGCUUUGUUCGUGUUUUCAACUAGUAUUCCUCCCUAAUUUAAAUUGCAACAUAGGGCAAUGGAUAAUACGACCAGAAAAUAAAAUAGCAACGGAUAACACGACGACAAAUUUACACUGACGCACAUAAUAAUUGUCUUACAUAUUCUGGAUAAUUUAAAAUGCCACAUGCGGCAAAUCCUGGAAGACACGGGGGCAAGAGAAGAAGGAAAUUGCAGACAACGAUCUGGGUCGCUACUGUCUCUACUCGUCGAUGGAUCGCCGGGCAGCGAAAUCCUCCAGUUCCUUCUUCAAUUCCUCACGACUUUGCUUGAAAGCAGCCACAUAUUCCUCCACCUCCUUCUCGCGCUCGAUCCGGAGCUUCCUCAAGCCACCCAUCAGUUCCUCGACGACCGCUUUCAGCGUCAUAUCCGAGGCACUGCUCUUCUCAUGCAGCAUCUUCCAUCCGGCGACCUCCUCCUCCUUCUCGGCGACCAACUUGAGGAGCUUCUCAUUGUCAUCCAUGAGUUGCUCGACGAGGCCGGUCGCCUUGUCAACCGAGGCAUCACUGAUCUUGAGCAGCUUCAUCAAGUCGUCGACCAGCUCCUGCUGUGUAGUGACACCAGCGAGAAUGUCGUCGUCGCCGGCGAAGGACUUCAGGAAUGCCGGCUCGUCUGAAUGGACGACGCCGCAAAUGCACUUGUGAGAGCCCUCGGGUGCCCGUGAGAGCUCGUUCGAGGGCUCCGCGGCGCGCCCGGACAUCUCUGCUGCGACUGCGGCUUCGCGGCGGGACCUCUCUAGUGCUUCCGCGGCCUUGGUCUUUGCUGCCUGGUUAUAUGUCCACCCUAAACUCCUCCUACCGGUCAUGGCACGACUUGACAGAGAAAACCAGUUUUGUGGGUGAUGAGGAGAGGAACUGUGAAGUAAUUUUCGAGUGGGUUGUUUUUAUAGCCCGGUGCUAAGUGUGAACACAUAUUAGUUUGAGAGGUGUGAACAGAUUUGCAAUUUCUUAUCGCGUUGUAAUCAACAAUGUGACGAGAAACAAGGUCAAAAUUUAUUGAUGGCAGAAGGUUGACCACGUGGCUGCUCGCCGUUGAGGCGGCCACGGCGCGCUCCGCUCUUGCGUCCCUGCGCGCGCUCUGCUCGCCGUUGAGGCAAAGUUACAAUGGCAACUGUUAAUAAUUCUUAAUAAUUGCCUUACAUAUUCAGGAUAAUUUAAAAUGCCAAAUGCAUACAAAUAUAAUAAAAUAUAAGCUAAAAGGCUGAGCUGGUGGCCUUCCGACGAUGGUCUUCUCGGACUCCAUGAUCAACAUAGCACCCUUGCGGCCGUUCACUCCGAGUGUCCCGACCCGCCUCCGCCUACAGAGCUGCAGGCGCUAAUGUGAGGCUCUUGGGGCUGCUGGGCCUCUUCCAGAAGAGCUUGACAGCGUGCAAUCGCGCGCAUGACAACUCCACGAAACCGCUCCAUUUCCAUGUCUCUGGCCUGGUAGCAAAUUCCGUCGAUCACCUGCAUCCUCAAGAUAUCACGUUGGCGAUGUUCCAAGGAUGCGCUCGAGCCUGGCUACCACAUCAUCGGGAUCGAGGUUGACGCCGCCGCCGCGGGCAAUGAUGAAGCCGGAGGCUGCCUUUGUCUUGACUAAAUCGUAGAGGUCCUGUGCCCAUUCCUUGUGGGGCAUCAGGCUCUCGAUGAGCACUGGUGACGGCGGUUCUUCGGGUGGGUCGUCCAUCAUGCCGCCGAGCAGCUCUGGAUCUUUUGCACGGUGGAUGGUAAACUGCUCAUCACACCUCCUCUACAAUAUGUCGAUUGUGCUCCCAAGGACUGUGACGCCGAUAUCGCUGCCGAUGGGCCAUGGUGCCUGCACCGGCCGAUGAAGCUCUUGCUCCCCGACCUGCUCCGUCUUGUUCUCCUUGCUGAAGAUGUAACGCAGGUAGGCAUCGACGUCGAAGCUUUGGUCGUUGCCUGGCAUGCUUGGAAUGACUAAUGGUAGAUGGGUGAGGACUAGAUCUACGCAGAGUGUCGCGGCGGUGCAUUGCCGCCUGGGUUAUAUGCAGCAAGCCGUUAGCUGGUGGCGGGAAACCGGUGAGGGAAUAGGCGUGGCUUUUACAAUUCACCCAUGUGGAGCGCGGGAAGCAUUCGCUGGAGCGCGGGAAGACUAAGUGGAGCACACACACAACCCGAAUACCGUAGCCGGUGCCACGUGUUAUUUAUCACACAAGUGUUAACAUAAGGAAAUGCAUGUGUAACUUACUAAUCAUCGCACAUGAGUACUCGCAGAUGCAUCAUGUGCGAUACUCCUAGCCACCGCAAGCAACUAGUUUGCAUUUUUCAAAGUUUUUUGUACACACAGAAUCGCACACGAACUAACUGUAUUAACCGUCUCUGUUGUAAAUUCUCAUCGCAAACAGUUCAUCUGAGUCGGCUGUUUGCCACGUAUCACACACAUCUUGUUAAGUUGAACCGUUUCUGUUGCGUUCGCUAAUCAGAAAUAGUUCGUCCGAGUGAACCGUAUGCCCUAUAUCACACACACCUUGACGUGGCUAACCGUUUAUGUUGCACUCCCUAAUAGGAAACGGUUCAUCGGAGCGAACUGUAUGCCGUAUAUCGCACACACAUUGAUAUGGCUGCCCGUUUCUGUUGUUCUGCCUCAUCAUAAACAGUUCGAACGGGUUAACCGUGUGGCCUGAAUCACACACGCAACUAAAAUCUGAACCGUGCUUGAUGCAUCCUCCAUCGCAAACGUUUUGCACCUUUUUUGACGGUUUUCAUACACCACCGUUUGCGAUUACUGCAUCACACACUGUUUCUCGAAGGGUCUCUGAUCGUAGUGUCGCGUUAGCAGCAUCCUGCAGUAGUAGCAUCAAUGUUAGGAACAUGUGUAUCAUCACUAUCGAGUUUAAUAAGUAUAAACCCCUCACAAUGGGUGCAUGACCUUAAAAUAUGUUACCCAUAUAAAUAGAACAACCAUUAUUCUCUGAUUUAAAUGAGUAACCGUCUCGCAUUAAAAAAGAUCCAGAUAUAAUGUUCAUGCUCACCGCAGGCACUAAAUAACAAUUAUUCAGGUUCAUCACUAAUCCCGAUGGUAAUCGAAGAGCGAGCAUGCCGACGGUGAUCACAUCAACCUUGGAAUUAUUUCCCACGUGCAUCGUCACUUCGUCCUUUGUCAGCCUCCUUCUAUUACGUAGUUCCUGCUUUGAGUUGCAAAUGUUAGCAACCGAAUCGGUAUCAAAUACCCAGGCGCUACAACGAGAGUUGGUAAGGUACAAAUCAAUAACAUGUAUACGAUAUAUACUUUUGUUGACGUUGGCCCCUUCUUGUCGGCCAGAUACUUGGGGCAGUUUUGCUUCCAGUGGCCAGUUCCCUUGCAAUAGAAGCACUCAGUUUCCGGCUUGGGUCUAGCCUUGGGUUUCUUCAUGGGAGGAGCAACUGCUUUUCCACCCUUCUUGAAGUUUCCCUUCUUUCCCUUUCUCUUCUUGAAACUAGUGGUUUUAUUCACCAUCAACACUUGAUGCUCCUUCUGGAUGUCUGACUCAGCGACUUUCAGCAUCGCAAAUAGCUCGGCGGCUGACUUGUUCAUCCCUUGCAUGUUAUAGUUCAACACAAAGCUCUUGUAGCUAGGUGGUAGCGAUUGAAGAACUCUGUUAGUGACAGCCUCUGGCGAGAGCUCAAUUCCCAACUCAGCCUGACAGUUGUAGUACCCAGAUAUUCUGAGUAUGUGCUCACUAACACACUCAUUCUCCAUCUUGCAGGCAUAGAACUUAUCAGAGGUCUCAUGCCUCUCGAUCCGGGCAUUCUUCUCAAAGAUAAACUUCAACUCCUGGAACAUCUCAUAUGCUCCAUGACGUUCAAAACGCCUUUGAAGUCCCGGCUCUAAGCCAUACAACAUGGCGCACUGAACUAUUGAGUAGUAAUCAACACGCGACUGCCAGGCGUUCACAACGUCCACAGUCACUGGAGGGGGCGGCGCACCAAGCGGUGCAUCAAGGACAUAAGACUUAUGGGAAGCCGUGAGGAUAAUCCUCAGAUUAUGGGCCCUGUCCAUAAAGUUACUUCCAUCAUCUUUCAGCUUAGCUUUCUCUAGGAACGCAUUGAAAUUUAGGCGAGCUACUACGCGAGCCAUUGAUCUACAACAUAAGUUUGCAAAGAUAACUUAGACUACUAUUCAUGAUAAAUGAGUUCAAUUAAUCAUAUUACCUAAGAACUCCCACUCAAAUCAACAUCCCUCUGGUUGUCCGAGUGUAACACGAUCCGAAUUCAGCAACCCAAGUCCGAUCAUCACGUGAGAUGAGGUGGUUUCAACGGUGAACAUCUCCAUGUUGAUCAUAUCUACUAUAUGACUCGUGUUCGACCUUUCGUCUCUUGUGUUCCGAGGCCAUGUCUGUACAUGCUAGGCUCGUCAAGUUUGACCCAAGUGUUCCGCAUGUGCAAAACUGGCUUGCGCCCGUUGUAUGCGAACGUAGAGUCUAUCACACCCGAUCAUCACGUGGUGCUUCGAAACGACGAACUUUCACAACGGUGCAUACUUGGGGAGAACACAAUUUUAUCUUGAAAUUUUAGUGAGGGAUCACCUUAUAAUGCUACCGUCGUCCUAAGCAAAAUAAGAUGCAUAAAAGGAUUAACAUCACAUGCAAAUCAUAAGUGACAUGAUAUGGCCAUCAACUUGUGCUUUGAUCUCUAUCUCCAAAGCACCGGCAUGAUCUCCAUCAUCACCGGCAUGACACCAUGAUCUCCAUCAUCGUGCCACCAUCGGGGUUGCCACGCCAACUGUCGUGGUUUUGUCACGGCAGAUGUCCUCGUGAAAGGACUUAGUCGUGGAGCCAUCGGUACGGGUUAGCUUAAAGGGGUUAAACCGGACAAGGGACACGAGAGUUUUUAUACUAGUUCGGCCCCUUACGAUGAAGGUAAAAGCCUACGUCUAGUUGUGAUGGAAUUGCUGGGGUUUCGAUGACCAGGGAGCGAAUACGCUUUGCCUGAGUCUCGAGUUGUUGUCUGUUCUCCUUCAACCGCCGCCGGGUCGUCCCCUUAUAUAUAUGGGUUGACGCCCGUCGGUUUACAGAAUCCCUAGGCCGCCUCAUAAACGUGUCCGGCUCGGCCUCUGCUCUUUCUAUCUUACAACACAAGUUUACAUAUUAAUACGGGUUUAUGUCUACACGCCUUAAACCGGCUUUGGGCCCUGGGCCUUCAUAAAGCGUCACUGUCUGUCUUCAUGGGCUUCAGAUAUAAUGAACUACUUAUGGGGUUAACCCGGCCUAUAUUGGCCGGUUGACGCCCAGUGGUAAUAUCCCCAACAUUAGGCCCCAGAUUGAUUUGAACUGGUUCAUGUCAAUCCUCAAUACUUAAGAAAAUUUCUUCUUCAACAUCUUCACAUAAUCUUGUAAACCGCCGUGACGUCACCUUCCAGGACCAUGGUAAACCGCCAUGACGUCAUCUGCUAUUUAAAACUGUAUAUAACCCACCCUCAUUAAUGAGCCUCUGACAAUCGAGGCGACAGCUCCACCUCAUAUCCAAAUUUUGGGCUCCUCGAUUUUCGCGCCUGAUGCUUAUCUUUUUGCCUUUAUAAAUAAGGCCAGGGGGUCUUUCCAUUUCCCCCCCGUAUCUCUUCACCUCAUCUUCUUCCUUGCACAGCCCGACCUUUGGAGCUCCGCCGCCACCGUCGACCUUCGUUUCUGCCUCCGCGACGGCCGCUGCAUCAACCUGUCUGGACCAGAAAAGUGCGGCGCUCCUCCGCUGUUCCCUCAUCAUCAGUGAGUUCUUCUUUCCUUUGCUCCAGAUCCAUCAUUAGGGUUUCAAUGUUCAUCGGAGUCUAUCCAAUGCCCGCCAUUGUUCUUUCCUGUUCUUUUUAUUAGCAUAAAGAGCUAGCUGGAUCCGAUAUUUCUUACUCGGCCGUAGCCAUAAUCUCCCUUUUGUUAGAUCUGUUGCUUUACACAAAACUCAUCUGAACCUUGCUGAACUGUUCAAACUCUUGAAAUUAGGUCUGAAUUUAUUUUGAUUUUCCAACGCACGGUAGAUCUGAAAUUACCAUGCCAAGCUGUGAAACUUGUUUUUCCUUCACUUAUACAUCUUUAGACUUAUACCAGAUUAGGCGGUUUAACUUCAUAGAAAAAAUGAUGACCCAGUAGAUACCAUUAGUCCCCUGUUGAACCGCCAAUGCACUUAUCAUUGCACUGUCUCCAUCUUCAGACUCUGUUUCACAAAUAACCAACUCCGUUUUAACAAUAUGCUUACAUGCUUAUACCGCUUUAUAAUUGUCCACUGUAAAUCUUAAACCGGAAAUAAUCAUGUUUCAGAUCUUUCAUUGCCAUGGCCAAGCAAGUCUAUGAAUGCAAUUGGGCUCCUUCUCGAGUAACCGAAGAACAGUUAAACAAUCUUGUUAAAACGGGUGCUUUAGCCAAGAAAGAUGUCAUCCACUGGAGGGUCCCUGGCCCGGAAAAUCCUCCUAUACCCAAGGAUGGGGAGGUAGUUGUGUUUGCUGAUCACUUGAGUCGAGGUUUUAGCCCUCCCGGUUCAAAAAUUUUCCGGGAUGUACUGGCCAAUUUUCAACUGCGCCCUCAAGACAUCGGUCCAAAUUCUGUGACCAACAUCUGCCACUUCCAAGUCUUCUGUGAGGCCUAUCUACAGGAGGAACCUACAGUCGAAUUGUUUAGGGACUUCUUUCACUUAAACCGUCGCACAAAAUUCAUAGAUGGGCCCAAUACGGAACUGGGUGGAAUGGCGGUUCAGAAAAGGAAGGAAGUCACUUUUCCUCAUCCCAAGCUCCACAGUCACCCCAAAGAGUGGAACCAGACCUGGUUUUAUUGCAAGGAUACAUCUCCAGCUGAUGAAAACCCCCUGCCGGGUUACCGCCCUGAACGACUUAGCCACACACAUCCUUUUCCUCAGAGGCUGACUGCAAAAGAGAGGGCCAACUAUGCUCCUCUACUAUCAAAGCUUAGAGCCUUCAUGGCGAACGGUUUGACAGGAGUUGAUCUUGCUCGUUGCUGGAUAAGGUGGAGUAUUCUGCCCUUAAGCCGGCACUCCAGUUUGAUGUGUGAGUACACGGGGAGUUUGAAGGAUGCUCAACGACACAUUGACAUUCAGCUUACAGAUGCGGAAGUUACUGAGGCUGUAAAGAAGAUGCUGAAUGAACCGGAGGCUGUCUGUGCCCAAACCGGACUGCUCCCUUUCUACACCUUCCACAAACCUCCAACUGUAAGAAUCAUAUAAUCUUUUUACCUGAAGUUGCUUCUGUCCAAAUAUUUUCUGAAAUUGUGAUUAUCUUCUGACAGGGUAAUGAUCCGUUCUGGAACAAGAAACAACAAGAAAAACCGGCAAAGCCGCAAGAGAAACCGCCCAAGCCACUUCGCCCAAAGACCAAGGUUGUUAAGAAAUCUGGCAAGAAGAGGACCACUGCAUCCUCCGAGCUACCAGCUGAUGACGAUGUGGGCAACCCGGAAUCAGAGGUAGAACUUGACUCUCUUGGUUCAUUUUUCGUACACCUCAUUGACAAUGAUUAUUAUCAGGACGACGCUGAAGGCAGUCACGUUGAUGAUGUAGAGGUAAUCAUUCUUUCCUCCGAUUUAGAUCCUCUGCCAACAUCAAAAAUCCGUCGAGCAAACCGGAAAGUAAAAUUUUCUCACCCCUUGCUUACUUGGACCCAAACUUUCUUUUGAAGACACAGCAGCACGAGGCUCGCCGCACAACCCGGCACAACGGCCAGGUAGUUACCUCCGUCGGUUUACCGAACAGCCCGGUUCGGAAGCGCCGAUCAGAGGUCUCUUAUCCCCUUGACACUUCAUGCCCCAAAGCAGGUUGUUUCCGCCAGCCUCUUAACCCGUCUGAUUCAAAUUAUCAGGGAACUUCUCACUCAUCUUCUGGCGAGUCAUCGGCCACAAAACUUCCACCCCUCAAAACAGUUCUUGGGUGAGCUAUAUACUUGUUUUCAUCCUUGAUCUGUUGUUUGUAUAUACUGUUCUGAUCCUCAUGUUUAUUUUCCUCAGUGCCAAGCCCAGACCCAGCAAGAAGGCUCGGUUGAAUAAACCGACUGAUGAUAACGCGGACGUUGAACCGGAGAAGACUCUAGAUCCUGAAGCGACCGAUGCUGACGCCAUACUUAAUGACCCACCACCUCAAGACCAUGACUUCGUUGCUGAGCAGGUAGAAGUUGAUACCACAAGCCAUGCUGACCAGCCAACCAGCCAUGUCCGAACUGACGACAAACCGGCAAGUCCGGUUAAAAAUACUGACAAACCGCCAACCCCCAGUAAUGGCUGCUGAUGACAAAGAUGAUGACAUUAUGAUUACUGGCACUGGCCAUACCGCUCCUGGCAAUCCUGUCGCUUUGUCAAAGCAUACCGCCAAAGAUGAGCUCUCUGCAAUUGGCAAAGGCAAAUGGAACGCCGAUUUGUCAAAUUAUGCCCACCUGAAUGCUCAAGACCUUCACUCCUGCUUCUUGAACCGUCUGUACACCAGCCGUGACUAUGAAGCCGGUUUGGUAAAUUUGAUGAAGGAGCGAUAUGAGGUAACUCCAUAAGUGUUCCUCCCUUAUAUUUAAUUGCAGCUUAUCAACUUCCAGUAACCCCCAAGUGACGGUUUAGGAUACCAAUCUAAACCGGGACUUUAGUAACAAUUUCAUGUUUGCAACAAUGCAUCUUAACUUCACUGAUGUAGCCCCCGAGGGCUGGUUUAACUUUAUAAAGAUGAACCGGGACUUUGUAGAAGAUUUCCCAUAUCAGCAAUUAUGAGCAAACACACAUUAGCCCCCAAGUGCCAAGUUUAAUACUUGUAUUGUGCUUGGGACUUGUAGAAAUUUCUGAUAAAGAGCAAAUAUGCAUUAGCCCCCAAGUACCAAGGGCAUAACUUGUUAUGUGCUUGGUACUUCAAAUAUGUACUAUCAACUCAUUAUAUAUCUAUCUCUUUAUAGGCUGAACUGAGCAAGAAAGAAAGCCAAACCGCUGAUCUGCAGGAGAACCUCAAAUCCCAGCAAGCCGAAACCACCAAAGCCAAGGAAGAGUUAACCAGCGCUCUAGGCGCUAGGGAGAAACUUAAAGAUGGCUUCAACAAGGAGCGGGCGGACUGGGAGAUUGAAAAAUCCGCUUUGAUAAAAAGGGCUGAGAACGCAGAAGCAGCUCUUAAACCGGUGGUUGACGAACUGACCGGUGUAAAGCGGCAGAUUCAUGCCAUGACUGCUGCUGUGUUCGGUAAUCAUCUUUUCCUUAAUACUUUCAACAUAUCUUCCCAUGUGUUGUCAGUUUACUGAUGUGUACAAUGGCGCAGGAACUCGUAUUAGCCAUCUGGGCUUUGACGUACAGAAAAAAUUGAAGGCGGCCUAUACUCUGAUGGAGCAGCUGUAUACCGGUGCGCAGCGGAUCAUCUAUACUGCUUCACACAAUAAUCCUCCUCCCACUUUGAUCAAGGAUACCUUAGAAAGGUUAUCUAUGCUUCCUGCCCGGGUAGACGAGCUACAAAAGUCUACCGCUAGAACGGGCGCUUUGGCCGCACUAACCCGGGCAAAAGCGUGGGUACCCGACUUUGAUCCAGUGGAAGCGGCCCAAGGCAAUCCUAGUUUGAAGGAAGAUGGAACAUAAUUUGGCAAUGAUGAUCUCCGAAUCAUAAACCGGGAAGUACGCCCAUUGGCUUGUCAACUGGUUGAAGAAGCGGAUCUCUCGUACUAUCAGGCGAGUUAUGAUGAUAAGAACAGACGGGUUGCUGCACCAAUUCCAGAAGUGCAAAAUCUUAUCCUACCAAUCUGUAAGCACACUUAUGCCCCUGACAUUGAACCGUCCACGCUUAUAAGCGAUGAAGCUGUAUUCCAAGCCCUAACUGGGAUCGACUGGGCAACUGUUGACUUCCAGACACUGGGUAGAGAGGAGGGAGUUGAACCGGCGCGAGAUGAUCCGCAGCCGUCAGGCCAAGCUGGUGACCAAUCAUGAACCGGAGGCCGGUUUAGUCUUCUACAUGCUGCAACAUGUAUUUGAGAAAACAAUUAUCCUUUUGGGCACGGAAACGCCUUGUAAUAGGCUAGCAAAAAUACUGGAUCUGUAUGCCUUCGUGCAUUUUUAUCUGCGACUGAUGCUUGCUUAAUCCGACAUGCUUAAGAUAUGAUAUUCAUAAGCCAUAGCCAUUUAUUCAAGCUGUUCCUGCAGAUAAGAAGCUUAAAGCGCCUUGGCGGUUUACCCCCGGGUGGGUCAUGAUACCCAAAUAUAUAUAUAACCAAGAUGUAUAACCAAGGUUGUAAAAGAUAACCAAAUAUGGAAAUAUAUAAUACCUCUGACCUUUAGGCAUAAUGUUGGCUGACCAACGUUGUAGUGGAGGUCAUAACACUAGUAGGAAAAGGGGCUUUUACCCCGGUUCAUAAGGGCCUUUAGUCCCGAUUCUGGAACCGGGACUAAAGGGUCGUUACUAAUGCCCUGGCCCUUUAGUCCCGGUUCUUACACGAACCGGGACUAAAGGCCGUCCACGUGGCCGGUGCGGGGAACCCAGGCAGGAGGGCCUUUGGUCCCGGUUGGUGCCACCAACCGGGACCAAUAGGCAUCCACGCGUCAGCACCUGGCAGGAGCUGAGGUUUUUUUUUUGAAAGGGGGUGGUUUAGGUGUUUUGGGGGGUUAAUUUAGGUGUUUCAUAUAUUGUGUUAGCUAGCUAAUUAAUAGAGAGAAGUGUCCUCUCUUAUCUCCGUGCUUGGUCGACGCUACGUACUAUAUACGUAUGGAGAGGAGUAGACACGCUAGCUAGUAAUCAAAUGAAGGAAACAGAAGAUCGUCAUGAACAUAUUCAUACAGAGAGAAGUGAUAUCGACCACCUCUCCUUCUCCGAGAUAUUGGUCGAGCAACAAGUUCUCGUAUAUCUAUCCGACACUACCGGCUACAUAUACAAUAAUUAUCUCUUACAAUACAAUCUCCUAAUUAUAUUGUAGGAACACAGGGUCCACAUAGUAUUCUCCGUUUUCAGCGAUCACGUGGGCAAGGAAGAAUGCCGCCAAUUCCUCUUGAAUUCCUCCCAUACGAUCUUCUGCUAGGAGUUCAUCCCGCUUCCGAAACAUCUAAUUUGAAGAAGGGGUCAAUACAUAUAUAUAUGAAUAAAUGAAACUCAACACAAAUGAUGGUAAUAAAAUAAAAUUGUGAAUAUUAUUGCUUACGCACUUCAUAUUGUUCUUCAGUGUAGCCCCGCUCACAGGUAUGGUAGCGGAUGGACUCGCAAACGUAGUAUCCACAGUAAUUAUUCCCGAGUUCCUGCCACAACCACUUUACAAGAAAUAGAGGUCAAUCAAACUGAUAAGCAAGCAUGCUAAAUGGUAUUGAUGAAACUACCGCUUGAAUCACUAGGAGAUGCGCGGAACAUGCUACUAUAGUACUUACUUUCGGGUGAUUAAAUUGCAGCUUCUUUUUUGAGGUGAAUUUUCUCCAAACCCUGCCAGACAAAGAAAACAAUUACUCUUGAUAUCAGGAAAUGAACAAAGUUGCUGAUAUGGUGGAUAAUGAUCGAUUUAACUUACUUCUGGAGCAUUUGAGUCAUGUUCGCAUAGUCCUGGGGAUCUUUUCGUCUCGAGUCUAAGACGGUUACUGCUCCCGGCUCAAGCUUAAUCUCUAGGAGAAUAUAGUGGAAGCUGCGCAUGCAUGCAUAAGUCAUCAAUUACAUUACCAUAACCUGGACUAAUAAGGGAAACCGAAUAUGCACAAGACAGUACAACUCACUUGAAGUUGUAAGGAAAGAGUAUUAUAUCUUUGUUUUGAUUUAAUACCAACGAUUGUAGCAAGUUGGCCUCGGCUUCUUUGGGAUUUUUUCAACCGUAUAUGCAUCUAUGAGAUUUGUGUUAAUGAACCCAAUAUCACCGAUUUGUCUUUUCUUCAAUUCGGCGAUCUUCAAUCUGCAUAAUAUAGUGAGGAUAAGUAUAAAUACAUGCAAUGAAAGAGCUGACCUAUAUAGAGAGACUUAAUGACAGAAGUAGUACUAGUUACAGACAGUAGCAAGUGAUCGUUGUUUUAUCGAGGGCCUUUUGAUUGUAAAACUAGAAGAAAUCCUCAAAUGGAACAUUCAGCAGUUCAAUUCCAACGAGGUCAUGCUCUGGUUUAACUCUCAGCGUCAAAGUACUCAUCCCAUCAGACUCUCUGCAGGUUUUCAUGUACCAAUCAUGUAGUCUUCGCAUCAUCGUGCUUAGAGAUCUGACAUCUUUGACGAGAGGCUUCCCGUAAUGGUAUUUGUGUUUGUCCACCUCCAUGAUUUCAUAAUGUACAUCGUCGGGCAGGUAAUCUCCAAGAUUGCUAUAACCGGGCACCAUACUCGGAUCAUUAGCGACGAUGUCUUUUGACACCUUGAGCGGGGGGCACGAUUGGUUCGCUUGUUCGCCGAGCUGGGCAAUUUUUUUCCUAGCUCGUCGUUCUUUCAUCCUUUUAUCACUGACAGUACUUCCCGACCGCUCCGCUUCGGCAUAUGUCUUUGCAAGAACGCGCUCAUAGUUGCCUCUCGGCGGAGACUUUGGUGGUUUUGUCAGGGCAGCCAGAGUGCGCUUUGCUUUCACCGGAUCUACCUUCUCCUCCGGAGGUGGAUGUUUCUUUGCUUUCACCCCUUCAAAGAAGUUCUUCACUUCGGCUCGCACGAUCUUCGCGUUCUCCUCCUCGGUCCUCUCAUAUGGUAAAUUCUCUGGAGUCUUCAGAGAAGGACCGAAUCUGUAUUGCCUCCCGCCUCUGGCAGCUAUACUGCUAGACGCCGGCAGAGCAGACGGAGCGGCUGCGGCUGUCUUCUUUCCUUGCUUACGAGGCGGAGGAGAAGGACUACGACGCGCCAGAGCAGCCUCAUCAGCGGCGGGUCUCUUCCGCCCUUGCUGACGAGGCGGAGAAGGAGGAGGCUAGCUGCUCUGGCGCGCCGGCGCUAGCGGAGAAGGAGGCGGAGUGCCGCCACGCGCCGGAGAAGGAGGCUGAGUGCCCUGAUCACUCGCCGGAGGAGGAGGCGGAGUGCCCUUACUCGCCGGAGCCGUCCAGUUCGGAAGCUUGACGAGCUCCUUCCGCCAUAGGCAUGGAGUCUUCAGAGCUAAACCCAGCCGAGUCUCCCCUUCACCGGUAGGGUGGUCAAGCCGGAGCUCCUCAAAUCCCUCCGUUAUUUCAUCCACCAUCACCCUAGCAUAUCCUUCUGGAAUCGGCCGGCAGUGGCAGGUUGCGCCGGGUUCAGUAGGUAAAACAGAGCCAACAGCCGCCUUGACUUUCAAGUCCUGCCAUUCCGCCAUAAGGUGGCAAUGUUGAGACUCCGUGAUAGCAUCCAUGGGGUAGCUAGCAGGAGCCGCAUGCUCCAGCUGAGGCAGCUCGGUGGAAGCCACGCUGCUUCUCCGCUGAGAUGGCGGUGUAGCUUUGGGGGCAGUUUCGGCAUCUCGAUUGCCAUCUCGUUCCUCUAGCGCUUGAACCCUUUCGUGCAGCUUCUGAAUUUGGAUCUGCUCCACAUUUUUCCUCCUCUCCUGGGUUUUGUAACCGCCCGCAUCCGUAAAACCAGCCUUCCACGGAAUGGAGCCUGGCGUGCCUCGUGUCCGUCUAGGGUGCUCAGGAUUCCCGAGGGCCAUUGUGAGCUCGUCGUUCUCUCUGUCUGGAACGAAAGUCCCUUGCUGCGCUGCAUUGAUAUAGUGCUUAAGCUUCUUCACGGGUGUUGCAAGUUGCUCGUCCGUCCAACGACACCUCCCUGAUACAGGGUCCAAGGUUCCGCCAGCCUCGAAGAACCAAGUUCGACGACGGUCUGGCCAGUUCAUUGUCUCUGGUUCGAUCCCUUUAUCAAGCAGAUCCCUCUCAGACUUGGCCCACUUAGGCCGGGCUUUGAGGUAGCCACCUAACCCCGUGCGAUGGUGAAGCUUCUUCUUCACAGCAUUCUUCUUGUUUGUCGCUGACAUCUUCUUACUCUUUUCCGAUGUCUUGUGGGCCACAAAUGCGGGCCAGUGAUCUCUGAUCUUCUCAUACCGGCCGAUGAAUUCUGGUGUCUCUUCUUUGUCGACAAACGUUUUCAGCUCAUUCUUCCACCUCCUGAAUAGGUCUGCCAUCUUCUUAAGAGCAUGAGACUUGAUUAAUUGCUCUAUAACUGGCUUCUCCGGAUCCUCCUUUGGUGGUAGGGUGAAAUUUGCCUUCAGCUCAGUCCAAAGAUAAUCUUUCUGCAUAUCAUUGACAUAAGACACCUCAGGGUCUUCCUUCUUAGGCUUAUACCAUUGGUGGAUGCUGAUCGGGAUCUUGUCCCUAACUAGAACCCCGCACUGAGCAGCAAAAGCACCCUUUGUCCGGAGGGGUUCAAUCGGUUGGCCGUCGCGCGCGAUUGCUGUGAUCUCAAACCUUUCAUCCGAGCGCAACUAUCUCUUCGGGCCUCGUCUCUUUACCGCAGUUGUGCUCGAUCCGGAGGGCUAGAAAAAACAAGAAAGACGAGUGUUAAUUAAUAUGUGUACAUACCAAAACAAUGAAUGCAUCAAUUAGCUAGUCAGCACAGGCUUAACUAAUAUAUUUACCUGGCCGGACUCUGUUCGGUCACCGGAGCCGUCACCACGGGCUCCUUCUUGCACCAGCAUUGGGUCACCGGAGCCAUCAUAAUCAUGUCUUUCCUCCUCCACUCUUCGAUCACCGUAGCCUGCUUCUUCACCCUAUUCUUCCAGACCAUCAUUGUCGUUAAGAUACGACAAGAUAUCACCUCCGGCUAAGAUUAUGUCCCCCAACACCUCUUCUGCUUGCUCAUCUCGUCCGUGCUCCGUUGUUUCUGCAAAUAUUACAACAUGACAAUUAUUACACAAACAUGACAGCAGGUGGAUAUAUUAGUGCAAACGUAGACCUAGCUUAUUCCGGGUUUGGGGUGGCCUAGGCAACGCUUCAAGGGUAGGGGCGCGGCGGGAGGGGGUAGGAGACCGACAUCGUUUUUUUCUAGGGUUUGGGUGUCCUCGAGAGUUUUGGUCGAGCGAGAGGGCCGGGGGGUGCUCCCGUGGUAUAAGUUAUCACGGUCGAGAGGGGGUAUACAUAUCGACCGUCCAUCAUGUCGAAGUUACCUGGGAGGGAUUUAUAUAUAUCGACAACGACGACAUACAUACACGGGAAAAUAAUGUUAUCGGGGAGGGGGUAUAUAUCGACCCCCCCCACGUGUUGAAGUUAUCGGGAGGGGGUUUUAUAUCGACAACGACGACAGACAUACACGGGAAAAUAAUGUUAUCGAGGAGGGGGUAUAUCGACCCCCCCUCGUGCUGAAGUUAUNNNNNNNNNNNNNNNNNNNNNNNNNNNNNNNNNNNNNNNNNNNNNNNNNNNNNNNNNNNNNNNNNNNNNNNNNNNNNNNNNNNNNNNNNNNNNNNNNNNNNNNNNNNNNNNNNNNNNNNNNNNNNNNNNNNNNNNNNNNNNNNNNNNNNNNNNNNNNNNNNNNNNNNNNNNNNNNNNNNNNNNNNNNNNNNNNNNNNNNNNNNNNNNNNNNNNNNNNNNNNNNNNNNNNNNNNNNNNNNNNNNNNNNNNNNNNNNNNNNNNNNNNNNNNNNNNNNNNNNNNNNNNNNNNNNNNNNNNNNNNNNNNNNNNNNNNNNNNNNNNNNNNNNNNNNNNNNNNNNNNNNNNNNNNNNNNNNNNNNNNNNNNNNNNNNNNNNNNNNNNNNNNNNNNNNNNNNNNNNNNNNNNNNNNNNNNNNNNNNNNNNNNNNNNNNNNNNNNNNNNNNNNNNNNNNNNNNNNNNNNNNNNNNNNNNNNNNNNNNNNNNNNNNNNNNNNNNNNNNNNNNNNNNNNNNNNNNNNNNNNNNNNNNNNNNNNNNNNNNNNNNNNNNNNNNNNNNNNNNNNNNNNNNNNNNNNNNNNNNNNNNNNNNNNNNNNNNNNNNNNNNNNNNNNNNNNNNNNNNNNNNNNNNNNNNNNNNNNNNNNNNNNNNNNNNNNNNNNNNNNNNNNNNNNNNNNNNNNNNNNNNNNNNNNNNNNNNNNNNNNNNNNNNNNNNNNNNNNNNNNNNNNNNNNNNNNNNNNNNNNNNNNNNNNNNNNNNNNNNNNNNNNNNNNNNNNNNNNNNNNNNNNNNNNNNNNNNNNNNNNNNNNNNNNNNNNNNNNNNNNNNNNNNNNNNNNNNNNNNNNNNNNNNNNNNNNNNNNNNNNNNNNNNNNNNNNNNNNNNNNNNNNNNNNNNNNNNNNNNNNNNNNNNNNNNNNNNNNNNNNNNNNNNNNNNNNNNNNNNNNNNNNNNNNNNNNNNNNNNNNNNNNNNNNNNNNNNNNNNNNNNNNNNNNNNNNNNNNNNNNNNNNNNNNNNNNNNNNNNNNNNNNNNNNNNNNNNNNNNNNNNNNNNNNNNNNNNNNNNNNNNNNNNNNNNNNNNNNNNNNNNNNNNNNNNNNNNNNNNNNNNNNNNNNNNNNNNNNNNNNNNNNNNNNNNNNNNNNNNNNNNNNNNNNNNNNNNNNNNNNNNNNNNNNNNNNNNNNNNNNNNNNNNNNNNNNNNNNNNNNNNNNNNNNNNNNNNNNNNNNNNNNNNNNNNNNNNNNNNNNNNNNNNNNNNNNNNNNNNNNNNNNNNNNNNNNNNNNNNNNNNNNNNNNNNNNNNNNNNNNNNNNNNNNNNNNNNNNNNNNNNNNNNNNNNNNNNNNNNNNNNNNNNNNNNNNNNNNNNNNNNNNNNNNNNNNNNNNNNNNNNNNNNNNNNNNNNNNNNNNNNNNNNNNNNNNNNNNNNNNNNNNNNNNNNNNNNNNNNNNNNNNNNNNNNNNNNNNNNNNNNNNNNNNNNNNNNNNNNNNNNNNNNNNNNNNNNNNNNNNNNNNNNNNNNNNNNNNNNNNNNNNNNNNNNNNNNNNNNNNNNNNNNNNNNNNNNNNNNNNNNNNNNNNNNNNNNNNNNNNNNNNNNNNNNNNNNNNNNNNNNNNNNNNNNNNNNNNNNNNNNNNNNNNNNNNNNNNNNNNNNNNNNNNNNNNNNNNNNNNNNNNNNNNNNNNNNNNNNNNNNNNNNNNNNNNNNNNNNNNNNNNNNNNNNNNNNNNNNNNNNNNNNNNNNNNNNNNNNNNNNNNNNNNNNNNNNNNNNNNNNNNNNNNNNNNNNNNNNNNNNNNNNNNNNNNNNNNNNNNNNNNNNNNNNNNNNNNNNNNNNNNNNNNNNNNNNNNNNNNNNNNNNNNNNNNNNNNNNNNNNNNNNNNNNNNNNNNNNNNNNNNNNNNNNNNNNNNNNNNNNNNNNNNNNNNNNNNNNNNNNNNNNNNNNNNNNNNNNNNNNNNNNNNNNNNNNNNNNNNCCCACUGCGGCUGCCCUCUCGAGCUCCUCUCAAAUGCAGGCUUACGGGCCUAAUGUCACACUGUGCUGUCUGUGGGCCUAUUGGGCCUUCUGCGGGCCUGAAUCCUGGCCCAGGUUGGGUUUCUAGUCGUAUUCAGGCCGUGGUGGCCCAAUAGGUGGCAGUUUUUUUAAAAAAAAUCCAGUUUUUUGGUUCUGUUUUUUGCAUUAUUUAUUUUCUUUUGUUUUUUGCUUUAUUUUUUAAUUCUUUUUUCUUUUAGGUCAGCAAAAUUAUAAACUGUCUGUUAGUGCCAUUAGUUUUAGAAAAAAUAUAAACUUUCAAUUAGUGCCAUUAGUUCUUUAUGAAAAUUCUUUUUGCUGUAUUUAGUUUUUUUGUUUUCUUUUUUGCUAUAUUUAUUUUGUUUUGUUUCUACUUACAACAAAAACUUAUUUAUUUUAUUUUAUUUUGUUUCUAAUUACUUAUUUAUUUUACUUUAUGAUAAUUCUUUCUGCUAUUAAAGUUUCUAUCAAAAAAAGUUCUUUAUGAAAAUUCUUUUUGCUUGUAAUGAUUAAAAAUAAAAAAGAGGCGCAAUGCGCAUUGAUUUGCUUCAAGCCUUUCGGAAUAGUGUAGACUGCACUGCACAUAGCUCGAUGCAGUCUACCUUAUUCCUCAAGGCUUGAAGCUAAGCAACGUGACUAUUGCGCCUCUUCUUCAUCGUCUCUGCACUCAGGGCUUAUAAACCGCUCCUAGUGCCUCUCAGCUAGCGAGGUGGGACUAAAAAACUGCUUAGCUAGUAAGAAACUCUAGUACCGGUUCGUGCCACGAACAGGUACUAAAGGUGCUCGUGGGGCCACAGCCUCAUUAGUACCGGUUCGUGGCACCAACAGGGACCAAAGGGUGGAAUUGGUCCCGGUUCGUGCCACCAACCGGGACCAAUGGCCUUGCACAGCGGCGUGGUGGUGAGUUUAGUCCCACCUCGCUAGCUAAGAGAGAGUCGCACCUGUUUAUAAGGUGCGGUGCGCCUGAGCUGUCGAGCUCCUCUCUAAAGCAGGCUUACGGGCCUAACCUCUCUGUACAUGCCUGUGGGCCUACUGGGCCUUCUGCGGGCCUGAAUCCUGGCCCAUGGAUGGGUUCUAAUCGUAUUCAGGCCGUGGUGGCCCAGUAGGUGGCAUAAUUUUUAAUUUUUGGCCUGUUAUUUUUCAUGCAUUUACUAAUUAUUUUGAGCUAUAAGACCCUAAAAUUGAAAAGCAUUUCAAAUGAACUCUGAAAAGGUUGAAAGUUGGCAUGGUAUCAUCAUUUCAUCCACAUAGCAUGUGCAAGAAAGUGGAGAGGGUUACGGGAAAAACUAGAUGCACUUCUUGUACAAAACGGACAAUGGUAUGAUACUCGUCUAUUACAAAGUUGGCAUGGUAUCAUCAUAAUAGUUGCGGGAGAAAGUCUUCACUUUUUCUUCGCUUGUGUCAUUUGCUUAUUGCGCCGUAACCAUGGAUAAUCUUCAUCGUUUAUCAGGAUGCUUGGGUCAGCCUUGACUUUGAAGGGAGGAAUUUCAUGAAACUUUUCAUAAUCUUCAGACAUGUCUGUCUUGCCCUCCACUCCCACAAUGUCCCUUUUUCCUGAAAGAACUAUGUGCCGCUUUGGCUCAUCGUAUGAUGUAUUCGCUUCCUUAUCUUUUCUUUUCCUCGGUCUGGUAGACAUGUCCUUCACAUAGAUAACCUGUGCCACAUCAUUGGCUAGGACGAACGGUUCGUCAGUGUACCCAAGAUUGUUCAGAUCCACUGUUGUCAUUCCGUACUGUGGGUCUACCUGUACCCCGCCUCCUGACAGAUUGACCCAUUUGCAUUUAAACAAAGGGACCUUAAAAUCAUGUCCGUAGUCAAGUUCCCAUAUGUCCAUUAUGUAACCAUAAUAUGUGUCCUUUCCCCUCUCGGUUGCUGCAUCAAAGCGGACACCGCUGUUUUGGUUGGUGCUCUUUUGAUCUUGGGCGAUCGUGUAAAAUGUAUUCCCAUUUAUCUCGUAUCCUUUGUAAGUCAAUACAGUCGAAGAUGGUCCCCUGGACAACGAGUACAACUCAUCACAAACAGUGGUGUCACCUCUGAGACGUGUUUCCAACCAACUGCUGAAAGUCCUGAUGUGUUCACAUGUAAUCCAGUCGUCACACUGCUCCGGGUGUUUGGAGCGCAGACUGUUCUUGUGUUCAUCGACAUACGGGGUCACCAAAGUAGAGUUCUGUAGAAAUGUGUAGUGUGCUUGAGACCAAGAAUAUCCGUCCCUGCAUAUUAUUGAGUGCCCCCUCCAAGCGUGCCUUUUCCAGUCAGUCUCCCCUCAUACCGCGAUUUAGGGAGACCUAUCUUCUUAAGGACAGGAAUGAAGUCAACACAAAACCCAAUGACAUCCUCUGUUUGAUGGCCCAUGGAGAUGCUUCCUUCUGGCCUAGCACGGUUACGGACAUAUUUCUUUAGGACUCCCAUGAACCUCUCAAAGGGGAACAUAUUGUGUAGAAAUACGGGCCCCAGAAUGACAAUCUCAUCGACUAGAUGAACUAGGACGUGCGUCAUGAUAUUGAAGAAGGAUGGUGGAACACCAGCUCGAAACUGACAAGACAUUGCGCCACAUCACUCCAUAGCCUUGGUAUGUUUUCUGGAUCGAUCACCUUCUGAGAGAUUGCAUUGAGGAAUGCACAUAGCUUCACAAUGGCUAAUCGGACGUUUUCCGGUAGAAGCCCCCUCAAUGCAACCGGAAGCAGUUGCGUCAUAAUCACGUAGCAGUCAUGAGACUUUAGGUUCUGGAACUUUUUCUCUGGCAUAUUUAUUAUUCCCUUUAUAUUCGACGAGAAGCCAGUCGGGACCUUCAUACUGAGCAGGCAUUCAAAGAAGAUUUCUUUCUCUUCUUUCGUAAGAGCGUAGCUGGCAGGACCUUCAUACUGCUUCGGAGGCAUGCCGUCUUUUUCGUGCAAACGUUGCAGGUCCUCCCGUGCCUCAGGUGUAUCUUUUGUCUUCCCAUACACGCCCAAGAAGCCUAGCAGGUUCACGCAAAGGUUCUUCGUCACGUGCAUCACGUCGAUUGAAGAGCGGACCUCUAGGUCUUUCCAGUAGGGUAGGUCCCAAAAUAUAGAUUUCUUCUUCCACAUGGGUGCGUGUCCCUCAGCGUCAUUCGGAACAGCUAGUCCGCCGGGACCCUUUCCAAAGAUUACGUGUAAAUCAUUGACCAUAGCAAGUACGUGAUCACCGGUACGCAUGGCGGGCUUCUUCCGGUGAUCUGCCUCGCCUUUGAAAUGCUUGCCUUUCUUUCGACAUUGAUGGUUGGUCGGAAGAAAUUGACGAUGGCCCAGGUACACAUUCUUCCUGCUUUUGUCUAGGUAUAUACUUUCAGUGUCAUCUAAACAGUGCGUGCAUGCGUGGUAUCCCUUGUUUGUCUGUCCUGAAAGGUUACUGAGAGCGGGCCAAUCAUUGAUGGUUACAAACAGCAACGCGUGCAGGUUAAAUUCCUCCUGUUUGUGCUCAUCCCACGUACGUACACCGUUUCCAUUCCACAGCUGUAAAAGUUCUUCAACUAAUGGCCUUAGGUACACAUCAAUGUCGUUGCCGGGUUGCUUAGGGCCUUGGAUGAGAACUGGCAUCAUAAUGAACUUCCGCUUCAUGCACAUCCAAGGAGGAAGGUUAUACAUACAUAGAGUCACGGGCCAGGUGCUGUGAUUGCUGCUCUGCUCCCCGAAAGGAUUAAUGCCAUCCGCGCUUAAACCAAACCAUACGUUCCUUGGGUCAGCUGCAAACUCAGCCCAGUACUUUCUCUCGAUUUUUCUCCAGUGCGACCCGUCAGCGGGUGCUCUCAACUUCCCGUCUUUCUUACGUUCCUCACUGUGCCAUCGCAUCAACUUGGCAUGCUCUUCGUUUCUGAACAGACGUUUCAACCGUGGUAUUAUAGGAGCAUACCACAUCACCUUCGCAGGAACCCUCUUCCUGGGGGGCUCGCCGUCAACAUCACCAGGGUCAUCUCGUCUGAUCUUAUACCGCAAUGCACCGCAUACCAGGCAUGCGUUCAGAUCCUUGUACGCACCGCGGUAGAGGAUGCAGUCAUUAGGGCAUGCAUGUAUCUUCUGCACCUCCAAUCCUAGAGGGCAUACGACCUUCUUUGCUGCGUAUGUACUGUCGGGCAAUUCGUUAUCCUUUGGAAGCUUCUUCUUCAAUAUUUUCAAUAGCUUCUCAAAUUCUUUGUCAGGCACAGCAUUCUCUGCCUUCCACUGCAGCAAUUCCAGUAUGGUACCGAGCUUUGUGUUGCCAUCUUCGCAAUUGGGGUACAACCCUUUUUUGUCAUCCUCUAACAUGCGAUCGAACUUCAGCUUCUCCUUUUGACUUUCGCAUUGCGUCCUUGCAUCGACUAUGACCCGGCGGAGAUCAUCAUCAUCGGGCACUGGUUGCUCUUGAUCUUCAGCAGCUUCCCCCCUUGCAGCAUCAUUGGGCACAUCGUCUGGUUCCUCUUGAUCUUCAGCAGCUUCCCCUUUUGCAGCAUCACCGUAUUCAGGGGGCACAUAGUUGUCAUCGUCCUCUUCUUCUUCGUCGUCUUCCAUCAUAACCCCUAUUUCUCCGUGCCUCGUCCAAACAUUAUAGUGUGGCAUGAAACCCUUGUAAAGCAGGUGGGUGUGAAGGAUUUUCCGGUCAGAGUAAGACUUCGUAUUCCCACAUAUAGGGCAUGGACAACACAUAAAACCAUUUUGCUUGUUUGCCUCAGCCACUUCGAGAAAAUCAUGCAAGCCCUUAAUGUACUCGGAGGUGUGUCUGUCACCGUACAUCCAUUGCCGGUUCAUCUGCGUCCAUUAUAUAUAAUUAAGUGUGUCAAAAACCAUUACAGAACAUCAUGAAUAGAUAAUUAAGUGACCAAAUUAAUAGAAGUUCAUCAUCACAUUAGAACCAAAGUACAUACAUAGUUCUCAUCUAACAACAUAUAUAUAGCUCUCCAGAGCAUCUAAUUAAUUAAACCAUACAUUGAAACUAUGUAAAACAUUUCAAUGCGAAAACAAAUGCGAUCAUAAUCGCAACCAAGGUAACAAUUGAUCCAAUGGCAUAAUGAUACCAAGCCUCGGUAUGAAUGGCAUAUUUUCUAAUCUUUAUAAUCUUCAAGCGCAUUGCAUCCAUCUUGAUCUUGUGAUCAUCGACGACAUCCGCAACAUGCAACUCCAAUAUCAUCUUCUCCUCCUCAAUUUUUUUUAUUUUUUCCUUCAAGAAAUUGUUUUCUUCUUCAACUAAAUUUAACCUCUCGACAAUAGGGUCGGUUGGAAUUUCCGGUUCACAUAGCUCCUAGAUAAAUAAAACCUAUGUCACGAUGGUCGGCAUAAUUUUCAUAAACAAUAAAUGAACCAAUAGUUAUAAAGAUAAUAUAUACCACAUCCGAAUCAUAGAUAGGACGAGGGCCGACCGGGGCGGAUACCAAAACCAUCGCACUAUAUAAUAAGAAGGAAUAAUAAAAGUAACAAAAUUAGACAAGUAUCUAUCUGAAGUAGGAAUUUUUUUCUUUCAGAAAGAAGAUAAGAACAAGAGGCUCACCACGGUGGUGCUGGCGACGAGAUCGGCGCGGGCGAUCGACGGCGGUGAAGACGGGGACGGGACGUGACGGACCGCUAAACCUAGACAAAUCUCGGGGAAAAUGGAGCUCGGAGGUCGAGUUUCUAGAGGAGAAAGAUUAACUAGUGUGGCUCAGACAUUUCAUCGAACACUUCAUGUGCAUAGGAGGUGAGCUAGAGCACCCAAAUGUCCUCCCCUCGACGGCCAGAAAAAAUUGAGCACUAUGGAGUGCUCUGCUGCGGCGAUGGGGUAUAUAUAGGCAGCUUGUCCCGGUUCGUGGCUAGAACCGGUACUAAAUCCGGGCCUUCUGUCCCGGUUCAAGCCAAGAACCAGGACCAAUGGUUGUGGGCCAGGACCGAGGCCCAUUAGUCCCGGUUCGUGCCUCGAACCGGGACAAAUGGUUCCAUACGAACCGGGACCAAUGCCCACGAGGCCCCGGCCGGCCCCCUGGGCUCACGAACCGGGACGAAUGCCCCCAUGGGUCCCGGUUCGUGACUGAACCGGGACUAAUGGGCUUGCCAUGCCCGAACGAAAGCCCUGUUUUCUACUAGUGUAACCCUACUCUGGAGGAUAAGUAACUCCUGUUAUAUGAUGCCGGUUACAAUAAAACCGUUCCGGGUUGGGAUAAACACCGGUUUAUUCCAUACUGGUGACUUUGAGUCAAAACCAGACCGGACUGAUAGUCUCCGGAUUAUAAUUUGAUCGUGUACUGACAACUUGUAGUUGACAGCCUAACCGGGUUGAUAAACACCGGUUUGAAAAACAUCGCAAAUCUUAUGAAAACAAAGAAAACUUAGCAAAAGGCAAAUAAAAACCGUUGUAGUCGAGGCUUUUCACGGGCUGCCAGGCCCCAAAUUCGAGGCUUUUCAUGGGCUGCCAGGCCACUGAGUUAAACCAUUUUUGCAAAGCCUUUUAAGAUGGUCCUCAAUCCUUAACCAAUCAUCGUUUUAACUUGACAAGUUCAGGGUCUUCAUUUUAGAGUAACUUGUCAAAGUUCGAAGGGUCAUACUAGGUUUACCUGGGCGGAGUGACUUACUUAAAUAGGUUUUAGGUGUAUACACCAGGCUUCCAAGCCAUGGCUUGAUAGCCUGUUACAAGUUUAGAUUCUUAGUUCAUUUCGACAGCAAAGAAUCCCCAAGUAACAUUGUGAGCUAUGCUCAGUGGGUGCCUAUGUUUGAGCUGUUGUUUUACAACACUCUCUUUGGCCCUGGAUUGAUUUGGCUUUGAGCCGAUCAAGAGGUGUGACUGUGGUUCGGAUACGACCAAGCCCCCAAGUGAUGUCGUGGCAUUGCGCCGAUCAAGAGGUGUAGCUAUCGUUCGGAUACGACCAAGCCCCCAAGUGAUGUAACAUAAAGCUUUGAGAAGCUAAGUCAAGGGGUAAACCGGAUGCCGCUUUAUAAACAGAAGCUCCAUGUAACCACACGUGAUGUAAGAAAACAACAGAUAUCCCGCUGUAGCUGAGGUUCCGGUUUAUUAUAUUGAUCAUAAUAUAUACAUUGUCAUAAUAUGUACAUAAGCAGAGCCUAUGGCUCAAGUAUAGUAAGGCCGAAGAUGAGCAAUAUUCCACGGCCGGUUGGUCUCCUCCUCCGAUUUAUGUGGGUCUUUGCGCUCUCGAACAUCAAUUAGGUAGUACGACCCGUUGUGUAGAUUCUUGCUGAUCACAAAGGGUCCUUCCCAAGGGGGGGAUAGCUUGUGCAUAUCCGUCUGAUCCUGGAUGAGUCGAAGCACCAAAUCACCUUCUUGAAAGGUUCUGGUUCUAACCCGGCGGCUAUGAUAACGACGCAUAUCUUGCUGAUAAAUCGCCGAACGGGCUGCCGCCAUGUCACGCUCCUCAUCUAAUAGGUCAAGAGCUUCCUGCCGUGCCUUCUCGUUGUCAGCUUCAAUAUAUGCCGCUACACGAGGUGAGUCAUGACGGAUGUCACCAGGAAGAACCGCUUCCGCUCCAUAAACCAUCAAGAACGGAGUGUAUGCUAUCGAUCUGUUGGGUGUGGUAUUAAUGCUCCAUAACACAGAAGGUAACUCCUCAACCCAACAACCCGGCAUCCGUUGCAAAGGAACCAUAAGCCGGGGUUUGAUGCCUCUCGAGAUCUCUUGAUAGGCCCUCUCCGCUUGACCAUUGGACUGGGGGUGAGCUACUGAUGACACGUCAAGCCGGAUGUGCUCACGUUGACAGAACUCCUUCAUGGCACCCUUUGACAGAUUGGUACCAUUGUCUGUUAUAAUGCUGUGUGGAAAGCCAAACCGGAAGAUUACCCUUUUGAUGAAUUGAACCGCCGUGGCUGCAUCACACUUACUAACUGGCUCUGCCUCCACCCACUUCGUGAACUUAUCAACCGCCACCAAAAGGUGGGUCUUCUUGUCCUUGGACCUCUUGAAAGGCCCAACCAUAUCCAACCCCCAAGUUGCAAACGGCCAGGUGAUUGGAAUCAUCCUCAACUCUUGAGCCGGUACAUGAGCGCGCCUUGAGAAUUUCUGACAGCCAUCACAUCCUUUGACCAAGUCCUCGGCAUUAGCAUGAGCUGUCAACCAAUAGAAACUGUGAAGAAACGCCUUGGCCACCAAAGAUUUUGAACCGGCGUGGUGACCACAAUCUCCUUCAUGGAUCUCACGCAAAAUUUCACGGCCUUCCUCAGGAGACACACAACGUUGAAACACCCCUGGCACACUGCAAUGAUGUAACUCUCCAUUGAUAAUAGUCAUGGACUUGGACCGUCGGAUUAUCUGCCUGGCCAAAGUUUCAUCCUCUGGUAACUCGCCCCGGUUCAUAUACGCCAGAUAUGGAACCGUCCAAUCCGGGAUAACAUGAAGAGCCGCCACCACCUGAAUUUUCGGAUCAGGAACAGCCAAGUCCUCUUCGCCAGGGAGCUUGACGGACGGAUUAUGCAGAACAUCCAGGAAGACAUUAGGUGGAACCGGUUUACGUUGGGAACCCAGGCGGCUUAAAAGCGUCCGCCGCUUCAUUCUUCCGCCGGUCCACAUGAUCCACCUGAUAACCUUUAAACUGACCUGCAACAAUAUCCACCUCACGACGAUAUGCUGCCAUGAGUGGGUCCUUGGAAUCCCAAGUGUCGGACACUUGUUGAGCCACCAGAUCCGAGUCAUCGAAGCACUUAACUUGGCUUAGGUUCAUCUCCUUAGCCAUCCGAAGACCAUGGAGUAAAGCCUCAUAUUCUGCUGCAUUGUUAGUGAAAGGGAACAUUAAACGGAGAACAUAACAAAACUUAUCACCUCGUGGGGAAGUUAAUACGACUCCAGCCCCCGAGCCCUCCAAUUGCCUGGACCCAUCAAAAUGAAUAGUCCAAUAAGUAUGAUCCGGCUUCUCUUCUGGCGCUUGUAGUUCUGUCCAAUCAUUGAUGAAAUCCACAAGUGCCUGAGAUUUGAUCGUCGUUCGGGGUAUGUAUUUCAACCCGUGAGGCCCGAGCUGGAUAGCCCACUUAGCAAUCCAGCCAGUUGCUUCCCUGUUCUUGAUUAUAUCCCCCAAAGGAGCAAAGCUGACCACCAUGAUGGGAUGACCUUGCAAAUACUGCUUAAGCUUCCGGAUUGCCAUAAAAACCCCAUACACCAAUUUUUGCCAAUGUGGGUACCUCUGCUUGGACUCGAUAAGUACUUCACUGAUAUAGUAAAUCGGCCGCUGAACCGGAUAUUCCUUUCCUGCCUCUUUGCGCUCCACCACAAUAGCCACACUAAGAGCCUGAGUGUUAGCUGCUACAUAUAGCAACAAUGGCUCUUUGUCAACCGGAGCAGCAAGAACCGGCGGAUUAGCCAGCUGCCGCUUUAAGUGCUCAAACGCUUCAUUAGCGGCAUCACUCCAGACGAAGUUAUCUGUUUUCUUCAGCAUCUGAUAUAAAGGGAUGGCCUUCUCGCCAAGGCGACUGAUAAACCGGCUCAACGCGGCAAUCCAGCCCGCCAGGCGUUGAACAUCAUUGAUACACUUCGGUUGGCCAAGGAGGUGAUGGCUUUGAUCUUUUUCGGAUUAGCUUCAAUGUCCCUGUUAGACACCAAAAAGCCCAAGAGCUUGCCUGCAGGUACACCAAAGACGCACUUGGCCAGAUUAAGCAUCAUUUUGAAAACCCGCAGGUUAUCGAAGGUUUCCUCCAAGUCAUCAAUCAAUGUCUUCUUCUUCCUUGAUUUCACCACAAUAUCAUCCACAUAGGCGUGAACAUUGCGGCCGAUCUGUUUAUGAAGACAAUUCUGCACACACCGUUGAUAAGUCGCCUGGGCACUCUUGAGCCCAAAGGGCAUGGACACAUAGCAGAAGGCUCCAAAAGGAGUUAUGAAGGCUGUCUUCUCCUGGUCCUUAACUGCCAUUUUGAUCUGAUGAUAACCAGAAUAUGCAUCCAAAAAGCUUAAAUGCUCGCAACCCGCCGUAGCAUCAAUAAUUUGAUCAAUACGGGGGAGGGCAAAAGGAUCUGCUGGACAAGCUUUGUUGAGAUCUGUGUAGUCCACACACAUACGCCAAGUGUCGUUCUUCUUAAGGACCAGCACCGGAUUAGCCAACCACUCAGGAUGGAAUACUUCAACGAUAAAUCCAGCCGCCAAGAGCCUGCCUACUUCUUCUCCAAUAGCCUUGCGUCUUUCUUCAUUGAAGCGGCGGAGAAACUGCUUGACCGGUUUAUACUUGGGAUCAACAUUGAGAGUGUGCUCAGCAAGUUCUCUCGGUACACCUGGCAUGUCAGAAGGCUUCCACGCAAAGAUGUCCCGAUUCUCAUGAAUGAACUCGAUUAGCGCGCUUUCCUAUUUUGGAUCCAAGUUAGCGCUGAUGCUAAACUGCUUGGACGAAUCGCCAGGCAUGAAGUCAACAAGCUUAGUCUCAUCAGCCGAUUUAAACUUCAGGACCGGAUCAUGCUCUGUAGUUGGUUUCUUCAAUGAAGUCAUAUCUGCCGGAUCAACAUUGUCUUUGUAAAACUUCAACUCUUCUGUUGCACAAACCGACUCAGCAUAAGCCGCAUCAUCUUCUUCACACUCCAGAGCGAUCUUGCGGCUCCCAUGCAUGGUUAUAGUUCCCUUGUUUCCCGGCAUCUUGAGCUGCAGAUAGACAUAACAAGGUCGUGCCAUAAACUUAGCAUAAGCCGGUCGUCCAAACAGGGCAUGAUAUGGGCUUUUGAUUUUCACCACUUCAAAGGUCAACGUUUCUGAUCUUGAGUCAUGCUCAUCUCCAAAAUCCACCUCCAGAGCUAUCUUACCAACAGGAUAUGCCGAUUUACCAGGCACCACACCAUGGAACACCGUAUUGGACGGUUUAAGAUUUUUAUCUGUUAACCCCAUGCGACGGAAAGUUUCAUAAUAAAGGAUAUUGAUACUACUCCCUCCAUCCAUGAGUACCUUAGUGAACUUAUAACCUCCCACCUGAGGUGCCACCACCAGUGCCAGAUGACCCGGAUUGUCAACCCGGGGCGGAUGAUCUUCUCUACUCCACACAAUCGGCUGCUCGGACCAGCGCAAAUAACGGGGCACCGCCGGUUCAACGACAUUCACUGCCCUUUUGUGAAGCUUCUGAUCGCGCUUGUCCAGGCUAGUGGUGAAGACAUGAUACUGUCCGCUAUUCAACUGCUUCGGGUUGCUCUGGUAACCCGACUGCUGCUGCUGCUCUUGCUGAUUCCCCUGCUUGUUAUAACCACCUUGGUUGCCCUGAUUGCCUUGAUUGCCAUGCCCGCUCUGGUUACCGUGAAAACCUGAACCGGAACUGCCUCCACCGUAACCCAACCCAUGAGACCCGGGGCCCGAACCGCCACCCGGUCCAUGAUCAUACCGGAAAGAAUUAGAAUUUUUGAACUCCUGCAUGAUGUAGCAAUCUUUCCAGAGGUGCGUGGACGGAUUCUCCUUCGCACCAUGUUUUGGGCAAGGCUGGUUCAACAGAUAAGACAGGCGGUCCGGGUUAGGACUUGGUCCUCCACCGCGCUAGGGUGGUUUACCCUUACGCUGUUGGCGCUUGUCCUACGUGCUGGUAUUAGCCACAAAGUCUAAGCCGUGGUCCGCUUUACGCUUGCCGCCGUUUCCAUGACCCGCCGGGUUGUGGUGCUGCCCCUUGGCGUUGCCGCUCCUUUUUCCCUUCCCUGUCUUAUCAUCGUCAGACUCAGGAUCCUUGGUACUAUAAGAGUCGGCAUACUUCACCAGAGCAGCCAUGAGGGUUCCCAUGUCAUUACAUGACGUUUGAGCCGUCCCAACUUCAACUUCAGGGGUUCAAACUGGCAAUUUCCUUCCAAUGUUAAAACUGCGGUAUCAGCGUUGAUGCGGUCCGAUGAAUGCAAAAUUUCCGAAACCCGGCGCACCCAAUGGGUUGUUGACUCUCCUUCCUCUUGGACACAGGCGGCUAAGUCCACAAUUGACAUGGGCUGCUUGCAUGUAUCCUUGAAAUUCUGGAUAAACCGGGCUCUCAACUCAGCCCAUGACCUGAUAGAAUUAGCCGGUAAGCUCUUUAGCCAAGUGCAGGCCGUCCCUUCUAGCAUCAUGGCGAAGUAUUUCGCACAUGCCGCAUCAUCCACAUCCAGCAUCUCCAUGGCCAUCUCAUAGCUUUCGACCCAUGUCUCAGGGGAUAAAUCGGCGGUGUAAUUCGGCACCUUGCGCGGGCCUUUGAAAUCCUUGGGCAGGCGUACAUUGCGCAACGCUGGGACGAGACACGUCACUCCCAAAGAACUAUAAGUAACUCCUAGUUCCACCGACGUGGUUGGACGAACUGGAGUAAGCUGACGGGCUUCAUGCUGCGCCGCUAACUCGGCCUCUCUGCGUGCCCGAGCCCGGUCCACCACCUCCUGAGCAUCACCAGCACCACCCGCCGGGUUAUUGCCACGGGGCGGAUAACAGUUCUGCGCAUUGCUUGACACUGCCCGUUCAUCCAUACACCUGCUGUAACUCCGGCUUGGACGGGGAGGGGAAUGAAUCCGAUCGCGACUAUAUGAAUAAGCCUCCUGUUGAACCAAGGCUGUCUGAAGAAGCUCUUUAACCCGACGUGUCUCGACCGCCGCCGGAGAAUCGCCUUCGAUCGGGAUGGCCGCCAGCUGUGAAGCGACAGCGAUAAUGUUUUCGAUCGGGUUAGAGUAAUGACCCAGUGGCGUUGGGACAUGCGGUGUUACAAUGUUGUUCUGACGAGGCGGAUCCACCAAACGUGGCUGAAACGGCGCCCCUGCUCCAGGUGCCUCCGCCCGGUUUACCACCAGCGGAUUACUGGUCCCUGUUCCUGGGGUGUUAAAGAGGUUUCUAGCGUCAUAAACCGGCGGCAGGCGAGAUCAGUACCUCCUCUUCAGGACUUCGUUCGACGCACUCUGAUCUAGCAUAAUCCGGUAAGCUUGUGCAUCCAAAGCGGCCCGCUCCGCAGCCAUCCUGGUAUCCUCUGCUGCUAAGUCAGCUUUGGCCUGGGUGAUCUGAUCUUUCACCUUCGCGAUUUCCGCAUUGUGUGCAUCCUGAUCCGCCGGGUUAACCUCCGCCAUCAGCGUUGCCAACGCGUCAAACAAAUCAGAUAGAACCUGAGCCGGCGGUCGCACAGGGCCUCCUGCCCCGGCCGCUGUUGCCGCUGCCGAUCCGGAAAUCAUCGCCGCUGCGGUCGAAGAGUGGAGCGUCAGUUGCAUACCGGCCAUGAAGAUCGCAACCCGGUUUGGCAGAUCAAAGGGGUCCGGAAUACUGUCGCCACCGGAACAGCCCCCAAUCCGGCUAUCUUGUAACUGAUAUAACGACUAGGUCUCUCCGGUCGAUGACUCGUCGCCGGAAUAAACGACGGUUUCACCACCAGAUUCCGAUAUAUCCUCAGAUUCCCCUCCAUGGAUGACUCCCACGAAGGCACGCUUCAUGAUAGGCUUGACCCGGGCAGAUCUCGCACGCUGAGCCGUUUCGACGAGGUCGGUGCAGAUGUCCGGCUCAGGGCCCGGUUCGCCGAUCUUGCCAAUGAAAACGUGUAUGCCACCAAAGGGGACCCGGUACCCGUACUCGAUUGAGCCGGCCUCGGGGCCCCAGCCUACAUGUCGAUGUAGAGCUUGCCGCGAAGACUCUUGGUCAUCCGGCCCACAGCAUAACCCUUGAGUCCUUCGAAGCUGCUCUCCAAGAACUUGAAACCACCGUGCGAUAGCCCCACGGUGGGCGCCAACUGUCAUGGUUUUGUCAUGGCAGAUGUCCUCGUGAAAGGACUUAGUCGUGGAGCCAUCGCUACGGAUUAGCUUAAAGGGGUUAAACCGGACAAGGGACACGAGAGUUUUUAUACUAGUUUGGCCCCUUACGAUGAAGGUAAAAGCCUACGUCUAGUUGUGAUGGAAUUGCUGGGGUUUCGAUGACCAGGGAGCGAAUACGCUUUGCCUGAGUCUCGAGUUGUUGUCUAUUCUCCUUGAACCGCCGCCGGGUCGUCCCCUUAUACAUAUGGGUUGACGCCCGUCGGUUUACAGAAUCCCUAGGCCGGCUCAUAAACGUGUCCGGCUCGGCCUCUGCUCUUUCUAUCUUACAACACAAGUUUACAUAUUAAUACCGGUUUAUGUCUACAUGCCUUAAACCGGCUUUGGGCCCUGGGCCUUCAUAAAGCGUCACCGUCUGUCUUCAUGGGCUUCAGAUAUAAUGAACUACUUAUGGGGUUAACCCGGCCUAUAUUGGCCGGUUUACGCCCAGUGGUAAUAUCCCCAACAUCAACCAUGCUUCUACUACUAUUGCUACCGCUUAGCGAUAAAGUAAAGCAUUACAUAGCGCUUAAUGAUUGACAUGCAGGUCAUACAAUAAUUAAAGACAACCAUAUGGCUCCUGCCGGUUGCCGUAUGCAUCAACAUGCAAGUUGAUAUAAACUAUUACAAACAUGAUCAUCUCAUACAUCAAAUAUAUCUCAUCAUGUCUUUGGCCAUAUCAUAUCACAACAUACCCUGCAAAAACAAGUUAGACAUCCUCUAAUUGUUGUUGCAUGUUUUACGUGGCUGCUAUGGGUAUCUAGCAAGAAUGAUUCUUACCUACGCAAAGCCGCAACGGUGAUAUGCAAGUUACUAUUUAACCUUCUACAAGGACCGCCUUUGUCGAAUCAGAUUCAACUUAGGUGGGAGAGAUAGACACCCGCCAACCAUCUUUAUGCAACAAAGUCACAUGUCUGUCGAUGGAGCCGGCCUCAUGUACGUGGACAUGUAAAGUUGGUCCGGGCCGCUUCAUCCCACAAUACCGCUGAAUCAAGAAAAGACCAAGGAAGGAAGCAAUCUGAAUAUCAACGCGCACAAACUCCUUUUUCUUCUACUCGUGAUGUCAUCUACGCAUAGACCUAGCUCUGAUACCACAUUCGGGGAAUGUUACAUGGGAAACAAAAAAUUUCCUUCGCUCACCAAGAUCAAUAUAGGAGAUGACCAUCUACGAGAGGAGAGAUUACAUCUACAUACCCUUGUAGAUCGCUAAGAAGAAGCGUUAAGAAACGUUGUUGAUGUAGUCAAACAUCUUCGCGAUCCAACCACGAUCCGUCCCACGAACUCCCGAUCCAAGUGCCAAAUGGACGGCACCUCCACGUUCAACACACGUACGGCUUGAUGACACCUUCACCUCCUCGAUCCAGCGAGCGAUGGUGAAGUAGUAGCUCGAGUCCUCCGGCAGCACGACGGCGUGGUGGCAGUGGUGGUGGCGGAAUCUCAGCAGAGCUUCGCUAAGCACUACAGAGAGGAAAAGGGAUGCAAGGGAGAGGAGAGGCAGCGCCGUUGCGUGGAGAUGUGCUCUUCGGGUGCGGCUGCCCUCUGUCUACAUAUCUAUAUGUAGGGGAAGGGAGGAGGGGGCGGCGCCCCUAGGCUUUCCCCUAGGGGGGUGGCGGCCAGGGCAGAUGGGAUCUCCCUAGGGUGAGUUGCCCCCAAGCCGGGAGGUGGGAAGCCCUAGGGGAAUGCCCCAACCCACCUAUUACGUGAGAUAGGGUGAGGGGGCGCUCAGCUCCUUAGUGAGAUGGGUUGCCCCCUCCCCUUGGCCCAUGCCCCCCCAACACUUGCUGGGGGCCCCCGAAACCCCUUUCGGUGACGCUGGUCAUCAUCCGGUACCCCCAGAACAAUUCCAGACUCCAAUACCCUUCGUCCAAUAUAUCGAUCUUCACCUCCGGACCAUUCCGGAGUUCCUCGUCACAUCCGCGAUCUCAUCCAGGACUCAGAACAACCUUCGGUAACCACCAUAAUGACUCAACUAUACUUAUAUCGUCACCAAACAUUAAGUGUGUAGACCCUGCGGGUUCAAGAACUAUGCAGACAUGACCGAGACACCAUGAUAAUCCCCAAGUGCAGGGAAUCAUCGUAGCAAUUCCCAAAGGUGGAAGUGAUAAGUAUGGAGUGUCGAACCCACAAGGAGCUAAAGGUAAGAUCAAUAUUCUCUCAAGUCCUAUCUGCCACUGAUACGACUCUACGUACACCGAACGUUUGCUUCCAACUAGAAACAAGAAAUAAAACUACAUUGUGGGUAUGAAGAGGAUAACUUUGCAUGAUAUCAGAGAGCUAAAACAUAAAAAUAAGUGCUGUUAUCAUAAAGUUCGAAUAUAUUACUAAAUAUUAUAAACAGCGAGUGUGCAAUAAUGAUGGGUCGGUGUGCGGAAUUAUCCUAGGCAAUCGUUAACAAGACCGGUAGUCGUCGUUGCAAUUUCAUAUGAGGGAGAGGCAUAAGCUAACAUACUUUCUCUUCUUGGAUCAUAUGCACUUAUGAUUGGAACUCUAGCAAGCAUCCGCAACUACUAAAGAUCAUUAAGGUAAAACCCAACCAUAGGAUUAAAGCAUCAAGUCCCCUUUAUCCCAUAUGCCACAACCCCCUUACUCGGGUUUAUGCUUCUGUCACUCAAGCAACCCACUAUAAGCGAAUCAUGAAUGUAUUGCAACACCCUACAGCGGGAAUCCCUCAGGCUUGCGCGACACGGAGGGCACAAUAGGACAGCACCAAAAUAAAACAUACAACCCAUACCAAUCUAGAUCAUCAAUCAACCCAAAGACAAAGGAUAUUUACUCAAAACAUCAUAGGAUGGCAACACAUCAUUGGAUCAUAAUAUGUGGCAUAAAGCACCAUGUUCAAGUAGGGAUUACAGCGGGGUGCGGGAGAGUGGACCGCGUAAAAUAGAUGAGGAUGGUGCUGAUGAUGGUGAUGUUGAUGAAGACGAUCACCGCGGUGAUGAUUCCCCUCCCGAUGGCACUCCGACGCCACCGAGAGAGAGGAGGAGAGAUUCUCCCCCUUGUGCUUCCUCCUCCAUGGCCUCCCCCCUAGAUGGGGAGAGGUUCUCCCUCUGGUCCUUGGCCUUCAUGGUGAUGAUGGCCCCUCUGGGAUCCUCCUCCAUGGCCUCCGGUGAUGAUGGCCCCCUCCGGCAGGGUGCCAGAGAGGGCCUAGAUUGAUUUCUCGUGGCUACAGAGGCUUGCGGCGGCGGAACUUCCGAUCUAGGUUAUUUUCUGGAGGUUUGGGCAUUUAUAGGAGAGGUUGGCGUCGAGAACAAGUCAGGGGCCCCACGGGGAGUCCACGAGGCACAGGGGCGCGCCCUAGGGGGGUGGGCGCGCCACCUAUCCUCGUGGGGCCCAUAGGACUCCCCUCCGGUAGAUUUUUGUUCCAGUAUUUUUUAUAUUUUCCAGAAAAAUUCUCCGUUGAUUAUUCGCAUUCCGAGAACUUUUAUUUCUGCACAAAAACAACACUAUGGUAGUUCUGCUGAAAACAGCGUCAGUCCGAGUUAGUUCUAAUCAAAUCAUACCAAAAUCAUAUAAAACUAUUGUAAACAUGGCAUGAAUACUUCAUAAAUUAUAGAUACAUUGGAGACGUAUCAGCAUCCCCAAGCUUAAUUCCUGCUCGUCCUCGAGUAGGUAAAUGAUAAAAGAAAUAAUUUAUGAAGUGUGAAUGCUAGCAAGUGCAUAAGUUUGAUCAAUGAUAGUUCCAAUCACUUUUUCUAGCAUCAUUAUAUAUCAUAACAAUAGCUCAACUCAUAAAACUUCUCAUGAUCAAGUAAGAAGCUAUUUGUGACACCCAAAAAUUUUAUUUGGCUUUUUCAAACUUUCAUUAGAUUUGAGGGGUGUUAUUUAAAAUUUUCUUCUAAAGAACUCUUGCUCUCAAAAAAAUUCGUAUACCUCCGAGUGUCUCCUAUGAGGGGCCUGCAACGGUUCAAAAUUAAGGGGAAGCUAGCACCGAGAUUUAUUGGACCCUUCUGCAUAGUUGCACGAAAAGGCACAGUAGCCUACCAGCUAGACCUACCCAAAGAGCUGUCAGACGUCCACGACGUGUUUCACGUUUCACAGUUGAGGAAAUGUGUGAACAACCCGGAGAAGCAUGUAUCUCAUGAGAGUAUUGAUGUGCAACCAGACCUCACCUACAGAGAGCGGCCAGUAAAGAUAUUGGAAGAGUCUGAACGGAGAACCCGUUGGAAAACAAUAAAAAAUUUCAAGGUUCAGUGGAGCAAUCACCCCGAGGAUGAAGCUACAUGGGAAAGAGAAGAUUUUCUUCAGGAAGAGUACCCACAUCUAUUGGAGGAUCAGCUAAAAUCUCGAGGACGAGAUUUUUCCUAAGGGGGUAGGUGUUGUGACACCCAAAAAUUUAUUUGGCUUUUUCAAACUUUUAUUUGAUUUGAGGGGUGUUAUUUAAAAUUUUCUUCUAAUGAACUCUUCCUCUCAAAAAAAAUUUCUUUUGUGACAAAUAUUUUUGUUUGGAUUCACCCAAGACUUGAUUUUGGUCUUGGAGGUUUUUCAUCUCAUGUUGGCUCAAAAUUUUUUCAUUUGGAAAAACAUUUUUGAAAAUCUGUUAAAUAGCCCUAUGGCAUUUGGAGUGAUCUUUCCCCCUUUCAAAAAUCCCUCUUGCCAUGACCCAAGUGGAAAUCCCCUCCCAUAAGCCUUUCCCCAUCUUUGGAUCAUGAUAUAUUUCAAAUCCAGCAAGUUGAACCUCUCCAUAUAUUUGUUUCCAUUUAUUUCUCAUCAAAAACAAUUUCUGCCUCCUACUCUAGCUCUUGGAGAUUUACAAAGGAGCUACCCUUUCUACCUUGAGUUCUGCCUCCAAACCAAUUUCCCUAGCUAGUCCUUAGAGCCCUCAACCAAGAUCCAUGAAGAUCCACUGGUCUCCAGUUCAAAUUUUUCAAAUUUUGCUUGCUGCAAGUUUGGACCAGAUUUGCCAAAUUUGAUGAAAUUCAUUUGAAUUCUCCUCCUAAAGAUCUGAGAAAAUUCAGGCAGCCUCUGGGUGCAUUGAGAGGUCACCUCACCAAGUCCCAGCUCCAGGAAAAAAUUUCUUCAUGCCAAAUCAUUUCGUCGAACACCUGACUGGCACUGUUUCUAUCAUGUUCAGAAAGUUCAGUUAACAGUUUCAGUGAGCACUGUCGUUUUCUUCAGAGACCGUUCUCGAUCUCGCCAGUACCGCGGUGGCGCCUUGCUUCCUGUUCUCUCCUUCUUAUCUCUGCGCCGCACGAUCUCCUGGAGGUUUGCGGGCGUCGGCGAUGAGCAGGAGGAGGUGCGCCACCCGUGAGCGACGGCAGCAGUGGCUUUGCGGCCGCCAGAGAGAGGCGCAGCAUGGACGGCGCCGCCCAGCGCCGCCCAAGCCACCCGAGGCCGCCGCGUGGCCUUCCACUCCCCCGUGCACGCUGCCAUCCUUCGUCAUGAACUGGUAGGCGCAGAGCGCGCUCUCUGCCGCCGCCGUGCCCGUACGGCCGCCCCGUCAAGGAUCGGUGCAUUACGCCAAGCCCGACCAAGGUUUAGCAGGGGAACGGCACCAGUGAACCUCCCUGAUGUUGCCUGGCGACUUAAACUCCCUGCCCAACCCCUGCCUCGCCGUAAUCGCUCGCCGGAGCUACCCCGUUCACGGCCACCCCCUCGGAUCGCCUAUAAAUAGAGGCCCCGAGCUCGAACUCGAACUCACACCACCCCUACGCACCACCAAUACCAGGCCAAGCCACUGGUAGAGCCACGAGGGAGCCUUCUUCCCCAACUCCGGCCGCCUCGACCCGCCACGGGACCCAGCUCGAUUCGCUGCCGUGCGUGCACCCUUACCCCUCAGCUCUUGCCAGUAGCUUCCUUAUGCAUCCACUCUCCUGACCCGCGCUUCAAUUUGGAGUUUGCAGCACCCACCGGAGUUCUCCACCAACGCCCGAACCACCGUCCGCCGGAGAAAGUGUCGCCGUCGACGUGGUGCUCUCCGACGACCAAGUCCACCACCCACGAACGCAGAAGAACACACUGAAUAUCUUGGUACCCUCCGAUCUCCCUGCCUCGCCGUGGUUCAACGUCGGUGACCACCGCAGCCUUCGGGCGCCGGCGAACUUUUUAAACCUGACGUGUGGACCCCCCCAUCAGCCUCUCUUCUCUCCCCCCUCGAACCGUUUUCUGUUGCCGCCUUCUGGCAAAUACGUUUUCUCUUUGGGUUGGCGCCUUUUACUCCGAACCGUUUUCUGUUUUCUCAGUUAAGUCCCUGGUUCUUUUCUGUUUCAUCACAGAUUAGUCCCUGGACUAAAACCCUUAUAACUUUUUAAUAAAAGAUGAUUUUCGAUUGAUUCUUUUUCUGUCAGUCUUGUAUUUUUGUCUAGUUUUUUAUAGUAUUUAUUUGGAAAAUUUGUGGAACAAUUUUUAUGCACGCGGUGAUUUUUACUUUAGUGUACGAUUUCGCUAUACCGUAGGUUCCGGAGGAGGUGACGGAGCCGCGAACUUCGCCGAGCUAGACUCCGACUUCUCCGAACCAGGCAAGCAUGUUUGAACCUUUGAUAUGAUAGGUGUUUUGCAUGUUCGCUUGAAUGGUUUGUGCAUGGCAUAUGAGCAUCGGUGAGUGUCUCGUUGCAUGUAAGGCAACUAUCCGUGUGUUCCGAAGUUACUGUGAUCUCUGAUGAGAGAUGGCCAAGUCAUGUGGUGACAUGAAAGGCAGUAAGGUGGUAUUGUUGUAGCAUGCCAGCCUUACGUCGUCCGAUAAACUCCAACGUUAACGUGGACUGAGCCACGUUACCGUUCUUCCCCUUUCGUGCUGCCACAUGCGGUUUAGUAAGUUGGUAACCUCUUUCCGUGUACACACCAAAUAGAGGGGCCGGGAUGAGGGUUCCAUGGCCCUGGAUUAAAGCCAGUCAUCCGGUCAGGGGGCAUGGGUGUUUCCGGUUGGGACCAAGAGGGGGGCACCCCUUAGAGCGCGCGUAUAUAAAUUUGAUCCCCCGCUACGCGACGUUGUAGCCUCCCCGUCUCAAAGUUUUUCUUGAACGUUGCCGAGGGUGAUUCCUGGCUUCGGAAUGUUGAAUGGGUGUGUACUGGUUAGAUGUGUUUCUUCCAAAACACCGUAAACGGAACUAGUCCCCGUGACUACUGAAAUCCGUUGGCUGUGGUUAAAGUACAAACUCUGCAGAGUCAAAUCCUUCCGAGUCAUCGUGUCCAUGAUCAAGGACCAUGGCCAGUAUAUCCCUAUCUAUGUCAAUCCUCGUGGUAAAUCCCUGGUGAACAAGCUCGAGUAGUAUACCCGUUUGAAUUGUUAUUCCUGUGGAUGGACUAACCUUUUGUUUAUCUCGCACUUGAUUUCUUCCUGGUUGUGAUAUUAAAUUCAUGAGCUGCUAAAUUAUUAAGUUGUGAAAUAUAAGCCCUUUAUGUGAUGUCGCUCAGACGUCCGACUGUGGCACACUCGUCAUUUACUUUCGAUAUAAGCCCUUUAUGUGAUGUCGCUCAGACGUCCGACUGUGGCACGCUCGUUAUUCACUUUUGAUAUAAGNNNNNNNNNNNNNNNNNNNNNNNNNNNNNNNNNNNNNNNNNNNNNNNNNNNNNNNNNNNNNNNNNNNNNNNNNNNNNNNNNNNNNNNNNNNNNNNNNNNNNNNNNNNNNNNNNNNNNNNNNNNNNNNNNNNNNNNNNNNNNNNNNNNNNNNNNNNNNNNNNNNNNNNNNNNNNNNNNNNNNNNNNNNNNNNNNNNNNNNNNNNNNNNNNNNNNNNNNNNNNNNNNNNNNNNNNNNNNNNNNNNNNNNNNNNAUAAGCCCUUUAUGUGAUGUCGCUCAGACGUCCGACUGUGGCACUCUUGUUAUCUACUUUGAUAUAAGCCCUUUAUGUGAUGUCGCUCAGACGUCCGACUGUGGCACGCACUGUCAUUUAUAUUCUAUUAUAAGCCCUUUAUGUGGUGUCGCCUUGACGCCCGACUGCGGCAUUGUUAUUCUUUUUGUAUCCUUUCGAGGGGUCAUUCAGACACUCGAUUGGCCCUCAGUAUUACUUUGGGAUUUCGAGAGGACUACCGCCCGACUUCCCUUUUAUUUCCCAUGCAUUAUUAUCUCAUUGUCUGAGUGCGCUUGUUAAUCUGUUCAUAUGCAUCAUGUUUACAUUUGUUAUAUCUUAUGUCCGAACUGUGUUGCGAGUACUUUCAUAGUACUCACCUGGCUUGUUGAUUUGGCCAGAUGUUGACGAAGGCGAUCUCAUGGAUGAAGAGUUUGAUAGUGAGUCCGACGCCUAGAGGAGUCCCAGUCAGUCCCGUGCGAUCCUGGAUAUUGGUCACUUGUAUAUACGCUUCCGCCACCCACAAUAAGUAUCCUCGAGCCUCACUCCGACGCUCGAAGAGUUGUUAGAUUCAGGAGUCAUGUCACCCGCUUCGCUGUGAUAUAUCCACCACCGCUUUUAUCGUGAGUUAGUAGUUAUGCCACCCUUUCCGCCUUUAUGUAUUAUUGGCGUGUUUGUAAUAAAUUGUUGAGCAGUCUCCGCUCAACCUUGUAUUAUAUUCAGUACUCCUGGUUUUUCUUCUGUGAUCAAGAUAUUGUCUACCAGUGAGAAGGAAUUCUUCUUUACUGGUGCGUAAAAGGGAUCGGUCUUUCAAUAAAUAUUUUUAUUGGAAAACCGGUCGUGACAAGCUUGGUAUCAGAGCCAGGCUGACUGUAGGAAGCCACUAGGUGCGAUCGCUAAUCGGUUAUUAGCGUCUUUGGUGCUUUUUCAGCAGUUUGCAAAUGUAGCUAUUUUCUGUUGGUCAUCAUAAAUUUAUGACAUGACUACUCAGAAUUUUUUCCUACUUGUGUAGAUGGCUGGCAACGUCUGCGAGACUCGGGUGUUCACUAGCGUGCCCGAGGGGUUUGUCAAACUCCUCGUCUCCAUCACCAAGCUCGCGAUCGGGCAAGCGACUCGUCCGGAGUUCACGCUUUAUCAGCACAAGCUCAGCGACGAUGUGUCUAUGCACCAAGCCAUGGUGCAAUUCAAGGGAGGACGUUCUGCGUCACGCCACUUCCGUUUUGUGGUAAGGGCCAUGCCUACGGAGAGGCAUGCCAUGCAGAUGGCCGCCCGUUAGGCGAUAGCUCGCCUUCGGGAUAUCCUUCCUAUGAUGAAGACUCGUCGCUACCGCUACCUCCCAUGCCAUGUGCCAUAUACUUGUCACUAUGCAUUCGCCUGCCAUAGGGGAGAGCGGGAUGAAGCUAUCGAGAUGCUUGUCGAGUACCUCAAAGCUCUGGAGGAAUCUUUCGACAACCUCGUGGACGAUCUUGUGGCUGCCUGCAUGGACUUAGUUCGGGGCGGUCCUGCCAGCAGGAAGGAGCUUCUCCACAUGGCACCGCCACUGACGUUAGUCUCGUCCUCAGCAUCUUAUUCACCUGCCAUUUUGGCCACUACUCGCCGUCUGCCUACCACUGAGGAGUUCGACCGAGUCAUCGCUCCUACUCCAGUCAGAGCUGCACCGCCUGCCGCACCCGCACUGCUGCCUGUCGCUCCCGCGCCAUCACCUCAGCGCAGUGCUACGCGCCUGGAGCCUACUAGGGAGGAGGUGGAGGUUGAGUCUCCUGCACCGCUGGGUCUUACCCUCGGCAAGGGGAAGGACAUCUCCACCAUCUCCGACUGAGUGCGCUUAGUAACCGCGCGUUGUGCCUGCAUGUAUGUUAUGUUUUAUGUGCUUAAGUUUGUAGUAGUUGUGUGCGCUGCAUUCCGGAGGAGUGUGCUAGUCUAAAUAACAUGUCAGGAGUGUGUACGCACAUCCUGAGUGAUGUAUCGUGUGUUUGCGUGUUGCGUGUAAGAUAUGUGCUAAGCGGUCUUUCCCGUGCGAAAUCGUUUAUGUUCUUGAAAAAUCUUGAGGUCUAAAUUUUUGCCUUUGCAAGAUUUUCCUUGUGCCACACAAUUCUUCUCAUGAUUUUUGCAACAUAAUACCCCAGAGUGGAAAAUGUCUCGUCCGUGGACUCGUUCCAUGCCCAAUCAACCAGAAGAAGUUUAUGGAACACAGACCAGCAACAAUUUCACUCAGGGACAGUCUAGUCAACAGGACAGUGAGGCAGCCUUAUCUCAGGUGUGCCGCCUUUUCGAACAAAGCCAGCAGCAACACCAAGAAAUGACGAAUCACGUCAUCAAUAUGGGAAAUCACCGUGAGCCAUACCAACCACACUCCAAGUUGUCUGAACUGCAGAAGACACGCCCUCCAACGUUUGCUCACACUGAUAAGCCGCUUGAAGCCGAUGAUUGGCUUCGUGACAUCGAAAGAAAGUUGAUUAUUGCUCAAUGUUCUGAUCAUGAGAAGGUGCUUUAUGCACCUCACUACCUCACUGGAGCAGCUGCAACAUGGUGGGAAAACUUCCUACACAUGCAUCCCAGUGAACACAACAUCACCUGGGAAGAGUUUAAGGAAGGCUUCCCUGGGGCACAUAUCCCCAGGAGCAUCAUAAAAAUCAAGAAAAGAGAAUUUGAUGACCUCAAGCAGAGAGGCAUGUCCGUGACGGAAUACAACGGUCAGUUUACCCAGCUAUCUCGUUAUGCCUACGAUGAGCAUAUGACUGAGCACAAAAGGAUGGAAACAUUUCUGGACGGCCUGGCGCCAGCAUUAAGAUGCCAACUGGUCGUACACACUUUCCCAGAUUUCAAAACUCUGGUUGACAAGGCCAUUACCUUGGAGAAUGAGCGCCGCAGUCUGGAGGAUAUCCGUAAGCGGAAAAGGGACAAGACGACUCUUGCUCGCGACAAUCGAAGCAAGACUGACGUUCCAAGGAAUGAAGCGAGAAAAUCCACGACGACUGCUAUAAGGCCACCAGACAGUUUCAUUCCAGGGACAAGGACUUCACGUACCGUCCAGGGGUCACUUGCUAUGCUUGUGGUGAAGAAGGGCACUAUGCCAAACAGUGCCCAAAACCAAGGAACUCGGCCCCCAAGCCGAACAAUGGUGGGAAUAAUCCAGCCCCCAAGCGCAACAAUUUCAAUCCCAGAAACAAUCACAGGAAGGGUCACCUGAACCAUGUGACCAGGGAAGAAGCACAGAAUGCCCCAGACAUCGUGCUCAGUACGUUCCCUGUCAACACAGUACCUGCCACGGUUUUGUUUGAUUCUGGAGCUUCUCACUCGUUCGUUUCGAAGAGUUUUGUUUUACAACAUGGUUUUCCGAUACUUCCUUUGGAAAAAUCUAUGAUCAUCAAGUCCCCCGGAAAUAAGCAGAUCGCUCAGAGUUACUGCCAAGGAGUGAUCAUUGAGUUCGAAGGACUAAAGUUUCAAGCAAAUCUCAUCGUGUUGGAAAAUAAAGGACUGGAUGUCAUCCUAGGGAUGGACUGGUUGACCACCAACAAAGGAUUUAUUGACUGUUUCAACCGGACCGUGAUUCUCACUCACCAUCACGGCAAGACAAUAAAAGUUACAGCUCAAGAGAGACCACGGUCACGGCAACCAAAGCUGAACAAAGUGGACAUUUCAGAAUUGAGAAAAGUUCCAGUGGUGUGCGAAUUUCCCGACGUAUUCCCUGAAGAACUACCAGGCAUGCCACCAGACCGAGAGAUAGAAUUCAGCAUUGAACUAGCACCUGGCACCACUCCCAUCUAUAAGAAACCUUAUAGAAUGGCACCCUCAGAGUUGGUAGAAUUGAAGAAGUAGAUAAAGGAAUUGCUAGACAAAGGAUUUAUUCGAGCCAGCUCCUCACCUUGGGGUUCGCCAGUAUUAUUCGCCAAGAAAAAGGAUGGGACCCUGAGAUUGUGUAUAGACUAUCGAGCUCUCAAUAUGGUCACCAUCAAAAACAAAUAUCCGAUGCCACGGAUAAAUGAUUUGUUUGACCAGCUCGCACAAGCCAAGGUGUUCUCAAAAAUUGAUUUAAGAUCGGGAUAUCAUCAAUUGAAAGUACGGACAGAAGAUAUCCCUAAGACAGCAUUCACCUCCAGAUACGGAUUAUAUGAGUUCACAGUAAUGCCGUUUGGACUGACGAACGCCCCUGUAUAUUUCGUCCACCUCAUGAACAAAGUGUUUAUGAAAUUCAUGGACAAAUUUGUUGUGGUGUUCAUUGACGAUAUUCUGGUAUAUUCAAGGACACCAGAAGAGCAUGCUGAACAUCUCAGAAUUGUUUUGGGAGAAUUAAGGAAACAUAAAUUGUACGCCAAAUUUAGCAAGUGUGAAUUCUGGCUGAGACAAGUUGGUUUUCUAGGCCAUAUAUUAACCCAAGAAGGUGUGGCCGUAGACCCAGAAAAGGUCAAAGCCAUACUUGACUGGAAACCACCAGCCAACAUGACAGAUGUGCGGAGUUUCCUUGGAAUGGCUGGAUAUUACCGGAGGUUUAUUGAAGGAUUCUCCACUGUGGCAAAACCAAUGACCCAGUUGCUCAAGAAAGACAAGAAAUUUGUAUGGACGGAAGCAUGCGAGAAGAGCUUCCAAGAACUCAAGAAGAAACUAACAACAGCACCAGUUUUGACCGUGCCAGACAUACACAAGAGUUUUGAAGUGCUGAUGCAGGACGGCAAAGUUGUCGGGUAUGCUUCCAGGCAACUACGGAAGCAUGAGGAAAAUUAUCCAACUCAUGACUUGGAACUAGCAGCGGUCAUCCAUGCACUCAAGGAGUGGAGGCACUUUCUGCUGGGAAAUCAUUGUGAAAUAUAUACGGACCAUAAGAGCCUUAAAUAUAUUUUCACACAACCAGAGCUAAAUUUACGCCAAUGACGCUGGUUGGAAUUGGUCAAGGACUAUGAUGUCAGCAUUCACUAUCAUCCAGGAAAGGCCAACGUAGUGGCAGAUGCUCUUAGUCGAAACCCCAGCCCGGGCAACGACAGCCCACAGAACUUGAGGCCUGAGUUUCAGCAGGAGUUCGCUAGACUCAACAUGGUGUUAGUCUCUGAGGGCACCGUAUCAAAUCUGGAGAUACAUCCCACCCUAAUGGAACAAAUUAAGAAGGCUCAGCAGGGACAUCCCAGCAUCGAGGGUAUAAAGAGAAAGAUGAGCCUUGGCAAGGCUUCAGAGUUCAUCACAGACAAUGAAGGAAUAUUAUGGUCCGGGGACAGACUUUGCGUACCUAACAUUGAGGAACUCAAGCAACAAAUCCUAACCGAAAGCCACACUGCUCCAUACUCGAUCCACCCUGGAGGAACCAAAAUGUACAAAGACAUUCAGGAAAGAUUUUGGUGGCACGGUAUGAAGAGGGAUAUAGCCGCAUUUAUUGCUUGUUGCGAUUCAUGUCAGCGCAUUAAAGCCGAGCAUCAAAAGCCAGCAGGGCUGCUACAGCCAAACCGGAUACCUGAGUGGAAAUGGGAUGAAAUUGGAAUGGACUUCAUCGUCGGGCUACCUCGAUCGCAACGCGGAAAUGAUGCCAUAUGGGUCAUCACAGAUAGGCUCACCAAGGUAGCAAAUUUAAUUCCCGUGAAGACGACCUACUCCACUCAAAGGCUUGCUAAGCUUUAUCUCUCCCAUAUAGUUUGUCUGCAUGGAGUCCCAAAGACUAUAAUAUCCGACCGAGGCACUCAAUUUGUCUCUAAAUUCUGGGAUCACUUACAACAAGCUCUGGGCACUCAACUAGCAUUCAGUACAGCGUACCACCCUCAGACGGAUGGACAAACGGAACGCGUGAACCAAAUCCUAGAGGACAUGCUGAGAGCCUGUGUGCUCACCUAUGGAUCCAGUUGGGAAGAAAGUCUGCCGUAUGCCGAGUUUGCUUACAACAACAUUUACCAAGCCAGUCUGCAAAUGGCACCUUUUGAAGCACUGUACGGACGGAGAUGUCGUACCCCACUAAAUUGGUCAGAAACAGGUGACAGUCGUAUCUUCGGCCCAGACAUGCUCAAAGAAGCCGAGGAGAAGGUUAAACAGAUCAGGGACAGACUCAAGACAGCUCAAAGCCGACAGAAGAGCUAUUACGAUCGAAAACAUCGUGAGGUCAGCUUUGAACCCGGUGAUUUCGUAUACCUCUGAGUGUCUCCUAUGAGGGGCCUGCAACGGUUCAAAAUUAAGGGGAAGCUAGCACCGAGAUUUAUUGGACCCUUCUGCAUAGUUGCACGAAAAGGCACAGUAGCCUACCAGCUAGACCUACCCAAAGAGCUGUCAGACGUCCACGACGUGUUUCACGUCUCACAGUUGAGGAAAUGUGUGAACAACCCGGAGAAGCAUGUAUCUCAUGAGAGUAUUGAUGUGCAACCAGACCUCACCUACAGAGAGCGGCCAGUAAAGAUAUUGGAAGAGUCUGAACGGAGGACCCGUUGGAAAACAAUAAAAAAUUUCAAGGUUCAGUGGAGCAAUCACCCCGAGGAUGAAGCUACAUGGGAAAGAGAAGAUUUUCUUCAGGAAGAGUACCCACAUCUAUUUGAGGAUCAGCUAAAAUCUCGAGGACAAGAUUUUUCCUAAGGGGGUAGGUGUUGUGACACCCAAAAAAUUUAUUUGGCUUUUUCAAACUUUUAUUUGAUUUGAGGGGUGUAUUUAAAAUUUUCUUCUAAAGAACUCUUCCUCUCAAAAAAAAUUUCUUUUGUGACAAUAUUUUUGUUUGGAUUCACCCAAGACUUGAUUUUGGUCUUGGAGGUUUUUCAUCUCAUGUUGGCUCAAAUGUUUUUCAUUUGGAAAAACAUUUUUGAAAAUCUUUUAAAUAGCCCUAUGGCAUUUGGAGUGAUCUUUCCCCUUUCAAAAAUCCCUCUUGCCAUGACCCAAGUGGAAAUCCCCUCCCAUAAGCCUUUCCCCAUCUUUGGAUCAUGAUAUAUUUCAAAUCCAGCAAGUUGAACCUCUCCAUAUAUUUGUUUCCAUUUAUUUCUCCUCAAAAACAAUUUCUGCCUCCUACUCUAGCUCUUGGAGAUUUACAAAGGAGCUACCCUUUCUACUUUGACUUCUGCCUCCAAACCAAUUUCCCUAGCUAGUCCUUAGAGCCCUCAACCAAGAUCCAUGAAGAUCCACUAGUCUCUAGUUCAAAUUUUUCAAAUUUUGCUUAAUGCAAGUUUGGACCAGAUUUGCCAAAUUUGAUGAAAUUCAUUUGAAUUCUCCUCCUAAAAAUCUGAGAAAAUUCAGGCAGCCUCUGGGUGCAUUGAGAGGUCACCUCACCAAGUCCCAGCUCCAGGAAAAAAUUUCUUCAUGCCAAAUCAUUUUGUCGAACACCUGACUGGCACUGUUUCUAUCAUGUUCAGAAAGUUCAGUUAACAGUUUCAGUGAGCACUGUCGUUUUCUUCAGAGACCGUUCUCGAUCUCGCCAGUACCGCGGUGGCGCCUUGCUUCCUGUUCUCUCCUUCUUAUCCCUGCGCCGCACGAUCUCCUGGAGGAUUGCGGGCGUCGGCGAUGAGCAGGAGGAGGUGCGCCACCCGUGAGUGACGGCAGCAGCGGCUUUGCGGCCGCCAGAGAGAGGCGCAGCGUGGACGGCGCCGCCCAGCGCCGCCCAAGCCACCUGAGGCCGCCGCGUGGCCUUCCACUCCCCCAUGCACACUGCCAUCCUUCGUCAUGAACUGGUAGGCACGGAGCGCGCUCUCUGCCGCCGCCGUGCCCGUACGGCCGCCCCGUCGAGGAUCGGUGCAUUACGCCAAGCCCGACCGAGGUUUAGUGGGGGAACGGCACCAGUGAACCUCCCUGAUGUUGCCUGGCCACUUAAACUCCCUGCCCAACCCCUGCCUCGCCGUAAUCGCUCGCCGGAGCUACCCCGUUCACGGCCACCCCCUCGGAUCGCCUAUAAAUAGAGGCCCCGAGCUCGAACUCGAACUCACACCACCCCUACGCACCACCAAUACCAGGCCAAGCCACUGGUAGAGCCACGAGGGAGCCUCCUUCCCCAACUCCGACCACCCACCGACGCGGAAGAACACACUGAACAUCUUGGUACCCUCCGAUCUCCCUGCCUCGCCGUGGUUCAACGCCGGCGACCACCGCAGCCUUCGGGCGCCGGCGAACUUUUUAAACCUGACUUGUGGACCCCCCGUCAGCCUCUCUUCUCUCCCCCCCUCGAACCGUUUUCUGUUGGCGCCUUCGGGCAAAUACGUUUUCUCUUUGGGUUGGCGCCAUUUACUCCGAACCGUUUUCUGUUUUCUCAGUUAAGUCCCUGGUUCUUUUCUGUUUCAUCAUAGAUUAGUACCUGGACUAAAACCCUUAUAACUUUUUAAUAAAAGAUGAUUUUCGAUUGAUUCUUUUUCUGGCAGUCUUGUAUUUUUGUCUAGUUUUUUAUAGUAUUUAUUUGGAAAAAAUUUGGAACAAUUUUUAUGCACGCGGUGAUUUUUACGUUAAAGUACGAUUUCACUAUACCGUAGGUUCCGGAGGAGGUGACGGAGCCGCGAACUUCGCCGAGCUAGACUCCGACUUCUCCGAACCAGGCAAGCAUGUUUGAACCUUUGAUAUGAUAUGUGUUUUGCAUGUUUGCUUGAAUGGUUUGUGCAUGGCAUAUGAGCAUCGGUGAGUGUCUCGUUGCAUGUAAGGCAACUAUCCGUGUGUUCCGAAGUUACUGUGAUCUCUGAUGAGAGAUGGCCUAGUCAUGUGGUGACAUGAAAGGCAGUAAGGUGGUAUUGUUGUAGCAUGCCAGCCUUACGUCGUCCGAUAAACUCCAACGUUAACGUGGACUGAGCCACGUUACCGUUCUUCCCCUUUCGUGCUGCCACAUCUUUUUUGCAAAGAAUACGGUUUAGUAAGUUGGUAACCUCUUUCCGUGUACACACCAAAUAGAGGGGCCGGGAUGAGGGUUCCAUGGCCCUGGAUUAAAGCCAGUCAUCCGGUCAGGGGGCUUGGGUGUUUCCGGUUGGGACCGAGAGGGGGGCACCCCUUAGAGCGCGCGUAUAUAAAUUUGAUCCCAUGCUACGCGAGGUUGUAGCCUCCCCAUCUCAAAGUUUUUCUUGAACGUUGCCGAGGGUGAUUCCUGGCUUCGGAAUGUUUAAUGGGUGUGUACUGGUUAGAUGUGUUUCUUCCAAAACACCGUAAACGGAACUAGUCCCCGUGACUACUGAAAUCCGUUGGCUGUGGUUAAAGUACAAACUCUGCAGAGUCAAAUCCUUCCGAGUCAUCGUGUCCAUGAUCAAGGACCAUGGCCAGUAUAUCCCUAUCUAUGUCAAUCCUCGUGGUAAAUCCCCGGUGAACAAGCUCGAGUAGUAUACCCGUUUGAAUUGUUAUUCCUGUGGAUGGACUAACCUUUUGUUUAUCUCGCACUUGAUUUCUUCCUGGUUGUGAUAUUAAAUUCAUGAGCUGCUAAAUUAUUAAGUUGUGAAAUAUAAGCCCUUUAUGUGAUGUCGCUCAGACGUCCGACUGUGGCACGCUCGUCAUUUACUUUCGAUAUAAGCCCUUUAUGUGAUGUCGCUCAGACGUCCGACUGUGGCACGCUCGUUAUUCACUUUUGAUAUAAGCCCUUUAUGUGAUGUCGCUCAGACGUCCGACUGUGGCACUCUCGUUAUUUACUUUUAAUAUAAGCCCUUUAUGUGGUGUCGCUGAGACGUCCGAUUGUGGCACUCUUGUUAUCUACUUUGAUAUAAGCCCUUUAUGUGAUGUCGCUUAGACGUCCGACUGUGGCACGCACUGUCAUUUAUAUUCUAUUAUAAGCCCUUUAUGUGGUGUCGCCUUGACGCCCGACUGCGGCAUUGUUAUUCUUUUUGUAUCCUUUCGAGGGGUCAUUCAGACACUCGAUUGGCCCCCAGUAUUACUUUGGGAUUUCGGGAGGACUACCGCCCGACUUCCCUUUUAUUUCCCAUGCAUUAUUAUCUCAUUGUCUGAGUGCGCUUGUUAAUCUGUUCAUAUGCAUCAUGUUUACAUUUGUUAUAUCUUAUGUCCGAACUGUCUAGUGAGUACUUUCAUAGUACUCACCUGGCUUGUUGAUUUGGCCAGAUGUUGACGAAGGCGAUCUCAUGGAUGAAGAGUUUGAUAGUGAGUCCGACGCCUAGAGGAGUCCCAGUCAGUCCCGUGCGAUCCUGGAUAUUGGUCACUUGUAUUAUAUACGCUUCCGCCACCCAUAAUAAGUAUCCUCGAGCCUCACUCCGACGCUCGAAGAGUUGUUAGAUUCAGGAGUCAUGUCACCCGCUUCGCUGUGAUAUAUCCACCACCGCUUUUAUCGUGAGUUAGUAGUUAUGCCACCCUUUCCGCCUUUAUGUAUUAUUGGCGUGUUUGUAAUAAAUUGUUGAGCAGUCUCCGCUCAACCUUGUAUUAUAUUCAGUACUCCUGGUUUUUCUUCUGUGAUCAAGAUAUUGUCUACCAGUGAGAAGGAAUUCUUCUUUACUGGUCCGUAAAAGGGAUCGGUCUUUCAAUAAAUAUUUUUAUUGGAAAACCGGUCAUGACACUAUUCACAUGUUAAAGUAUAGAUCAUUAACUUUCUUGAAAACUAACAAACCGUGCUCUUAGUCAUCAAACAAUUGCAACUCAUCUUAUUUUCGGGAAGGGUCUAUGUAAGUGCUUUGAUUCAGCAAACUCCACAUACUCAACUAUCAUUUAAUCUUUCACAAUUGCUAACACUCAUGUGAUAUUAAUGGGUUCAAAGUUUUAAUCAGACACAGAGAAAGAUAUGGGCUUAUAGUUUUGCCUCCCAACCUUUUACCUCAAGGGUAAUGUUAACAAUAAUAAUUUAUGAAAACCUACAUCCAAGUGGAUAUAUAUAUCUGGAUUGCUCCAACACAAAGUGCUUGCCAAAGGAAAAAGUGUAAAAAGGAAAGGUGAUGAUCACCAUGACUCUUGUAUAAGUGUAGAAGAUAAAAGCAAAAGAUAGGCCCUUCGCAGAGGGAAGCAGAGGUUGUCAUGCGCUUUUAUGGUUGGAUGCACAAAAUCUUAAUGCGAAAGCACAUCACUUUAUAUUGCCGCUUGUGAUAAAGACCUUUAUUAUGCAGUCCGUCGCUUUUAUUUCUUCCCUAUCACAAGUUCGUAUAAAGCUUAUUUUCUUCGCACUAAUAGAUCAUACAUGUUUAAGGAGCCAUUUUUUAUUGCAUGCAUCAAUGACAACUUACUUGAAGGAUCUUACUCAAUCCAUAGGUAGGUAUGGUGGAAUCUCAUGGCAAAACUGGGUUAAGGAAUGUUUGGAAGCACAAGUAGUAUCUCUACUUGGUGCAAGGAAUUUGGCUAGCAUGAGAGGGAAAGGCAAGCUCAACAUGUUGGAUGAUCCAAGACAAUAUAACGUUUCGGAUAUAGGAAAACAUAACCCAUUAAGUUGUCUUCCUUGUCCAACAUCAACUUUUUAGCAUGUCAUAUUUUAAUGACUUCUCACAAUUACAAAAGAUGUCCAAGAUAGUAUAUUUAUAUGUGAAAUCUCUCUUCCUUCAAUAUUCUUUCAUGAAUUGUUCAAGUGACCAAUUCCGCGUUUGCUAACUUUCAAUAAGUUUACUACCUAUACUUAUUCUGUGUAAAGUCAUUACUCCCCAUGUUAUAAGCAUAUGAAACAUAUAUAAAUUCAUAUUUAUGAUAUUCAAUUCAUUCAACCAUUUACUCAUAGGAUAUACGUGAAGCAUGUGAGUAAAUGACAAACUACUCCAAAAAGAUAUAAGUGGACAACACUAAGUAGUCAAAUAAUUAACUAGCCAUGGGAGGAUUAUUUUUCAUUCAAGAUUUCAGAUCCAAUGAUUUUAUUCAAACAGCAAGUAAAAUUUAAAAUACGCUCCAAGCAAAACACAUAUCAUGUGACGACUAAAAACAUAGCUCCGAGUAAGGUAUACCGAUAGUUUCGAAGACGAAAGAGGGGAUGCCUUCCGGGGCAUCCCCAAGCUUAGGCACUUGAGUCUUCCUUGAAUAUUACCUUGGGGUGCCUUGGGCAUCCCCACUUUCCACUCCUUAUUCUCCUCAUAUUGAUAUCUCACCCAAAGCUUGAAAACUUCAAUCACACAAAAACUAACGGAACUUCGUCAGAUAGGUUAGUAUGAUAAAGAGUAAACCAUUCACUUUGGUACUGUCAAAGACAAGGUAAUAAUUGUUCUCACAGAAUGCCUACUGUACCAUAUCAUUUCUACAAUUUAUAUUGAGAAAUAUAAGCCAUAGAAACUAGAAAACAAGCAAACUAUACAAUGAAAACAGAAUCUGUCAGAAAUAGAACAGUCUGUAAUGAUCUGAACAGAAACCAUACUUCUGCUGCUCCAAAAAUUAUGAAAUAAAUUGGUGUACGUGAGGAAUUUGUCUAUUAAUCUUCUGAAAAAAUAAUAAACUCAAAAGCACUCUUCUAUAAAAAAUGGCAGCUAAUCUUGUGAGCGCAAAGUUUCUGUUUUUUACAGCAAGAUCACAUUAACUUUCACCCAAGUCUUCCCAAAGGUCUUACUUGGCACUUUAUUGAAACAAAAGCUAUAAAACAUUAUUACUACAGUAGCUUAAUCAUGUAAACACACGAAAACAGUAAGGGUAAAUAUUGGGUUUUCUCCCAACAAGCGCUUUUCUUUAGUGCCUUUUAGCUAGGCAUGAUGAUUUCAAUGAUGCUCACAUAAAAGAAAAGAAUUGAAACAUAAAGAGAGCAUCAUGAAGAAUAUGACGAGCACAUUUAAAUCUAACCCACUUCCUAUGCCCAGGGAUUUUGUGAGCACAUAAUUUAUAGGAACAAGAAUCAACUAGCAUAGGAAGGCAAAACAAGUAUAACUUCAAAACUUUAAGCACAUAGAGAGGAAACUUGGUAUUAUUGCAACUCCUACAAGCAUAUAUUCCUCCCUCAUAAUAAUUUUCAGUAGCAUCAUGAAUGAAUUCAACAAUAUAACCAUCACAUAAAGCAUUCUUUUCAUGAUCUACAAGCAUAGAAAUUUUUCUACUCUCCACAUAAGCAAAAUGCUUCUCAUUCGGAAUAGUGGGAUCACUAAUUCCUAAAGUUGACACUCUUCCAAACCCGCUUUAGAUGACAGUAUUAUUCAUACUCCAAAAGAUAUAAGUGAAGUUCAUGGAGCAUUCUACAAUUAAUAUAGACUAACCAAUAUCCAAGCUCAAAAUAUAUAAGUGAAGCACACGAAGCAUUCUAUAAAACCAUGCUCAAAAGAUUUAAGUGAAGCACAAAGAGCAAUUCUAUAAGAUCAUACUUAAAAGAUAUAAGUGAAGCACAUGAAGUAUUCUAUAAAUCAGUGAAGGGCUAUCUCAUACUAGUAUGGUUCUUAAAGGAAAAACAAAAACACAAAGGACACAAGUCAUGUGAACAAAACAAAAACCAGGGUAUACCGAUAUUUGCUGAAGAAGAAAGAUGGGAUGCCAACCGGGGCAUCCCCAAGCUUAUAUGCUUGAGUAUCCUUUGAAAUAUUUAAUUGGGGUGGCUUGGGCAUCCCCAAUCUUUAACUCUUGCCUCUCUUUAUUCUUCUCGUAUUGAUAGCUCCUCGAUCUUCGAACACUUCAUCCACACAAAACUUUAACAAAAACUUUGUGAGAUCCGUUAGUGUAAUAAAGCAAAUCACUACCUUUAGGUACUGUUGCAAACUUAUUCCAAUUUCAUAUUAGAACUAUAUCUACUGUAUUAAAACCUCACCAUGGUUCAUACCCCCCGAUACUACCCAUAGAUUCAUCAAAAUAAGCGAACAACUCAUAGAAAACAGAAUCUGUCAAAAACAGGACAAUCUGUAGUAAUCUGGAAGUUUACUAAACUUCUGUAAUGCCAAAAAAUUCUAACAAAAUAUGACAAUUUGAAAACAUCGUACAGAAGUAAUGUUUAAAAAGUUUCAGACCCAUUUUACUUUCCAGUAAAAAAAUGUAAAUUCACGCACUACAGCCAAAGUUUCUGUUUUUGUACUGCACAUAGUAAACAAGCAAUCUAGUCAUCCUAAAACCAAAGCUUGGCACAUUAUUUUUAUAAUACAAUGGAUAUAUACAAGGAGAUAAUUAUUUUCAGAGAAUCUUCCAUGAAAUUUUUUACAUUGUUUCCAUGAGCAUUAACACAAGUGCUCAAGGUCGACCCUCACUUCUUCAAUGCAUAAUCUUCCAAUCACUUCUCUUAUUGAAAAACUUUUUAGGCAUGAAAGGCAAGUAAUUUUUUUGUAUUUUCAUUCUUUUAAUUUUUUUGUACGUUUCACCCACAACUAAAUAGAAAAAAAAACAAAAUCUACUUAGUGAAGAAAGCAAACAAGCACACACGAGAAUAUCAACCCCACGCUAUUGCUCCCCGGCAACGGUGCCAGAAAAGAGCUUGAUAAUCCCCAAGUGUAGGGAAUCAUCGUAGCAAUUCCCAAAGGUGGAGGUGAUAUAUGGAGUGUCGAACCCACAACGAGCUAAAGGUAAGAUCAAUAUUCUCUCAAGUCCUAUCUCCCACUGAUACGACUCUACGUACACCGAACGUGAGCUUCCAACUAGAAACGAGAAAUAAAACUACGUUGUGGGUAUGAAGAGGAUAACUUUGCAUGAUAUCGGAGAGCUAAAACAUAAAAGUAGGUGCUGUUAUCAUAAAGUUAGAAUAUAUUACUAAAUAUUAUAAAUAGCGAGUGUGGAAUAAUGAUGGGUCGGUGCGCGGAAUUAUCCUAGGCAAUCGUUAACAAGACCGGUAGUCGUCAUUGCAAUUUCAUAUGAGGGAGAGGCAUAAGCUAACUUACUUUCUCUUCUUGGAUCAUAUGCACUUAUGAUUGGAACUCUAGCAAGCAUCCGCAACUACUAAAGAUCAUUAAGGUAAAACCCAACCAUAGCAUUAAAGUAUCAAGUCCCCUUUAUCCCAUACGCCACAACCCCCUUACUCAGGUUUAUGCUUCUGUCACUCAAGCAACCUACUAUAAGCGGAUCAUGAACGUAUUGCAACACCCUACAGCGGGAAUCCCUCACGCUUGCGUGACACGGAGGGCACAAUAGGACAGCACCAAAAUAAAACAUACAACUCGUACCAAUCUAGAUCAUCAAUCAACCCAAAGAGAAAGGAUAUCUACUCAAAACAUCAUAGGAUGGCAACACAUCAUUCGAUCAUAAUAUGUGCCAUAAAGCACCAUGUUCAAGUAGGGAUUACAGCGGGGUGCGGGAGAGUGGACCGCGUAAAAUAGAUGAGGAUGGUGUUGAUGAUGGUGAUGUUGAUGAAGACGAUCACCGCGGCGAUGGUUCCCCUCCCGAUGGCACUCCGGCGCCACCGAGAGAGAGGAGGAGAGGUUCUCCCCCUUGUGCUUCCUCCUCCAUGCCCCCCUAGAUGGGGAGAGGUUCUCCCUCUGGUCCUUGGCCUUCAUGGCGAUGAUGGCCCCUCCGGGAUCCUCCUCCAUGGCCUCCGGUGAUGAUGGCCCCCUCCGGCAGGGUGCCAGUGUGACGCCCCCGACUCGACCGUACACUAAUCAUACACACAAACAUGUACGAUCAAGAUCAGGGACUCACGGGAAGAUAUCACAACACAACUCUAGACACAAAUCAAAAAAAUACAAGCUUUAUAUUACAAGCCAGGGGCCUCGAGGGCUCGAAUACAAGCUCGAUACACAAGAGUCAGCGGAAGCAACAAUAUCUGAGUACAGACAUUAGUUAAACAAGACUGCCUUAAGAAGGCAAACACAAAAGCAACAGUGAUCGAACAGGCAAGGCCUCCUGCCUGGGACCUCCUAACUACUCCCAGUCGUCGGCGGUUUUCAAGUAGCAGUAUCUGUCAGCGGUGGCAUCUAGCUCCAAGGAUCCACCAUCUGGUUGCAACAACCGGAAAGAAGGAAGAAGGGGAAAAAAGGGGUAGAAAAGCAACCGUGAGUACUCAUCCAAAGUACUCGCAAGCAUCAGAUCUAUACUAAGUAUGCAUUGGUAUCAAAUGGAAUGGUUGUAUCUGUGGACUGAACUGCAGAAUGCCAGAAAAGGGGGGAGGCCUAGCCUAUCGAAGACUAGCAUCUUCACGCAGCUCCAAGCAUCUUGCAGCAUGUAGAAGAGUAAAGAAUAGCAGUUUAUAUUUAACAAUCAUGUUGUAGCAUUAACGCCCAGAGAUCCUUCCUCGACUCCCUGCGAGAAAGCAAUCUCGGAGCCACAUAUCCAUCACAAGUAUCAAGUAUCCAUUUCUAGUUAUAUAAGAUCAGGAUACAAGUCUGAACGUCCAUUACCAUGGACACGGUAUUCGAAUAUAUGUCUUCCCUGCACGGGUGCACCACGUUACCCAACACGCUCGAUCAUUCCGGCCGGACACACUUUUCUGGGGUCAAUGCCCGGCCUCGGAAGAUCAACACGUCGCAGCCCUACCUAGGCUCAGCAGAGAGGUCCCCGUCGGUCUACAUCCUAAGUGCCCCAGGGUCUUGGGCCCAUCGCCCGUUGCACUCCGGGUCAUUGCGUGCAGGGUGAAUACCAGCACCGCCUCGGAUGGCCAGCACGAUCCGACCGUGCCGCCAUGCUGAACUGGACGUCUGACAAAGCUUCAGCUGAUACUGCGACGUCGAGGCCCAUAACUAUUCUCGCGUGGUGGCUAGUGCGUAAAGGCCAAAGGCCAAUUCAGAACAAAUACCCAAACCUAUUAGUGCAUUAUUAAAAGAAGUGACGGCUCUCGGGAUAAGUCCGAAGCUAUCACCCCCUCCUGGGUGAUACCGCUAAACAGCCAGCCGCCACCGUAACUCCUCGGGUGCUCUCCGGGCCCGCCCGAGUUUCACCAAUGUCUCAAGUAAAGUCAAGGUAACCGUGUGUCCAGACAUCAAGGGGAAAACCCGAGGAAUCACCCCCAGUGGAUUCCACUCAAUGUAAUCAUCAAGGUGAACGUAAGAGGGACCACCCUCGAGGUUCACACUUGAGGUGUUGCACGACAGAGCCGUAUCGGGAAUGGUGAAAGAGGAAAUCACCCUCAAUGACCACGACCGAAUAGCUACACUACAGAAUUAUCAUCAGGAGUGCGUUAUGAGGGAUCACCCUCGGCACUCGAUAAUAGCUCUACAGAGUCGAGCAACAAAAGGGCGUGAUGUGAUGUGAGGUGUCGGGCUCUGGUCGUGGAUCACAUUGAUUGAGUCGUCGAUGAUGAAGUAGGAGCAACAAGGACAAGGUGGGGGUCACUGAUGGAUCACUAGCCAACCUAUACUAAGCAGUUUAGGAUAAGUAGGUAGGUAACAAUAAGCAGGUUACAAAAGCAAGCUAUGCAUCAGAAUAGGAGCAAUCAAUAACAAUAGCAAAAUCUAAUGCAAGCAUUAUAGAAUGGAAUGGGCGAUAUCGAGAUGAUCAAAGGGGGGGCUUGCCUGGGAGCUCCGUUGAAAGGGAAGAAGUGUCGUCGUCGACAACGUAGUCGAUCAUAGGGGCAUCAGCAGCGGUCUCGGGGUCUACCGGAGAGAAGAGGGGGAAGAAACAGCAAAUAUAAUGCAAACAGAUGCAACACAGAUGCAUGACGGAGGUAACACGCAGGGCUAGGGGUGUUCUAACGCGGUGUUACACGGUACCGGCGAAGGGGGAUAACAUCCGGAAAGUUUUCCCGGAGUUAGGCAUUUUCGGACAGAUGAACCGGAGGGGAAAAGUUCAAUGUUCGCUAUGCUUGGGGCAUGUGACAGAUGAACGGACCGCGUAUUCGGAUUCGUCUCAUCGACCUGAGCAACUUUCAUGUAUAUAACUUUUUCAUCCGAGUUACGAUUUUUUUUUUAUGAAUUAUCAAAGUUGUAGCAAUAUUCUAAGAAUCCCUGAAAUUUUGCUAUGUCUGAGAAUUCACCAGAUUUAAACAUCUUUUAGCUGUUUUCAAAAGGCCACAACUAUGGAUGUGUAACUCCUAUUGUUAUGGCCGGUUUAGCUAGGCCCACCGGGCAACCUUAGCCCACAAGUUAUCUUAGGUUAAUUCUUAUGCAAGUUAUCUUAGGUUAAUUCUUAUGCAAGUUAUCUAGGUUAUAAAUAUAGGCUGUAAGACUCUUUUUGGAAUCAAGCAAUAAGAAGAAUAUUAUCUCUAUUGCCCGGCUCCCAAGGAGCCGGAACCCUAGCCGCCUCUAACCCUAGCCACCGCCGCCAUCCUCCUCCUACGCGACGGCGCCCAGCCGCCGGCGCGCCCGCUCAUCGCCAUGCCCUACUCCAUCCUUCCCCUUCAACCUGCGGAGCAGGUCCGGUAGGAUCCCUGGUUCUACCAAUUUGGUAUCAGCUAUCUGGGUUUCGACCAUGUCAUCACCACCACCAGUACCGCCGCUACCACCGCCGCCGCCGCCCCUUACCACCACCGCCGCCGCCGCGUCACCUCCGAUCGCCACGGGGCAGCUGGCCCUUCCGUCGGCGCCGCUGGAUCUCAUCUCCGGCGCGCCCACCGGCCUGCUGCCGCCCCCCAUCACCACUAUGCCGCCAGCUCCAUCGACUCGACUGGCCCAAUACUCCCCGGAGGCCAUGGCCGGUGUCCUCAACGACCUGGUCGUCGCACUGCAGGGCAUCCGGCUUUACCUGGCCAGCCCGUACGGGCCGUCACCGCCGCUCGUGCGGCCCGUGCCCUCCGGACCGCCGGCUCUUCCGUGGUACUCGGUGCCCGCGGCCCUCGCCGGAGGCUACCCGGCGCNNNNNNNNNNNNNNNNNNNNNNNNNNNNNNNNNNNNNNNNNNNNNNNNNNNNNNNNNNNNNNNNNNNNNNNNNNNNNNNNNNNNNNNNNNNNNNNNNNNNNNNNNNNNNNNNNNNNNNNNNNNNNNNNNNNNNNNNNNNNNNNNNNNNNNNNNNNNNNNNNNNNNNNNNNNNNNNNNNNNNNNNNNNNNNNNNNNNNNNNNNNNNNNNNNNNNNNNNNNNNNNNNNNNNNNNNNNNNNNNNNNNNNNNNNNNNNNNNNNNNNNNNNNNNNNNNNNNNNNNNNNNNNNNNNNNNNNNNGGGCCACCGGCGGCCGCGGCGCCCCUCUGGCACUUGGCGCCGGCGCCCUCAGCGGCUCCGUGGCCGCUACAGCAGACGCCGCAGCCGGGGGCCACCGGCCCUCUGCAGCAGCCGUUCUGUGCGGCAGUCUGCACCGGGCUGCCGCUGCUGCCGUUCCCGGUGGGACACCCCGGCGGGUCCACUCCAACCGCGGGCCCUCUGUGGUAUUUACAGCCGCCGUCCCUCGCGGUCACCGACGCGCCGGCCCACCCUCCGCCACCGACGCUGCAACCACCGGCGCCGCCCCUGCCCAGCUCGAGGGCAUCCUCGCCGACCGGCCUCCCGAUCCAUCAGGUCCGGUUCCCGCCCUCCCCGUCGCCACUUCCAGCGUGGGCGGCUGCGUCUUCGCCUUCGCUGGUCUACACCAUGGCUCCGGAGCAGCUGACCCCGUUUCCGCAGUUCAGUGGGCCAUCUGGCUCCGCGGGUCCCUAUAUGGAUUACUCCGACCAGGCACCACCCGCCUCGCUGCUCCGCACCUCCGAGCCAGCUCGACACGGCGCUCCGACCCAAACACCGCCGCGAUUCACCAAGAUCGACUUCGCCACCUAUGACGGCACGGAGGACCCCCUCAACUGGCUGAACCAGUGCGACCAGUUCUUUCGCGGGCAGCACACCCUCGCAUUGGAGCGUACCUGGCUCGCCUCGUACCUCCUCCGCGGUGCGGCACAGACCUGGUAUUACGCCCUCGAGCAGGACGAGGGCGCCAUGCCCCCUUGGGAGUGCUUCCGCGAGCUCUGCCUCCUUCGCUUUGGGCCUCCGGUUCGCGGGAGCCGCCUGGCGGAGCUCGGCCGCCUUCCCUUCACCUCCGCGGUGCAGGACUACGCCGACCGUUUCUAGGCCCUGGCAUGCCAUGCGUCGGGCGUGACGGCGCGGCAGCGGGCCGACCUCUUUGUCGGUGGACUUCCGGAUCACAUCCGCGUUGACGUGGAGCUUCGGGGACCCCAGGAUCUCCAGUCGGCCAUGUACUACGCCCGCGCGUUCGAGCGCCGCGCGGUGGCCAUCCAGCAGGAAUCACCGUCCAGGACCGUUGGGUCGCUACCCGGGCCGGAUUCCGCGCAGGGUCGGGUUGCGCAGGCUUCCGCGGCACCCCUCGCCACGACCGCGGCGCAGCCGUUCCGCCGGCUCACCCCAGCCGAGCUACUCGAGCGUCGCCGCCAAGGGUUGUGCUUCAACUGCGACGAGCCCUACAUGCCCGGCCAUGCUUGCCCGCAACUCUUCUACCUGGAGGUUGCAGACUACAUUCCGGAGGAUGCCCCCGCCGCCGACCUGGCCGCCCCAGCUGUCGAGAAGGUGUUUGACGCUGGUUGAUCGCCUCGAGGAGUUCCGCAAACGCUUCCCCCCCUUACAGCUCGAGGACGAGCUGUUUGUGCAGGCGGGGAAAAGUGUUAUGGCCGGUUUAGCUAGGCCCACCGGGCAACCUUAGCCCACAAGUUAUCUUAGGUUAAUUCUUAUGCAAGUUAUCUUAGGUUAAUUCUUAUGCAAGUUAUCUAGGUCAUAAAUAUAGGCUGUAAGACUCUUUUUGGAAUCAAGCAAUAAGAAGAAUAUUAUCUCUAUUGCCCGGCUCCCAGAGGAGCCGGAACCCUAGCUGCCUCUAACCCUAGCCGCCGCCGCCAUCCUCCUCCUACGCGACAGCGCCCAGCCGCCGGCGCGCCCGCUCAUCGCCUCGCCCUACUCCAUCCUUCCCCUACAACCUUCUACCACCUAUGAUUUUGUGCCUUAUAUCAAUUUUGAGCAUUUUUCUGUGAUCUACAUGUUAGUAUCAAUUACAUCCAUAUUAGAGUUCAUUUCCUUGAUCAUCAGGAGCACUAAAGUAGCUAUGAAAAUAAAACUGUUUUCGGUUUUUCUGUUAACAGAACAUUGAACUUUGUGAUUUUCGUAGGAAUUAAUACACGCACCAAAUGGAUUUGGUCCAAUGGAAACAUUUGAACUUUGUCAAGUGUACUACCUCCUCAUAAUAGUUUUGCUCCCGUUAAAAAUCGUUUAGUCACUGUUUAGGGGCUGUCUAGAGGGUUAGUUAGUGUAUAAUCAGAAAAGCUAGCUACACCUACAGUAGCUAGCAGUAGUAUAGUACAGAGGAGGAGCAAGCGGGCGGAGGCGCUGCAGCAGGUGAGGCAAGGCCGUGCGCGUAGCGACGACAAGGUGAAGCGGGCGGCGCAGGCGACAGGGGGCACGGGCACCCAGCGACGGGCGCUGCGGGGAGUGGCGGCGCUAGGCGGCGAGGUACGCGAGCAGGGAGGCGUGGGGACGACAGGCAGCGUCGGGCGGUUGCAGGCACGGGAAGGCGCUGGCAUGGGGGGCACGACGCGGUCGGGGCUCGCGCGGCUGGGCGCGCGUGAGGCGUAGCCAGGGCGGCGAGAGCGCGCAGGCGGGCGGCCAUGGCACGAGGUGGGUGACGUGGGGAGGAGCUGAGCGCGGCGAGUGGCAGCGAUACAAGCGGCAGUAGCAGCAGUGAAGGACCGCGGUAGAGCAGGCAAGCAGCAGCGUAGCAAGCAGAGCAGCGCAGUAGCUGCACGCAUGUACGCGUACACCGGAGUUCGGGCACGACGAAGAUGGCGGCGUACGGCGCAAGAAGCGGAAGGGGAGGGAAGGUUCUCACCGCGGGGCACAAGGUGGCCCUUUGACGACUUAGUAGCUGCAGGGCGGCGCCGGAGUCGUGGAAGACGGCGGGGUAGUAGCGGGGCCGACGGGAAGAAGACGACGCGGUGGCGUCGAUGCAGGCGGGAUCCGGGCCGAUCCAGCCUUGUAGACGACGUAGGCGACGUAGUGGGACGCGGAGGAGCUCCUGGACUCGACGGUGGGGCACGGGGCGGCCGGUGGCCGCGGGCUUCAGUGGGGGACGACCAUGGUCGUGCGGCUCCGGGCGCGGGCAGCAAAGGGAGAGGGAGCGAGAGGAGAGUGGAUCUGGGCGAGGGAGAGAGGGGGCCAGUGGGUGAUUAGGGUUCGCCGGGGGAGGGGGCGCUCUGUCCAUGAUCCCCUGUGAACAGAGCGGAGGGGAAGCCGGAGCAGGUGGGCCGGCCUGCUAGGUAGAUGGGCCGGGUGGCCCAAGGGAGGGGAGGCUUUGUUUUAUUUACCAUUUUCUUUGCUUUUAUUUUUAUUUUAACCUUUUACAACUUUUCUGUUUUAAUUAAUCUCCUCAAUAUUUUCGCUUAGUUAAAAUACAAAAGUACUUUCUAAAUUGGUAUCACUAUUUAUACCUCUGCCACAAAAAGUUUCACUCGCAAAUAAAAUAGUUUAGCAUUUUAGAAAUUAUAAAAGGCAUUUAAACGAUUGUUUAAGCCAUUGUUUUAAUCAUUUUUUUGCACUUAGACAUUUUCUAAAAUUUUGGUUUCUCCACCAAUAACACCUAUGAAUUAUUUGCCCGAGCUUGCACAUUUUAGUUUUGACUUUUGAAAACUUUUAUUUUUUACUUUACUUUUAAAUUUGAAUUUGAACCGUUUUGAAUCUAGAUGAGAUUAGCAACAGUAACCUGAUGACAUGGCACCAUUCGAAGGGGAUUACUGUAGCUUAAUUAUCCGGGCGUCACAGCCAGAGAGGGCCUAGAUUGAUUUCUCAUGGCUACAGAGGCUUGCGGCGGCCGAACUUUCGAUCUAGGUUAUUUUCUGGAGGUUUGGGCAUUUAUAGGAGAGGUUGGCGUCGAGAACAAGUCAAGGGGCCCCACGGGGAGUCCACGAGGCACAGGGGCGCGCCCCCACCCUCGUGGGGCCCACGGGACUCCCCUCCAGUAGAUUUUUGUUCCAGUAUUUUUUAUAUUUCCAGAAAAAUUCUUUGUUGAUUUUCAUUGCAUUCCAAGAACUUCUAUUUCUGCACAAAAACAACACCACGGUAGUCCUGCUGAAAACAGCGUCAAUCCGGGUUAGUUCUAAUCAAAUCAUACCAAAAUCAUAUAAAACUAUUGUAAACAUGGCAUGAAUACUUCAUAAAUUAUAGAUACGUUGGAGACGUAUCAGCAUCCCAAGCUUAAUUCCUGCUCAUCCUCGAGUAGGUAAAUGAUAAAAUAAAUAAUUUAUGAAGUGUGAAUGCUAGCAAGUGCAUAAGUUUGAUCAAUGAUAGUUCCAAUCACUUUUUCUAGCAUCAUUAUAUAUCAUAUCAGUAGCUUAACUCAUAAAACUUCUCAUGAUCAAGUAACAAGCUAUUCACAUGUUAAAGUAUAGAUCAUAAACUUUCUUGAAAACUAACAAACCGUGCUCUUAGUCAUCAAACAAUUGCAAUUCAUCUUAUUCUCGGGAAGGGUCUAUGUAAGAGCUUUGAUUCAGCAAACUCCACAUACUCAACUAUCAUUUAAUCUUUCACAAUUGCUAACACUCGUGUGAUAUUUAUGGGUUCAAAGUUUUAAUCGAAUAUCGUCAAUAUUUCAUUUCACUUGCAUGACUGAACGAUAUAAAAAUAAUCAUAGUGCAAGAAUGUCGUGGACUAAGCUGGAAUCUGCAAAAAAUUAUUCAACAGGAGAAGACAAAGCAAUAUGGGCUCUUUGUUAGAUCAACAAUAAUGCAUAUGAGAGUCACUCGACAUUUUCAUCGUGGCCUUCUCCUCGAGUAUGACUCAAUAGAAAGAAAAGAAACUCAGAGAAACACACUGAAAUAUUUUUGGAGUUUUUGGUUUUUAUCUUGAACAAACAAAUAAAAGGAAAAACAAAAACUCGAAAAACUAUUUACACGGGAAAGCUCGCAACAAGCAAAAGAAGAACAAGGAAAUCUUUUUGGGUUUUCUUUUUAGUGCUAGAACAAUUAAAACUAGGAACAAAAACCGAAAAGAAGAGGAAAUAUAUUUUUGGAUUUUCUCAAAGUUUUUCAAACACACAAGAAGAAAGCGAGAAAAUAAAUUUAGCAUGGAUAAUACAAUGAAAAAGUGUGGACACCGAGAACUCGAAUGAAAUAUGUGAAUAUGAAUGUAAUGUCGGUAGAAAUACGUACUCCCUCAAGCUUAGGCUUUUGGCCUAACUUGGUAAUCAGUCAGUAGCCUGCAUAAUAGUCGGAGUGAUAGCUCACGGAGGCUCUCGAUGCGGAUGCCUCAGCCUGCUGCACGGCCACAACUGCCGCGUUAUGGGCUCGGGCCUCGCUCUCAAGAACAAAAUAUCUUCCCCUAUUGUGAACAUCAAAGAGAGCAGGUGCAGGCAAAUAUGUGUCCACAACGGAACUUUCAUUAAACAGCAAUUUAUAAGUGAAAUUAUGGGGGUUCACAUCUAAGGAUCUUAUGACGUUUGAUAGCAUCAAAGUCUAAGUACUGCGUGGGUAAAAUAGGGUCAUAGGCAAAGGUGAAACACCCAGCUCUCUUGCUAGGCAUGUGGCAUAAAUUCCACCAUAAAAAUAUCCACUACCAGUGUUGUGUUGCAACCUACGCGCAACAAGCGCUCCAAGAUUAUAACUUUUGUCACCGGUGAGAGCGGUGCGUGUGAGGCUCAAGUCUGGAGCACAAAGUGUACUACAAUCUUGUUUACCUACAAUACAUUUUCCAUUAAAUAAUGCAAAGUACUGGAUUGAGGGGAAAUGAAUGCUCUUUAUUCUACCUUGCGUCACUCCCCUAGUGUCACCAUAGCAAAGACUGGUCAAGAAUAUCUCAAACUCAGAUCUCGGUCGUUCGUCAAGCGAACCCCAGAAUGGGAUUUUGCAGUGGUGAGCAAAUCUCUCUAAAGAUAUGGUAAAUGGAUUUUCAUAUAGUUUAAAUGACACCCUAGAGUCACGGGGAUGGAGUUUAAAUCCUUUGGUAAAUGAUUCAGUGAGAGUGAGGUGUUGAUUGACUUAUCUGAAAUGUAGGGACCGAGAUCGGCAUUGUGAACAUAUUGCUCAAAUUCUUCCUUAAUGCCCACACUCACCAUAUAAUCAUUGCAUGGCCAUAAGCAUGUUUUGGUAGCAGCAUCUCGAAUGGAACUUUCACUUGGUUCACCAUAAGACCGACGAGCGGAGCUGCUACUAGAAGAUGCCUCCGAGGAUCUCCUCCUCGAAGAACUCUUUCCAAAGAGGUUCAUCAUAUUCACGUACAAUUUUGAAGCAACAAUCCCUCGAAACAGUUUCGGAAACGGAGCUUCGAGCAAAGAGAUCGAAAUCCGCGAAAGGUGAAUUUUUUCUGGAGGUAGGUGUUGAUGUGGGAUGAAGAGAUAAGUGAGGGGGCCCACGUGGGGACCACAACCCACCAGGGCGCGCCUGGGGGUCCUGGCGUGCCCAGGUGGGUUGUGCCCACAUGGUGCACCUCCCUCUGAUGUUAUUUGCACCAAAAAUUCUUAAAUAUUCAGGAAAAAAAUCGUAUUAAAUUUUCAAAGCAUUCUGAGAACUUCUAUUUUUGGGUCAUUUUUUAUUGCACGGGAAAUUCAGAAAACAGACAAAACAUGGCAUUUUAUUUUAUUUAACUAAUAAAAACAGAAAACAAAAGGUAGGGAUAGAAGAUAGUGAUUACUAAAUUCAUCAACUUCAUACCUCUAAAAAAUGAUCCAUUAAUAAGGUUGAUCAAGUCUUAUUAACAACCACUUUCGAUUAGCAUGAAACCGAAGAACUUUCGUAAAUCACUAAGUUACCUCAACGGGGAUAUGAAUAUCCCCAACAAUAAGCAUUCCAUAUGUCUUUUUAACAGUAGGUAGAGGUAGUUGAAAACUUCCAAUAGUGAUUGUCGGAGAUUUUUCAACAACAUUAAUACCAUUCACUUGGAAUUGUUUCUUCGGAAAGUGCACCGUAUGCUCAUUACCAUUGAUAUGAAAAGUUUCCUUGCUUUUAUUGCAAUCAAUAACAGCCCCGGCAGUAUUCAAGAAGGGUCUACCAAGGAUAAUCGACAUGUUGUCGUCCUCGGGCAUCUCAAGUAUAACAAAGUCAGUCAAGAUAGUAACAUUAGCAACAACAACACGCACAUCCUCACAAGUACCGAUAGGUAUGGCAGUUGAUUUGUCAGCCAUUUGCAAAGAUAUUUCAGUAGGUGUGAGUUUAUUAAAUCAAGUCUUUCAUAUAAAGAGAAAGGCAUAACAAUAACACCAGCUCCCAAAUCACAUAAAGCGGUUUUCACAUAGUUUCUUUUGAUGGAGCAAGGUAUAGUUGGUAUUCCCGGAUCUCCAAGUUUUUUAGGUACUCCAUCCUUAAAAGUAUAAUUAGCAAGCACGGUGGUGAUUUCGGCUUCCGGUAUUUUUCUCUUAUUGGUGAUGAUGUCUUUCAUGUACUUUGCAUAAGGAGGCAUUUUCAAGAUAUCAGUCAAACGAGUAUGUAAAAAGACUGGCCUCAGCAUUUCAGCAAAGCGUUCAAGUUCCUCAUCAUCUUUCUUUUUAGUUGACUUAGGUGGAAAGGGCAUAAGUUUUUGAACCCACGGUUCUCUUUCCUUACCGUGUUUUCUAGCAACAAAGUCUCUUUUAUCAUAUCUUUUAUUCUUGGGUUGCGGGUUAUCAAGACCAACUGGUGGUUCUAUCUCAACAUCAUUGUCUGGUUCUUUAUUAUUUGUUUGAGUAUCUUCAUGAACAUCAUCAUUAUCCUUUUCAUUAUCAGAAGGUGAGUGUUCACUACUAGAUUGAGUUUCAGCAUCAGAGAUAGAAACUUCAUUAUCAUUAUCAGGAGGUUUUUCCACUUCAGGUUCACUAGAGGCAUGCAAAGUCCUAUCGUUUUUCUUCUUCUUUUUCUUUUUAGAAGGGCUAUGUGCAUCAGUGUUAACCCUUUGAGAGUCUUGUUCAAUUCUUUUUGGGUGUCCCUCAGGAUAAAGUGGUUCCUGAGUCAUCCUACCUCCUCUAGUCAUUACUCUAACAGCAUGAUCAUUGAUAUUAUUAUUCAUAUCAUCUAGCAACUCUCUUUGAGAUUUAGCAACUUACUCUAACUGAGUUUGAACCAUAGAAGCAUGUUUUCGUACACCUCUAACAUCAUUUGAGAUUCUAAAUAACAAGUCACUCAAGCAAGCAAUCAUAUCAGAAUUGUAUUUCAAUUGUUUCAUAACAUUUGCAUUGAAGUGAUCUUGCUUUCUAAUGUAAUUUCAAACUCAUAAAGGCAUUGGCUAGGGUGGAUAUUGUGAGGAUUAUCAUUAUCAUUAAGUUUCAUUAUAGAACUUACCUCUACCACCUUAGGUGGAGGUGGUGUAUCAAGCCCAUGUAUUUCUUCAAUAGGAGGUAAAAUUUUAACAUCCUCAGCUUUAAUACCUUUUUCUCUCAUAGAUUUCUUUGGUUCUUGCAUAUCUUUAGGACUGAGAUAUAAGAUACCCCUCUUCUUCGGAGUGGGUUUAGGUGGUGGUUCAGGAAGAGUCCAAUCAUCAUAUUUUUUCAAUAUGUUAUUCAAUAGUUCUUCAGCUUGUCCAAUAGUUCGUUUCGUGAAAACACAACUAGCACAACUAUCUAGGAAAUCCCCAGAAGCAUCAGUUAGUCCAUUAUAGAAGAUAUCAAGUAUUUCAUUUUUCUUAAGAGGAUGAUCAGGCAAAGCAUUAGGCAAUUGGAGAAGCCUCCCCCAAGCUUGUGGGAGACUCUCUUCUUCAAUUUUCACAAAGUUAAAUAUUUCCUGUAAGGCAGCUUGUUUCUUAUGAGCAGGAAAAUAUUUCUCAAAGAAGUAAUAAAUCAUGUCCUCGGGACUACGCACACAACCAGGAUCAAGAGUAUUGUACCAAGCUUUAGCAUCACCCUUUAAUGAGAACGGAAAUAAUUUGAGAAUAUAAUAAUAGCGGAUUUUCUCAUCAUGAGCAAAAAGGGUGGCUAUGUCAUUCAACUUAGUAAGAUGUUCCACUACAGUUUCAGUUUCAUAACCAUGGAAAGGAUCAGAUUCAACCAAAGUUAUAAACUCUGGGUUGACAGAGAAUUCAUAAUCCUUAUCGUUAACAAAGAUAUAUGAAGUAGCAAACUGAGGAUCACAUUUCAUUUUUGCAUUCAAAUCCUUUUCUUUAUACUUGCAUAAGAAUUUUUCUAGAUCAUCUCUAUCCUUACAAGCAAGAAUAUCUCUAGUUGUCUCCUCAUUCAUAACAUAACCCUCCGGUACCUUAGGCAAUUCAUAUCUAGGAGGAGUAGUUCUAAUUGGUGUUUCAAGAUUUUCAGUUUCAAGCUCUUCAUCAGUUUAAGCUAUUUCAUCAGUUUCAGCAUUCUCAAAAAGCUUUAGUUCUAGCAAGUUGUUCAUCAAGAAAUUCACCUAGUGGCACAUUAUCAUCAAGCAAGGUACUAGCAUCAUCAUAAGUAGCAUACAUCGCAGAAGUAGCAUCAUCAAUAACUUGCGACAUAUCAGAAUUGAUAGCAUGUGGUGGUGUUGCAAGUUUACUUAUAACAGAAGGUGAAUCUAAAGCAGAGCUAGAUGGCAGUUCCUUACCUCCUCUCAUCUUAGAGGGAAAAAUCUUAGUCUUAGCAUCCUUCAGAUUCUUCAUAGUGACAAAUUGAUAAUAAUCCCAAGUGACUCAACAAAUAUAGCUAUGCUCCCCGGCAACGGCGCCAGAAAAAGGUCUUGAUAACCCAGAAGUAUAUGGGAUCACGACAGUUUUCGAGGGUAGAGUAUUCAACACAAAUUUAUAGAUUCGACACAAGGGGAGCCAAAGAAUAUUUGUAACUAUUAGCAACUGAGUUGUCAAUUCAACCACACCUGGAGAUUAAUUAUCUGCAGCAAAGUGAUCAGUAGCAAAGUAGUAUGAUAGUUUUGAUAGUAGUAGCAACAACAAUAGUAACGGUAACAGUGAUAGCAAUGGUUUUGUAGCAGUGACAAUAGUAACAACAUCAGUAGUAACUUAGCAAGAACAAUAUGUAGAAAAAUCGUUGGCAUUAGAUCGCUGAUUUGUUGGAUGAUAUUCAUCAUGUGAGAGUUACAACCUAGGACGAUACGGCACUAGCUCCAGUUUAUAAAUAUAAUGUAGGCAUGUAUUCCGUAAAUAGUCAUACGUGCUUAUGGAAAGAACUUGCAUGACAUCUUUUGUCCUACCCUCCCGUGGCAGCGGGGUCCUAUUGGAAACUAAGGGAUAUUAAGGCCUCCUUUUAAUAGAGAACCAGAACAAAGCAUUAACACACGGUGAAUACAUGAACUCCUCAAACUACGGUCAUCACCGGGAAGUGUCCCGACUAUUGUCACUCCGGUGUUGCCGGAUCAUAAUACGUAGUAGGUGACUAUAACUUGCAAGAUCGGAUCUAGAACAUAGAUAUAAUGGUGAUAACAUAAACGGUUCAGACCUGAAAUCAUGGCACCCGGACCCAAAGUGACAAGCAUUGAGCAUGGCAAAGUCAUAGCAACAUCAAUCUCAGAACAUAAUGGAUACUAGGGAUCAAGCCCUAACAAAACUAACUCGAUUACAUGAUGAAUCUCAUCCAACACCUCACCGACCAGCUAGCCUACAAAGGAAUUACUCACUCCCGAUGGGGAGCAUCAUGGAAUUGGCGAUGGAGAAGGGUUGGUGAUGACGAAGAUCGAAGAUCCCCCUCUCCGGAGCCCCAAACGGACUCCAGAUCUGGCCUCCCGAUGAAGAACAGGAGACGGUGGCGGCUCCGUCUCGUGGAACGCGAUAAUUCUUUCUCCAUGAUUUUUUCUAGAAAAAUAGGAUUUUAUAGUGUCGGUUUCAGGGUCUGCGGGGCCACCAGGUGGGGACAACCCACCUGGGCACGCUUGGAGGGUGGCCCUGGUGGGUUGUGCCCACCCAGGUGCCCCCUCCGGUGGUUCUUGGCUCCAAUAAUUCUUUUUAUUUGUAUAAAAAUUCCUCACAAAGUUUCGUUCCAAUCCGAGAACUUUUAUUUCUGCACAGAAACAACACCAUGAUAGUUCUGCUGAAAACAACGUCAAUCCGGGUUAGUUUCAUUCAAAUCAUGUAAACUAGAGUCCAAAACAAGAGGGGAAGCAUUAGGAAAAGUAGAUACGACGGAUACGUAUCAAUGCCAACGGUGUCAACUCCAUGUACAAUCAAUCAAUCACAAAUCACGAUUUUUUUUGUUCAUCAACCUCAUGUAUUUUUUGCGGAAAGAACCUCAAAAUUUCAUAAUAUGUCAACAAUGAUCAGGUGCAGAUGAUAUAUUCUCCCUAGCGGGCGACACAACACUAAUAGAAAACAAGGCUUUCGUUUGGGCAUGGCAAGCCCAUUAGUCCCGGUUCAGUCAUGAACCGGGACCCAUGGGGGCAUUCGUCCCGGUUCGUGAGCCCAGGGUCCGGCCGGGGCCUCGUGGGCAUUGGUCCCGGUUCGCAUGGACCCAUUUGUCCCGGUUCUAGGCACGAACCGGGACCAAUGGUCCUCGCUCCUGGCCCACAACCAUUGGUCCCGGUUCGUGGCUCGAACCGGGACAGAAGGCUGAGCUUUAGUCCCGGUUUCUACCACGAACCGGGACAAAUGAGUUGCCUAUAUAUACCCCAUCGCCACAGCAGAGCACUCCACAGUGCUCUGUUUUUUCUGGCCGGCGAGGGGAGGGCAUUUGGGUGCUCUAGCUCACCUCCUAUGCACAUGAGGUGUUCGAUGAAAUGUCUGAGCCACACUAGUUAAUCUUUCUCCUCUCGAAACUCGACCUCCGAGCUCCAUUUUCCCCGAGAUUUGUCUAGGUUUAGCGGUCCGUCACGUCCCGUCCCCGUCUUCACCGCCGUCGAUCGCUCGCGCCGAUCUCGUCGCCAGCACCACCGUGGUGAGCCUCUUGUUCUUAUCUUCUUUCUGAAAGAAAAAAAUUCGUACUUUAGAUAGAUACUGGUCUAAUUUUGUUACUUUUAUUAUUCCUUCUUAUUACAUAGUGCGAUGGUUUUGGUAUCUGCCCCCGUCGGCCCUCGUCCUGUCUCUGAUUCGGAUGUGGUAUAUAUUGUCUUUUUAUAACUAUUUGGUUCAUUUAUUGUUUAUGAAAAAUAUGUCGACCAACGUGACAUAGAUUUUAUUUAUCUUGGAGGUGGUUGAACCGGAAAUUCCAACCGACCCUAUUGUCGAGAGGUUAAAUUUAGUUGAAGAAGAAAACAAUUACUUGAAGGAAAAAAUAAAAAAAUUGAGGAGGAGAAGAUGAUAUUGGAGUUGCAUGUUGCGGAUGUCAUCGAUGAUCACAAGAUCAAGAUGGAUGCAAUGCACUUGAAGAUUAGAAAGAUUAGAAAAUAUGCCAUUCAUACCGAGGCUUGGUAAUAUUAUGCCGUUGGAUCAGUUGUUACCUUGGUUGCGAUUAUGAUCGCAUUUGUUUUCGCAUUGAAAUGUUUUACACAGUUUCAAUGUAUGGUUUAAUUAAUUAGAUGCUCUGGAGAGCUAUAUGUUGUUAGAUGAGAACUAUGUAUGUACUUUGGUUUUAAUGUGAUGAUGAACUUCUAUUAAUUUGGUCACUUAAUUAUCUAUUCAUGAUGUUCUGUAAUGGUUUUUGACACACUUAAUUAUAUAUAAUGCACGCAGAUGAACCGGCAAUGGAUGUACGGUGACAGACACACCUCCGAGUACAUUAAGGGCGUGUUCUCGAAGUGGCUGAGGCAAACAAGCAGAAUGGUUUUAUGUGUUGUCCAUGCCCUACAUGUGGGAAUACGAAGUCUUACUCUGACCGGAAAAUCCUUCACACCCACCUGCUUUGCAAGGGUUUCAUGCCACACUAUAUGUUUGGACGAGGCACGGAGAAAUAGGGGUUAUGAUGGAAGACGGCGAAGAAGAAGAGGACGAUGACAACUAUGUGCCCCCUGAAUACGGUGAUGCUGCAACGGGGGAAGCUGCUGAAGAUCAAGAGGAACCAGACGAUGUGCCCAAUGAUGCUGCAAGGGGGAAGCUGCAGAAGAUCAAGAGGAACCAGUGCCCGAUGAUGAUGAUCUCCGCCGAGUCAUUGUCGAUGCAAGGACGCAAUGCGAAAGUCAAAAGGAGAAGCUGAAGUUCGAUCGCAUGUUAGAGGAUCACAAAAAAGGGUUGUACCCCAAUUGCGAAGAUGGCAACACAAAGCUCGGUACCGUACUGGAAUUGCUGCAGUGGAAGGCAGAGAAUGCUAUGCCUGACAAAGGAUUUGAGAAGCUAUUAAAAAUAUUGAAGAAGAAGCUUUGAAAGGAUAACGAAUUGCCCGACAGUACAUACGCAGCAAAGAAGGUCGUAUGCCCUCUAGGAUUGGAGGUGCAGAAGAUACAUGCAUGCCCUAAUGACUGCAUCCUCUACCGCGGUGCGUACAAGGAUCUGAACGCAUGCCCGGUAUGCGGUGCAUUGCGGUAUAAGAUCAGACGAGAUGACCCUGGUGAUGUUGAUGGCGAGCCCCCCAGGAAGAGGGUUCCUGCGAUGGUGAUGUGGUAUGCUCCUAUAAUACCACGGUUGAAACGUCUGUUCAGAAAUGAAGAGCAUGCCAAGUUGAUGCGAUGGCACAGUGAGGACCGUAAGAAAGACGGGAAGUUGAGAGCACCCGCUGACGGGUCGCAGUGGAGAAAAAUUUAGAGAAAGUACUGGGCUGAGUUUGCAGCUGACCCAAGGAUUGUAUGGUUUGGUUUAAGCGCGGAUGGCAUUAAUCCUUUCGGGGAGCAGAGCAGCAAUCACAGCACCUGGCCCGUGACUCUAUGUAUGUAUAACCUUCCUCCUUGGAUGUGCAUGAAGCGGAAGUUCAUUAUGAUGCCAGUUCUCAUCCAAGGCCCUAAGCAACCCGGCAACGACAUUGAUGUGUACCUAAGGCCAUUAGUUGAAGAACUUUUACAGCUGUGGAAUGGAAACGGUGUACGUAUGUGGGAUGAGCACAAACAGGAGGAAUUUAACCUACACGCCUUGCUGUUUGUAACAAUCAACGAUUGGCCCGCUCUCAGUAACCUUUCAGGACAGACAAACAAGGGAUACCACGCAUGCAUGCACUGUUUAGAUGACACUGAAAGUAUAUACCUGGACAAAUGCAGGAAGAAUGUGUACCUGGGCCAUCGUCGAUUUCUUCCGAUCAACCAUCAAUGUCGAAAGAAAGGCAAGCGUUUCAAAGGCGAGGCAGAUCACCGGAAGAAGCCCGCCAUGCGUACCGGUGAUCACGUACUUGCUAUGGUCAAUGAUUUACACGUAAUCUUUGGAAAGGGUCCCGGCGGACUAGCUGUUCCGAAUGACGCUGAGGGACACGCACCCAUGUGGAAGAAGAAAUCUAUAUUUUGGGACCUACCCUACUGGAAAGACCUAGAGGUCCGCUCUUCAAUCGACGUGAUGCACGUGACGAAGAACCUUUGCGUGAACCUGCUAGGCUUCUUGGGCGUGUAUGGGAAGACAAAAGAUACACCUGAGGCACGGGAGGACCUGCAACGUUUGCACGAAAAAGACGGCAUGCCUCCGAAGCAGUAUGAAGGUCGUGCCAGCUACGCUCUUACGAAAGAAGAGAAAGAAAUCUUCUUUGAAUGCCUGCUCAGAAUGAAGGUCCCGACUGGCUUCUCGUCGAAUAUAAAGGGAAUAAUAAAUAUGCCAGAGAAAAAGUUCCAGAACCUAAAGUCUCAUGACUACCACGUGAUUAUGACGCAACUGCUUCCGGUUGCAUUGAGGGGGCUUCUACCGGAAAACGUCUGAUUAGCCAUUGUGAAGCUAUGUGCAUUCCUCAAUGCAAUCUCUCAGAAGGUGAUCGAUCCAGAAAUCAUACCAAGGCUAAGGAGUGAUGUGGCGCAAUGUCUUGUCAGUUUCGAGCUGGUGUUCCCACCAUCCUUCUUCAAUAUCAUGACACACGUCCUAGUUCAUCUAGUCGACGAGAUUGUCAUUCUGGAGCCCGUAUUUCUACACAAUAUGUUCCCCUUUGAGAGGUUCAUGGGAGUCCUAAAGAAAUAUGUCCGUAACCGCGCUAGGCCAGAAGGAAGCAUCUCCAUGGGCCAUCAAACAGAGGAUGUCAUUGGGUUUUGUGUUGACUUCAUUCCUGGACUUAAGAAGAUAGGUCUUCCUAAAUCGCGGUAUGAGGGGAGACUGACUGGAAAAGGCACGCUAGGAGCGGACUCAAUAAUAUGCAGGGACGGGCAUUCAUCUCAAGCACACUACGCAGUUCUACAGAACUCUACCUUGGUGACCCCGUAUGUCGAUGAACACAAGAACAGUCUGCGCUCCAAACACCCGGAGCAGUGUGACGACUGGAUUACAUGUGAACACAUCAGGACUUUCAGCAGUUGGUUGGAAACACAUCUCAGAGGUGACACCACUGUUUGUGAUGAGUUCUACUCGUUGUCCAGGGGACCAUCUUCGACUGUAUUGACUUACAAAGGAUACGAGAUAAAUGGGAAUACAUUUUACACGAUCGCCCAAGAUCAAAAGAGCACCAACCAAAACAGCGGUGUCCGCUUUGAUGCAGCAACCGAGAGGGGAAAGGACAUGUAUUAUGGUUACAUAAUGGACAUAUGGGAACUUGACUACGGACAUGAUUUUAAGGUCCCUUUGUUUAAGUGCAAAUGGGUCAAUCUGUCAGGAGGCGGGGUACAGGUAGACCCACAGUACGGAAUGACAACAGUGGAUCUGAACACUCUUGGGUACACUGACGAACCGUUCGUCCUAGCCAAUGAUGUGGCACAGGUUAUCUAUGUGAAGGACAUGUCUACCAGACCGAGAAAAAGAAAAGAUAAGGAAGCGAAUACAUCAUACGAUGAGGCAAAGCGCCACAUAGUUCUUUCAGGAAAAAGGGACAUUGUGGGAGUGGAGGGCAAGACAUACAUGUCUGAAGAUUAUGAAAAGUUUCAUGAAAUUCCUCCCUUCAAAGUCAAGGCUGACCCAAGCAUCCUUAUAAACGAUGAAGAUUAUCCAUGGUUACGGCGCAAUAAGCAAAUGACACAAGCGAAGAAAAAGUAAAGACUUUCUCCCGCAACUAUUAUGAUGAUACCAUGCCAACUUUGUAACAGACGAGUAUGAUACCAUUGUCCGUUUUGUACACGAAGUGCAUCUAGUUUUUGCCGUAACCCUCUCAACUUUCUUGCACAUGCUAUGUGGAUGAAAUGAUGAUACCAUGCCAACUUUCAACCUUUUUAGAGUUCAUUUGAAAUACUUUUCAAUUUUAGGGUCUUAUAGCUCAAAAUAAUUAGUAAAUGCAUGAAAAAUGGUGCAUGAAAAAUAACAAAUAAAAUAAAUAAGUAAUUAGAAACAAAAUAAUAUAAACUUUAUUAAAAUAUAUAAGUAGAAACAAAAUAAAAUAAACUUUAAUAAAAUUUAUGAAACUAAAAUUAACAAAGUAUUUUCUGUUCAAAACAUUAUAAGAAACCUCUAGUAUUAUUGAAACUAAAAUCAUAUAAAAUUGAUGCAACUAAAAUUAUCGAAGUAUUUUCUGUUCAAAAUCAUUAAAAGCAAAAAGAAUUUUCAUAAAAAACUUUUUUGAUAGAAACUUUAAUAGCAAAAAAAAUUAUCAUAAAGUAAAAUAAAUAAGUAAUAGAAACAAAAUAAAAUAAAACAAAUAAGUAUUUUGUUGUAAGUAGAAACAAAAUAAAAUAAAUAAAGCAAAAAAGAAAACAAAAACUGGAAAAAAAUAAAAAAAAUGCCACCUACUGGGCCACCACGGCCUGAAUACGACUAGAAACCCAUCAAUGGGCCAGGAUUCAGGCCCGCAGAAGGCCGAGCAGGCCCACAGGCAUAGCAGUGCAAGAUUAGGCCCGUAAGCCUGCAAUGGAGAGGAGCUCGAGAGGGUUGGCGCAGCAGCGCUUAUAAACCACUCUCGAGCUCUCUCAACUCGCGAGGUGGGACUAAACUUUGGCCGCGACGCGGGCAUCACAUGUCCUUUGGUCCCGGUUGGUGGCACCAACCGGGACUAAGGGGGUGCAUUGGUACCGGUUGGUGCCACAACCGGGACCAAUACACCCCUUUAGUCCCGGUUGGUGCCACCAACCGGGACCAAAGGCCGCCGCUUCCCGCCCUUUGGGCUGCUAAAAAGAGACCUUUGGUCCCGGUUGGUGGCACCAACNNNNNNNNNNNNNNNNNNNNNNNNNNNNNNNNNNNNNNNNNNNNNNNNNNNNNNNNNNNNNNNNNNNNNNNNNNNNNNNNNNNNNNNNNNNNNNNNNNNNNNNNNNNNNNNNNNNNNNNNNNNNNNNNNNNNNNNNNNNNNNNNNNNNNNNNNNNNNNNNNNNNNNNNNNNNNNNNNNNNNNNNNNNNNNNNNNNNNNNNNNNNNNNNNNNNNNNNNNNNNNNNNNNNNNNNNNNNNNNNNNNNNNNNNNNNNNNNNNNNNNNNNNNNNNNNNNNNNNNNNNNNNNNNNNNNNNNNNNNNNNNNNNNNNNNNNNNNNNNNNNNNNNNNNNNNNNNNNNNNNNNNNNNNNNNNNNNNNNNNNNNNNNNNNNNNNNNNNNNNNNNNNNNNNNNNNNNNNNNNNNNNNNNNNNNNNNNNNNNNNNNNNNNNNNNNNNNNNNNNNNNNNNNNNNNNNNNNNNNNNNNNNNNNNNNNNNNNNNNNNNNNNNNNNNNNNNNNNNNNNNNNNNNNNNNNNNNNNNNNNNNNNNNNNNNNNNNNNNNNNNNNNNNNCCGCGCCCUCGCCCGUCGCCGUCGCCCGCGCCCUCGCCGUCGCCGACUGUAAUGAUGUUUUAAAUAUAUUUUUUAGAUAUAUGUAUUUUUUAUGUAUGUUCAUAUAUGUGUGUAUGUAUUUUUUACAUGUUUUUUAUAUGUAUGUAUGUAUUUUUUUCAACUGUAAUGAUGUUUUAAAAAUACAUAUAUGCAAAAGUUAGAUUUUUAGAAAGGAAUUUGAAUAGGAUUUCAGCAAGGAAUUUGAAUCUGGAUCAAAUUUCAUUUAAAUGAAAUUUGAAAAUUUUGAACUAUGGAUCAGAAGGUUUUUGGUGAAAUGGAGUGUGGGUACUGUCAUGAAGUUGGAGUAAUUUUUGUGGUUGUAAAAGAGUUAGGAAAAGUGUUAUAUAUGCAAAAUUUACAUUUUUAGAAAAGUUUUAUGUAACUAGCUAGGAAAGGAAGAAGAAGAAAAAGAAGGAGAGGAAAAACGAAAAUAAGAAGAAGAAAGGAGAAGAAGAGGAGAGGAAGAAGAGGAGAAAUAAAUAAGAAGAGGAGAUAUAUCUAUUUUUUCUUCUUCUCCUCUAUUCCUUUCUUCUUCUCCUCUUCUUUUUCUUCUUUUUUUCUUCGAUCUUCUCCUCUAUUCCUUUCUUCUUCUCCUCUUUUUAUUUCUUCUUCGUCUUCUUAUUUUUUAUCGGGUAUGUCGUUGUCGAUAUACCCCCUCCCCGAUAACAUUAUUUUCCCAUGUAUGUAUGUCGUCGUUGUCGAUAUAUAUAACUCCCUCCCAGAUAACUUCGACAUGAUGGACGGUCGAUAUUUAUACCCCCUCUCGACCGUGAUAACUUAUACCACGGGAGCACCCCCCGGCCCUCUCGCUCGACCAAAACUCUCGAGGACACCCAAACCCUAGAAAAAAACGAUGUCGGUCUCCUACCCCCUCCCGCCGCGCCCCUACCCUUGAAGCGUUGCCGAGGCCACCCCAAACCCGGAAUAAGCUAGGUCUACGUUUGCACUAAUAUAUCCACCUGCUGUCAUGUUUGUCUAAUAAUUGCCAUGUUGUAAUAUUUGCAGAAACAAUGGAGCACGGACGGGACGAGCAAGCAGAAGAGGUGUUGGGGGACAUAAUCUUAGCUGGAGGUGAUAUCUUGUCGUAUCUUAUCGACAAUGAUGGUCUGGAAGAACAGGGUGAAGAAGCAGGCUAUGGUGAUCGAAGAGUGGAGGAGGAAAGACAUGAUUAUGAUGGCUCCGGUGACCCAAUGCUGGUGCAAGAAGGAGCCCGUGGUGACGGCUCCGGUGACCGAACAGAGUCCGGCCAGGUAAAUAUAUUAGUUAAGCCUGUGCUGACUAGCUAAUUGAUGCAUUCAUUGUUUUGGUAUGUACACAUAUUAAUUAACCCUUGUCAUUCUUCUUUUUUCUAGCCCUCCGGAUCAAGCACAACUUCGGUAAAGAGACGAGGCCCGAAGAGAAAGUUGCGCUCGGAUGAAAGGUUUGAGAUCACAGCAAUCGCGCGCGACGGCCAACCGAUUGAACCCAUCCGGACAAAGGAUGCAUUUGCUGCUCAGUGCGGGGUUCUAGUUACGGACAAGAUCCCGAUCAGCAUCCACCAAUGGUAUAAGCCUAAGAAGGAAGACCCUGAGGUGUCUUAUGUCAAUGAUAUGCAGGAAGAUGAUCUUUGGACUGAGCUGAAGGCAAAUUUCACCCUACCGCCAGAGGAGGAUCCGGAGAAGCCAGUUAAAGAGCAAUUAAUCAAGUCUCAUGCUCUUAGAAGAUGGCAGACCUAUUCAGGAGGUGGAAGAAUGAGCUGAAAACGUUUGUCGACAAAGAAGAGACACCAGAAUUCAUCGGCCGGUAUGAGAAGAUCAGAGAUCACUGGCCCGCAUAUGUGGCCCACAAGACAUCGGAAAAGAGUAAGAAGAUGUCAGCUACAAACAAGAAGAAUGCUGCGAAGAAGAAGCUUCACCAUCGCACGGGGUCAGGUGGCUACCUCAAAGCCUAGCCUAAGUGGGCCAAGGCUGAGAAUGAUCUGCUUGAUAAAGGGAUCGAACCACAGACAAUGAACUGGCCAGACCAUUGCCCGACUUGGUUCUUCGGGGCUGGUGGAAAAUUGGACCCUGUAUCAGGGAGGUGCGUUUGGACGGACGAGCUUUUGAGAAUACCAGUCAAGAGGCUUCAGCAGUAUAUCGAUGCAGCGCAGGAAGGGACGUUCGUUCCAGACAGAGAGAACGACGAGCUCACAAUGGCCCUCGGGAAUCCUGAGCACCCUGGACGGACACGAGGCACGCCAGGCUCCAUUCCAUGGAAGGCUGGUUUUCCGGACGCAUGCGGUUACAAAAGCCAGGAGAGGAGGAAAAAAGUGGAGCGGACCCAAAUUCAGAAGUUGCACGAAAGGGUUCAAGCGCUAGAGGAACGAGACGGCAAUCGACAUGCCGAAACUACCCCCGAAGCUACCCCGCCAUCUCAGCGGAGAAGCAGCGUGGCUUCCACCGAGCUGCUUCAGCCGGAGCAUGUCUUGACGGCUCCUGCUAGCUACCCCGUGGAUGCUAUCACAGAGUCUCAACAUUGCCACCUUAUGACGCAAUGGCAGAACUUCAAAGUCAAGGUGGCUGUUGGCUCUGUUUUACCUCCUGAACCCGGCGCAACCUACCACUGCCGGCCGAUUCCAGAAGGAUAUGCUAGGAUGAUGGUGGAUGAAAUAACGGAGGGAUUUGAGGACCUCCGGCUUGACCACCCUACCGGUGAAGGGGAGACUCGGCUGGGUUCUGCUCUGAAGACUCCAUGCCUAUGGUGGAAGGAGCUCAUCAACCUUCCGAGCUGGACACCUCCAGCGAGUAAGGGCACUCCGCCUCCUCCUCCGCCUCCUCCUCUGGUGAGUGAUCAGGGCACUCCGCCUCCUUCUCCGCCUGCGCCUGCGCGCCAGAGCAGCCAGCCUCCUCCUUCUCCGCCUCGUCAGCAAGGGAGGAAGAGACCCGCCGCCGCUCCGGCUGCUCCGGCGCGUCGUAGUCCUUCUCCUCCGCCUCGUAAGAAAGGAAAGAAGACAGCCGCAGCCGCUCCGUCUGCUCUGCCGGCGUCUAGCAGUACAGCCAGAGGCGGGAGGCAAUACAGAUUCGGUCCUUCUCUGAAGACUCCAGAGAAGUUACCAUACGAGAGGACCGAGGAGGAAACCACGAAGAUCGUGCGAGCCGAAGUGACGAACUUAGUUGAAGGGGUGAAAGCAAAUAAACAUCCACCUUCGGAGGAGAAGGUAGAUCCGGUGAAAGCGAAGCGCACUCUGGCUGCCCUGACAAAACCACCAAAGUCUCCGCCGAGAGGCAACUAUGAGCGCAUUAUUGCAAAGACAUUUGCCGAAGCGGAGCGGUCAGGAAGUACUGUCAGUGAUCAAAGGUUAAAAGAACGACGAGCUGGGAAAAAAAUUGCCUAGCGACAUCGUGCCCCCUGCUCAAGGUGUCUAGCGACAUCGUCGCUAAUGAUCCGAGGAUGGUGCCCGGUUAUAGCAAACUUGGAGAUUACCUGCCCGACGAUGUACAUUAUGAUAUCUUGGAGGUGGACGAACACAAAUACCAUUACGGGAAGCCUCUCGUCAAAGAUGAAAGAUCUCUAACAACGAUGAUGCGAAGAUUACAUGAUUGGUACAUGAAAACCUGCAGAGAGUCUGGGGGGAGGGAUACUUUGAAGCUGAGUGUUAAACCGGAGCAUGACCUCGUUGGAAUUGAACUGUUGAAUGUUCCAUUUGAGGAGUUCUUCCAGUUUUUCAAUCAAAAGGCCCUCGAUAAAUCAACGAUCACUUGCUACUGUCUGUAAGUAGUACUACUUCUGUCAUUAAGUCUCUCUAUAUAGGUCAGCUCUUUCGUUGCAUCUAUUUAUAAUUAUCCUCACUAUAUUAUGCAGAUUGAAGAUCGCCGAAUUGAAGAAAAGACAAAUCGGUGAUAUUGGGUUCAUUAAGACAAAUCUCAUAGAUGCAACUCAGGUUAAAUAUCAUGCCGAAAAUACCGAGGCCAACUUGCUACGAUCGUUGGUAAUAAAUGAAAACAAAGAUAUAAUACUCUUUCCUUACAACUUCAAGUGAGUGUUACUGUCUUGUGCAUACUCGGUUUCCCUUAUUAGUCCAGGUUAUAGUAAUGUAAUUGAUGACUUAUGCAUGCGUGCGCAGCUUCCACUAUAUUCUCCUAGAGAUUAAGCUUGAGCAGGGACUAGUAACCGUCUUAGACUCAAGACGAAAAGAUCCCCAGGACUAUGCGGACAUGACUCAAAUGCUCGAGAAGUAAGUUAAAUCGAUCAUUAUCCACCAUAUCAGCAACUUUGUUCAUUUCCUGAUAUCAAGUAAUUGUUUUCUUUGUCUAGCAGGGUUUGGAGAAAAUUCACCAAAAAAGCUCCGGACUGCCGAAGAAGCUGCAAUUUAAACACCCGAAAGUAAGUACUAUAGUAGCAUGUUCCGCGCAUCUCCUAGUGAUUCAAGCGCUAGUUUCAUCAAUACCAUUUAGCAUGCUUGCUUAUCAGUUUGAUUGACCUCUAUUUCUUGUAAAGUGGUUGUGGCAGGAACCCGGGAAUAAUUACUGUCGAUACUACGUUUGCGAGUCCAUCCGCUACACGACCUGUGAGCGGGGCUACUCUGACGAACAAUAUGAAGUGCGUAAGCAAUAAUAUUCAUAAUUUUAUUUUAUUACCAUCAUUUGUGUUNNNNNNNNNNNNNNNNNNNNNNNNNNNNNNNNNNNNNNNNNNNNNNNNNNNNNNNNNNNNNNNNNNNNNNNNNNNNNNNNNNNNNNNNNNNNNNNNNNNNNNNNNNNNNNNNNNNNNNNNNNNNNNNNNNNNNNNNNNNNNNNNNNNNNNNNNNNNNNNNNNNNNNNNNNNNNNNNNNNNNNNNNNNNNNNNNNNNNNNNNNNNNNNNNNNNNNNNNNNNNNNNNNNNNNNNNNNNNNNNNNNNNNNNNNNNNNNNNNNNNNNNNNNNNNNNNNNNNNNNNNNNNNNNNNNNNNNNNNNNNNNNNNNNNNNNNNNNNNNNNNNNNNNNNNNNNNNNNNNNNNNNNNNNNNNNNNNNNNNNNNNNNNNNNNNNNNNNNNNNNNNNNNNNNNNNNNNNNNNNNNNNNNNNNNNNNNNNNNNNNNNNNNNNNNNNNNNNNNNNNNNNNNNNNNNNNNNNNNNNNNNNNNNNNNNNNNNNNNNNNNNNNNNNNNNNNNNNNNNNNNNNNNNNNNNNNNNNNNNNNNNNNNNNNNNNNNNNNNNNNNNNNNNNNNNNNNNNNNNNNNNNNNNNNNNNNNNNNNNNNNNNNNNNNNNNNNNNNNNNNNNNNNNNNNNNNNNNNNNNNNNNNNNNNNNNNNNNNNNNNNNNNNNNNNNNNNNNNNNNNNNNNNNNNNNNNNNNNNNNNNNNNNNNNNNNNNNNNNNNNNNNNNNNNNNNNNNNNNNNNNCACAGAAAUGCUGACGCGUGGAUGCCUAUUGGUCCCGGUUAGUGCCACCAACCGGGACCAAAGGCCCUCCUGCCUGGGCUCGCCGCACCGGCCACAUGGAGGCCCAUCUGUCCCGGUUCGUGUAAGAACCGGGACUAAAGGGCUAGGGCAUUAGUAACGACCCUUUAGUCCCGGUUCAAAAAUCGAGACAAAAGGCCCUUACCAACCGGGACAAUAGGCCCUUUUUCUACUAGUGCAAGGGGUGCGUCAAUGGGCGAUGGGUCGAGGUUACAAAGCAUGAAUACAAGAAGGAUUCAAACUAUUGAAAUUUUGAUCGGGUCAACAAUUUCUCGAAGCUUCAUAAUCCAAUUCUUUUAUAGUAUACAAUAUGCUUCCUAAUUUUUAAGGCCUCACAAUUAAUUAAGGUAUUCAAUAUAGAUUGAUCAUCCAAUUUUGACUGGGUCAACAAUUUCUCAACCUCUCCAAUUGAAUUCUUUUAAUUCACUAUGUUCCCAAAUUUUGAAUCUCUUUCAUUUAAUUGAGGUAUUCAAUUUUGAUUUGGUUGACAAUUUUGACUGGGCCAAUGAUUUUUAAAUCAAUCAGCUGCAACUGGCCUAUAAAAACAUAUCAAUCCUAUGCACCCUCCCCCCACCUAGAAAAAAGAAGUGUCACCAUGUGAUAUUGUAGUAUCAAUAUAGUACAUGCAACCACCGACGCAGAAAUUGUCCCACAUAAAUAUAGGUUGGUUAGCGGAUGACACAGUCAUCUCCACACCCGCCUAACUUAAUAUUCCAUCAGUUAUAAAAUAUAAAGGGUAUUAAUUUUGUAGAAAGUCAAACUUCUUUAACUUUGACCAAGUUCAGAGCAAAAAUAUCAACAUCCACAAUAUUAAACAAAAAAGGUAUGGAAAUUCAUUUCGUGAUGAAUCUAAAAAUACUGAUUUGAUCCUCUGAAUUUUGAUAUAUUUCUCUACAAAUUUGAUGAAACUUAAAAGGUUUGACUUUUUAAAAAAUUAAUACACCUUAUAUUGUGAAACAGAGUGAUUAGUUUUUUAAGAUACCCAACAACAUGAACGGCACAGCAAAGCGCACACAACGCUUCUAGUUAGUAGUAUAUCUAAGAACAAUUGGCAUCCCAUUGAUGAUCGAUCAGCCUUCUUAGUCCAGCUAGUGGUUGUGUCGUCUAGAUAUCUAUAUGGAUGGAGUCAGUUGAGAUGCGUGGUCAGCCAAGUGGGUUGAUCAAUGCCCUCUUAAAAUUCGAAGCCUAAAGUAGAUGUGCUACUCGAGAAAUAAAAAGACCAACGUAGACCGUACCAACAUCUAAUAUUUGACGUCACAUUUGAAUUUGAUACUAUUCACAUCCAUAAUUGUCCCUUUGCUCAUCGAAUUAUGCAUCUUACAUAAAUGUUCUAAAUGACCAAUUUUUAUAAUAAUUCCAGGGUUGUAGUUCGGUGCAUAGGUAGCUCAGAGGAACCAUAGCCGUCGUUUCCUCUCCAAAAAACCUUAGAGUUCCUAUGCCUCCCGCUGGCGCCGCUGCCGGUCCACCUCGUCUCCGGUGGCCCUAGGGCCAUGGGGACACGGUGGAUCUCAUCCCUUACCAGCGGGACGGCUUCGUUUUUAGAUGUUUCUUUGAAUUUUGUUAGGGUUGUGUCCUGCUAAGGAGGGCAAGAGAACGACGGCUUCCUGAAGAUUGAAUAAGGUUCUCCCCGCCUAGCCCCCGUCUCGAUGGCGCGUCUAACAUCGUCGGAGAGUGUGUGGAGGUGUGUCUCCGGCAGAUCUCGCAGGAUUCAAUAGGUGAUUUGUCUUUGGUGGAUCUACUCGGACUCGGUCUUGGUUCGUCUACGUUUAUGUGUCGUUAGAUUGGAUCCUUCCUAUCUAUGGGUCUCUUCAUCGGCGGCGGUUGCUAUUCUAGUGCGCUGGUCCUACGGAGCCUUAGCACGACAAGUUCCCGACUGUCUACUACAAUAAGUUCUGCCCGGCUCCGGCGAGGGAAGGGUGAUGACGACGGCGCGUCUUCGGCUCGCUUUAGUGCUUAUAGUCGUUGCUAGAUGGUCUGCGGAUGGAUGUAAUUUUUAUUAUUCCUAUUGUUCAUUGUAUUGUCAUGAUUGAAAAUGAAUUGAUCGAAAGAUUUCUCACAGAAAAGAAGCUCAAAAGAACCAUUAAAAGGACAAUCGUGUGGUCUCCCUAGAUAGUCCUUGGAGGGAGCAAUGUAAUUUCACUUCCUUUUUAUUGCAUUCUCAUGAAUCUAUGGGAUACACAGAUUUGGAAUAGCCAUGCGUUAUAUAGGUUUGGAAAAGAUGAAUGGGCAGGACAAAGCCCAUCAAGGUCCAGAGUUGGACAUGGUAUUUUUUCUCUUCCCUGAUCUUGUGUGGUUGUUACAUUACAACGAGGACUAGAUGCAUUCAUGAACCUGAGGAGACUAGAUAGGGUGAUUAUAUCGUGGCUAUCAUAUUUACCUAUUUUACAAAGAAUGAUCGGAUAUAAUUUACUGGUACAAUCCAUUGUGUGCCUUUCACGCUUCCGUCAGUUUAAUUUCCUCACACUAGUCUUGUGAUCAGGUAGCUCGCAAUCUGAAUUUCUGUAAUGAAUAUUUUUUUUUUGGUCCAACGAGUAAAACGUAGACUUGGUGACCCUCAAAAGGGAUGAUAUUUUACAUAAUGAGUAAAUCAUGAUGUCCUUAGAUAUUUCUUAUGAGUAUUUCUUCUUUUCUGCGGAAAAGUUUCUUGUCUUCUGAACUCUUGGAUGUGGGCAGAACUACUUCCAUGCAUGUGGCGACAUAUGAUGAGCCGAGGCACCCGCAGCAUGCCAUUGUCAGUCAAGUUUGCCAUUGUUUGAUGGGAAGUUUUCAAGUGCUACAUGUAGAAGGACGCUAUAGUGGCUGCAAUCUUGCUGCUAAGUGACACGUACUGUCACCCUGUUUCUAAUGAAAAAAAUGAAGAACAAUGACUCAUUUAAACAUUGUUCAAUUUUGUGGUUCAUGAGCCUUUUCUUCAAAGUUUACUUAAAAGCUGGGUUAUUAGGUAGAAAAUGGUUCCUUUCCUUUUGUGCUUGCAAUUUAUUGUCCUGACAAAAACACUUUUUAUUGCAGUGCUAAAGAAAAUGCGUCUACUACUUGACUGAACUAAAUACUCUUGAUAGCAAAUGCCCUCUCUGGGCAUAUUUGUAGAUUCAAGGUGAGGAGACAUGCCAGCAUACAGACCAGCCUUGAAAAUAGUCAGAUAAACAUUGCAAGAUGUUGGCAGAAAUACAUACAUUGCACAUGUAUGAUGUUCUAACAAGAGCGUAAAGUUGAUUGAUUCUUGAUAGCAUCACCUGAAUAUAUCACUCACGGAUUCAUGAAUGUUCUCCGUUGCAAUGCACGGCCAUUCACCUAGUAAAGGCAAUGAUUUGUUGGUAGUAGAGGCAUCUCAUGUUUCAAACGGUUAGACCUUAGCCGUCGUGACCCGGUUCCAUGGCUGGCUCAAUCUCGCACCUCUGUUGGUGCCGAACCCUAGGCAAAUUCCCCCAAAUCUCUUGUUGUUUCUAUUGCUUGACCGAAUGUGAGGAGCGAUAGUAGAUCAAUAACUCUCGUAUAACCGAGGGAAAAAGAAAUGAAGAGAAGUCAGCGAAAGUAUCAAGUGGUACAUCUACUUUUUAUAACAUCACAUGAAGCCGGCGAAAAGGAAAGCCGACCAACGAAGAAACCGCAUAGGGGACCUAUCAGGAGUGAACACUGCGUGGGCGCCGCUGGCCGCAUCUCAUCGUUUUGUUGUGCAGAAGAAGAAAUGACCGCCGAUGCUGCUGGUGCCUCCAUCUCUAUGACCUUGCCGUCCAAGCCCGCAAUAGCAACAAACACGCAGCACUAGAGCACGGGAGGAGAGUUGAUCAGGGAAAUCGCCUUUCUUGACGACAGGAGAAUUAGUGAUGGGCGACUCCACGCGACACUGAUGUGAUUUCAGGCCACACUAAAGGAUGUCGGAGAAGGGGGCCGUCGGACGAACUCAACAACAUCGGUAGUGGGCUUGGUGGAUAUUGUGUCGAGGGCUCGGGGACGCACUCGGUGAUGGUGGUGGACCUCGGGGAUGGGGACCUCAUACACGUGGAUGCAGUGGAAAAGAUGAUGCACGGGCUUGGAGGCAUUACUCAUCCACCUCUUCUGGCAAAGAGAGCUCAUCGGGGCCAACCGCGUGAAGGAGGAGCUUGAGGUAGCUUGGAGGAGGCGACGAUGGCAGCCGGAUCCAUGUGGCAAGCCAGAGUGGAGGCAUCCCACGUGGGAACAGUGAUUUCGGUGCCCAGGCUUAGAUGCACUUGCUAUCAUGUUUGUUCAGUGCUGCAUGGAGAUUCAGGAUAUGGGGCAUGAGGUGGCAUUGCUAGGGCGUGGAAAAUCCCCAUAACGAACUAUACAUGCAUGAAUAGUGCGAUACAUGUGGGUCUAUCGUGUAGCACACGAGGAAGGUUCGGACGAAUGACAAACGGUGCCAUCUUGGUUGGAUUCUGAUCCAUGGCACCUAAUCGUCUGCGUUCAUCUAAGUCGUGGCUCACUCUGCUGCCCGUGGCGUGAGUUUGAAACUUUGAAUUCGAGUCAUGGCCUAAAGAUUUGUGCAGCUCCAGUUGGGGCCUGCGGUGUAGGAUUGUCGGUACACACACCGAAUGUCAUCCACGGCCGACGCCGGCCAACAGAUUGCUAGCUUACCAGACGCUACAAGAGGUAGCGUCCUUCGUGAAGUUUGUGUGCUUCAUCACCAACCAGGUCAUCCUAAGCCAUCAUGGACAACCCAUUCAUCUACGUGGUUGACUUCAACAUUGGAGACGACUUCUGGUGGUCGUUGCUCAUGUCACACCUUUCUCACCAUGGUAGCAAGUUGUUUCAUGUCACGUCACUUGCCACCACAUGAAUGCACCGCACGGAUACGCAUGCACCUACAGUCAUACAUGGUGUCCGUCGGAGUUCGCGCGCGUCCCUAGGGGCUCCCAUUCCAGUACGACGAGAAGGACCUCCUGGUCUGGGUUUGAAGUCACGUAAUGGUACCUACAACAAUCUCGAAAAGAGUAUAAGUCCUGGAUUUCAAGAGCAUCUGAGCUCGCGCUCAGAAAUCUAUUUUUGUUCCCACAGUCCAUACAUAGAGAGAAACCAGAAAAGAAAACGCAAAACACGCAUGCAUGCAUGCAUGCUUCCACAAAUGGGUUACCCCAUACCUUUCUGGGGCUCUGGUGACCUCACAUUCGUUGUUGACAGCUUAUGACCUCACAUUCAUGGGAGAGAUUUCCUGACCUCACAUUGUCUCUAUAAAAGCCUAUCACCACUAUGAAUCAUGUGUCUCCACCAUUUCAAAUCCUCCGCGCGCCUAAGAUAUCACUUGAGAAAUUACUAAUGGCCAACGGAAAGAAUGUCAUGGCCAUGUUAUUUCUCACCACCAUUGCGGCGGUGGCGGCCACAAGGCCAGCCGAGACCUAUGGCGCUGCGGAGGAGAACACAUUGAAGAUGGCUACCCCCAGCAGGAAAGGGGUUGACGCUACCUUAGCAGCUACACGUGUUGUUGCCGCCGAGAAGUCCAUCAAGAAGGCUGAAAGCGCCACCACACCAGAAGAGGCCGCGGCUGCCAAGCAAGAUGGAGCAAAAUCUGCUUCUGCUGCAUUAAAGUACAAUGCCAUCUCUCAGCAGGCAAAUGGUAAAGGUUCUUCUACCUCCCUAGGCAGGAAAGAAGCAGCCGGUACUUUAGCCGCCGCACACUAUGUCACCGCCGAGAAGUCCAUCAAGAAGGCCGAAACCGCCAAGACACCUGCAAAGGCCAUGGCUGCCAAGCGAGACGCAGCAAAGUCUGUUGACGAUGCAUUAAAGUAUGGUGCCAUCUCUCGGAAAGCAACUGCUACAAGUUCUUCUACCUCCCCCAAUAGGAAAGAAGGCACCACUGUUGCUGCUAAGAUGUUCACCAAGAAAGCUGAAACCGCUACCACACCUGAAGAGGCCGCGGCUGCCAAGCAAGCUGCAGCCAAGUCUACCGCUGCUGCAUCAAAGUAUGGUGUCAUUUCUCAGCAAGUAGCUGGUACAAGUUCUUCUACCUCCCCUAGCAGGAAAGAAGCUGCCGGUACCUUGGCAGAUGCUCGCAUAGCUGCUGCCGAGAAGUCCAUCAAGAAGGCUGAAACCGCCACCAGACCUGAAGAGGCAGCAUCCGCUAAGAAGGAUG
rnacentral:lncRNA from 1 species